rnacentral:lncRNA from 1 species
UAGCAAAGCAUGUGGGCAGUGGGCUUGAAUCUCUUAAAAACUUGGAACUCCUCCAAGCGUAAGUAUACGUAUACUGGGAAAUGUGUUAGAUGUGGAUGAGGCUAAGAGAUUAGAGCUUGACAAAAUGAAAUACCUCUGUCAUUGAGACUUAAAUUUGAUGGGGAAGAAGAAAAAGAAUAGGGAAGGAGAAAGAAUGAGAAUAAUCAACUUGUUCUUGAAGCCUUGCAACCACCUCUGAAUUUGAAGGAAUUAGAGAUUUGGUCAUACAGAGGCAACAUUGUUUCCCCCCGGAUGAUGCAAAAGUUGAAGGAAUUUACCAAUCUAAGGAGUUUGACACUCUUUAAAACUGCAAAAAUUGAGAGCAGUUGCCUUCUUUGGGAAAAUUGUGAUCCUUUGAAAAUCUCAGCAUAUUGUACAUGGAGAGUGUGAAAACAGUGGGUAAUGAAUUUAUGGGAAUAGAAAGUGAUCUUCAUGACUCAUCUUCAUCUUCAUCAGUUAUUAUUGCCUUCCCCAAAUUGAAAUCACUUUCAGUUGAGGGAUUGAUGGAAUUGGAGGAGUGGGAUUAUGGGAUUAAAAGAACAGGAAACACCUUCACCAACAUUAUGCCACGUCUUUCUUCCUUGGAAAUUAGUGUGGGGUUAUGGGAUCGCACAACGACGUUGAAGGUAUUGCAGAUUGUGGCAUGUGGUACUCUAAGAAGACGUUACAGACAGGGGAGAGCAGAAGACUGGCCUAAAAUGCUAAUGUGGAGUACAAUCAUAAAAUGCUAAUGUGGCCACCCUGGUUCUUAAUUAAGGUUGUGCAUAUUAUUGUAAAAGAUGAUUAAUUCAAUUUGAGUCAUUCGUUUGCUUUGAUAAUGAUAGUAAUUUUAUAUUUUGACAAUUUGCAAGGUGAGAAUGGUGCUGAUUGGUGAUACAGGAUAUGGUUCAAACACCAUUGAAUAAAGCUACGGACAUGGUGGCUCAACUUAGCUAGAUUGCUGUCAAAAUUGGUAAGUUGGCUUGUCAAUGUAUUGAUGCUUUUGUUUUCUCUCAACCCUAAUUACCUUACCUUCAUUUAGUUUGGCUUUGGAGUUGAGUAAUAACUUUCAAGGUUCUCAAACAGAGCAGGACAACCGAAAAAAAAUAGCUUAAUUUGCUGCAGAUCACGUGUUACCAAUUAUUUAAGGUAAUUCUCGUUUACUUGCUUCUACACUAUAGAGUACGUGUUCUGGCUGGUUUAUGUAAUUCAUCAAAUGUUAUUUCCUUAUUGUUCCAUUGAUAUGUUUGUUAGAAAGUGAAACCAUUUCCAGGCAGCAGUUGGCAGUGAAUUCAUGCAAAUGUUGAUGCCAUUCAUAGAUAUUGAAGACAAUGAUGAGCCAAAGGUGAUAAAUCAUUAAUGCAUAGUUACCAAAACCUCCAUCCUUCUCUCAUUGUAAUUUGAUUUGAAAUGAAUAAUUGCUAGGUAAUUGAAGCCAAUAUUGUUAGAAACGGUGUUGAGCUACCCAAGCUAAGAAGUUAGCUGCCAAAAAAUGCAGGGGAUCAAAAGAAGCAUUGCAGUGCUACAAUGAAGCUACUGGGAAAUUUAAAUCCCAUAUUAGACUUUCCUCACAUCAGAAGCUGUGGAUCUUCGGACAUCAGGUUUUUUCACAGUUCUGAAACUCUCAGGAUUAAACUCUAUUAAAGUUGUUGUAGUUGUCUACGUUCUCAGGUCAAGGAUUCUAAGCUGCCUAUUAAGGCAAAAUGUCAGAAUUCCCCUAUUAUUUUUUUUUCAUGUAAAAUUAUGUUGUUGUCUUCGCCCAUGAAUCUUAGCUAAAUUCUGAACCAAUUGUUUGCUAUUAUAAAUUUCAUUGUUAAAUAUUAAUUGUGAUGUUGGUGUUGAGUUUCUUUUAAAGUCACAGAAGCCUGACGAUUGAGUUCCGUGAUUCUGAGAAGCAGUAAUAUUUUGAACAAGUGAAGGUUCUUCGUUUUUAAUUAUGUUCUGCACCUUUACAGUAUGAGUAAAUGUCUAAGAGGCGAGAUUUUAAUUUCUGUAAAUGCUAAAUUUCGCAAAACAAUAAAAAAAUAAAUGCAUGACAGUGACUUCAAGAAAUUAGAUUAUUGAAUUUGGCCAUUUUAAAAUUGAACCAGAGCUCAGAAAUGUAGAAUAUAAAUAUUGGAGAUUUGAACUUCAAUCAUUAGAUUUGAAGCUAAAGAGGUAAGCCAUUAAUUACAUCAAAUGAUUUGGAAAAUGGAGGAAUUGUAAAAAGGAAACUUUUUCUUUGUCCGAUUCAAGAGGAACAAGAGUAGCCUAAGAUAUUAAAGACAAUGUUGAGGCAAAGGAAACAUAAAUCCCAACCAUUGCAUGUGAACAUGAUCACAAUAAAUCCCAACCAUCCAAACCAUUUUUUUGAGAAUUUUCAAUUGAAAGUGAAACCUUUUGACAUUUACCUAAUAAAGUAAGUUAAACGAGAGAAAUAAAGGGGGGAAAAAAAAGUUGACUCAAGUCAAUACAGAAUUAUUAGUUCAACCUAGAGUAACUAAAACAGAGCCACUUGAGUUUCAAAAAUAUCUGCAUUCAUCACCUUCUCCAACAGCUUAUGAGCUACACACGAAUCAUUUCCUUUUAGCAUUUUUGCAGCAGCAAUUUCUCCCCUCGUUUGUCAUCAAUUUCUCCCUUCUCUUGGGGAAAAAAGGGCAGUUGUAAAUUACAUUAUUUGUAACUUUGGCGGACUCUUUAUAUAACACAAAUUCUAUCAUUUAAAGAAAUUAUAAUGAUGCAAUCGUUUCCCCUCUCUUGGAGCAGCUGAUUAUCUUUGCUGCUGAAGAGAUGAGACAACAGGGGAAGCUGGUGAGUGUUGGAUGAGCGGAUCACAGCAUGCGCCAAAUUGCAAAUUGAGAGCGGCAUUGAUGACAAUGCUCUUGGUGCUCCUUAUCUGAAGAAGAAGGUAUAUUCCUGCUUUCCUGCUUCUUGCUUUGGUUUCAAGCAAGUCUUUCACUGUCAUAACAUUUAUUGUAAUUUCAUUUGGAGAUAUGUAAUAUCUGUUGUACAGAUAUAUUUCAUACACCAGCUGUUAAUAAUUCUGCCUGCAGAGAACUUACAAAGGAGCUGUGUGAUGUAAUAGAAGACUAUGUAGUCUGGUCAAUUUUUUCAACCUUAGAUAUUAGGAAGUUAUGUAUUUCAUUAUCAGUUAUCAUUAUGAUUUUCAUCUUCAAAAAGAUAAAUGGAUGGCUUUGAAUGGCUUGUGUUUGAGGAUUUUAGUUUGACUUAUCUUGAUUGAAGUACUUUUUGACAAUAGAAUUCCUUCAUGAUUUAAACAUUCUUUUGAAAACCAAAUAAUAAAAAAAUAAAUAAACUAACAAAUAUUAUUUUAUUAGUGCUCUUUUCAUCAAAUAUACAUAAGAGUAUUGUAAUUUAUAGCAACUAAUUUUUCAUUAAAUACACCCAUAACAAACUAUUAAAAAUAAAGUGAUAGAAAAAUGCCUAAUUUUUCAUACUUUCUAAUUUCUUUUGGCCCUAAAAUAUGGGUAUUUAUGCCAUAAUAAGCCCAUGUAGAUCUCAAUGCCGAAAGUUCGAUAAAUGGCUUUCAAGGAUUGAUAAUUAUCUAUUAACAUUCUUAAUUAUAUUCAGUUAAAAUAUUAAUAUUAAAUACAUUCUUAAUAUUAAUAUUCUUGGAUGAAUUUCUUUGUGGAUUUAAGAAUAAAAUAUUAAAUAAUUUUAUUUUUCUUUUAUUCCGUAACUUAGACCAAAAAAGGAAAUGAGUUUCCCAAGGACUUCUCAUGUUUCCCAUCCUCCAUACUGUGCAGAGGAGUUUAGCACCCAUCAACUUUUAUUUUUUAAAACUCAUAAUGGCCAAUGAAUAAAGCUGUGGUGGCUGAACUUAGGUUGAUGUCAAAGAGGUAAUUGAAUUGGCCUGUUAAGAUGGAUGCUUUUUGUUGAUCAGGCGACAGAGCAGGACUAUGAAAAAGACAAGCUUAUUACCGGUAACUCAAGUUUACUUGCUUGUUAUAUAAUAUGCUUUUUGUCACCGAAUUUCAUUUCCAGUACGUCUCCAUCGGUAUCAAGAAGAAACAGAACUCAAAGAAAUAUUUUUUCAAUCUUCAUAUUUGUCUGAAUUCGUCCUUUCAUUAAGAAUAACCAUUUUCAGGCAGCAGUUGGCACUGAAUUCACGCAAAUCUUGAUGCCAUUCGUAGUCGCAGACAUUAAAGACAAUGAUGAGCCAAUGGUGAUUAAUCAUAAAUGCAUAAUUAACAAACUUCCGUCCUUCUCUCAUUGUAAUUUGAUUUGAAAUUAAUUAUUGCUAGGUAACAUUAAUUCCAACCAUUGCAAGAUUUUUCCCUUAACAUAAUUCGGUAACAUUUAAUUGCAUGUGAAAUUGAUCAUAAUACCGUGAAGGACCUACCAAAACUUUUUUUUGAGAAAUUUCGAUUGAAAGUGAAACCUUUUGACGUUUACCUAAUAAAUUUAGUAAAUCUGGAAAAAAAAAAAAGUUGACACAAGCCAAUGCAGAAUAAUUAAUUAAAUCUGGAGUGACCACAUUUUCAAAAAUAUCUGCAUUCAUCACCUUCUCCAACAGCUAGUCAGCCACACACUGUUGGGGAAAAAUUAGGUUUUUAAAUUUUAUAAAACCUUUUGAAGAUCGCUCUCAUAUAAUAUAUAAGAAUUUGUAUUCUAGAAAUCGUACCUUGAAAAUCCGAGUUGGCUUUUUCCGCUGAAGUGAUUUAGGCUCCUAGAUCACGAUCCGCCACCACCACUCCUGUUAGAUCACAAUCCGUCACCACCACGCUUGUUAGAUCACGAACUGUCUCCAAUGAUCUUCCAAGUUAUAACUCAGGUUCGAUCUACACUUGACGUGUGGGUGCCUUUAUCACUACCAAAGCAACUAGCACGAGAAAAUUUUUCUUCAAUAGAGAGAAAAAUCUUAUUCUCCGAUUUGUAUAAAGUGGCUUCUACCUUUUCUUUAGAGAAAAAUAAGCUUUUUAUAUCACCCUUUAGUGAAAACCCUAGGCUCCAAAUAAUGCCCAAAAUAAAACUCACGUUACUUUUCAUUUAAUAGGGGACCCACCAUGUAAAAUAACAUAAGGCCCUUUACACAUAAGCUAAUUAAAUGGAGCCUCUUACUAAAUGAUAUAUUUAGGCUUUUGACCCAAAUAACUAGUUAUCUUGCUUAUUAGUCCAGUAGUGGUGCAGUCAAUUAAAUGAGCUAACCCGGGGAUCAUUUGGGAACAUACAAUAAUGGCUACAAUAAUUAGGCCUGUAAUUAAACUAGCCCAAUUAUUUAAUUUCAAAUCUACUCCACUAAAAGAUUGGAACUGACUUCCAUAAUUGCAUGCUCGAAUAAUAAUUCGUCCCAAGCCACAUUGAUUUCUUUACUGCACAAUCCUUUGUACCACAUCGUUAAUUAAAUUGAUAUCUCAACUGUCCAAUCAAUUUAAUAACAUCUUAUUCCUUGAUCCUUACUGAUUUUUUCUAAUGAUCAUUUUCAACAUACUAAAUAUGUUGACACACUCUGGCCAGAGAAUUCUAUGAUCAAGUGCCGAAAAUCUAUCAAGAGAUGUGUUGUACAAAUUCUAUAUUGUCAAUCCAUAACUCCAAUACUCAUAAUUGCUCCCACCAAGAUACCGGGUAAUCUUGACCACAAGGAUGUGUCGUGCCCAUUGGUAACUCAAAUGGAAUAACAAUUACAAUCAUGAAAUCAUAAUUAACUCAAGAUUAAGAUUACAGUAAAAUCAACGCCUAUGAGAUUUAAUAAGUCUGACAGUUAUUACAAAGUUAAUUAAAUCUCAUAUGUGAUCCUGUUCAAUGUAGUCGUACUACAUCAAUAAAUUCAUACAUGAUUAAGACAAAUCAUUCAAUGAAUUUAUUACAGUCUAUACCUAAAUAAAGUGCCCAACUUUAUUUAUCAACUGCAAACAAAAUUUAUUUAAUCAUAAGAUAACUUGUAUUUAUGUCUUCUGUGAAUCCACAUGGUGAUCACAUAAAUACAUAUAAUAUGAUUAAAUGGACUUUAAUAAAAAUAUUAAUACAAUUAAGAUAUUUGAAUAAAAUACCUCAUUAAUUUUAUUAAUCAGAAAAAAUGUUUAUUACAAUUAAAUAAACACAUAUGCUUUUAAAGAGCAUAUUUUCCCAACAAUCUCCCACUAGCUCUCAAAGCAUAUCUGGCAUAUUGCACAUGCUUUCGGGCUCUAAGUGCAGGUUAUAAAGGUUUCCCACUAAUGGCCAUUGUAAUAAGAUCUGCCAUUUAGCAUCUAAUGCCAUUUAGGGUACUGUCAUAUAACCUUUCUACACUAUUCCCUUAUAAGAUGAUACUUCAUGUCAGUAUGUUUUGUUUCUUGUGGUUCCUUAGAUUGAGCUACUGCACCACCAUUAUCACAAAAUAGUUUAAGGGGUGUAGUUACAACAGGUACCACCUCAAGAUUUUGUAGGAACUUGCGGAGCCUAUAUAGCUUCUUUUGCAGCUUCAGAUGUAGCCACAUAUUCAGCUUCAGUUGUGGAGUCUGUGAUACAAGAUUGUUUCACACUCAUCCAACUAAUAGCUCCACUUCCUAAUGUAAACACAUAGCCGGAAGUUGAUUUUCUAAAAUCCUUAUCUGACAAAAAAUCAGAAUUAGUAUAACUCACUAGAAUAAGUUCAUCACCAGAAUACACAAGCAUAUAAUUUUUAGUUCUUUUCAGAUACUUUAUAAUAUGCUUGACUGCAGUCCAGUAUUGAGGUCCAUGAUUAAAUUGAUAUCUGCUAACCAUCCCUACCGAAAAACAGAUGUCUGGCCUAGUGCAAAGCAUGGCAUACAUGAGACUUCCCACAGCUUCUGCAUAGGGAACUCAUCUCAUUCUCUCUAUCUCUUCAGAUGUUUUAGGUGAUUGAUCCUUAGAGAAUGUAAUUCCAUGUCUGAAUGGUAAUAAACCAGUCUUGGAAUUUUCCAUGCUAAAUCUAGCCAAUAUCUUAUCGAUAUAGACCGCUUGAGACAAGGCUAAAGUUUUAUUCUUCCAGUCUCGUAGUAACUUGAUACCAAGAAUAUAACUUGCCUUUCCCAGGUCUUUCAUAUCAAAUUGUUUUGCUAACCAAAUCUUUAUUGUAGUCAAUACAUAUAAUAUGAUUAAAUGGACUUUAAUAAAAAUAUUAAUGCAAUUAAGAUAUUUGAAUAAAAUACCUCAUUAAUUUUAUUAAUCAGAAAAAAUAUUUAUUACAAUUAAAUAAACACAUAUGCUUUUAAAGAGCAUAUUUUCCCAACACACACGAAUCAUUUCCUUUUAGCAUUUUGCAGCAUCAAUUUCUCUCCUGUUAAUCUGGAGGAAUCCGUCAGACUUUGGCUGGAUCGGCUCAAGUACGCAUCCUACGACAUUGAAGAUGUGUUGGAUGAGUGGAUCACAACAAGAGCCAAAUUGUAAACAAGAGGUUGAUGACAAAUAUAUCUGUUGCUUCUCAUCUGAAGAAGAAUGUAUCUUCCUGCUUCCCUGCUUUUUGCUUUGGUAUCAAAUAAGUCUUUCUCCGUCAUAACAUUUAUUGUAAUUUCAUAUGAGAUAUUACAUAAUAUAUCUGUUGUUCAAAUAUAUUUUAUAUACAAGCUGUUAAUACUUAUGCUUGCAGAAAGCUUACAAAGGAGUUGUGUGAUGUAAUAGAAGACUACAGUCUGGUCAAUUUUCAACUUUAGAUAUUCAGGUCAUCAGUUUCUCUUGAAUUCUUUCUUGAGUUUCUUUGAAUUAUUUGUGAAUAAGAUCUUAGUUGGCUGCUCCUCUUCAGGAUAAGGAAAGUGUGGCAAAACUCGUGAAGCUGAUAGAUAAAAGCAAUGGGUAUAUCUUUGCUGGCAUGGAUGCCAGCGCAGUUGAAUUCAGCAAGGUUGCCAUUCGCGAUGUUGAUUGGGAUUACUUCAGAUAUCCCUCUUUUCACCUAUUUUCAAUCUUGUGAUUCUCAUUUUCAUAAAACAUUUUGGUUAUUUAAUUAUGGCUCAUUGUAUGCAUCUGCAUCCUCUAACUUGUUCGUUUGAGAAACAAAUUUUGCUGUUAGGUAGGCUUCAAGCUUGAUUCAUGCUUUUUCCAUAAAUGUACCAAAAUCAUGGAAACAUCUUUUUCCCAGAUAUUGUAUCCACACUUUUCCCAUCUAAAAGACAAGUUUUGCUUAACAAAGAAAUCUACAGUAGCUGAAGUGCAGGAGAAGUACAUUAAGGAUGAUGACGAUGUUAACUAAAAGGGAACGCGAAGAUAUGUGGUGUGCAAAUCGUAAGCAAGCUGUGAGUUGAAUGAAUAAAGUUUGGUUUCCAGAAACGACCACGUUUUGGAGCUGUAAAACCUUCAUUAGUCACGUGCUGCUGUUCUUAACUGAAAACGAUUUAGUCGAAACGACAUGGGUGGAGCGCGUUUUACAUAUCAGUUUAAGUUAACCACAUGAGGAAGCAUGUGAUGAAGGUUAUUCUGAGUUUGUUAAAGGUUGUUAACCACGUGUCAACGAGCUGUACAAUCUAGAAAUCAAGUUGGCUGCCUAAACAGAGUAUAAAGGCUAGGUUUUGGGGAAAUUCAGGAACGAAUUUCAUGAGUCUUGCUGUGAGGGUUUUGUGAGAGAGAAAGUAUUAACUUGUUCUUUGUAAAGUCUGGUGGAAGGCUCUGUAACAAUCUCCAUUGUUGAUUCAAUAAAGCUCAUCUUGAGGCUUCUCCAAUGGAUGUAAGCUGAGCAUUCCAUGCUCAACUGAACCACGUUAAAUCUUGGUUUCUGUGGGUUUCUUGUUUCUAGUUCUUGUUCUUUUUGUUAUUGAGUGAGUUUGUCUAAUUAGAUCUUGGGGUUGUGCAACUUGCAUUGACUAGAUCACUAGCAUCCUGGGCAGUGAUCAAUUUAGCUUGGUUUAAAGGCUUGCUGUUCACUACAAUUGGUACUAGAGCUUGGUGUUCUGUGAUCAAGUCCAAGUAUGGUGUCUUCUAAGGUCGAUGUAGAAAAAUUUACAGGCAAGAAUGACUUCAAUAUGUGGAAGAUGAAAAUGGAAGCCUUGCUGAUCAUUUAGGGUUUGGGAGAUGCAAUUGAGCCUGAAAUGAAGGAAGGUAAAGGGGUUUCUUCAUCAAAGACUCCAGAGGAAGUUGUUGAAAUCCACAAAAAGGUCAGAAGUACAAUAAUCCUGAGUCUUGGUGAUUCAGUCAUUAAAGAAGUGGCCAAAGAUAAGACAGUUGCUGGAUUAUAGAGCAAACUGGAAAGUCUUUAUAUGACCAAGUCACUUGCAAACAGACUCUACAUCAAGAAAAGGAUGUUUACACUAAAAAUGGUGGAAGGAGCUUCACUGGAAGAACACAUCGAUGAGUUUAACAAGGUAUGUGAUACCCUGGAAACCAUUUAUGCUACUCUGGAUGAUGAGGGGAAGACUCUCUUGCUAAUCAAUUCAUUACCAAAAUCCUAUGAAAAUUUGGUUGAUGCCCUGAUGUAAGGAAGACAAACCCUAACACUUGAUGAAGUUAAAUCUACCCUAAAUACAAGGGAACUUCAAACUAAACAAGGGCAUUUGGAGAAUAAUAGAAGUGAAUGACUGAUAAUAAAGGUGAAAACUGACAAGAAGAAGAAGAAAGGCAAAUCCAAGAACAAAGAAAGAGACCUAAAAUGCUUUCAGUCUCACAAAGAAGGCCAUUUUAAGAGGGAUUGCCUUGAAAAGAGAUUCAAGCCCAAAGAUUCAAGAAACCAAAGUGGAGAUGCAGCUGUAGUGGAAGAGGAAGGAUAUGAGUCUGCUGGUGUAUGUGUGGCAAUAGAAAACAGCCAAAAAGGUAAAUGGGUUCUGGACUCUGGAUGCACUUUUCACAUGUGCCCUUUUAGAAAUUACUUUAAUAAAUAUCAAGAUUUUGAUGGAGGUAGAGUAAUUAUGGGAAAUAACUCUAUUUGUAAAAUCAUUGGAAUUGGGGAUGUAAGCCUUAAGCUACAUGAUGGUUCAAUAAGAGUGCUUAGGCAAGUCAGGCAUGUGCCAGACUUGAAAAGAAAUCUAAUUUCUCUUGAGGUGUUGGACCAAAUAAGGUGUAGAAUUAAGCUUGAAUCUGGAGAAUUGAGUGUUUUGAAUGGUUCAAAUCUAGUCAUGAAAGGGACGAGGAAGAAUGGAGUUUACAUCUUAGAUGGUGAGGUGAUAUCUGGAGUAGCUGAUGUAUCCAUUAAGCAUGCUAAAGAUAAAACCAGGUUAUGGCAUCCAAGGUUAGGGCACAUGAGUGAGAGAGGAUUAAAAGAGUUAGAAAAACAAAGGUUGUUUGGUUCUGACAAGAUUGGUAAUCUAGAGUUUUGUGAAGAUUGUGUUCUAGGGAAGUCUUCAAGAGGCAGCUUCAAUAGAUCUAGUCAAAAAUCAAAUGAGAGGUUGGAUUAUGCACACUCAGACUUGUGGGGGCCUGCACAGUGUGUAUCUCUGCGAGGGAAUAAGUAUUUUUUAUCUAUCAUAGAUGACUUCUCUAGGAAAGUUUGGGUGUAUGUGUUAAAGAACAAGGAUCAGACUUUUGAGAGGUUUAAAGAGUGGAAACAGAUGGUAGAAAACCAAACUGGUAAGAGAUUAAAGAAGCUGAAAACUGAUAAUGGUCUUGAAUUUUGCAACCAGCCAUUUGACAACUUUUGUGCAAAUAAAGGUAUUGGUAGACAUAAGACAGUAAGGAUGACCCCAUAACAAAAUGGGUUAGCUGAGAGGAUGAAUAGGACUCUAUUGGAGAAAGUAAGAUGUAUGCUGAUUUAGUCCAAGCUCCUAAAAACAUUGUGGGCAAAAAUCUUACUCACAGCAUGCUACCUUGUCAACCUAAGCCCUUCUAUUGGAAUUAAUUUCAAAACACCUUUUGAAUGUGGUCACGGAAACCUGCUGACUAUGGAAUCCUUAAAGCCUUUGGCUGCCCAACCUAUGUUCAUGUCAGUCAAGGUAAGCUAGCAGCUAAAGCCUUGAAAAGUGUUUUCAUAGGCUAUCCAGAAGGAGUCAAAUGGUUUAAAGUUUUGUGCACUGAGCUUAAUCCACCAAAAUGUAUAGUGAGUAGGGAUGUGGUGUUUAAUGUGGGGAGUUUGAUGAAGGUGAAUCAUGAACCUGAUCUGGAAACUGAAAAUUCAAGACUAAUAGAGAAACUAGAGUUUGAGGUGGAGCCAUCUACUUCCAGAAACACAACUGAAGCUGCAGAUUCAGGUGGUGUUCCUGAAAACACUGAUGACACACAGGCACCUCAAGAUCAAUCAAGUUCUCAGGAGCAAAUCAGAGAAUACCAGCUCACCAGAGAUAGACAAAAAAGGCAGAUCAAACCAACAAGGAGAUAUGGCUAUGCAGAUUUAAUAGGUUUUGCUCUAACAGUUGCAAAAGAUAUAGAUGGUGAGGAACCAAAGAAUUUUAAGGAAGCAACCCAGAGCCUGUUCAAAGAAGAAUGGCAAAGAGCUAUAGAUGAUGAAAUGGCCUCCCUCUAUAAAAACAACACAUGGGAGCUGGUCAAGAAGCCUAGAAAUAGAAGAGUGGUUGGCUGCAAAUGGAUUUUCAAAAUUAAGGAGGGCAUAAAUGGAUCUGAACCAAGGAGAUUCAAGGCUAGACUUGUGGCCAAGGGUUAUAAACAAAAGGAAGGGAUAGAUUUUAAAGAAGUAUUUUCUCUAGUGGUUAGACAUGCCUCAAUUAGAGUUAUGUUAGCCAUAACAGCUGUGCAAGACAUGGAGCUUGAUCAACUCAAUGUCAAGACAACAUUUCUGCAUGGAAGACUUGAGGAAGAAAUACCGAUGUCCCAACCUGAAGGGUAUGAGUUCCCAGGUAAAGAAGACCAUGUGUGUCAACUAAAGAAGUCACUCUAUGGGCUUAAACAGUCUCCCAGACAGUGGUACCUAAGAUUUGAUAAAUUCAUGCAACUGCAUGAGUUCAUCAAAUGUAGCUAUGACUGCUGUGUUUACUACAAGACAAUCAAGGAUGGUCUGUACAUAUACCUCCUUCUAUAUGUAGAUGACAUGUUGGUUGCUUGCAAAGAUAAAGAGGAAAUUGAUAAGCUCAAGGUGCUGCUGAAUUCAGAAUUUGAAAUGAAGGACCUGGGGUAUGCAAUGAAGAUUCUAGGAAUGGAGAUCAGAAGGAAUAUAAGUAAAGGGAUCAUGUUUCUGUCACAAGAAAAAUACUUGAAAAAAGUGUUAGAAACAUUUGACAUGAGUAAGUCUAAACCUGUGCAACUACCAUUAGCUUCACAUUUCAGGUUAAGCAAUUUGCAGUAUCCUUAAACAGAAGCUCAAAAGCAAGAUAUGGCAAAUGUGCCCUAUGCAAAUGCAGUAGGCAGCCUUAUGUAUGCAAUGGUAUUGACCAGGCCAGACAUAACUCAUGAUGUCAGUGUAGUUAGUAGAUAUAUGGCACAACUUGGGGAAGACCAUUAGAAGGCUAUAAAAUAGAUACUCAUGCAUCUCAAAGGCACUGUAAAUUGUGGUCUGAUGUAUGGCAAGACAAAAGCAAAUGAUGAGGUUUUGGAAGGGUAUGUUGACUCAGAUUAUGCAGGGGAUUUGGAUAAAAGAACGUCUCUUACAGGUUACAUAUUGAUGUUAAAUGGUUGUACUGUAAAUUGGAAGGCAACUCUACAAAGUGUAGUGGCUCUUUCAACAACUGAAGCAGAGUAUACAGCUGCUACAGAAGUUGUAAAGGAAACACUUUGGCUCAAGGGGUUGGUGACAGAGUUGGGAUUAAAUAAGAAGUCAGUAUCAAUCUGCUGUGAAAAUGGUGAAGAUUCAUACUGAUGAGAAUUCUGCAGAUGCUGUUACUAAGGUGAUUCCUGUGGAUAAGUUCAGAGCUUGCCUGGACCUAGCUGGCUUGUGCAGUCAGUGAUAUGCAUAAGGUUUGGAGAAGGAUUUAGAGUGAGGGUAAACUUUGAUUCAAGUUGGAGAAUUGUGAGUUGAAUGAAUCAAGUUGGUUUGCAUAAACGAUCGCGUUUUGGAGCUGUAAAACCUUCAUUAGCUCACAUGCUGCUCAGCUGGUUCUUAACUAAAAACGAUUUAGUUGAAAUGACAUUGGUGGAGUGCGUUUUACAUAUCAGUUUAAGUAACCACGUGAGGAAGCAUGUGAUGAAGGUUAUUCUGAGUUCAUUAAAGGUUGUUAACCACGUGUCAACGAGCUGAACAAUCUGGAAAUCAAGCUAGUUGCCCAAACAGAGUAUAAAGGUUGGGUUUUGGGGAAAUUCAGGAACGAAUUUCAUGAGUCUUGCUGUGAGGGUUUUGUGAGACAGAAAGUAUUAACUUGUUCUCUGUAAAGUCUGGUGUAAGGCUCUAUAACAAUCUCCAUUGUUGAUUCAAUAAAGCUCAUCUUGAGGCUUCUCCCGUGGAAUGCUCAGCUGAACCACGUUAAAUCUUGGUUUCUGUGGGUUUCUUGUUUCUAGUUCUUGUUCUUUUUGUUAUUGAGUGAGUUUGUCUAAUUAGAUUUUGCGGUUGUGCAACUUGCAUUGACUAGAUCACUAGCAUCCUGGGCAGUGAUCAGUUUAGCUUGAUUUAGAGGCUUGCUGUUCACUGCACAUGCCUUUUGCCUUUGUGGAUGUUCAAGCUUGUGAUUCAUGUUUGUUAAUCUAUUAUGCUCUCUUGCAGGAUUUAUAAAGUUUUCGAUCAAUCAAGCAUUUGACUCAAGUUCUUAGCUCUUCACUGCUUGAAUGGGUCAGAUAGGACAAGCGCCGAUGAGGUGGUUUUAAUCAGACCCCUCCUAAUUAUGAUGUAUGGUCCGAAUCUUGGACUUUUUGUACAAAUGUAGCUAUUGAGGACAAUGAUGAGACAAAGGUGAUCAUUCAUUAAUGCGUAAUUACCGAAACCUCCAUCCUUCUCUCAUUGUAAUUUGAUUUGAAAUGAAUAAUUGCUAGGUAAUUGAAGUCAAUAUUGUUAAAAACCGUGUUGAGCUACCCAAGCAAAGAAGUUAGUCGCCAAAAAAUGCAGGGGAUCAAAAGAAGCAUUUCAUUUGAAAAGGCAUGAGAUUCUGUUUAAAUUUGUGCUACUACGGUGCGGUAAUGCUGCUACUGGGAAAUUUGAAAAGGCAUCAGAAGCUGUGGAUCUUGGGACAUCAGGAUUUUUCACAGUUCUCAAACUCUCAGGAUUAAACUCUAUUAAAGUUGUAGUUAUCUUGUUGUCAGAAUUCCCAUAUUAUUAUCUUUUUCAUGUAAAAUUAUCUUGUUGUCUUCACCCAUGAAUCUAAGCUAAAAUUUGAACCAAUUGUUUGCUAUUAUAAAUUUCAUUGUUAAAUGUUAAUUGUGAUGUUGGCGUUGAGUUUCUUUUAAAGUCAUAGAAGCCUGACGAUUGAGUUCCAUGGGAUUCUGAGAAGCAGUAAUAUUUUGAACAAGUGAAGGUUCUUCGUUUUUAAUUAUGUUCUGCACUUUUACAGUAUGUGCAGAUGUCUAAGAGGCAGGAUUUUAAUUUCUGUAAUGCUAAAUUUCGCAAAACAAUAAAAAAAUAAAUGCAUGACAGUGACUUCAAGAAUUUAGAUUAUUGAAUUUGGUCAUUUUAAAAUUGUUGGAAUGUUGAACUUACGUAAUUUUGAUAAACCAGAGCUCAGAAAUGUAGAAUAUAAAUAUUGGAUAUUUGGACUUCAAUCAUUAGAUUUGAAGCUAAAGAGGUAAGCCAUUAAUUACAUCCAAGGAUUUGGAAAAUGGAGGGAUUGGAAAAAGGAAACUUUUUCAUAAACUUCAAGCAUUGGGCAUUUUCAUUUGUCCGAUUCAAGAGGAACGUCAUAGAAAGGGGUAAAGAAAAGAGUAGCCUAAGAUAUUAAAGACAAUGUUGAGCCAAAGGAAACAUAAAUCCCAACCAUUGCAUGUGAACAUGAUCACAAUAAAUCCCAACCAUCCAAACCAUUUUUUUGAGAAUUUUCAAUUGAAAGUGAAACCUUUUGACAUUUACCUAAUAAAGUAAGUUAAACGAGAGAAAUAAAGGGGAAAAGAAAAGUUGACUCAAGUCAAUACAGAAUAAUUAGUUCAAUCUGGAGUAACUAAAACAGAGCCACUAUAUUUUCAACAGCUAAUGAGCUACACACGAAUCAUUUCCUUUUAGCAUUUUUGCAGCAUCAAUUUCUCUCCUCGUUUGUCAUCCAAAAUUAUUCACCAAUACCAUGGCUGAUGCAAUCGUUUCCCUGGUCUUGGAGCAGCUGAUUAUCUUUGCUGCUGAAGAGUUGAAACAACAGGGGAAGCUGGUGAGUGUUGGAUGAGUGGAUAACAGCAUGCGUCAAAUCGCAAAUUGAUCAAUGCUCUUGGUGCUCCUUAUCUGAAGAAGAAGGUGCAAAUUGAGAGCUGAAUUGCACUGUCAUAACAUUUAUUGUAAUUUCAUUUGGAGAUAUGUAAUAUCUGUUGUCCAGAUAUAUUUCAUACACCAGCUGCUAAUAAUUCUGCUUGCAGAGAACUUGCAAAGUGAUUCUGGGAUAUGUAAUAUCUGUUGUAAUAUCUGGAGAUAUGUAAUAUCUGUUGUCCUAGAAAUAUAGAUGUGUGGUUCGCAAAAUUUUCUUGAUCUUAAGAAAGAGUUAUCUUGAAUAGAAGAUAACAUGGAGAAUUCAGCAACUAUACAGUCAUAUUGAUGUCUGUCAACUUGGGUCAGAUGGUGUCGUUUGGAUGGAGAUGUUAGGUCCCAGAUGGUAUGCUUGUUAUCAAUUCCAGUCUAAUUCAUUCAUGCUUUGAUGACAUAUGCGGUGCAGCUUCUUAUCUAAGACCUGUAUAUGUUCAGUCAUCAUUCAGUUCUGUAUUUGGCUGCCAUUCUUUCAAUGAAUUCAAACCACUUUCUGAAUACUUGCAAAUUCAUCCAGUGUUGUCAUUGAGAUGCCAAUAUGUAAAGGAGCAAUAGUUGCCCUUGAUAGUAUGCUUAUUGAUUGCCUCUUGCCUCACUCAGCCUAAGGAAUCUGGUUGUAUGGUGUUCUUGUAAUUUCAUUUGGAGAUAAGUAAUAUCUGUUGUUCAAAUGUAUUUUAUAUACAAGCAGUUAAUAAUUCUGCUUGCAGAAAGCUUACAAAGGAGCUGUGUGAUGUAAUAGAAGACUACAGUCUGGUCAAUUUUUCAACCUUAGAUAUUCAGGUCAUCGGUUUCUCUUGAAUUCUUUCUUGAGUUUCUUUGAAUUAUUUGUGAAUAAGAUCUUAGUUGGCUGCUCCUCUUCAGGAUAAGGAAAGUGUGGCAAAACUCGUGAAGCUGAUAGAUAAAAGCAAUGGGUACAUCUUUGCUGGCAUGGAUGCCAGUGCAGUUGAAUUCAGCAAGAUUGCCGUUCGCGAUGUGGAUUGGGAUUAUUACAGAUAUCCUUCUUUUCACCUACUUUCAAUCUUGUGAUUCUCAUAUUCAUAAAACUUUUAUGGUUCAUUGUAUGCAUCUGCAUCUUCUAAUUUGUACGUUUGAGAAACUAAUUUUGCUGUUAGGUAGGUGUCAAAUUUGAUUCAUGCGUUUUUUAUAAAUUUACCAAAAUCAUGGAAACUUCUUCUUCCCAGAUAUUGUAUCCACACUUUUCCCAUGUAAUUCAGUCAGACAAGUUUUGCUUAACAAAGAUAUCUACAGUAGCUGAAGUGCAGGAAAAGUACAUUGAGGAUGAUGACGAUGUUAACUAAAAUGGGACACGAAGAUAUAUGGUGCGCAAACCGUAAGCAUGCCUCUUACUUUUGUGCAUGUUUACUUGCUUGUGAUUCAUGUUUGUUAAUCUAUUAUGCUCUUUUGUUGGAUUUAUAAAGUUUUCAAUCAAUCAAACAUUUGACUGGUUCAGACAGGACAAGCGCGGAAGAGGUGGUUUUAAUCAAACCACUACUAAUUAUGAUGUAUCUCGGACCUUUGUACAAUAUCAAGCGAUUUUUUUAGUUGAAUCAGCUAGUGUACACAAAUGUCGUUUAUUGAUUUUUCUCUAGUAUAGUUCGUAAUUUUGGUAACACAUCUACUCUAGUAUCGAUUGUAAUUACAAGAAACAAAGUAAUGAAAUUUAUCACUGCAUUCAUAGUUAUGCUUAAGCUCAAAGACCACUGUCAAGAUCAUUUUGGGGCCUCUAUUUGUUCUAUAACAUGAUGUUGACACAUGUCAAAUUAUGAAGCUUGUGAUUAAAAUACUUUUCACAUAUAUAUUUUAAGUACCACUAAUAAUUAAAUAUAUGAAUAAAUAUGGUCAAUGAGGAGGGGAUAAAAUAAAAUGGUUUUAUUUUUUGAAUUACUCAACUGCUUCAAACUUCUAAGAAGUAGAUUUACGAUGAGCGGAAUCUUAAAUUGAGUACGAGCUAGGGAUAACUUAUAAAAUUGGGAUACAAGCUUCAAAGAAAGUGUAUUACUAUUCAUAUGUAGAUUUCGAAUUAAGAAGAUAUGCCAACUAAUUGUAUAAAAAUGUAAAAAUUGAUCACUGACAUAAUCCCAAAUGAUAAAAUGAGCUACCUCGAUCAAAAGGUCAAGAACCUACCUUCUCUUAGGGAUAAGUGAAAGCUUCCCAAUUGAAGGAAAGUGAAGAGAAGAUUCUAUGCUCUCAUUAUUAUUAUUAUUUGUUAGAAUGAAGUGCGAAGUGAGCACAUCAUGCAAGCUCAGCAGAAGUGAUAAGGUGACUUGUAACUCAGCUGGCACUCAAGAGACAAAGUGUAGUGGAGAAAAGUUUCCCAAUUGAAGGAAAGUGAAGGGAAGAUUCUAUGCUCUAAUAAUUAUUAGUUGACAAUGAAUUGGCAAAUAAAAACAAAAUAGCAAGCCUGUAAAGUAAUGAAGUGGAGACAAUGACCAUGUGAUUGAUUGGUAAAUAAAAACAAAAGAGCAAGCCUGUAAAGUAAUGUAAACUAUAGUGUAUAUUCAAGUUAAAGUAAUGGAAACAGUGUAUAUUCACAAAAAAUUCUUUUAUCUCUCAUUGUCUUGUUCUUUUCUUUAUUUACGUUGUCCAGAAGUAAAGCCAUACAUGUGAUGAAGCAUAAAUAAGAAAGCUAUCGCCCGAAAUUCAUUUUCACAAACACUUCAAUAUCCUUUUGAUCACUUUUGCAAACAUCAAUUUGUCUCCUCUUGUAUUCACCAUGGUUGAUGCCAUCGUUUCCCCUCUCGUGGAGCAGCUGAUUUCCUUCGCUGCUGAAGAGAUAAAACAACAGGUGAUCGAAGUUACACCCCUCAUAUUACAAAUACUUACAAUGAUUUUAUUUGGUUUUGCUUUUAUCAAAAACAUUAUAAUUAUAAUUUUUGAAAUUUGAAUUGAAUUUAAUUAAAAGGUGAUAUAGUAACCACUCAUUUUUAUUUUAUUUCAUUUAUAUUCUCGAUAACUACCCAUAUUGUGGUAACUUGCUAUAACUCUCGUAUAUAAGAAAUGAUCAAAACCCAUAAUUUUAACUCUGUAUAAAUAUUCAAUGUUGAGCUAAGGUUUUGUAGAACAUUCAAGUUUAUCAAACAGUCAUUAAUUUAAUGCUUAGUAAAAUCUCAACUCUGCACUGAAUCCCAUAACUAUUACUUAGACUCUAUGAAAAAUUUCAUAGUUUUCUUACAUUCUUUGAGUUUGGUAAGUGAUUUCAUAUAAUUUAUUUUCAAGUUAAAUUUUAAUUUGGUUUCUGAUAUAGUCUCUUUGCCGAAUUGUCUCUUUUAUGAUUCUUGGAUUUUGGGCUUCAACUUUUUAGGAUUUGAUAGUCACAUUUUAUGCCGUGCUCAGAUUGAUUUUCAUGAUUAUUAGUAGCCGUUAAGUGACUUACAAUUUGACGAAAGUUUGAAAGGAAAAAUGUUUCAGGAUUAUGUUUUAAUUGACCUUUUAGUGGAAAUAGGAUGCUUAUAACUUAAUGUGGAUGGUUCGUAAAAUCAUGAAAUUUGGAUAGGAUUCACUAGAAAUAUGUUCAAGACUCUCCAUAAAGUUUCAUAAUUUUUCAUUGGGUCUGGGCUGUUACAGGUGAUGCUUGUGACUGGUGUCGAGAAGGAAGUGAAAAGCCUUACGAACCACCUUCAUGCCAUUCAAGCUGUGCUCGAUGAUGCAGAGGAAAAGAAAGUGAAGAACAAAGCUGUUAGUCUUUGGCUGGGUAGGCUCAAGUAUGCAUCCUACGACAUUGAAGAUGUGUUGGAUGCGUGGAUCACAACAAGACGUAAAUUGCAAAUUGAGGGUGGCGUUGAUGACAAUGCUCUUGCUGCUCCUCAAAAGAAAAAGAAGGUGUGUUUCUGCUUUCCUGCCUCUUGUUUUGGAUUCAAACAAGAAGAAUUUGGUUUCAAACAAGUCUUUCUACGUUAUGACAUUGCCAACAAGAUCAAAGAAAUGAAUGAAGAGCUACAUGAUAUUGCCACUCAAAAAGACAUGUUUAAUCUUAAAAGUGGUGAAAGACCAAGGCGUGUACAGAGUACCUCCUUGAUUGAUGAGGAAGAGAUUUGUGGUAGAGUUGGUGAGAAGAAUGAACUCAUAAGCAAGCUGUUGCGUGAGAGUAGCGAGCAACAAAAAGGCCUCCAUAUCAUCUCAAUUGUUGGUAUGGGAGGCAUAGGGAAAACUACUCUUGCACAACUAGCUUGUAAUCAUGACGAGGUGAAGAGAAAGUUUGACAAAAUUCUGUGGGUGUGUGUAUCAGAAACUUUUGAGGAGUUUAGGGUAGCCAAAGCGAUCGUUGAAGCUUUGGAUAGUCGUGAAUCUCAUUUAGGUGAAUUUCAAUCUCUUCUUAAAUAUAUUUAUGAAUCAAUUGCAGGGAAGAGCUUUCUUCUUGUCUUAGAUGACGUGUGGGAUGGAAAUUACUUGAAAUGGGAACCAUUCUACCGUUGUCUAAAGAAUGGUCUCCAUGGAAGUAAAAUUUUAGUUACCACACGUAAAGGGUCAGUCGCAUCCAUGAUGGGAUCCAUAACUAUUAUCUCCGUUAAGGAGUUAGCUGAAGAGGAAUGUUGGUUGUUGUUUAAAAAGAUAGCAUUUUUUGAUCGGUCCAUCGAGGAACGUGAAAAAUUAGAACAAAUUGGGCAAAGAAUUGCAGGCAAGUGCAAAGGUUUACCUCUUGCAGCAAAGACAAUAGGGCAUCUCAUGCGUUCUAAACAAACUGAAGAAGAGUGGAAAAGAAUUUUAAAUAGUGAUUUAUGGAAAGUAGAAAAGAUUGAGAAAGAUGUUUUGUCCUCUUUAUUGUUGAGUUAUAAUGAUUUGCCAUCUAGAGUAAAAAGAUGUUUUUCAUAUUGUGCUGUCUUUCCAAAAGAUUAUAAUAUAAGAAAAGACAAACUAAUCUCAGUAUGGGUGGCUCAAGGUUAUCUUAGUGCAGAAGCAGCAGAACAAAAUGAGGAGUUGGAGACUAUAGGUGAAGAGUAUUUUAGCAUCUUAGCUUCUCGCUCUUUCUUUCAAGAGUUUAAGAAAAGUUAUGAUAAUUGGAUUAUAGAGUGUAAGAUGCAUGAUAUGGUACAUGAUUUUGCCCGAUUUGUAAGUCAAAAUGAAUGUUUUUCCAUGGCAAUUAAUGGUAGUGAAGAAUCAAACGCCACAAACUCUCUUGAUGAGAAGGUCCGUCAUUUAAUGUUAAUCUUUAGUAAAGGGGCUUCAUUACCUGUUUCCACUCUUAGAGUUAAAAGAAUGCGUAGCCUCUUUAUUAACGAUAGUGAAUCUGAUCAUUCAUCAUUAAAUGGUGAGAUCCUAGAAGAAUUAUUUAGGGAAUUGACAAGUUUAAGGGCAUUAGAUUUUGGCAAAUCGUGUAACUCAAGUUGGUCUUCGACUCUGGAGUAGGGAUGGCAAAAAUCCCCACGGGGACGGGUACCCUCGGGGAUUUUCCCCAUUCGGGGAGGGUAUGGGGAUAAUUUCAUACCCAAUUUCUUAUUCGGGGAGGGGACGGGGAAAUUUUUUUACCCAAUUUCUUAUUCGGGGAGGGGACGGGGAUGAGGUGGAAUCCCCAUCCCCUACCCAUUUCCCCAUUUUAAUUUUUAAUUUAAUUUUAAUUUUUUAAAAUUACUAGUAAAUAAAUUAUAAAAUUUAAAUUAUAAAAUUAUAAAUAUUGGUAAAAAUAAAAAAUAUCAAAAUAUUUAUAUUAUUAAACUUUUAGGCCUAAUUAGCUAAUUAAAGUUCUAAAUUUUUAUUUAGGACAUUAAAAAGACUGAGUAGAUUCUAUUAGCCAAAUUUUUUUUUAAUUUUGAUAUUCUUUAAAUAUUUUAAACUUAAAUCUAUUUUUUAUUUAAUUUUAGAUGUUAUAAUUGCCCACAGCGAAUCACAAUUUUAAUAUCUAAUCUAAUCUAAUCUAAUAUUUACUUUUGAUUUGCUCCGAUUUAACUAUUGUGUUGUAAAGGGAAUAGUCCACAUUUAUAAAGUGCCCACGCCACCAUUGAAAAAGUUAAUUUUGAAUCUAAAUUUGAUUUUAUUUGUAACAAUUUUGUAUUAGACUAUUAAUUUGUUCAUGAUAGUUUGUAAAAUAAGUUUGUAUCUCUUGUAUGUUGCGUUACUUACUAAUUUAAUGUAUGUGACUUUUGUAAUAGAUAUUAAUGUAAGAUAUAUUUCGAACUUUACUUUUAUUUGAAUUUUUUAUUUUAAUAUGAUUAACUCAAAAUCGAAAAAAAAAUGUAUUAGUUAAUCGGGGAUCGGGGACCCUCGGGGAUCCCCUGUUAUUAUCUUCNNNNNNNNNNNNNNNNNNNNNNNNNNNNNNNNNNNNNNNNNNNNNNNNNNNNNNNNNNNNNNNNNNNNNNNNNNNNNNNNNNNNNNNNNNNNNNNNNNNNACCUUAUUUGUGUUUUCAGAAAAUAGUGAAACUACCGGAGACAUUAUGCGAGUUGUAUAAUCUAGGAAAGUUAGAUAUUAGUUGUUGUUAUAGUCUUAAAGAAUUACCUGAAGGGAUUGGGAAGUUAAUAAACAUGAAGCAUUUACUAAAUAGAGAUACUCAUUCUUUAAGGUACAUGCCAGUAGGGAUUGGGAGAUUAACGGGUCUUAGGACCUUGGAUGAGUUCCACGUGAGUGCAGGAGGAGGUGUUGAUGAUAGGAAAGCAUGUAGGCUUGAAUCUCUAAAAAAAUUGGAACACCUUCAAGUAUGUGGUAUACGUAGACUGGGUGAUGUAUCAGAUGUGGGCGAGGCUAAGCGAUUAGAACUUGACAAAAAGAAAUACCUCUUCAGUUUGACCCUUGAGUUUGAUAAGAAGGAAAGAGGAAGAGAAAGGAGGAAGAACGAGGACGAUCAACUUCUUCUUGAAGCCCUGCGACCACCCCUGGAUUUUAAGGAAUUAGAGAUACGGUUCUACCGAGGCAACACUGUUUUCCCCAGCUGGAUGACGUCAUUAACCAACUUAAAGAGUUUAGAUCUCUGUAACUGCGAAAAUUGCGAGCAGCUGCCUCCUUUGGGAAAAUUGCCGUCCCUUGAAAAACUCAGCAUAAUGUUUAUGCCUGUGAAAAGAGUGGGUGAUGAAUUUUUGGGGAUAGAAAGUGGUCAUCGUGACUCAUCUUCAUCUUCAUCGGUUAUUAUUGCCUUCCCCAAAUUGAAAUCACUUUCAAUUGAGUCUCUGGACGAAUUGGAGGAGUGGGAUUAUGGGAUUACAGGAACGGGAAACACCUUCAUCAACAUCAUGCCACGUCUUUCUUCUUUGGAAAUUAAUUACUGCCCCAAAUUAAAGGCACUGCCCGACCACAUUCAUCAAACGACAACAUUGAAGGAAUUGCGCAUUUGGGGGUGUGACCUUCUGGAAGAACGUUACCGCAAGGGAGAAGGAGAAGACUGGCCUAAGAUAUCACACAUUCCCAACCUCCAUAUUGGGCUUUGACAAGUAAUUUCUUCUCUUACUCUGAUUUGCUUUGUUGUUGUUUUUAAUCUAAUUAAGAAGCGUAAAUAGCAUUUUGAAUCAAACUCUAUAUCAGAAAUCUGCAAUACUUACUUUCUAAUAUUCUGAUUUUCAUAUCCUAUGAAUAUACGAUUUUUAAUUUGUGAGAUGGGUAACGUUACUGUAAAAGAUUAUUAAUGCAAUAUGAGUAAUUCUUUUGCAGGACAAGUGACCUACAUUUAGUUUGGCUUUGGAGUUGAAUAAUAACCUUUCGGGAACUGGUGUGGACUGGCAAAGGAUGAUGAGAUAGUUUUUUGAGUGAGUAAAUUUUGGGAGCUUGAGUGUAUUGGGAUUUGCAAUUACAAUCAUCCUCUGCUUCAGGUGAUUUCUUCUCUUGCUCUGUCAUUGUUUGUUCUCUAAUUCAAAAGCAUGAAAUAUUUCAAUCAAUUUUUAUACCAGGAAUAUGCAAAAGUUUCUAAUAUUUUAUUUCCAUCUGUUACAAGAUCAAACUGAAGCAGAACUCAAACAAAAGUAUGCUACUUCUUGCGGAAAUCUUGCCUUUGUUCAGAUUAUGAAACCAUUUCCAUGCAGCAAAUUCAUCCAAAAGUUUGAAUAAGUUUCAUGGUCGGACACUGUUGGCUUCUUUUUCUUCUGGGGUGCAUUUAGGUGCUAUCAAGUGACAGCUGUAAGUAUGAUUGCACUAAGCUGCUGCUGGGAAAUUUGAGGUUUUGAUGGCUGCCCAUGUUAUUUUCAAGAAACUAUUGAUGUAAGAAGCCGUGGUUCUUUUCAUCAGCUUGAACCUGAAACUGUCGCUAUGGAUAACUCAGGUUUUUGUUAUCAACUAUAUCAUCUUUUUCACUAUUUUGAAACUCUUAAGAUUAAACGUUAGUAAAGUUGUUUCAGCUAUUCAAAUGAAAAACUCAUUGAUUUGAGACUUCCUUCAUUAUUGUUUCUAAUUACAAUGCUAACGAUCCAGAUAAAAUAAUAUUUAAUCGGCGAAGGUGUCCCUUGGAAGUACAUCCUUCUUUUUCUUUUAUUAUAUAAAUUCUUGCAAUGAGCUUAGUGAAGCUGUUGUGCUAUCAUGCCACUGCAUAAUUUGGCCCCUAAUGUGGGUACUCUGUUUCAUUGUUCUGCAAAUUCUCCAGCAGUUAAAAUCAAUAAAUUUUCUAUUAGCUCUAGUGCUUUGACCUAAAUGCUAUUCUAUAUUCUGAUUACAAUGUUUUAACCUUUAAAUUAACUACUCCUAGAUGUUGGAUUUUCUAGAACUUCAAAAUGAUUAAUGGAGAAAGAUCCCAUUAUCGUUAUUGCUAUAAGAAAUUGAUUUAUGCAUCCAAAGAUACAUUAUAUAUUUCUGUGUCUCUAUUUAUAGAUGACAUUUAAGCAUCCAUAAACCGUCAGACAGAGGAAGGGGGUUCAGUGCAAAGAUUCUGUUGACCUAGGGUUGACUGCAUAAUGUCACUUGUUCGCAAUCUAUUAUUUAUUUUAUAUUUUGAAGAAUUUAAUGGGUAAUCCUAAUUGUUUGUUUUGGCAGGUAUGUGUUGUUAUCUCCUUCUAUCUUACAGUCAUACCUAAAUAGCAUAGUUUCAUCUGUGUUACCAUGUGAUGUACAUAAUUUCACAUUUGCCUCAGAUUAAGCUUAAUUUCCCACAAAAUAGAGCUGUCGCGACUGGACUUAGGUUGAUGUCCAAAGAGGUAAAUUAUUGGCAUGCCUAGAUAAUUUGGCCAUUUCCUAAUUCAUAAGUCUACGUUAAUUUUGAUUUUGAGUUGACUGAUUUCUUUUCAAGGUCUGCUUCCUUAACGGAGUGACCAAUGUUUUUCAACUAAAUUUAUCAUAUGAUGCAGGAAGCAGGGCAGGAUAUGAAAUGAGAAGCUCAUUGGUGGAAGUAUUGCCAGUAGCAGAACCCAAUGAAAAUGAAACUAUUUCAAGGCAGCAGUUGGCAGUUGCAAGUGAAUGGAGGCCCUUGACAAAAUUCUCAAGCGGUUGCAAUGCAAUUACGAUCAUCCUCAGCCUCAGGUAAUUUCUUCUCCUGCUUUGUAUUUAUUUGUUAUCUAAUUAGGAAGCGUAAAGUAUCUUGAAUCAUUUUCUGUAUCUGGAAUAUAUGCAAGAGUUUCUAAAAUUUUGAUAUGAGUGUAAUGAUGGUAAUUUCUGUUUUCUGUCUGUCAUCAAAUGUUAGAAAACUUUCAUUGAGACCCUUGAACCGAGUCAUUUUUGACAAGUGAAGGACAAUUGCUGAAGAGUGGGAAUGGUGCUAGAUUGGGGAAUAAAGACAAAGGAGGUAAAUUAUUUGCAGUUUAUUCAGCAUUAUUUGCUUUGGACCAGCGCCUGAUUCACAAGUCUCCAUAAUUUGGCUUUUGACCAGUUAAUAAAUUUUUAAUUCCAUUGGUGCUAAAUGUACACGUGAAGCAGGCAGAGCAGGACUGUGGAAAUGAGAAGGUUUUUAGUGAAAGCUUAAACUCAGGUAAUUCUAAAAAGUACAUGUUUUUGCUGAUUUAUCUAAAUCAGGAAAUUUUAUUUCCAUCUGUUACAAGAUAAAACAGAAACAGUCAAACAGAACACACAGAAAAAUAUUCUACUUCUUGUGGCAAUCUUGCCUUCAUUCAGACAAUGAAACCAUUUCCUUUCACCAAUUUCUUCCAAAAGUUUGAAUAAGUUUCAUGGUUGGACAUAGUUAGCUUCUUUUUCUUUUGGUGCAUUUAGGUCCUAUCAAGUGACAGCCAUAAGUAUGAUUGCAUUAUUGGAAAAUUUUAGGUUUGGAUGGUUCCCCAUGUUAUUGCCAAGAAAGUCCUCAUGUCAGAAGCUGCGGUUCUUUUCAUCAGCCUGAACCCGAACCUGUCGUUAUGGAUAACUCAGGUUUUUGUCGUCAACUAUAUCAUCUUUUUUACUGUUUUGAAACUCUUAAGAUUAAACUUCAGUAAAGUUGUUUCAGUUAUCCAUGUAAUCCGGCUAAGGAUAUUUAGCAGCUUAUUUAGGCAACUGCCAGAAUUCAGUUUGUUUGCUCGAAACUUGUAUGGUGACAAGGAUACUGGCAAGGAUAGUGAGAUAGUUUUUUGUGUGAGUGAAAUUUGAAAGCUUGGGUGUUCUGGGAUUUGCAAUUGCAAUCAUCCUCUGAGUCAGGUGAUUUCUUCUCCUGCUCUGUCUUGAUUUUCUCUCUAAUUGAAAGCAUAAAGUAUUUCAAUCAAAUUCUGUACCAGGAAUACGUAAAAGUUACUAAUAUUUUAUUUCCAUCUGUUUGCAUUGAUAACUCGGCCGCAUAUGUUCUAGUUAAAGAACAAACAGAAACAGAGUUCAGGAAAAAGUUUCUUCGGCCACCAUAUUUGAAAAUGAAACCAUUUCCAGGAAGCAGUUGGCAGCAAAUUCAUAUGGAGUGUAGACAAUGAUGAGCGAAAAGGUGAUUCGCAAUUUCUUUUUUUUUUUUAAGUGAAAUUAUUUGUUAGAUUGAAGCUGAUAUUGUAAGAAGGCCAUUGAGCUAACCUAUGUCGCCACUUGCCUAGAUUGCAGGGGGUCAAGACUCAAAAGAAGCACUGAAAUUUAAAAAGCAUGCAAUAGUUCUUUUGCCAUGUGUCAAUUAAUGCAAGUUUGAAUAAGUUUAUUGGCUGAACGAUGUUAGCUUCUUUUCCUUUCGUGCACUUUGGUAUGCUAUCAAGUGACAGCCGUAUGUAUGGCUUGCAUAUAGCUGCUGCUGGGAAAAUUGACGAUUUCAUGGCUGGCCGUGUUAUUGUCUUAAAUUAGUUGUGAUAAGCUGUUGCUUGGAGAUUCUGUUGCCAAGACUUUGCUCACAUCAGAAGCUGUGGAAUCUGAACCCUUCGUUAUGUAUCAUCUUUUUCAUUGUUUUAAAACUCUCAGGAUUAAACUUGAGCGAAUUUGUUCGGUUGUCUAUAUAAUCAUGUAUUGAGUAAACUCUCAGGAAACUGAACAUGCAAAUGUUAUAACUCGGGUUGUUAGCCAAAAACUUGUUGAAUAGGGAUUUGGAUUUGUUAGGAAGUUAUCAUUUUUUAUUUUUUAUUUUGUUUUAUUUUUUUAUUUUUUUAUUUUUAUCUUCUGGUGGUGCUAUAUUUUCAAACGACAGUCCGAUUCAAAACUUGAUAUUCCAAUUAUAUUCAUAAGCUUCUAUAGUUAUCUUCAAAAAGACAAAUGGAAGGCUUUGAACGGCUUGGGUCUGAGUAUUGUAGUUUGAUUUAUUUUGAUGAAAGAACCUUUUGACAUUAAGAUUCUUUCAUGAGUUAAACAUUCUUUUUAAAACCAACUUAUUAAAAAAAAGUAACGAACAUAUAUUAUUUUGUUAGUGCUUUUUAAAUCAAAUAUAAAAAAGAGAACUGUAAUUCUUAGCAACCAAUUUUUCACUGAGUACAGCUACAACAAACUAUUAAAAAAUAAAGUGAUAGAAAAUGCCUGAUUUUUCGUACUUUCUAAUUACUUUUGGUCCUAAAAUAUGGCGAUUUGUGUAAUAAUAAGUCCAUGUAUAUCUUUAUGCCAUUAGUUUGAUAAAUAGCUAUCAAGGAUAACUUAUUAAGCUAAAAAUAUUUGAAGGAUAAAAUGAUAAAACUAAAAGGGUGGAGUAAUAUAGUUAUUUAGGAUUACAUAGUAAGUCAACUAUAUUCAAGGGAUAAAAUAUUAAAACUUGAAUAGUGAUAUUAAAAAUAUCUCGGUUAUUAUACUAUUAAAUCAUAUGCCGUAAUAGUAUUUUUUUUCAAACUUUAAAAAAUUCAGGAUUUUAAAUUAAAACAUGGAUUUCUUUAAGAUGCUAUAUAUGUUUUUUAUAGUAUUGAUAUUGGGAUUAGUGUGGACCCUUAGAUGAAAGAGUUUUAAUCUGAAUCAUUCAUUUAAUAUAAUAGAUAAUUAAAUAAUUAAUUAAAAUAUAGCAGGUAACUUAUAGGUUGUAGGUAAAAAAUUAAUUUUUUAAUUUUAAAUUAAAAUUAAUUUGGAAAAAUACCAUCCACACCCCUAAAGUUUACUUAAAUGAUCAUAUAAAUCCCUUUAGUUUCUACAUAGUUAUACAGAGCCUCUUAAUUUCAUAAAUUAUUAUUAUACUUUUAAUUAAAACAACCUAAAUGAAUAUAAAUAUAGUAAUAGGAUAGAAAUAAUAAAUAAAUAUCAGAUGAAACAAAUAAAAUAUUACAAUAAAUACAAUUAAUUAAAUAAUAUGUAUGAUGAAAAUUUUAUUCAUAUUAAGUUAUUAUUAGUCUAUCCCGAUGGAUUUACUCAAAUCAAUUAAUCCAAAAUUUAAUUUUAAGAUUGAUAUUAAUAUGGACAUAAUUAAAUAAGAUGUUGUAAUAUAUACUACUUUGAAUGUUAAGUAUAAUUAUCUAAUAUUAUUAGUAUGUGAAAUAGAUUUUAAUAUUAUUAAAAGAAUAUGACAAUAUAUAAUUUUGAAAUAAAUUUUUUAGUAUUCAUAAUAUUUUAUAAAUUUUAUCUUAUUUUAUAUAUUAUAUUUUUUUAUUUUAAUGUAUUAUAUAUGAUCAUUUAAGCAAAUUUUGGAGGUGCGGUGGUCUUUUCCCUAUUAAUUUUAUAGCAUAUUUAAAGUGUUAUAUCAUACAUCAUACAUCGCACUUUUGUUAAAGUGUUAUGUUAUUAAAAAUUAAACUUUGCAUUUAUAAUAUACUACCAUUUUAAUGUAAAGGUAAUAGAAAAUAUGAAGAUAUUUUUAAGUAGUCAAUUGUAGUUUUCUUUUACAAAAUAGCAGUAUAGAAAUACACACACACACACACACACAUAUCAAGUACUUGUAUGUUCCCCUAACUUUUAUUAAUAGGAAGGAAAUUAAAUUCAUAAUUUUCCCGGUGAAUUAUGAAUUGAUAAAUGAAAUAUAAAUAUUAGAAAAAAUUAAUUUGUCGACUAAAGAAGUAAACCAUAUUUUAUGGGCAUUUAAUACAUUAAUUUAAGGUCAAAUGAGAUAUAUCACAUGAUAUUUGAUAUAGUAGUCCAAUUUUCAACAUUUGCAUAUAGUUUCUAAGCUAGUAAUCUAAUAAAAUAUACCAAAUGAGAAAUUGAAGGCUAUUAUUUAUAUUUCACCAUUGGACAAACACCAUACAUUAGAAUAAAAAAAUCUCACAGUAGAGACGGCAUCUGUUUGCAUGUUUUGAAAAUAGAUUUUGAAAUUAGUUUAAUUACAUGAUAAUUAAAUUAUAUUAUAAAAUUAAGAAUAUGAUUUAAGUACUAUUUUAGCAAUUUUGAGUCUCACAUUGAGUAUUGAAGUUAAUUAAAUGUUGAAACUCUUUUCUAUUUGGCUUGAAAUCACUACUUAAUAAAAUUACAAAAAGUCAAUAAUGAAUGAUGUAGGACACAUAUGUAAAAUAAAUUUUAAAGUGUAAUUAAACAUUCCUAUCAAUAUUAGUUUUGUAUACAUAUUCAUAUAUUUUACUGAAACCAUAUAUAAUUAAAUUUUGUGUAAUUAAGUAAAAUAUAUUAUUCAAGUGAAUUUAUGAGAAUAUGUAAAAUUGUAGGGGUGGUCACUGAAAUUUGCCAAACUUGAGCCAACCGUGCAUGAUCCAAACAGUUUAUUUUAAUAAUUCUCAAUAUGUUAGUCUGUUUGACUGUUGGCAAAAUGAAUUCCUAUCAGCAAUGCAACACAAUUCAAAAUCAUAUCUGCAUACAACGAACAAUAUCUCAUCAAAGAUCAAAUUAUACAUUUUUUACACCAAAGCAUAAAUAUCUAAAUUGUCCCUCUUCAACUCACCAAGCUCAUACCUAACAACAGCAAGAUUAAAUGUCAUUUGAUCCAUCUUUUUUAUUAAGCUUUAUCAAUUCUUCUCAUGGUUGCAAUUUUGAAAGCUCGCUUCGCUAUUUCCAUUUGCUUUUAUGCUUUGUUUGAGCUCCAUCUACAUUUUACACUGUAAAAAAAAUUUAAAAAAAAUUACAAAGCUUCUUAUACUAGAAUAUGAGCAACAAUAUAAAUAAUAAACAAUAAAGUUAUGAUAGCACAGCAUACUCAUUAAAGUGCUUCUUUUUUUUUUUCAGCAAGAAAUUACUACUGAAUUAAAGAAUUGGCUUUGCAUUAAGGUUUGCCUUCAAUAACUCAACUCCCCACUUGGGUUUUGUCGUUUUCUUAAAAUCUCUGCUCAAUCAAUUUAAAGAUCCAUUUUUUUUUUCUUUCCAAAGAUCUAAAAGCAAUGUCUUUUAUUGGUACCCAACAAAAAUGCAAGGUCUGUGAGAAGACAGUUUGUCCAGUUGAACAGUUAUCUACUGAUGGGGUUGUUUAUCACAAGUCUUGCUUCAAGUGCUCUCACUGCAAAGGCACACUCAAGCUAAGCAAUUACUCAUCCCUGGAAGGUGCUCUUUACUGUAAGCCUCACUUUGAGCAGCUUUUGAAGGAGUCGAGUAACUUCAACAAGAAUUUCCAAUUACCUGCAAAGUCAGCUGAGAAGUUAACUCCUGAGCUGAGAAGGUCGCCUAGCAAAGUUGCCAGCAUGUUCUCUGGGCCCAAUAAAAAUGUGCUUCUUGCAGUAAAACAGUGUGUCCGUGGGAGAACGUAGCAGCGGAAAACCAAGCCUCUCACAAGACAUGUUUCAAGUGCUCACAUGGUGGUUAUUCCAUUAGCCCGUCAAAUUACGCAGCCCUAGAAGGCAUCUUGUAUUGCAAACAUAAUUUCUCCCAAUUGUUCAAGGAAAAAGGCAGCUACAACCACCUUAUAUAAAAUCUGCUUCCAUGAAGCGUGCUGCAGUCUCUGUUCAAGAAGCUUGAACAUGUUAUGUUAUCUUCCAUAAAUCUUAUUUGGCGUGGGUUUUCUCUGGCUUGAGGGUGUGCUUUCUAUUUUGAUCCCUCUUGUUGUUUUUGCGGGGAACUACCAAACCUUCGGUUCCCUCUGCUUCUUUGGAUCAUCUUUGUUGGGACAAAUUUCAUGUAAUUAGAGAUACUGAUUUAUGGGAGGCAUAAUCCCAUGGUCGUAAAUUGACCAUUUUCUGGCAAUGUUCUUUUUAAAAAGAGAUGAGCAGUUGUUUAACAAAAAAAAUAGCUGGCCUUCAUCAUGGUAUGUUACCAAACUGCUAUGUAUAGCUGCUAACUAUGAGCAUCCGAAAAUAUGGUGCAUCGUGAUUCAUGUAGUGCAAUAUGGCUACCAACGCAUCCUAAAUGGAGUAUUACUCAGUUAGUCAGCAAAAUAAGACAACAUAACUGAUAUUAAAAAAAUAAAAAAACUACAUUAAUAAGUGGGCAAGAUCAUGCCAGUUUAACUUUUCGCGCGUCGCUGCUGGAGAUAAUCAAAUCGGGGCAGAGAAAAGGAGAAUGGAAUCAGAGGCUAAGAUUAAUAAGUGGGCUUCUGCUUGCUUUGCCCCUCUUUCUUAAACGAUUGGUAGACUGCUGCUUCCACCGAUUAACCGGGUCUUCAACCACUGCUUUUACUGCCUGCCAUCUUGUUGUUUGUCGAAGGGAUGAAUUCGAGUCGAAAAGAGAAAGCGCGCUGAAAAAGAUAAAUCACUAGUGGUUAACUGCUUACUCAGCCAAGUGUUGGCUUCACUUGAUUCACCGAUUGAGGUUAUUUUGUCUUCUAUCUAAUGCAGCGAAGAAGCUUUGCUGCUUAACAUGCUGCAAUGCAACUUUAUCCUUUGAAGUUCACACUUCAGGGCUGCGCACUUUAUGUAAUCCUAUGAGUAAAAAGAAUUUGUUUUCAAAUGUGAAAAAAGAAAAUGUAAGGUAGUAACUAAAUAUUUUAUAGCAUCAAAGCAAUAUUUGAUAUGAAUUUAGUACAACAAAGAACAUCAAAUCUGUGAUUCCUUGUCUAGUGUCACCAUCGAGCAACAAAUUUAAAAGCCUACCUAUCAAAUACACGAGGCAAUAAACGGAGAAAAAGUUGAAUUACAAGAACAAGUUUACAAUUCUUGUCAAUGGUUAAUGAUUUGUGAACUGAGACAGCUUUCAAGAAUCCAAUUUCAAUACAACAACGUAAAAGAUAAACAGAUGAUGAAUUCUAUGAGAUAAAGAAGGAGAUCGUGUUUUAUCGUAUCUCUAUUUUCUUUCUUUUUAAAUUUAAAAUAAGCUUUUCAACCGGUUUGUUAACCGGUUAUAAUAUUUUUUAAAAUAAUUAAAUAUUUUCAUUAUUAAAAAUAAUGUGUACCGUUGAUUACAUCUAACGGUAUAUAUUUCUUACACUACUAAUAUCGUAAAAAAAAAAUACAGCAUCAUAGAGGGACCCUUAAAACAUUUUCAUUUGAAAUUAUUUGGUGAAGUGAAAAAGUUAAGAAAGAAAUAGUUGUCCCUUUGGUCAUUUCACAAAAAUGAAAGCCCCAUAUAACAUGGACUUGAAUGGAAGCCCAAUUGUUGUGUUUGAUUUCAAGCUUUAUCGGACCUUUGGACCUGGAUACUUUACUGCGGCCUCUAAGCGCUACAAAUUUUUUUUUUGGGAUAAAAGGCGCUUCAAUGAAAAAGCACUUUAAAACUUUGGAUUUUGCCAAAACUUCAAAGCGGUUGGUCCGGUUACGGUGUUAUGCUAACGGGUUUAAAGGUUCUGAUCCAAUGAGUUAGGGUGGAAUAUGAAUAUAUAAAUUCCAUAGCAUGUGAGGACUAGGAUUUGUUUGUUCAUAUCAAGAAAAAAGAUCUGAAAAUUUGAUGAUCAGAAGAUAAAAACACUUAAACACGUUUAUUACAGAGAAACAAACGACAACACGAUACUAGUAGUAGUUAUUCUUUUCAUCCGAUAUAUUACAUGGUAAUAUCACCACUCGUUCCACUGGUUUCAUAUACACCAUCGACCAGCAACAUGAUAAUUUUGUGUCAGUUCAUUUUGUUUGUAGGAAAGAGCAGUAUCUUUUUUAGAACUUGAAAAUAAUAAAAAGAUUUUAAAAUAUAAAUUGCAUAUUUGUUUAUUGCUGUUGUUUGGUCUAAUUUCUUACGUAGAAUUGCUUGUCAUUCUUUGUACGUUAUUGAUUAUAUUUUUGUCAGACUUGGCGUAUAUAUUCACAUAUGUUUUAUUUUGUCAUUUUGUAGAACAUUUUUACAUGCCAUAUUAUCACGACUCUUCUGUGUCUGAAUAAGAAGAAAGCAUAAUGCGACCCUCCAACAGCUUAAUCUAUGGAAUUAUCGUGUUUUGUAAGUUGAGGUCCAAUGGCGUUUUGGCACAUCAUAUGAUAGACCACUAUAUUGCGUUGCUUUACAAAAGAUUAAUAUUUUUAAAAUUAUUAGGUAAGUUUAGGCUCAGUGGCACUUUAACUCAUGAUAUGAUAGUCCAGGUUUUCAUCAGCCUGAACAUGGACCUGUCGCCAUGGAUAACUCAGGUUUUUUUUUUUUUAAUCAACUACGUCAUCUUUUCCACUGUUUUGAAACUCUUAAGAUUAAACUUUAGUAAAGUUAUUUUAGUUAUCCAUGUAAUCAAGCUGAGGAUACUUAGCUGCCUAUUUAGGCAAAUGUCAGAAUUUAGUUUGUUCGCUGGGAACUGGUGUGGUGACAGCGUCCUGGCAAAGGAUGAUGAGAUAGUUUUUUGAUUGAGUAAAUUUUGGGAGCUUGAGUGUAUUGGGAUUUGCAAUUACAAUCAUCCUCUGCCUCAGGUGAUUUCUUCUCCUGCCCUGUCGUUGUUUGUUCUCUAAUUCAAAAUUAUAAAAUUUUUCAAUCAAAUUUUAUGCCAGGAAUAUGCAAAAGUUUCUAAUAUUUUAUUUCCAUCUGUUUGCCUUGAUAACUUUGCGGCAUAUGUACUAGUUAAAUCCCUCAAAACGUAAACAAAACUCUGUUGGUAUUGAUUCCUAAGGUGGACCAUCCUACCAGUUUAACGAUGUUUCGGCCUAUAAGUUUAUGCACUGUCGCCUAUAAGACAGUGACUAAAAUUAUUGCCACUCGUUUACAAGAACUAUUACCUGAGCUGAUCGGGCCUCAUCAGACAAGUUUUGUUCCCGGACGACACAUUGUGGACAACAUUGUUAUUGCUCAGGAAGUGGUUCACUCCAUGCGCAGAAAAACUGGUAAAAGAGGGCUUAUGGCUAUUAAGGUGGAUCUCGAGAAGGCAUAUGAUCGGCUGAACUGGUCGUUUAUUUUUGAAACUCUUCAAUUGACAGGGCUCCCGAUUCAAUUAUCUCGGCUCAUCAUGGAAUGUGUUAAAUCAGCUAGCAUGAAUAUUUUGUGGAAUGGCGAGGUAACUGAGGAGUUUUUUCCGGGAAGAGGUAUUCGGCAGGGUGACCCUCUAUCUCCGUAUAUUUUUGUGCUCUGCAUCGAGCGUUUGAGCCAUGGAAUAUCCCAAGCUGUGGGGGAUGGAAGUUGGAAGCCAAUUCGGCUGGCUAAACAUGGCACUCCCCUUACCCACCUUUUUUUUGCUGAUGAUUUGCUUUUAUUUGCAGAAGCUUCGAUUGAUCAAGCUCAUAUCAUUGAUGCGGUUUUGGAGAAUUUUUGUCGAAGUUCUGAAGUAAAGGUUAACAAAGUGAAAACUACAAUUUUCUUUUCGAAGAACGUUGCUGCAAGAGAGGCCAAGCUCAUUGGUGCUGCCUUGGGGGUUUCGAUUACUCAUGAUCUGGGAAGCUAUCUUGGAAUGCCGUUACUUCAUUCGAGGGUGAAUAAAGCUACGUAUCAAUCUAUUUUAGACAAGGUAGACAUAAGGCUCAGUGGCUGGAACGCGGCUCAUUUAUCCUUUGCUGGUCGUGUUACUUUGGCGCAAUCGGUGAUUCAAGCUAUGCCAAUUUAUGCAAUGCAAACGACCAUGCUUCCUGCUUCGGUGCGCCAUAGAAUUGAUAAGAGCUGCCGUAGAUUUAUUUGGGAUGGGAAGUCGAAGAGUCCUAAGAUGUGCAUGGUGGGCUGGGAUAAAAUCUGCUUGCCGAAAUCAAGUGGUGGCUUGGGGUUUAAGAACUUAGAGGUGAUGAAUCAUGCCCUGUUGAUGAAGAUUAGUUGGGGCAUUAUCUCCAACUCAGAUAAGUUAUGGGUGCGGGUUCUCUGUUCCAAAUAUGGAUUGGACCCAUGCAAUUUGCCGUCUUCCCUCCCUGACAAACAAGGUUCGCGUAUCUGGUCUGCUAUAAGAAAAACGUGGAAUGCAACCAUGCAUGGAGCUCGCUGGGCAGUGUGUGAUAGUGCUCGAAUUCGUUUCUGGCUGGACUGUUGGGUGACGAAAUAUGAGCCUUUGAUUCACCUAGCUCUCCAACCGAUCCCUCAGGCCUCUCUCAAUGCUACGGUUAGCGAAUUUACUAAUGAUUAUGGUGGCUGGAGAUGGGCGAGCUUUGAAUUCCUACUGCCCCCUUCUGUUCUUAUGCAGAUUGCCUCGAUCAUGCCACCUGCGCCGCAUCUUGGUCCUGAUAGACUAUAUUGGAGUUAUAAUCCAAGAGGGUUGUUCACAGUCCGAACUGCUUAUGAGUCUCUUUGCUACCAUAACUUAGACACUCAAGAUAAAGUAUGGAAAUUGCCAUGGUCUUGGAAAGGGCCCCAAUCUAUAAAGCUCUUUAUUUGGCAGACUUUGCAUGGCAAAUUGAAGACCCACAGUGAGCUUAAUAGGCGUAAUAUCCCCGUUUCUGAAGUUUGUGUUAGGUGUGGGGUUUCGGCUGAGGGCAUUCUUCAUGCUGUGAGAGAUUGUAGUUGCAUUAAGAAUCUAUGGCUUAGUCUUGUUCCAACCUGUCAUCAACUUGCUUUCUUCCAAUCCAACUUACGUGCAUGGGUUGCUGCCAACAUGCAAAAUACGUGGAAAAUUGAUUCGGAGCUUCCUUGGGAUUGUAUUUUUGGAGUGGCUAUUUGGAGAUUAUGGUUUUGGCGUAAUCAAUUUAUUAUGGCUGGGAAUUUGGUAGAUAGCAAGACAAUAUAUUCGGAUAUUAUGGCCAGAGCUAGUGAGAUCCAUAGAAUUAAUAACUCACAUCUCAGCCCACAACCAAGGCGUAAGGAGAUUUUUAUUGGUUGGUUGCCUCCUCCAUGGCCAUGGUGUAAGUUGAACACAGAUGGUUUCUGUAAACAUACAGGAGCAACUGCAGCGGGUGGGGUUAUUCGCGACUCCGUUGGUAACUGGGUCUCAGGCUUUAGUAUGAAUAUUGGGGAAAGCUCAGUGAUUAUGGCUGAACUUUGGGGCCUGUAUCAAGGAUUGUCCCUCGCCUGGAAUGUUGGAAUUAGACAUCUUUUGGUGGAAGUAGACAGCCUCUGUGUAACUCAGAUGAUUUCUCAACAGAUGGUUGUGCCUAAUGUCUCCUACGCUUUAGUGGUGGCAAUUCGUGAUUUUUUAAACAGAAAUUGGCAGAUUAAUAUCUCGCAUAUCUACCGUGAAGCGAACUCAGCUGCGGAUUUCAUGGCAAAUAUGGCCCAUUUAAUACCGCAUGGUCUACAGUUAUUCUCUAACCCGCCUGUGGGUAUUUAUUCUAUUCUUUCACAAGACAUGUAUGGGGUUUGUCAACCCCGCAUUAUUCCUAUCUAGCUCGCCUUGAUGAGCCCCUUUUAAUAAAAAAAAAAAGAAGAACAAAUCGAAACAGAGCUCAGUUAAAAGUUUCUUCUGCCGUCAUAUUUGAAAAAUGAAACCAUUUCCAGGAAGCAAUGGGCAGCAAAUUCAUAUAAAGCGUAGACAAUGAUGAGUAAAAAGGUAAUUCACAAUUUCACUUUUUUUUUAAUGAAAUUAAUUGUUUGGUUGGAGAGGAUAUUGUUAGAAGGCCAUUGAGCUAACCUAUGUCACUACUUGCCUAGAUUGCAGGGGGUCAAAACUCAAAAGAGGCAUUGAUUUUAAAAGGCAUCCAAUAAUUCUUGUGGCCAUAUAUCAAUUCAUGUAAGUUUGAUUGUAAUUAUUGGUGAAGGGGUUUCACUUCCCGUCUCUAAAUAAAAAUACUGAUUCUUUAAGGUACAUGCCACUAGGGAUUGCGAGAUUAACGAGUCUUUGGACAUUGGAAGAGCUCCUUGUGAGUGGAGGAGGAGGUGUUGAUGGUAGCAAAGCAUGUGGGCAGUGGGCUUGAAUCUCUUAAAAACUCGGAACUCCUCCAAGCGUAAGUAUACGUAUACUGGGAAAUGUGUUAGAUGUGGAUGAGGCUAAGAGAUUAGAGCUUGACAAAAUGAAAUACCUCUUUCAUUGAGACUUAAAUUUGAUGGGGAAGAAGAAAAAGAAGAGGGAAGGAGGAAGAAUGAGGAUAAUCAACUUGUUCUUGAAGCCUUGCAACCACCUCUGAAUUUGAAGGAAUUAGAGAUUUGGUCAUACAGAGGCAACAUUUGUUUUCAAAUGUGAAAAAAGAAAAUGUAAGGUAGUAAUUAAAUAUAUUAUAGCAUCAAAGCAAGAUUUGAUAUGAAUUUAAUACAACAAAGAACAUCAAAUCUGUGAUUCCUUGUCUAAUGUCACCAUCGAGCAACAAAUUUAAAAGCCUACCUAUCAAAUACACGAGGCAAUAAACGGAGAAAAAGUUGAAUUACAAGAACAAGUUUACAAUUCUUGUCAAUGGUUAAUGAUUCGUGAACUCGGACAGCAUUCAAGAGUCUAAUUUCAAUACAACAACGUAAAAGAUAAACAGAUGAUGAAUUUUAUGAGAUAAAGAAGGAGAUCGUGUUUUAUCGUAUCUCUAUUUUCUUUCUUUUUAAAUUUAAAAUAAGCUUUUCAACCGGUUUGUUAACCGGUUAUAAUAUUUUUUAAAAUAAUUAAAUAUUUUCAUUAUUAAAAAUAAUGUGUACCGUUGAUUACAUCUAACGGUAUAUAUUUCUUACACUACUAAUACCGUAAAAAAAAAAUACGGCAUCAUAGAGGGACCUUAAAACAUUUUCAUUUGAAAUUAUUUGGUGAAGUGAAAAAGUUAAGAAAGAAAUAGUUGUCCCUUUGGUCAUUUCACGAAAAUGAAAGCCCCAUAUAACAUGGACUUGAAUGGAAGCCCAAUUGUUGUGUUUGAUUUCAAGCUUUAUCGGACCUUUGGACCUGGAUACUUUACUGCGGCCUCUAAGCGCUAUAAAUUUUUUUUUGGGAUAAAAGGCGCUUCAAUGAAAAAGCACUUUAAAACUUUGGAUUUUGCCAAAACUUCAAAGCGGUUGGUCCAGUUACGGUGUUAUGCUAACGGUUUUAAAGGUUCGGAUCCAAUGAGUUAGGGUGGAAUAUGAAUAUAUAAAUUCCAUAGCAUGUAAGGACUAGGAUUUGUUUGUUCAUAUCAAGAAAAAAGAUCUGAAAAUUUGAUGAUCAGAAGAUAAAAACACUUAAACACGUUUAUUACUGAGAAACAAACGACAACACGAUACUAGUAGUAGUUAUUCUUUUCAUCCGAUAUAUUACAUGGUAAUAUCACUACUCGUUCCACUGGUUUCAUAUACACCAUCGACCAGCAACAUGAUAAUUUUGUGUCAGUUCAUUUUGUUUGUAGGAAAGAGCAGUGUAUUUCUUAGAGCUUGAAAAUAAUAAAAAGAUUUUAAAAUAUAAAUUGCAUAUUUGUUUAUUACUGUUGUUUGGUCUAAUUUCUUAUGUAGAAUUUUCAGAAUCUGUAGGACGUUAAUUUAUAACUUUGGUAAUUUAAUUAUUUUCUUUUUAUUAAUGUCCGGACAAAAAAUUAUUAUAAAAGGGUAAUAUUGUAAAAGUAAGCCAAAAUAAAUAACAAAUAACGAUAAGAGUAUCAAUAUUUUAAUAGCAGGGAUAUUUCGAGAUAUUUUUAAAAAUACAGAGACUAACUGGACAUUAAUCUUAAAAUAUAAGGACUAAAUGAGCUUUUACCCUUUUUAUAAUCCACACCAUCCUGAUAUAAUUAAACACCAUUAAUAAUGUACCAGCCUUUUAAUAGUAAUUAAUUUAUUUAGUUGGCCACCUAAAAGAAUCCUGCAGGAAAUACUAGUUAAAAAAUUUAUUAAAUUUGAUUACCUCUGUAUCAUUAUAUAUAUAAAGACUGAAAUCCAAAUGAAAUAUUUUAUCAUUCAUUCAGCAAACACUUAUAAAACACAAAUAGUGAAUCUAUGCAUUGACAAUGUGGAUUAAGAAUUAUAACACAUGAAUUCAAACAUACCCUCGUGAAGUUAAGAAUAAGUUCAUACUUCAAAUGAUUUUUUUAGCUAAUAAAGCAAUCACUUUCAUUAAACGACAGUGUUGAAGGAAUUGUGCAAUUUUUUACGUUCUUUUCUAGACAGACGUUACAGAGAUGGGGAAAGUAGAGGACUGGCCUCAGAUAUCUCACAAUUAUUAUUCUUUUUCAUUGUUAUAAUAAUAAUUUUUUUCUUUUGACAGUUCUGCAGGACAAGUGAUCAGAGCUCAAUGAAUAUAUCCGUGGAGGGUGAACUUAGGUUGAUGUCAAAAGAGGUAAAUGAAUUGGCCUGUUUAUAUAUAUAUAUAUAUAUAUAUAUAUAUAUAUAUAUAUAUAUAUAUAUAUAUAUAUAUAUAUAUAUAUAUAUAUAUCAUAUAUAUAUAUAUAGAGAGAAAUGUUCCAGUCAGGAAUUUUAAAGUGCAGGAAAGUACGGGAAACCUUUAAAACCGCAUGGUUUUAAAGGCUUAAAACUGUAAGCCUUUAAAGCNNNNNNNNNNNNNNNNNNNNNNNNNNNNNNNNNNNNNNNNNNNNNNNNNNNNNNNNNNNNNNNNNNNNNNNNNNNNNNNNNNNNNNNNNNNNNNNNNNNNAGAAUUUCUCUGUUAAUAUAUAUAUAUAUAUAUAUAUAUAUAUAUAUAUAUAUCAUAUGAUGCAGGCCACAGCAGAGCAGGAUUAUGAAAAAGAGAAGCUUAUUAAUAAGUGUUUACUUGCUUUUGAAAUAUAUAUAUAUAUAUAUAUAUAUAUUUCAAAUUCAAGUUUACUUGCUUUUAUAUAAUAAGUGUUUUGGCCGAUUUAUCUAAUUCACCAAAUGUCAUUUCCGGUACAUAUCUCCAUUGGUAUCAAGAAGAGGCAGAACCCAAAGAAACGUUUCUUGCAUCUUCAUAUUUAUGCGAAUUCAUCCUUUCAUUGAGAAUAACCAUUUCCAGCCGGCAGUUGGCAAUCAAUACGCACGUCGAUGCUAUUCAUAGAUAUUAAAGACAAUGAUGAACCAAAGGUGAUAAAUCAUAAAUGUAUAAUUACCAAACAUCCAUCCUUCUCUCAUUAUGAUUUGAUUUUAAAUGAAUUAUUGCUUGGUAACAUUAUUUCCAACCAUUGCAAGAUUAUUAUUAUUAUUUUUUUUUGGGAGAAAUUUCAAUUGAAAGUGAAACCUUUAGACAUUUACCUAAUGAAGUUAGUUACUCGGGAGGGUGGAAAAAAAAAAGUUGACGCAAGUCAAUACACAAUAAUUAAUUAAAUCCGGAGUGACUAAAACAGAGCCACUACUUUUUCAAAAAUAUCUGCAUUCAUCACUUUCUCCAGCAGCUAGUCAGCUACACACGAAUCAAUUUCUCUCCUCGUUUGUCAUCCAAAAUUAUUCACCAAUACCAUGGUUGAUGCCGUCGUUUCCACUAUCUUGGAGCAGCUGAUUUCCUUCGCUGCUGAAGAGAUAAAACAACAGGUGAUCGAAGUUACACCCCUCAUAUUACAAAUACUUCCAAUGAUUUUAAUAAAUUUUGUUUUUAUCAAAAACAUUAUAUAUUUUUGCUUUAUUUUAUUUAUCUGGUAAUUUUAGAUUUUGAAAUUUGAAUUGAAUUUAAUUAAAAGGUGAUGUAGUUAGUAACCACUUAUUUUUAUUUUAUUUCAUUUAUAUUCUCAAUAACUACUCAUAUUUUGGUAACUUACUAUAACUUUCAUAUCUAAGAAAUGAUCAAAACCCACAAUUUUAACUCAGCACGAAUAUUCAACGUUGAGUCAUUAAUUCUAAACUCAGCACUGAAUCCCAUAGCUAUUACUUAGACUCUAUGAAAAAUUUCAUAGUUUUCUUACGUUCUUUGAGUUUGGUAAGUGAUUUCGUAUAAUUUCUUUUCAAGUUAAAUUUUAAUUUGGUUUAUGAUAUAGUCUCUGUGCCGAAUUGUAUCUUUUAUGAUUCUUGGAUUUUGGGCUUCAACUUUUUAGGAUUUGAUAGUCAUAUAUUUAUGCCAUGCUCAGAUUGAUUUUCAUGAUUUUUAGUAGCCGUUAAGUGACUUACAAUUUGACGAAAGUUUGAAAGGAAAAAUGUUUCAGGAUUCUGUUUUAAUUUACCUUUUAGUAGAAAUAGGAUGCUUAUAACUUAAUGUGGAUGGUUCGUAAAAUCAUGAAAUUUGGAUAGGAUUCACUAGAAAUAUGUACAAGACUCUCCAUAAAGUUUCAUAAUUUUUCAUUCGGUAUGGGGUGGUACAGGUGAAACUUGUGGUUGGUGUUGAAAAAGAAGUGAAAAGCCUUACCAGCCACCUUGAAGCCAUUCAAGUUGUGCUCGAUGAUGCAGAGGAAAAGCAAGUGAAGGACAAAGCUGUUAGUCUUUGGCUGGGUAGGCUCAAGUACGCAUCCUACGACAUUGAAGAUGUGUUGGAUGAGUGGAUCACAGCAAGACGCAAAUUGCAAAUUGAGGGUGGCGUUGAUGAAAAUGCUCUUGUUGUUCCUCAUAAGAAAAAGAAGGUAUGUCUCUGCUUUCCCGGCUCUUGUUUUGGAUUCAAACAAGAAGAAUUUGGUUUCAAACAAGUCUUUCUCCGUCAUGACAUUGCCGACAAGAUCAAAGAAAUCAAUGAAGAGCUACAUGAUAUUGCCGCUCAAAAAGACAUGUUUGAUCUUGUUAAGAGUGGCAAUAAAAGUAGUGAAAGACCAAGGCGUGUACAGAGUACCUCCUUGAUUGAUGAGGAAGAGAUUUGUGGUAGAGUUGGUGAGAGGAAUGAACUCAUAAGCAAGCUGUUGCGUGAGAGUAGCGAGCAACAAAAAGGCCUCCAUAUCAUCUCAAUUGUUGGUAUGGGAGGCAUAGGGAAAACUACUCUUACACAACUAGCUUGUAAUCAUGAUGAGGUGAAGAGAAAGUUCGACAAAAUUCUGUGGGUGUGUGUAUCAGAAACUUUUGAGGAGUUUAUGGUAGCCAAAGCGAUCGUUGAAGUUUUGGAUGGUCGUGAAUCUCAUUUAGCUGAAUUCCAUUCUCUUCUUCAACAUAUUUAUGAAUCAAUUGCAGGGAAGAGCUUUCUUCUUGUCUUAGAUGAUGUGUGGGAUGGAAAUUACUUGAAAUGGGAACCAUUCUACCGUUGUCUAAAGAAUGGUCUCCAUGGAAGUAAAAUUUUAGUUACCACACGUAGUGGGUCUGUUGCAUCCACGAUGGGAUCCACAGAUAUUAUCUCCGUCAAGGAGUUAGCUGAAGAGGAAUGUUGGUUGUUGUUUAAAAAGAUAGCAUUUUUUGAUCGGUCCAUCGAGGAACGUGAAAAAUUAGAACAAAUUGGGCAAAGAAUUGUAGGCAAGUGCAAAGGUUUACCUCUUGCAGCAAAGACAAUAGGGAGUCUCAUGCGUUCUAAACAAACUGAAGAAGAGUGGAAAAGAAUUUUAAAUAGUGAUUUAUGGAAAGUAGAAGAGAUUGAGAAAGAUGUUUUGUCCUCUUUAUUGUUGAGUUAUAAUGAUUUGCCAUCUAGAGUAAAAAGAUGUUUUUCAUAUUGUGCUGUCUUUCCAAAAGACUACGAUAUAAAAAAAGACGAACUAAUCACAUUAUGGAUGGCUCAAGGUUAUCUUAGUGCGGAACAAGAUGAAGAGAUGGAGACAGUAGGUGAAGAGUAUUUUGGCAUCUUAGCUUCUCGCUUGUUUUUUCAAGAGUUUAAGAAAAGUUAUGAUAAUCGUAUUAUAGAGUGCAAGAUGCAUGGUAUGGUACAUGAUUUUGCCCGAUUUGUAAGUCAAAAUGAAUGUUUUUCGAUGGCAAUUAAUGGUAGUGAAGAACCAAACGCCACAAACUCUCUUGAUGAGAAGGUCCGUCAUUUAAUGUUAAUCUUUAGUAAAGGGGCUUCAUUACCUGUUUCCACUCGUAGAGUUAAAAGAAUGCGUACCCUCGUAAUUAACGAUAGUAGAUCAUUAAAUGGCGAGAUCCUAGAAGAAUUAUUUAGGGAAUUGACAAGUUUAAGGGCAUUAGAUUAUGGCGGAUCGCCCCACUCAAGGCCGUUGUUGACUGCGGAGGUUCCAAGAAACAUAGAAAAGCUGGUACAUUUGAGAUACCUUAAUUUGUCUUUUCAGAAAAUAGUGAAACUACCGGAGACAUUGUGCGAGUUGUAUAAUCUAGAAAAGUUAGAUAUUAGUUGUUGUUUGUAUCUUAGAGAAUUACCUGAAGGGAUUGGGAAGUUAAUAAACAUGAAGCAUUUACGAAAUAGAGGUACUAGUUCUUUAAGGUACAUGCCAGUAGGGACUGGGAGAUUAACGGGUCUUAGGACCUUGGGUCAGUUCCAGGUGAGUGCAGGAGGAGGUGUUGAUGGUAGGAAAGCAUGUAGGCUUGAAUCUCUUAAAAAAUUGGAACACCUUCAAGUAUGUGGUAUACGUAGACUGGGUGAUGUAUCAGAUGUGGGCGAGGCUAAGCGAUUAGAACUUGACAAAAAGAAAUACCUCUUCAGUUUGACCCUUGAGUUUGAUAAGAAGGAAAGAGGAGGAGAAACGAGGAAGAACGAGGACGAUCAACUUCUUCUUGAAGCCCUGCGACCACCUCUGGAUUUAAAGGAAUUAGUGAUACGGUACUACCGAGGCAACACUGUUUUCCCCAGCUGGAUGACGUCAUUAAUCAACUUAAAGAGUUUAGAUCUCUCUUCCUGCGAAAAUUGCGAGCAGCUGCCUCCUUUGGGAAAAUUGCCGUCCCUUGAAAAACUCGGCCUAUCGGACAUGAAGAGUGUGAAAAGAGUGGGUGAUGAAUUUUUGGGGAUAGAAAGUGAUCAUCAUGGCUCAUCUUCAUCUUCAUCGGUUAUUAUUGCCUUCCCCAAAUUGAAAUCACUCUCAAUUGAGUUUCUGCGCGAAUUGGAGGAGUGGGAUUAUGGGAUUACAAGAACGGGAAACACCGUCAUCAACAUCAUGCCACGUCUUUCUUCAUUGACAAUUGUUGAUUGCACCAAAUUAAAGGCACUGCCCAACCACAUUCAUCAAACGACAACGUUGAAGGAAUUGUGCAUUGUGGAUUGUGAGCUUCUGGAAGAACGUUACCGCAAGGGGGAAGGAGAAGACUGGCCUAAGAUAUCACACAUUCCCAACAUAGAUAUUUUUUAAGAAGGAUUUGCGCAUUCGAGAUUUGGCGUUGACAAGUAAUUUCUUCUCUUACUCUGAUUUGCUUUGUUGUUGUUUUUAAUCUAAUUAAGAAGCGUAAAUAGCAUUUUGAAUCAAACUCUAUAUCCGAAAUCUGCAAUACAUACUUUCUAAUAUUCUGAUUUUCAUAUCCUACCAUUUUUAAUUUGUGAGAUGGGUAACGUUACUGUAAAAGAUUAUUAAUGGAACAUGAGUAAUUCUUUUGCAGGACAAGUGACCUACAUUUAGUUUGGCUUUGGAGUUGAAUAAUAACCUUUCAAGGCCAGGACCCAAAAGCAGGAAAAACAAAAAAAGGAACGAAGCUUAAUUUUGCCACAGAUUACAUGUAUUGCCAUUAUUGACAAGUUUCUGGACAAGUGAUCAAGGGUGAGAGUGGUGCUACAACAUUGAAUAAAGCAGUCGUGACUGAAUUUAGGUUGUGUCAAAAGUGGUAAAUUAUUUGCAUGUGUAGCUAAUUUGACCAUUUCCUGAUCUAUAAGUCUAUAUUAAUUUUGAUUUUUAGUUGAGUGAUUACAUUUCAAGGUUUGCUUACUUAACAGGGCGACCAAUUUCUUUUAACUAAAUGUAUUAUAUGAUGCAGGAAGCAAGGCAGGAUAUGAAAUAAGAAGCUUAUUAAUGGCAGUUGGCAGUGAAUGGAGGCCCUUGACUAAAUUCUCAAGCGGUUGCACUGCAAUUACGCUUAUCCGUAGCCUCAGGUAAUUUCUUCUUCUGCAUUUUUGUAAUUUGUUAUCUAAUUAAGGGGCGUGAGCUAUUUUGAAUCAAAUUCUAUAUCAGGAAUAUAUGCAACAUUUUUUAAAAUUUUGAUAUGAGAGUAAUGAUGGUAAUUUCUCUUUUUUGUCUGUCAUCGAAUGUUAAAUAACAUUCACUAAGACUCUUGAGAGUCAUUUUUUGACAAUUGCAGGACAAGCGACGAAGAGUGAGAAUGGUGUUAGAUUGGGGAUUGAGGCAAAAGGAGGUAAAUUAUUGGCAGAGAAUUUGGGAGCUUGAGUGUACAGGGAUUUGCAAUUACAAUCUUACUCUGCCUUAGGUGAUUUCUUCUCCUGCUUUGUCAUUGGUUGUUCUCUAGUUGAAAAGCAUAAAGUAUUUCAAUCAAAUUCUAUACCAAGAAUAUGCAAAACUUUAUUUCCAUCUGUUUGCAUUGAUAACUUUGCGGCAUAUGCGCUAGUUAAAGAACAAACAGAAACAGAGGUCAGGAACAAGUUUCCUCUGCCGUCAUAUUUGAAAAUGCAACCAUUUCCGGGAAGUAGUUGGCAGCAAAUUCAUAUAAAGUGUAGACAAUAAUGAGCAAAAAGGUGAUUCACAAUUUUAUUUUUUUUAAAUUAAUUGUUAGGUUGGAGUUGUUAAAAGGCCAUUGAGCUAACCUAUGUCAUUAGUUACCUAGAUUGCAGGGGGUCCCGAGACUCCAAAGAAGCAUUGAAUUUUAAAAGGCAUGCAAUAAUUCUUGUGGGCGUAUGAGUUUGAUUUAGAAUCAAACUCUAGAUCAGAAAUCUGCAAUGCAUAUUUUCUAAUAUUCUGAUUUUCAUAUCCUACUAUUUUUAAUUUGUGAGAUGGGUAACGUUACUGUAAAAGAUUAUUAAUGUAAUAUGAGUAAUUCUUUUGCAGGACAAGUGACCUACAUUUAGUUUGGCUUUGGAGUUGAAUAAUAACCUUUCGAGGUCAGGACAACAAAAAAAUGAAUCUUAAUUUGCCACAGAUUGCACUUAUUGCCAUUAUUGACAAAUUUCUUCACAAGGGAUCAAGGGCGAGGAUGUUGAUAGAAUAUUGAAUAAAGCUGCCGUGACUGAACUUACGUUGAUGUCAAAAGAGGUAAAUUAUUGGCAUGCCUGACUAUUUUGACCAUUACAUGAACAUGAGUUUACAUUAAUUUUGAUUUUGAGUUGAGUGACUUUUUAAGGUUUGCUUACUUAACCGGGUGAUGUGAUGCAGGAAGCAGGGCAGGAUAUGAAAUGAGAAGCGUAUUAGUGGAAGUAUUGCCAGUAACAGAACCCAAAAAAAAGUGGAACCAUUUUAAGGCAGCAGUUGGCAGUUGGGAGUGAAUGGAGGCCCUUGACAAAAUUCUCAAGCAGUUGCAAUGCAAUUACGAUCAUCCUCAGCCUCAGGUAAUUUCUUCUCCUGCUUUGUUGUUAUUUGUUACCUAAUUAAGAAGCAUAAAGUAUCUUGAAUCAUUUUCUGUAUCUGGAAUAUAUGCAACAGUCUCUAAAAUUUUGAUGACUGUAAUGAUUGUAGUUUCUGCUUUCUGUCCGACAUCGAAUGUAAGACGACUUUAUUAAGACUCUUGAACCGAGACAUUUUUGACAAUUGAAGGGCAAGUGCUGAAGAGUGGGAAUGGUGCUAGAUUGGGGAAUAAAGCAAAAGGAGGUAAAUUAUUGGUAGUUUCUGCAGCCUUGUUUUCUUUGAAUCAGCACCUGAUUCACAAGACUCCAUUAAUUUGGCUUUUGAUGAGCUGAGUGAUAAAUUUUCAAUUUCUUUGGUGCUAAAUGUAUGUGUGAAGCAGGUAGCAGGGCAUGACUGUGGAAAAGAGAAGAUUUUAGUGAAAGCUGAAACUCAGAUAAUUCUACAUUUAUCUAAUUCACGAAAUUUUAUUUCCAUCUGUUACAAGAUCAAACUGAAGCAGAACUCAAAGAAAGUAAUCUACUUCUUGCGGCAAUCUUGCCUUCGCUCAGAUUAUGAAACCAUUUCCAUGCACCAAAUUCAUCCAAAAGUUUGAAUAAGUUUCAUGGUUGGACACUGUUGGCUUCUUUUUCUUUUGGGGUGCAUUUUGGUGCUACCAAGUGACAGCUGCAAGUAUGAUUGCACUAACCUGCUGCUGGGAAAUUUGAGGUUUUGAUGGCUGCCCAUGUUAUUGUCAAGAAACUCCUCAUGUAAGAAGCUGUGGUUCUUUUCAUCAGCUUGAACCUGAAACUGUUGCUAUGGAUAACUCACGUUUUUAUUCUCAACUAUAUCAUCUUUUUUAGUGUUUUGAAACUCUUAAGAUUAAACUUUGGUAAAAUGUUUUCAGUUAUCCAUGUAAUCAGGCUGAGGAUAAUUUAGUAAAGUUGUUUCCGCUAUUCAAAUGAAAAACCCCAUUGAUUUUAACCAUGAUAAAGCUAAUGUUCCCAAUGAUUACUGCAGGUGAGACUUGUGAAGAGGGUGAGUGAGGCAACUGCUAAAAUUCCUGGCUGGGAUACAGUAACUAGAGGCUGAGAUCAGGUGGUGGAAUUUUUUGUUCCGUGGAUGAUACCAGAAUUGUCCAGAAAAGAUUUGUUGAUACUAAUUACAGAUGAUAGAAAGAGGUAUAGGUGGAGAAGAGAAAUCUGCGAGUCAAAUUAGGGAUAAUUGAUUCUGAUACUAGUUAUAUUGAAAAUAAUAAUAACAAUUGCAUGAAGAUAGUCAAUAUUCUUCUCUAGAUAUAUUGUAUGGACUUCCUUGCUGCCUUUAUCUAUGUGCAUGUUGACUAAAGCUAAUCUAGAAUCAAUAGAGAGGGAUAUUUAUCUAUUUUGUUUAACAUAAGAGUGCUGUAUAAUUUUUCACUAAAUACACCUACAACAAACUAUUAAUAAUAAAGUGAUAGAAGAAUGCCUAAAAUAUAGGUAUUAAUGUCAUAAUAAGCCCAUGUGGAUCUCAGUGCCGCAAGUUCGAUAAAUGGCUAUCAAGGAUUGCUUAUUAAGUCAAAAUAUUCAAAGGACAAAAUGGUAAAACUAUAAGGGUGGAGUAAUAUGGCUAUCUUGGGUUACAUAGUAAGUCAACUACAUUCAAAGUAUAAAAUAUUAGAACCUGAACGGCGGAGUAGUCGUCGUUAGAACCUGAACGGCGGAGUAAUCGUCGUUAGAAUCUGAAUGAUAUGUCUAAGACGUUGCAUGCAUCUAGAAAAUUGCAGAUGAUUAGACCUUGCCAUCUAUGCGUUGUAUGAGGUUAUAGCAACUAUCUAUCUGGUCACCGUUUUCAAGUCUCAAUUGGUAGUCCAAACUCCAAAGAAAAGAAUGAUUCUACAAUAGCAUUAAGUGUUAAUUGGACACAAAAAGAAAUGUUUUAACCACUUUAAGGAAAGUAAAUGUAAUUUUGUGUCCUAAAGAAAAGGUAAAUGUAUGCACUGUCAAUUAAUCUUUGGUCGACCAGCAACAUCAUAAUUUUGUGUAGGUUCAUUUUUGUUUCUUAGAGUUUGUAAAAAGAAUGGGAAGAUUUUAAAAUAUAAAUUUCAUAUCUGUUUAUUACUGUUGUUUGGUCUAAUUUCUUAUGUAGAAUUUUCAGAAUCUGUAGGACAUUAGUUUAUAAUUUUGAGAUUUUGCAGCCAUAAAUGUUUUUUUUUUCUUUUUUCUUUCUUUUUUUUUUUGUUGGCAUUUUAUUUUGCUCCUUUAUCUAUGUGCAUGUUGACUGGCUGCAGUGAGUGAAAAUUUACCCAUAUAUGCUGGCUAUUCUUGGACAAUAUUAGAGAAAAUAAUCAUAUUAUUUCGCUUGAUGUGAACUUCCAUAACUUAUCAAUUGAAUUGCUGUAAAAUAUUAAAUAGUUUUAUUUUUCUUUUAUCGUGUAACUUGGACCAAAAAAGGAAAUGAGUUUAACACGACCCUCAUUCUGCUUCUUGCUUUGGUUUCAAACAAGUCUUUCUCCUUUAUGACAUUUAUUGUAAUUUCAUUUGGAGACAUAUAUCUGUCGUUCAAAUAUAUUUCAUACGUAAGCUGUUAAUAAUUCUGCUUGCAGAAAGCCUACAAAGCAGCUGUGUGAUGUAAUAGAAGACCAUAGUCUCGUCAAUUUUUCAACAUUAGAUAUUCAGGUCAUCAGCUUCUCAUGAAUUCUUUCCUGAGUUUCUUUGAAUUAUUUGUGAUGUAAUAACUUGUGCAUUUGAGAAACUGUUCUCAUGAAUUCUUUCCUGAGUUUCUUUGAAUUAUUUGUGAAUAAGUUCCUAAUCGGCUGCUUCUCCUCAGGAUAAGGAAAGUGUUGCAAACUGGUGAAGCAGCUGAUAGAUAAAAGCAAUGGGUACAUCUUUGCUGGCAUGGAUCGAUGCCAGUGCGGUUGAAUUCAGCAAGACUGCCGUUCGUGAUGUUGUUGAUUGGGAUUACAUUAAGGAUGAUGACAACAUUGAUUAAAAUGGGACGUGAAGAUAUAUGGUGUGCAAAUUAACCCAACCCAACCAAACCCGUACAUUUUAUCAACCCAACCCAACCCAACCCGUAAAAAAUCACACGGAUUAGGUUGGUUUCACGGAUUGGGCGGGUUAAUUCUAAUUUCUUUAUAAGUUUACCAAAAUUAGAUCUGCUUACCUUUGUUCAUUCAGCAACAACACUUACAAUUCACAGCUAGAGAAUCUAUCCAUUGACAAUUGUGGAUUAAAAUUAUAACACCUGAAUUCAAACAUAUCCUUAUGAAGUUAUGAAUUUGUUCAUACUUCAAAUGAUUUUUUUUUUCCAAGCUAAUAAAGCAACGACUUUGAUCAAACGACGACGUUGAAGGAAUUACGUAUUUUCAAUGUCCUUUGCCAGACAGACGCUGGAGAGAGGGAAAGGAGAAGACUGGCCUAAUUAAGAUAUCUCACAAAGAUUAUUAUUGAGUUAAAAUGUUAUUGUAAAAGAUGUUUAAUACAAUAAUAGUACUUCUUUUGCAUUGUUAUAAUGAGGCUGGCGGGUUUCCUCAGAGGAUGGAUCUGGCUCGCUAGUAUGCAUUUGGGAAGCUGCUAAUUAUCGGCCAUAAAAAGUCAGGGGGUUGUGGCUCGUCCGUCGCCCAGAAAUUCCUAAACUCAUAUAUCAAACUUCAGAUGAACUUGGGCAUUAUGUAAAUAUGUAUUUUUGAGAAUUAAACUAGUGCGUUAGAAAAAUUUUGAGCCAUUGUAAUCAUUUUAUUUUGCUAAGAGAAAAUUUUACUCUGUGUUUCGCUUUGCCUUUUGUUUUUUCUGUGAUAAUAUGAUUCAUACGAAUGUGAUUACACACUAUCAUGCAUCUAUUUUCAUUUGCUUGUCAUGAAUGAUCAACAUGCUCGAAAUAUUUAUUUAGGUUGGAAAUAUUUAAAUCUAUUAAAAUACUAUACACACCCAUUUAAAAAUAAAAAUAUGAUUAUCAUAAUGAUCGCGAAGAUAACACGAUAUCAUACAUAAAAUAAAAUAUUUCGCAAAAAAGAAAAGAUACACUUGAAUACAUUGGUAUAAAAAAUAUUUUAGUGGAUUCAAGUAGCACUAAUGCCCCCUUAUCAAAAAAUAUAUAAAGAUAACUAAUCUGAUUGGGUAUACCGUGUGUGUGUGUAAUAUUUUUUGAUAUUAUUAUAUAAUAUUUUUUAAAAAGAAGAGAGUGGGCAAAGUCCAAAUCAAUUUUCUAAUCCCUAUCUCCUUUAGGAUUUCUAGUCAAAGAGGCUAAAUUGCACGAAAUUGUGCUAGCUUAUUUGAUUUUAAAAUUUUCCAAUGCACUGUAACACACUCUCAUGCUUGUACAUAGCUCGAAAAUCUCUAGAAUUUACCAGAGUAGUGUACCAUGUAGCUUGUACAUAGGUUUUUCUGGAACACUCCAAGCGUUACUAAGCAUAAGAGCUUUGAGAACUCUCUAGACAUAAAACAUUCAAGGGUAGGCCUACCCUAAAAAUAGGGCAUGAUGAUUGCCAUUUGAGCAUACAAGAAGUAAGAACAAAUCAAGUAUAUUUGUAAGCUCCCAAACUCUCUCGUACACACUCUUGUGAAUAAUAUGCUUUCUCUUUGACUACAUUACUCUCUCUUCUCUCUAGUUUUUUUCGUAAGUAUCAUAGCUUAGCUAGUCGAAAAGUUCAAGUAGGAAUGAUAAUUUUUCCUGACAGGAUGUGGGAUCCCAUCUCAUUUGGGACGGGAUUGGGACACAUUUUUAUCCCACAAAAAAAUAUAGGGACGGGAGUAGAAAUUUUUUUAUCCCACUUGUAUAUAUGGGACAGGACUGAGAUUAACAAAUUCAGUCUCGUCCCGUCCCGUCUCAUUACCAACUAGGGAUGGAAAUUUUUCCAAUUGGGAUGGGCUCUCGCAGAAUCCCAUUUAUUUUGGGAUGCAAUUGAGACAUAUUUUUAUCCCAAAAAAAUAUAUCGAGAGUGAGACUUUUUUUUAUCCCACUUGCAUAUUCGGGACGAGACUGAGAUUAGUAAAUCUCACCCUAUCCCAUCCCAUUGCCAACCCUAAGUUCAAGGCUUACUUUGCAAUUAUCUCAUAAAAGUUGUUUUAAGUACCACAGGAGUUUGUUGUGCAAAAUACUCAUCCCGUGACAUUAGCUAAAUAAAAUUAUUUGAAAGCCACUUACCCAAACUAUUAAACAAAUAUUAUUCUUUUAAUAUGUAAUCUUUUAAUAUAAAACUUUUGUCUUAAUUUUCUAUCUCCUACAAUAAAUUUUAUGAUUUUAAAAAUUGAAAAAAUUAGUAACUUUUAGAUAGAGCAUUCCUUACUGUGAAAAGAAAUAUGAAUGGUAAUAUAAAACUUACUUAUUAUAGUAUAAUGCUUUUAGUUUUUUGAAAUAUAGGUUCUUAUUUUUUUCAAGAUAAAGUUCAAAGAAAACAAGUUAAAUGUUGUGGAAAAUCUUACGCACAUACAAUAAAUUAUGACAGCUAAAUGCAAACCUGGCUGAAGUAUUAGUUGUUUUAUUACAGAGACAAAAGGACAAUAUCACUAUCCAAGUCAAAAGCAACUCAAUGUGAGUCUUAGGGCACUCGCAGUGAAUCCCAAGAUAAACUAAUUUCACUAGCAAGUUGGAUACCAAAGAGUAAGGCUUCAGCCUCAAUUAUAUUAACAUUAGCUGAGUAAACAUUAAAUACCACAAUCAAUCUCAGAAAUCAUAAUUAAACUAUCAUGAUUAAAAAUAAAGUUUUUUUUUUAGAUAUCCGUUUGUAGUAUCUCUUUAGAUGACAAGUAGGAGAUAAAGUAAAUAAAUAUUGGUUGCGUAAAUAAAAAUAAAUAAAUUUUUUAACUGAAAAAAAAAUUCCUAAAAACUAAAUAGUUCAAACUUUUUUUAACAUGAAAUAAAUAUUUGAUGCGUAAAUAAAAAAAAUUUAACUGAAAAAAAUUCCCAAGAACUAAAUAGAUCAAACUUUUUGUUUAACAUCAUGGGUUUUGUAUAUUCAAUUGAACCGAACAACUAAAUUAAAUCGAAAUUACCAUGUUCGGUUCAAAUGAAUAGACGAAAACCGAACAGUUUAUAUUUUUAUGAACUGAUGGUGCGUUUACUUCAUGAAAUGAAAAUAUGGUGGAAUGAGAAUGUGUUAAAAUGAAAAUGAGGAAUGAGAAUGAGAUUCUAAUGUUUAUUUAGUAAAAAUAAAGGGAAAUGAGAAUGUGCUGGAAUGUCAUUGAUGUGUUUAUUUGACAAAAUAAAUGACAAAAGUAUCAAUUCGGAUCCUGCUAAUGAUAGUUUGCCAUAUCCUUUGUCAUUGAACUUUCUUACAAAUGCUGUGGUUUGUUGUAGUAUAAUUAGUUCAAUCAGAAACUUCCUUGAUGUUAAUAUAGAUAUGAGUGUGCUGUGAAUAUUGAGGACUUCAUUAGACUAAGUGAUGUGAUGAUGGAGCAUUCACUUGGUCCCAAUGGAGGUUAGUCAGCCCAUUGUUGUUUACUCUUUCUUGCUUUAUCACGCAAUGAUAUUCCUUUGCUUCACAACAAAUUUCAUGAAAUUAACUUCAAUCGAGUGGCUAUGUUCAUACGCUAUUGAGAUUUUAUGGACAAUGAUUUGGUAGACUUUAUAUGCCGUCUUCUUUCUUUUUGCAGUGAUAUGUUUGUAUGCAAUGCACUUGUACUUGUUCUAUGGUUUCUAAAGUAGGCGUUUUUAUGAUAAACUAGGUCUUGGGUAUUGUAUGGACUAUCUAGAGAAGAAUAUUGACUGGUUGCAGUCGAAAUUGGAACCACUUUUGAAAGGUAAGAAGUGGCCAUUUUCCUUCAUUCUAAUGCCAAUAAUGCUGUCAUGAGACUCAUAAAAAUUGUUAAAACGUUAAUGUUUUUGGUAUUUUGCAGAUCAUUAUCUUCUGUUUGAUUUUCCUGGCCAAGUUGAAUUAUUUUUUCUUCAUUCCAAUGCCAAGAAUGUUAUAAUGAGACUCAUAAAGAAGUUAAAUCUCAGGGUAUUGUUACAUCUUACGUCUAUGAAGGGACUCAAAGAGUUGAGAUGAAUUCAUCAUUAUUAUUUUGAUGCCAGAAUUGUGCAAUUCUCAGUUGCUUCCUUUCACAUGCAGUUGACUGCAGUGCAUCUAGUUGAUGCGCAUCUUUGCAGUGACCCCGGGAAGUAUGUUAGUGCUUUGCUUCUCUCGUUGUCGACGAUGCUACAUCUGGAAUUUCCCCCAUGUCAAUGUCUUGUCUAAGAUCGGCCUGAUUGAGAAUUAUGGAAAGCUAGGUGUGGUUUUAAGUGUAGCUCUCCUACUUGUUUGUUUAGAUUGAGAUAUCAGAUAUUGUCACAAGCUCCUAUCUGCUACAUUUCCUCACCAAUCAAUUACUUUGGGUAUGUUGCAGCUUUUAAUCUCGAGUACUAUACGGAUGUGCAAGAUUUGUCAUUUUUACAGCAUGCUCUGGGUCAGGACCCUCGUUCUGCUAAGUAUAGGUUUGAAUUCUAGCUGAAUCAAUGAUGCAAAUUAUGUCCAUUGCUAUUUCUGACUGUCGUUUCUAUCAUUUUCAAUUGUUACCUCCCCUUGCCAUCUACUGCCAUACUGCAAUGCCCACACAAAUGUUAUGAAAUUUGUCAAUGGAAAUGACAUUCUAUUUGUCCAGAGACAGCUCUUAGAUGCAAGUGAACAAUUUUUGGCUUUGGCCGUAGUACAGCCUUAGAUUUCAACUUGCCAUAUCUUGUCUCGGAAGUCAAAAGAAAGCAUAUAUGUUAGCCAAAUUUUAUUUGAAUUUCUUGUGUAACAAUGAAUGGGGAAAAAAAACAGUUCCUCUUUUGUUUUGAUCAGACUCAAUGAAUAAGUGGUUAAAAUGUGCCUGUACUAGAAAUAUAGAUGUGUGGUUUCAUAAAAUUUUCUUGAUCUUAAGAAAGAGUUAUCUUGAAAAGAAGAUAACAUGGGGAAUUGAACAACUAUACAGUCAUAUUGAUGUCUGUCAACUUGGGUCAUAUGGUGUCGUUUGGAUGGAGAUGUUAGGUCCCAGAUGGUAAACUUGUUAUCGAAUUCCAGUCUACUUCAUUCAUGCUUUGAUGACAUAUGUGGUGCAGCUUCUUAUCUAAGACCUGCAUAUGUUACAGUCAACAUUCUGUUCUGUAUUUGGCUGCCAUUCUUUUCAAUGAAUUCAAACCACUUUCUGAAUACUUGGAAAUUCAUCCAGUGUUGUCAUUGAGAUGCCAAUAUGAAAAGAAGCCAUAAUUGCCCUUGAUAGUAUGCUUAUUGAUUGCCUCUUGCCUCACUCAACCUCAGGAAUCUGCUUGUAUGGUGUUCUUCUAAUUUCAAUUGGAGAUAAAUAAUAUCUGUUGUUCAAAUAUAUUUUAUUUACAAGCUGUUAAUAAAUCUGCUUGCAGAAAGCUUACAAAGGAGCUGUGUGAUGUAAUAGAAGUCUACAGUCUGGUCAAUUUUUCAACCUUAGAUAUUCAGGUCACCAGUUUCUCUUGAAUUCUUUCUUGAGUUUCUUUGAAUUAUUUGUGAAUAAGAUCUUAGUUGACUGCUUCUCUUCAGGAUAAGGAAAGUGUGGCAAAACUUGUGAAGCUGAUAGGUAAAAGCAAUGGGUACAUCUUUGCUGGCAUGGAUGCCAGUGCAGUUGAAUUCAGCAAGAUUGCCGUUCGCGAUGUUGAUUGGGAUUAUUUCGGAUAUCCUUCUUUUCACCUAUUUUCAAUCUUGUUAUUCUCAUAUUCAUAAAACUUUUUGGUUAUUUAAUUAUGGUUCAUCAUAUGCAUCUGCAUCUUCUAACUUGUUCGUUUGAGAAACUAAUUUUGCCGUUAGGUAGGCUUCGAGCUUGAUGAGUUGAUUCAUGCUUUUUCAUAAAUGUACCAAAAUCAUGGAAACUUCUUUUUCCCAGAUAUUGUAUCCACACUUUUCCCAUAUAAUUGGGUCAGACAAGUUUUGCUUAACAAAGAUAUCUACAGUAGCCGAAGUGCAGGAGAAGUACAUUAAGGAUGAUGACGAUGUUAACUAAAAUGAGACGUGAAGAUAUGUGGUGUGCAAACCGUAAGCCUGCCUCUUAAUUUUGUGCAUGUUUACUUGCUUGUGAUUCACGUUUGUUAAUCUAUUUUGCUCUCUUGCAGGAGUUAUAAAGUUUUCAAUCAAUCAAACAUUUAACUCAAGUCCUUAGCUCUUCACGGCUUGAAUGGGUCAGAUAGGACAAGCGCCGAAGAGGUGGUUUUAAUCAAACCCCUCCUAAUUAUGAUGUAUGGUCCGAAUCUCGGACUUUUUGUACAAUAUCAAGCGAUUUUUUUUUGGUUGAAUCGGCUAGUGUACGCAAAUGUCGAUUAUUGAUUUUUCUCCAGUAUUGUUUGUAAUUACAAGAAACGAAGUAAUGAAAUUUAUCACUGCGUUCAUAGUUAUGCUUAAGCUCAAAGAUUACCGUCAAGAUCAUUUUGGGCCCUCAAAGAAACAUGAUGUUGACACAUGUAAAAUUAUGAAGCUUGUGAUUAAAAUACUUUUCACAUAUAUAUGUUAAGUUCUAUUAAUAAUUAAAUAUAUGAAUAAAUAUGGUCAAUGAGGAGAGGAUAAAAUAAAAUGGUUUCAUUUUUUGAAUUACCCAUCCGCUUCAAACUUCUAAGAAGUAGAUAUACAAUCAGUGGAAUACUGAAUUGAGUACGAGCUGCGGAUAACUUAUAAAAUUGGGAUACAAGCUUCAAGGAAAGUGUAUUGCUAUUCAAAUGUAGAUUUCAAAUUAAGAAGAUAUGCCAACAAAUUAUUCUAAAUGAUGAAAUGAGCUAUCUUGAUCAAAAGGUCAAGAACCUACCUUACUUCUCUUAGAGAUAACUUGCAUCAACCGUUGUGGUAUUGAUACUUGUCUUCAGCUAGUAAAAGUGAAAGUUUCACAAUUGAAAUAAAGCUAAGGGAAGAUGCUAUGCUCCAUUUAUUAUUAUUAUUAUUAUUGACGUGGUCGAGAAGUAAAGCCGUGCAUAUGAUGAAGUAUAAAUAAGAAUGCAAUAGCCCGGAAUUCAUUUACACAAACACUUCAAUAUCCUUUCGAUCACUUUUGCAAACAUCAAUUUGUCUCCUCUUGUAUUCACCAUGGUUGAUGCCAUCGUUUCCCCUCUCGUGGAGCAGCUGACUUCCUUCGCUGCUAAAGAGAUAAUACAACAGGUGAUCGAAGUUACACCCCCCAUAGUAUAAAUACUUCUAAUGAUUUUAAUUGGUUUUGUUUUUAUCGAAAACAUUAACUUUGCUUUAUUUUACGCAUUUAGGCAUUUUAAAUUUUGAAAUUUGAAUUGAAUUUAAUUAAAAUGUGAUUUAGUUAGUAACCACUUUUUUUUUUCAUUUAUAUUCUCAAUAACUACCCAUAUUUUGGUAACUUACUGUAACCCCCGUAUCUAAGAAAUUAUCAAAACCCACAAUUUUAACUCCACAUAAAUAUUCCAUGUUGAGCUAAGUUCGAUGUUGAGGUAAGUUUUUUGCAUAACAUUCAAAUUUGUCAAAUAGUCAUUAAUUUAAUGUUUAGUAAAAACUCAUCUCUGAAAAAUUUCAUAAUUUUCUUACAUUAUUUGAGUCUGGUAAGUGACUUCAUAUAAUUUCUUUUCAAUUUAAAUUUUAAUUUGGUUUCUGAUAUAGUCUCUUUACUGAAUUUAUAUCUUUUAUGAUUCUUGGAUUUUGGGCUCCAACUUUUUAGGAUUUGAUAGUCACAUUUUAUGGCAUGCUUAGAUUGAUGUUCAUGAUUUUUAGUACUCGUUAAGUGACUGAGAAUUUGACAAAAGUUUGAAAGGAAAUCCGUUUCACGAUUCUUAUGUGGAAGGUUCGUAAAAUCAUGAAAUUUGGAUAGGAUUCAUUAGCAAUAUGUACAAGACUGUCCAUAAAGUUUCAUAAUUUUUCAUUCGGUCGGGGGUGGUACAGGUGAAACUUGUGGUUGGUGUUGAAGAAGAAGUGAAAAGCCUUACCAGCCACCUUCAAGCCAUUCAAGCUGUGCUCAAUGAUGCAGAGGAAAAGCAAGUGAAGGACAAAGCUGUUAGACAUUGGCUGGGUAGGCUCAAGUAUGCAUCCUACGACAUUGAAGAUGUGUUGGAUGAGUGGAUCACAGCUAGACACAAAUUGCAAAUUGAGGGUGGCGUUGAUGACAAUGCUCUUGCUGCUCCUCAAAAGAAAAAGAAGGUAUGUUUCUGCUUUCCUGCCUCUUGUUUUGGAUUCAAACAAGAAGAAUUUGGUUUCAGACAAGUCUUUCUACGUUAUGACAUUGCCAACAAGAUCAAAGAAAUGAAUGAAGAGCUACAUGCUAUUGCUACUCAAAAAGACAUGUUUAAUCUUGUUAAGAGUGGCAAUAAAAGUGGUGAAAGACCAAGGCGUGUACAGAGUACCUCCUUGAUUGAUGAGGAAGAGAUUUGUGGUAGAGUUGGUGAGAAGAAUGAACUCAUAAGCAAGCUGUUGCGUGAGAGUAGCGAGCAACAAAAAGGCCUCCAUAUCAUCUCAAUUGUUGGUAUGGGAGGCAUAGGGAAAACUACUCUUGCACAACAAGCUUGUAAUGAUGACGAGGUGAAGAGAAAGUUUGACAAAAUUAUGUGGGUGUGUGUAUCAGAAACUUUUGAGGAGUUUAGGGUUGCCAAAGCAAUGGUUGAAGCUUUGGAUGGUCGUGAAUCUCAUUUAGGUGAAUUCCAAUCUCUUCUUAAACAUAUUGAUGAAUCCAUUGCAGGGAGGAGCUUUCUUCUUGUCUUGGAUGACGUAUGGGAUGGAAAUUACGUGAGAUGGGAACCAUUCUAUCGUUGUCUAAAGAAUGGUCUCCAUGGAAGUAAAAUUAUAGUUACCACACGUAGUGGGUCCGUUGCAUCCAUGAUGGGAUCCAUAGAUAUUAUUCCCAUUAAGGAAUUAGCUGAAGAGGAAUGUUGGUUGUUGUUUAACAAGAUAGCAUUUUUUGGUAGGCCUAUCGAGGAACGUGAAAAAUUCGAACGAAUUGGGCGAAGAAUUGCAGGCAAGUGCAAAGGUUUACCUCUUGCUGCAAAGAUAUUAGGGAGUCUUAUGCGCUCUAAACAAACUGAAGAAGAGUGGAAAAUAAUUUUAACUAGUGAUUUAUGGAAAGUAGAAGAGAUUGAGAAAGAUGUUUUGUCCUCUUUAUUGUUGAGUUACAAUGAUUUGCCAUCUAGAGUAAAAAGAUGUUUUUCAUAUUGUGCUGUCUUUCCAAAAGACUACAAUAUAAAAAAAGACAAACUAAUUACAUUGUGGAUGGCUCAAGGUUAUCUUAGUGCAGAAGAAGAUGAGGAGAUGGAGACUAUAGGUGAAGAGUAUUUUAGCAUCUUAGCUUCUCGCUCUUUCUUUCAAGAGUUUGAGAAAAGUUAUGAUAAUCGUAUUAUAGAGUGCAAGAUGCAUGAUAUGGUACAUGAUUUUGCCCGAUUUGUAAGUCAAAAUGAAUGUUUUUCGAUGGAAAUUAAUGGUAGUGAGGAACCAAACACCAUAAACUCUCUUGAUGAGAAGGUUCGUCAUUUAAUGUUAAUCUUUAGUAAAGGGGCUUCAUUACCUGUUUCCACUCUUAGAGUUAAAAGAAUGCGUACCCUCUUAAUUAACGAUAGUAGAUCUGAUCAUUCAUUAUUAAAUGGUGAGAUCCUAGAAGAAUUAUUUAGGGAAUUGACAAGUUUAAGGGCAUUAGAUUUUGGCGGAUCGUACACACAUUUUUCUUUGACUCUGGAGAUUCCAAGAAACAUAGAAAAGCUGGUACAUUUAAGAUACCUUAAUUUGUCUUGUCAGAAAAUAGUGGAGCUACCGGAGACAUUGUGCGAGUUAUAUAAUCUACAAAAGUUAGAUAUUAGUGAUUGUUUUAAUCUUAAAGAAUUACCUGAAGGGAUUGGGAAGUUAAUAAACAUGAAGCAUUUACGAAAUAGAAGUACUAGUUCUUUAAGGUACAUGCCAGUAGGGAUUGGGAGAUUAACGGGUCUUAGGACCUUGGGUGAGUUCCACGUGAGUGCAGGAGGAGGUGUUGAUGGUGGGAAAGCAUGUAGGCUUGAAUCUCUUAAAAACUUGGAACACCUUCAAGUAUGUGGUAUACGUAGACUGGGUGAUGUAUCAGAUGUGGGCGAGGCUAAGCGAUUAGAACUUGACAAAAAGAAAUACCUCAUCAGUUUGACCCUUGAGUUUGAAAAGAAGGAGGAAGGAGGAGGAAGGAGGAAGAACGAGGACGAUCAACUUCUUCUUGAAGCCCUACAACCACUUCUCAAUUUAAAGGAAUUAGAGAUACAGUACUACCGAGGCAACACUGUUUUCCCCAGCUGGAUGACGUCAUUAACCAACUUAAAGAGUUUAGAUCUCUCUUUGUGCCUAAAUUGCGAGCAGCUGCCUCCUUUGGGAAAAUUGCCGUCCCUUGAAAAACUCAGCAUAAUGUUUAUGCCUGUGAAAAGAGUGGGUGAUGAAUUUUUGGGGAUAGAAAGUGGUCAUCGUGACUCAUCUUCAUCUUCAUCGGUUAUUAUUGCCUUCCCCAAAUUGAAAUCACUUUCAAUUGAGUCUCUGGACGAAUUGGAGGAGUGGGAUUAUGGGAUUACAAGAACGGGAAACACCGUCAUCAACAUCAUGCCACGUCUUUCUUCAUUGGAAAUUAAUUACUGCCCCAAAUUAAAGGCACUGCCCGACCACAUUCAUCAAACGACAACAUUGAAGGAAUUGCGCAUUUGGGGGUGUGACCUUCUGGAAGAACGUUACCGCAAGGGAGAAGGAGAAGACUGGCCUAAGAUAUCACACAUUCCCAACCUCCAUAUUGGGCUUUGACAAGUAAUUUCUUCUCUUACUCUGAUUUGCUUUGUUGUUGUUUUUAAUCUAAUUAAGAAGCGUAAAUAGCAUUUUGAAUCAAACUCUAUAUCAGAAAUCUGCAAUACUUACUUUCUAAUAUUCUGAUUUUCAUAUCCUAUGAAUAUACGAUUUUUAAUUUGUGAGAUGGGUAACGUUACUGUAAAAGAUUAUUAAUGCAAUAUGAGUAAUUCUUUUGCAGGACAAGUGACCUACAUUUAGUUUGGCUUUGGAGUUGAAUAAUAACCUUUCGGGAACUGGUGUGGACUGGCAAAGGAUGAUGAGAUAGUUUUUUGAGUGAGUAAAUUUUGGGAGCUUGAGUGUAUUGGGAUUUGCAAUUACAAUCAUCCUCUGCUUCAGGUGAUUUCUUCUCUUGCUCUGUCAUUGUUUGUUCUCUAAUUCAAAAGCAUAAAAUAUUUCAAUCAAUUCUUAUACCACGAAUAUGCAAAAGUUUCUAAUAUUUUAUUUCCAUCUGUUACAAGAUCAAACUGAAGCAGAACUCAAACAAAAGUAUGCUACUUCUUGCGGAAAUCUUGCCUUUGUUCAGAUUAUGAAACCAUUUCCAUGCAGCAAAUUCAUCCAAAAGUUUGAAUAAGUUUCAUGGUCGGACACUGUUGGCUUCUUUUUCUUCUGGGGUGCAUUUAGGUGCUAUCAAGUGACAGCUGUAAGUAUGAUUGCACUAAGCUGCUGCUGGGAAAUUUGAGGUUUUGAUGGCUGCCCAUGUUAUUUUCAAGAAACUAUUGAUGUAAGAAGCUGUGGUUCUUUUCAUCAGCUUGAACCUGAAACUGUCGCUAUGGAUAACUCAGGUUUUUGUUAUCAACUAUAUCAUCUUUUUCACUAUUUUGAAACUCUUAAGAUUAAACGUUAGUAAAGUUGUUUCAGCUAUUCAAAUGAAAAACUCAUUGAUUUGAGACUUCCUUCAUUAUUGUUUCUAAUUACAAUGCUAACGAUCCAGAUAAGAUAAUAUUUAAUCGGCGAAGGUGUCCCUUGGAAGUACAUCCUUCUUUUUCUUUUAUUAUAUAAAUUCUUGCAAUGAGCUUAGUGAAGCUGUUGUGCUAAUCAUGCCACUGCAUAAUUUGGCCCCUAAUGUGGGUACUCUGUUACAUUGUUCUGCAAAUUCUCCAGAAGUUAAAAUCAAUAAAUUUUCUAUUAGCUCUAGUGCUUUGACCUAAAUGCUAUUCUAUAUUCUGAUUACAAUGUUUUAACCUUUAAAUUAACUACCCCUAGAUGUUGGAUUUUCUAGAACUUCAAAUUAUAUAUAACCUUUAAAUUAUAUAUUUCUGUGUCUCUAUUUAUAGAUGACAUUUAAGCAUCCAUAAACCGUCAGACAGAGGAAGGGGGUUCAGUGCAAAGAUUCUGUUGACCUAGGGUUGACUGCAUAUGUCACUUGUUCGCAAUCUAAUAUUUAUUUUAUAUUUUGAAAAAUUUAAUGGGUAAUCCUAAUUGUUUGUUUUGGCAGGUAUGUGUUGUUAUCUCCUUCUAUCUUACAGUCGUACCUAAAUAGCAUAGUUUCAUCUGUGUUACCAUGUGAUGUACAUAAUUUCACAUUUGCCUCAGAUUAAGCUUAAUUUCCCACAGAAUAGAGCUGUCGCGACUGGACUUAGUUUGAUGUCCAAAGAGGUAAAUUAUUGGCAUGCCUAGAUAAUUUGGCCAUUUCCUAAUUCAUAAGUCUACAUUAAUUUUGAUUUUGAGUUGACUGAUUUCUUUUCAAGGUCUGCUUCCUUAACGGAGUGACCAAUGUUUUUCAACUAAAUUUAUCAUAUGAUGCAGGAAGCAGGGCAGGAUAUGAAAUGAGAAGCUCAUUGGUGGAAGUAUUGCCAGUAGCAGAACCCAAUGAAAAUGAAACUAUUUCAAGGCAGCAGUUGGCAGUUGCAAGUGAAUGGAGGCCCUUGACAAAAUUCUCAAGCAGUUGCAAUGCAAUUACGAUCAUCCUCAGCCUCAGGUAAUUUCUUCUCCUGCUUUGUUUUUAUUUGUUAUCUAAUUAGGAAGCAUAAAGUAUCUUGAAUCAUUUUCUGUAUCUGGAAUAUAUGCAAGAGUUUCUAAAAUUUUGAUAUGAGUGUAAUGAUGGUAAUUUCUGUUUUCUGUCUGUCAUCAAAUGUUAGAAAACUUUCAUUGAGACCCUUGAACCGAGUCAUUUUUGACAAGUGAAGUGCCGAAGAGUGAAGAGUAAGAAUGGUGCUAGAUUGGGGAAUAAAGCAAAAGGAGGUAAAUUAUUGGCAGCUUCUUCAGCCUUAUUUUCUUUGGACCAGUGCCUAAUUCACAAGUCUCCAUAAUUCGGCUUUUGACCAGUUGAUAGAUAAAAUUUUAAUUUCAUUGGUGCUAAUGUACCCGUGAAGCAGGCAGAGAAGGACUGUGGAAAAGAGAAGGUUUUUAGUGAAAGCUUAAACGCAGGUAAUUCUAUAAAUUAUAUGUUUUUGCUGAUUUAUCUAAAUCAGGAAAUUUUAUUUCCAUCUGUUACAAUAAAACAGAAACAGAACACAAAGAAAAAUAGUCUACCUCUUGUGGCAAUCUUGCCUUCAUUCAGACUAUGAAACCAUUUCCUUUCACCAAUUUCUUCCAAAAGUUUGAACACGUUUCAUGGUUGGACAUAGUUAGCUUCUUUUUCUUUUGGUGCAUUUAGGUGCUAUCAAGUGACAGCCAUAAGUAUGAUUGCAUUAUUGGGAAAUUUUAGGUUUUGAUGGCUCCCCAUGUUAUUGCCAAGAAAUUUUAAGUCCUCAUGUCAGAAGCUGCGUUUCUUUUCAUCAGCCUGAACCCGAACUGAGGUUUUUGUCAUCAACUAUAUCAUCUUUUUCACUGUUUUGAAACUCUUAAGAUUAAACUUCAGUAAAGUUGUUUCAGUUAUCCAUGUAAUCAGGCUAAGGAUAUUUAGCAGCUUAUUUAGGCAACUGCCAGAAUUCAGUUUGUUUGCUCGAAACUUGUAUGGUGACAAGGAUACUGGCAAGGAUAGUGAGAUAGAUUUUUGUGUGAGUGAAUUUUGAAAGCUUGGGUGUUCUGGGAUUUGCAAUUGCAAUCAUCCUCUGCUUUAGGUGAUUUCUUCUCCUGUUCUGUCUUUAUUUUCUCUCUAAUUGAAAGCAUAAAGUAUUUCAAUCAAAUUCUGUACCAGGAAUACGAAAAACUUACUAAUAUUUUAUUUCCAUCUGUUUGCAUUGAUAACUUGGCCGCAUAUGUACUAGUUAAAGAACAAACAGAAGCAGAGUUCAGGAAAAAGUUUCUUCGGCCACCAUAUUUGAAAAUGAAACCAUUUCCAGGAAGCAGUUGGCAGCAAAUUCAUACAAAGUACAGACAAUGAUGAGCAAAAAGGUGAUUCGCAAUUUCAUUUUUUAAAAAUGAAAUUAUUUGUUAAGUUGGAGCUGAUAUUGUUAGAAGGCCAUUGAGCUAACCUAUGACACUACUUGCCUAGAUUGCAGGAGGUCAAGACUCAAAAGAUGCACUGAAUUUUAAAAGGCAUGCAAUAAUUCUUAUGGCCAUUUGUCAAUGGUGGAAUGCUUUUAGCUUCUUUUCCUUUCGUGCAUUUUGGGGUUCUAUCAAGCGACAGCCGUAUGCAUGGAUGGAUAUAGCCGCUGCGUUGAUUUCUAAUGCGUUGUAUGAUGUUAUAGCAACUAUCCAUCUGGUCAAUGUUUCAAAAGAAUAAAACACAGGGAAAAAGAGAAAGCAAGUGGCCAAUCAAGUAUUCAUGUCCCAAAGAAAAGAAUGAUUCGACAAUAGCAUUAAGGGUUAAUUGGACACAAGAGAAGUGUUUUAACCACUUCAAGGAAUGUAAAUGUAAUUUUCUAUUCUGAAGAAAAAGUAAAUAUAUGCACUGUCAAUUAAUCUUUGGUCAACCAGCAACAUUCAUAAUUUCGUGUAAGUUUCAUUUCUGUUUGUUGGAAAUAGCAGUGUAUUUCUUAGAGUUUGUAAAAAAUGGAAAGAUUUUAAAAUAUAAAUUUCACAUCUGUUUAUUACUGUUGUUUGAUCUAUUUUCUUAUGUAGAAUUUUCGGAAUCUGUAGGACAUUAAUUUAUAAUUUUGAGAUUUUGUAGCCAUAAAUGUUUUUGUUCUUUUUUUCUUUUUUUUGUUGGCAUUUUAUUUUGCUCCUUUAUCUAUAUGCAUGUUGACUAAAGCUAAUCUAGAAUCAAUAGAGAGGGAUAUUUAUCUAUUUUGUUUAACAUAAGAGUGCUGUAUAAUUUUUCACUAAAUACACCUACAACAAACUAUUAAUAAUAAAGUGAUAGAAGAAUGCCUAAUUUUUCGUACUUUUUAAUUUCUUUCAGCCCUAAAAUAUAGGUAUUAAUGUCAUAAUAAGCCCAUGUGGAUCUCAGUGCCGCAAGUUCGAUAAAUGGCUAUCAAGGAUUACUUAUUAAGUCAAAAGUAUUCAAAGGACAAAAUGGUAAAACUAUAAGGGUGGAGUAAGAUGGCUACCUUGGGUUACAUAGUAAGUCGACUACAUUCAAAGGAUAAAAUAUUAGAACCUGAACGGCGGAGUAGUCGUCGUUAGAACCUGAACGGCGGAGUAAUCGUCGUUAGAAUCUGAAUGAUAUGUCUAAGACGUUGCAUGCAUCAAGAAAAUUGCAGAUGAUUAAACCUUGCCAUCCAUGCGUUGUAUGAGGUUAUAGCAACUAUCUAUCUGGUCACCGUUUUAAAAGAAUAAGACAAAGGGAAAAAGAGAAAGAAAAGAAUGAUUCGACAAUGGCAUUAAAGUUCAACGUACCCCAAGAUCUUGUAAUAAUGCCAUUAAUCAUUCUCUAGCUAGGCUAGCCUUAGAGAAAAGUGAAACUGUUGCACAGGUAGAAUCACACCCCUCAGAGAUAAUGUAUUUAUUCAGCUCUUCGAAUGAAUGAAGUUUAUUUUCUCGUCAAAAAAAAAAACUGCUCGCUCCGCUGGUUUCAUACAAUGUCAACUAGAAACAUCAUACUUUCGUGUAAGUUCAUUUCAGAAUAUUUCUUAGAGUUUGUAUAAAAUGAAAAGAUUUUAAAAUAUAAAUUUAAUAUUUGUUUAUUACCGUUGUUUGGUCUAAUUUCCUCGGGAGAAUUUUCAGAAUUUAUAGGACAUUAGUUUAUAAUUUUGAAAUUUUGUAACCUAAAUGAUUUUUUUUUCGGUUACCAUUUUGUUUUCCUGCUUUAUCUACGUGUAUGUUGACUAAAACUAAUCUAUUUUGUUAAACCUUUACCACUCUAGACAUUGCACUAAAUAUGAGUUCGUGAUGCUUGCAUUUUAUUGAUGCUGAUGAUUCGUUGAAUGUUUUAUGUUUUUGAUUUUUAAGUAUUCCGGAUCGAAGUUUGUGUCUACGCGGAAAUUGUAAAGGCAGCAUAUAAAGUACUCGUCGUUCUUUAGAUUUUAUUGAGUACACUUUUGUCACAUUUAGCGUAUGCUAUACACUACUGAUUUGCGCAUUGACAUAUAUCUUUUUUUUUUAUGAGAGGGGGCUCGUCAAAACGAGCUAAACAGGAACAAACCGGGGGUUAGAAAUCCCAAACAAGUCUUGCGAAAUGAUAGAAUAAACACCCAUAGGAGGGUUAGAGAACACAUGGAGGCCAAGAGGAGCUGAAUGAGCCAUAUUAGCCAUGAAAUCCGCAGCUGAGUUUGCUUCGCGAUAAAUAUGGGUGAUAGCAGUCUGCCAAUUUCUACUUAGUAAUUCCCGGACAGCUGAUAAUAAAGCAGUGAACGCAUUAGGAACAACCACCUGCUUAGAAAUCAUUUGUGUAAUACAAAUACUAUCCACUUCCACCAACAACCGUUUUAUGCCUACAUCCCAAGCAAGAAUUAGGCCCUGAUACAGCCCCCAAAGCUCAGCCAUAAGCACUGACCUGUCCCCAAUUUUCAUACAAAAGCCGGAUACCCAAUGACCAACUGAGUCUCGAAUAACACCUCCCGCUCCUGCUUCCCAAGUAUUUUUACAGGAGCCAUCUGUAUUUAAUUUACACCAUGGCCAAGGCGACGGCAGCCAAUGAAUAUAAAUCUCCUGUCUCCUCGGCUGCUGGCUUAGGCAAGAAUUAUUUACUCUGCAAAUUUCUUUAGCUCUCGCCAUAACAUCCAUAUAGAUUGUUAGACUAUCCACCAGCUUUCCCUCAAAGAAAAAAUGGUUCCUCCAGAACCAUAGCCUCCAAACUACCACACCAAAGAUACAAUCCCAGGGGAGGGGAGACCCAAUCUUCCAUUUAUUUUGCAGGUUCCCAGCAAUCCAUUCUCGUAAGUUCGAAUUGAAGAAAGUGUUAUGACUGGCCAUCGGAACAAGCUUCCGCCAAACCUGCUUGAUACAGCUGCAGUCUCUCAAUGCAUGGAGGAUAUCUUCAACCGCACCCCCACACCUAUCACAAUCCUCAGGAACAUUAAUAUGGCGCCUAACAAGUUCAUCACGAGUCUUGAGUUUCCCAUGCAUAAGCUGCCAAAGAAAAAGGCGGAUGGAUUGAGGCCCCUUCCAACUCCAUGGAAGCUUCCAAUUUCUGUCAUGAACAGCAGCUUGAUGAUAGCAAAGUGAUUCAUAAGCUGACCGAACCGAAAACAUGCCGCUUGGAUCAAAGCCCCAGUAAAUAAUAUCAGCCCCAAGAUGAGGAGCCGGAGGCAAGACUGAAGCAAUCUGCAUGAGAAUACCAUGCGGCAGAAGAUGCUCAAAGCUCGACCAAUUCCAUCCCCCAUGCCCAUUCGUAAAGUCACUCACAGUGGCAUUGAUAAGCUCGUGAGGAAUCGGCAAGAUGGCAAGGCUGAUCAGAGGAUAUUUCGUAGCCCAACAAUCAACCCAGAAUCGAGUUCUAACACCAUCACGAACUGACCAGCGAGCUCCCUGCACUGUUGCCAACCACGUGCUACGAAUAGCCCUCCAAAUCUGAGAACCCGGUUUGUCUGAAAGAGACAUUGGUAGGUUGCGAGACUCCAAACCAUAUUUGGAGCAGAAGACUUGCACCCACAGUUUAUCCGAAUUGGAAACAACCUCCCAGCUCAAUUUCAUCAACAUCGCCUGAUUCAUUUCGUCCAUUUUUUUGAAUCCCAGGCCUCCAUGUUUUUUCGGCUUGCAAAUUUUGUCCCACCCCACCAUACUCAUCUUGUGACUCUUUGAAUUCCCAUCCCAAAUAAAUCUUCGACAAGCUUUGUCUAUUUUAUGUCUCACUGGAGAAGGAAGUAAGGUCGUUUGCAUGGCAUAAACAGGCAUUGCUUGCAGGACUGAUUGAGCCAGAGUGACGCGUCCAGCAAAAGAUAGAUGAGCCGCGUUCCAACCAGUUAACCGCUUAUCCACUUUAUCAAGGAUGGAUUGAUACGUGUAUUUAUUAACCCGCGAAUGGAUUAAGGGCAUUCCAAGAUAAUCACCCAAAUUAUUUGUGGCCGAAACUCCCAAAGUCGAGCCUAUGAUAUUGGCAUCCCGAGAAGCGACAUUUUUUGAGAAGAAAACUUUAGUUUUCAUUUUGUUGACUUUUGCUUCCGAACUCCUACAAUAAUUAUCCAGAACAGCAUCUACGACAUAAGCUUGAUCAAUUGAAGCUUCCGCAAAUAAAAGCAAAUCAUCUGCAAAAAAGAGAUGCGUUAAAGGAGUUCCAUAUUUGGCCAACCGGAUAAGCCUCCAUCUCCUCUCCAUCACCGCUUGGGUUAUACCAUGGCUUAACCGUUCAAUGCACAGAACAAAAAGAUAAGGCGAGAGGGGAUCGCCCUGACGGAUACCCCUUCCCGGAGUGAAAGCUUAUGUCGCCUCGCCAUUCCACAAAAUACGCAUACUAGCUGAAGUUACGCAUUCCAUGAUUAGUCUAGAUAAGUGAAUUGGAAUACCAGUCUGGUUAAGCGUAUCAAAAAUGAAAUCCCAACUGAGCCGGUCAUAAGCCUUCUCAAGGUCGACCUUAAUGGCCAUAAAUCCUUUCCUGCCAGUUUUUCUGCGCAUAGAGUGAACUACUUCCUGAGCCACUACAAUAUUAUCUACUAUAUGCCUCCCAGGAACAAAGCUCGUCUGAUUGGGGCUUAUUAGAUUGGGCAGCAGUGUUUGCAAUCGAGUGGCUAUAAUUUUAGUCACCGUCUUGUAGGCCACUGUGUAUAGGCUUAUGGGCCUAAACAUCUUUAAGCUAGUGGGGUGCUCCUCUUUAGGAAUCAAAACCAAGAGGGUAGUAUUUAUCUCUUGCGGCACCUUCCCCGUUGUAAAAAUAUCAUGAAUAAACCUGCAAAACGACGGACCAACCACAUGCCAUUGGGAUUGAUAAAAUAUAGCGUGCAAACCAUCCGUACCUGGGGCUUUCAGCGGCUUCAUGCUAAACACAACGUUCCGAAUUUCCUCCCUCAAAAUUGGGGCUGCAGCCCCAUCUACGUCAUGAGAAUCCAAGGCUGGGAAAAAGUUUGGAGCAUGGUAAUUCCGAUAAGUUGCAUUAUCACUUGUAAAUAGGUCAGAAAAAUACCCCACUACAUGCCUCCUUAUAUCCUCCUCAUCAUAUAGCCAAUUCCCCGAACAGUCUCGGAUGGCCUCAAUUCUAUUCCGCCGCCUUCGAGCAAUGGUUUUUUGGUGGAAAAAAUUCGUAUUUCUGUCCCCAUGCAGAAGCCAAUCCUUUCGAGAUUUCUGAAGCCAAAGAAUUUCCUCCGAUUCAUCACCAUUUCGAGCUCAUUUUGCAUGCGGGCUUAUAAGCGCAACAAACUGUUAGAGCUAUAAUUCUCUAGAGUAGCUUGAAUUCCAUUAAUCCGAGCCAUAAGCCGGCGUUUUCUCUGAAAGAUAUUCCCAAACACAUCUCGAUUCCAAGCUUGAACCUCCUGGACAAAAUGAGAGGCUGCUGCACUAUAAUGGAUUUGCGGAUUCCACACCCGCUUAAUAAAGUUAUGAAAAUGCUCGUGAGUUAACCAAGCAGCCAAAAAGCGGAAAGGCCUGUUCCUCCUGUGACCGGCCACAGCUCUCUCAAACCGAACCAGCACCGGCCUGUGAUCCGAGGCAACCUUCGGGAGGUGGAGGACAGAAUUAUUCGGAUACUUAUGUAGCCAAUCACUAUUGCACAGAGCUCUAUCAAGCCGUUUAAAGAGCAAUCCACGUGACCAAGUAAACCUUGGACCUUUAAACUUUAAAUCAAAAAUUUGGUGCCCAUCAAACCAUUUCCGAAACAGAUUACACACUCCUGGGUUCCUGGCCUCACCCCCCUGCUUUUCAGAGGCAUAUAAGAUAGAAUUGAAAUCCCCACCUAUCAGCCAAGGGCCUCGAAUUGAAGGCGCAAGGUUCUCCAUAUGGCUCCACAACUGUCUCCUUAGCAUUGGAUUUGGGCUGGCAUACACAGCCGUUACCCAAGACACAAAGGUCUUAUUCAUACAAAAUUUAAAGUGAAUGAACUGCCUAUGAUUAAUUAAGACUUCCACCUCUAUGGAAUUUCGCCAAAGAAGCCAAAUUCCUCCAGAAAAACCCACAGCUUCCACCCGGUGCGAAUACUCAAAUCCACUUUUCUUUAUAAAGUCAUCGGCUUUAGCACCACUAGUGCGAGGUUCCAUUAACACCACCAUCGAUGGAUUGUAGUUUUUAAUAAUUGUUUUAAACGAGCGCCUAAAUACCCCCGAGGCUGCCCCUUGUACAUUCCAGAACAUGAUACUAGCUGACAUAAUAAAAAUAACAGGAGAGAAACAAACGUCUACUGCUGCUGUCCAAGGACUUCCUCCAUCCACGCCAAUGGCGUUUCUUGAACCAUCUCAACUUCAUUCUCAACCAUCCCAUCGCCAUCAACACCAUUUAUAGGUACAACUGGAUGGUUAUGAGCACUGUCACCUUCAUUCACCCGAUGGAUGGUUUGAUCAUCUGGAGGGUCUGCUACUUGUUGUGGAUCCGGACCUUGCCUCUCUAUGUGUUCCGCGGUCACGUCCCUUUCAUCACCAUUAGGAAGGGUUUGGGAGGAGCAAACAAACACUGUGUGUUUAGAGGGGUCCAGGGUGGUUGCGAAUGGUGCCACGAGUUGAUUGCUAGAAGCUUUCUGAGGGAAAAUAUGGGGUUCAAAGCUUCGGUUUGCAUGAGGUAGGAUGGAUAUUUCCUUCUCUCUGGUGCUGAAGACACUAGGCUGGAGAGGGUUACAGGUAGGAGUUACUGGGACGUUUGGUUUCCUGCUCUGAUUCCUUGCUGCCACGGCCUUAUUUUGCGGCUUACGACGAGCCAUAGUCUUUGCUGAGGUAUCUGCUCUGGCUGUGAAAGUAUGGUUUGAUGCGGGCAUGAAAGGUUGCCGUGAGGUGGAAGGGAAGUCUGGGCAAGCCUCAUGCACAUGGUUUCCACCUUCAUCCGAGACUUUGGAUAAUAUGUGAAACCGUGAGGUACCAGCUCCAGUAAACUCCCUAUUACGGUUUGAGUCUCCAGUGUUCUCCUUACCAAUAUUCGGCUUCCUUCCUCUCCUAGUGGCAAUCAUCCAGGGUCCGAAUAGUUCCACAUUAUUAUCACCAUUACUACCUACAGCCUGCUGGCCAGGAGCCUCAUUUUCCGGCACUGCCUGUUGGGGUUGACCAGCAUCUUCAGGGCUUGUCGAACUCUUAGCAUCCUUACAGUUGCUGCUACUAUGCCCGUAAGAUUCCACACUUAUAACAAAUUACUGGCAAUCCCUCGUAUUCCACCUUCUGGAUCUUCCCAUCCAAUUCAAACUGAGAUACCAGCGGCCUUGUUAACGAGAUACUUACUGCAAGACGUGCAAAUCUUCCACGAGAUGAGGAGGCUGUAUUCGAAUCGAUUUUAAUCACGUUACCCACUAACUGACCCAGCUUCUGUAGAACUUUUCGAUUAUAAAGAUGAACCGCAAGGCCUGGUAAACAGAUCCAUACCGUGACUUGAUCAAGAUCCGCAUUUGUGAAAUCAAAAGAGGGUGUCCAUGGCUGCACAGUUAAAUAUUGACCCAUUAUAAGCCACGGUCCCUUAGUUAAAACAUCCAUAGCAUCCCCUACCGAUCUGAAACGAACCAGAUAAUAAUUGUUUUCCAAGUCAAUCACGGAAAAACCCAUGGCUGAUUUCCACAUGACAUUUAAUCUUGCACACAUAGCUCUAUAGCCAAUUGUGCGGCCAAGCAACUUCACAACCACCGAGUUCUUCCAAGGCUCACUUAACUUAGCAUGAACCCUAGCCGAAAAAGUGAUGGAUGGCAUGGGUCCCUCGUUAGUUUCAAUAAUGUCUCCUUCCUCAAAAUCCCAGUCCUCUAGUCCACCUCCAAUUCCUUGCUCCAUCGCUUGUGUUGCAUUCACUAGGGUUUCUUUGUACGAAAACUGUACAGUGGUAUCCCCAGCAUGUUCUUCAUCACGAAAUCUUGCUUUUUUAAUCGUUCUAGCCUCCCUAAACGGCGGGGGAAAAAUCCCUCCGGAGUUAGGGUUUCCUUCACGUCCGAGGUUUUCGGAGCCUUCCAUAUGGUGUUGAUCUUUUUAAGUCACUCGUUUCAAUAUUUCAUUUAUUUCCUUUUCAAGCUAACAAUUAAUGUAUAUGAAUGUGCGGAUGCAUUGACAUAUAUCUUAUUUUAUCAUUUUGAAUGAAUUGCACGGCGAGGCUUAUCAACUUUGGAUGAAUCCUCCAAUUGUCGCAGUCCAAGACUGGCUGCAGUGAGUGAAAAUUUACCCAUAUAUAUGCUGGCUAUUUUUAUUGGCGACGAAUUCGUUGUAGUUGGUCCAUCUUGCUAUUCUCGGACAAUAUUAGAGAAAAUAAUCAUAUUAUUUCGCGUGAUGUGACCUUCCAUAACGUAUCAAUUGAAUUACUGUAAAAUUAUUGUGUAAGUUUAGGCCCAAUGGCACUUUAGUUCAUCACAUGAUAGCCUGGAUUUAAAAGGAAAACUAUAUUGCAUUGCUUCAAAAAAAAAAUUUAAUGUUUUUAAUAUGAAUAUUUUUAACUAUAUUCAGUUAAAAUAAUAUAUUCUUAAUAUUAAUAUUCAUAGAUGAAAUUCUUUUGCGGAUUUAAGAAUAAAAUAUCAAAUAGUUUUAUUUUUCUUUUGUUGUGUAACUUGGACCGAAAAAGAAAAUGAGCUUAACAUGACCCUCCUUCCGGCACUAUGCAUGUUUUUCUUUUAUUUUUCUUGUAUUGAUGACAGUGCUCUUGGUGCUUCUCAUCUGCUUCUUGCUUUGGUUUCAAACAAGUCUUUCUCCGUCGAGACAUUUAUUGUAAUUUGAUUUGGAGACAUCUGUCGUUCAAAUAUAUUUCAUAUGCAAGCUGUUGAUAAUUCUGCUUGAGAAAGCCUUCAAAGCAGCUGUGUGAUGUAAUAGAAGACUAUAUAUGCAAGCGGGUACCGAGCUCGAAUUCUUUCUUGAGUUUCUUUGAAUUAUUUGUGAAUGAGUUCUUAAUCGGCUGCUGCUCUUCAGGAAAAGGAAAGUGUUGCAAACUGGUGAAGCUGAUCGAUAAAAGCAAUGUACCAUCUUUGCUGCCAUGGAUCGAUGCCAGUGAGUUUUUUAAUUUGUCAACCUUUUUAAUAAUGCAUAUGUGUUUCUUCAACUUGAAGCGGCAUUUAAGACGAAAGAAGUGAUCUUUAAAGCAUUCUAUAGCAUUAUCCUUUCCUAUUAUAUAUAUCCAAUUGCUCCAAAUUAUUUGUAAAUUACUGAACACGAAUGCUGAUGAAUAAACUGAUGGCUCUAUGUAUGUAUGCACAUGCAUGGAGAAAUUUUAAGUCAGACAUUCCCAUAUAUAACUCGUGCUACCAAAUCAUUAAAUAAUCUUGAAAUCAAAGUAAUAAUUAAAUACAAAUAAAUUGCUCGAAUUGUACAUAUAUCUGAAUCAUGUAGUGAAGAAAAUACAACAACAACAACCAAUGGCUCAAAUUCCCCAUCAACUUCUAAUCUCAACACUUUUGAGUGUCAGAAGCAUUACUCUGCUACCAGUUAACAAACAUAUAAUUAGUAAUUUGCCAUUCACUUCCCUUUUAGGCCUAACACAUUUUCUAUAAAGGAGCCACAGAGUGAACUCAGCAGGAAACACUCAAUUUCAACCUACGUAGGACCAGGAAUUUCAACCAAAAAAAAAGUGUGCAAUUGCUUAUCCUAUCCUAUUGCUACUAGAAAGAAAGUGAACAAUUAAUUUCAGUGAAUAAAUUAAAAAAAAUUACUUCUGCAGAUACUCAAGCUAAGAACACAUUAACCCAUUAAAGACUCCAAAUUGCAUCAAACAAAUUGUUGUUAAACAAGUAAAACAAAGAAAGAGAGUUAAGGAAGCUGACCUAGUAGUAGGGGAGCUGAAGAAAGACUGCCAGUGAAUGUAAGAGAAAAUAAAAUGCAAUAAAUGGUGAAGUGCAGCUUUUCAUGUCAACUUGAAAUUGUUUCUUCUGUUUUUUUUUUUUUUAAUCUUUUGGAUUUUUAAAACAAAGAAAAUGAGGAGCAACCAGGGAGAUAAAAAGGGCGCCAAGGCAACUGUGUGUUGGGUUUAGAGCCCAAAAAAAAAGGAGGAUAAGACAUCGUGUUCUUGUGGAGACCAGACCUAUUACGUAACGUCCCCUUCAAUACCACUUGUUCCGUAUCUGGUUUUUUCUUCGUCUUUUACAUAUUUAUCCUGUGAUUUUACAAUAACUAAAUAAUCCCCGCAUAGUUUGCAAUUUUAUUCAUUUGAGCCCUACAGAUUUCAGUAAUAGGUAGAGUUGGCAAAACGGGUCAUCGGGUCGUGUUCGUGUCAUGUCAAAUUUAAGUCGACCCAAACCCGACCCAUUUAAUAAUCGUGUCAAAAUAUUGAGACCUAAAUCCGACACGGAAAAAUAAUCGGGUUACCCAAUAACUCGUUUAAUAUCAAUAUAUUGAACAAAAGUUACAUCAAAUAUUUACACACUAUCAUACAUACAUACAUAAUUUAUCGAUAUUAUAAAAUAUAUAUAUCUACUAAUAUAUUACACAUUUACACUAUUGAGGUUUUAAUUAUAUAUAUAUAUAUAUAUAUACCUACGAUGAUUGUUUAAGCCGCGGUAAACGCUUCUAGAACGCCCUCUGGCAGGAAGGAAGGUACUCAAAGAAAGUGGAGAUGAGGGAAACUCCGCUGGAGUGAGGGGAUUUAUCGGAAUCUCGUUCAGAGUGAGGAGUCAAUGAGGGUUUGCUUGUACUUGUGGUUCUAUUGAUAGGUGUUUGCAAUGGGCUUUCGUCUCAGGUAGUUCAGUCUCCGGGGUUACGCUUAGUUUCAUAUAAAAUAAAUGAAGAAGACAGCUGGACUUCAGAGUGGGAUCCUCCUAUGUUGUCGGCUGUUUGUUUGUCCGCAGCUAUUACAGCUUGUGCUCGAAUAUAUAUGUAUCCAUAUAUUUCCAGAUAUUAUAUAUCAAUAUAUAUAUAUAUUAUUUAUCAAUAUUAUAAAAUCUACAUAUCUAUCAAUUUUUUCACAUUUACACUAUUGAAGCUCUAAAUGUAUUUAAAAUUUUAUAAAUAAAAUAUUAUGUUUAUAUUCACCCUUUUAAAGAAUAAAAAAGAAAAUCAUUACUAAUAUUUGAGUUUUAAUGAUAAGAAUAUGUAAAUUAUUUUAAAAUAGAAAAUAUAAUCGGGUCAUUGAUCGGGUAAAUGGGUCAAGAAUUUUAACUCUAACCCGACACGGAAAAAAAUCGUGUUGACCCGGACCCGACCCAUUUAAUAAUCGUGUUAAAUUUGACGACCCAUAUUCAUUUAUUUAUGUCGUGUUCGUGUCGAGUAAUCGGGUCGUGUCAAAUUUUGCCAGCUCUAGUAAUAGGAAUUAUUAAGGGACAAGAGCGCAAAACAAAAACUCUGUCCACUACUGAUGAUAUAACAACGAACCUUUGUUUUUUUCUUCUUUUUUUUUUACAAAAUAUCAUUAGAGAAAUGAAAAUAUUAACUAACAUCACCCUACUGAUGAUAUAACAACGAACCUUUGUAGUUUCUGCCUGUUAAUAUGAAUUGAUCAGGAGUGUUUCCUCACUUAAAAAUUACGAAUUUACAAAUAUGUAUGUAAGUAUGUAUGUAUGUACGUACGUACGUGAGUAUGUAUGUACAUAUAUGCAUACACCUAUGUAACAUUUACUUAUCCAUCCUUUUGAGUUUAAAACUUAAUACACAUUUUCAUGAAAUUUUUAUUUUAUUAAGUAUACAACUACAGUAAUGUAUAUAUUUUUUAUAUAAGACAUGCCGUCAUAUUAUUCAUAAGUAAAACAAUGUGUUGUAAAUAGUUUAAUUAUUAAAUAUCAUACAAUAUCUUUCAACAACCGGCAAUAGACCUUUACCCAUUUUUCUUUUUCGACCAUUAGAUUCAUUCAGUUUACAUCCAACGGCAGUUUAGGAUGGAGACAAAAAGUGUGGUACGUUACCACAGUGGUAACAUUGGAUUGGGAUUGUAUGUCGUGUUUAAUUUGAAUUGGUUGAUUCCUCUAAUGAAUUAUUUUGAUAAAUUUAGUAGCAGUAUUUGGCGGCAAAAGUAUCAUUAAUUUUUGGAAAUAUGAUUAUGUUAUUAAUUAUUUUAGCAUUCUAAAAAGUCAAUGGUUAUGUUGGAAAUACUCUAAGGUAGAAUAGAGUACAAAUCACAGUCACACAUACAAAAUGAUAAAUAAUAAAAAAUAUAUUAUAUUUUUGAUCAUAUGAUUAUGAAGACGUAUUUUACCUUAAAGAAGUUCUAAUAAGCGAAUUCUUCUAAAACAAUAUAAAAUUUCUUUUUUAUCAUACUCAACCGCUUCAAACUUCUAAGAAGUAGAUAUACAAUGAGUGGAAUACUGAAUUGAGUGCGAGCUGCGGAUAAUAUAUAAAAUUGGGAUACAAGCUUCAAGGAAAGUGUAUUGCUAUUCAAAUGUAGAUUUCAAAUUAAGAAGAUAUGCCAGCAAAUUGUAUAAAAAUGUAUAAAUUGAUCAGUAACAUUAAUUCCAAAUGAUGAAAUGAGUUAUCUUGAUCAAAAGGUCAAGAACCUACCUUACUUCUCUUAGAGAUAACUUGCAUCAACCGUUGUGGUAUUGAUACUUGUCUUCAGCUAGUAAAAGACUAAAAGUGAAAGUUUCACAAUUGAAAUAAAGCUAAGGGAAGAUGCUAUGCUCCAUUUAUUAUUAUUAUUAUUGAUGUGGUCGAGAAGUAAAGCCAUGCAUAUGAUGAAGUAUAAAUAAGAAUGCAAUAGCCCGGAAUUCAUUUACACAAACACUUCAAUAUCCUUUUGAUCACUUUUGCAAACAUCAGUUUGUCUCUUGUAUUCACCAUGGUUGAUGCCAUCGUUUCCUCUCUUGUGGAGCAGCUGACUUCCUUCGCUGCUAAAGAGAUAAUACAACAGGUGAUCGAAGUUACACCCCCCAUAUUAUAAAUACUUCUAAUGAUUUUAAUUGGUUUUGUUUUUAUCGGAAACAUUAACUUUGCUUUAUUUUAUUUAUUUAGGCAUUUUAAAUUUUAAAAUUUGAAUUGAAUUCAAUUAAAAUGUGAUGUAGCUAGUAACCACUUUUUUUAUUUCAUUUAUAUUCUCAAUAACUACCCAUAUUUUGGUAACUUACUGUAACCCCCGUAUCUAAGAAAUGAUUAAAACCCACAAUUUUAACUCCACAUAAAUAUUCCAUGUUGAGCUAAGUUUUUGCAUAACAUUCAAGUUUGUUAAAUAGUCAUUAAUUUAAUGUUUAGUAAAAACUUAUCUCUGAAAAUUUUCAUAAUUUUCUUACAUUCUUUGAGUUUGGUGAGUGACUUCAUAUAAUUUCUUUUCAAUUUAAAUUUUAAUUUGGUUUCUGAUAUAGUCUCUUUACUGAAUUUAUAUCUUUUAUGAUUCUUGGAUUUUGGGCUCCAACUUUUUAGGAUUUGAUAGUCACAUUUUAUGGCAUGCUUAGAUUGAUUUUCAUGAUUUGAGUACUCGUUAAGUGACUGAGAAUUUGACAAAAGUUUGAAAGGAAAUCCGUUUCACGAUUCUUAUGUGGAAGGUUCGUAAAAUCAUGAAAUUUGGAUAGGAUUCGCUAGCAAUAUGUACAAGACUCUUCAUGAAGUUUCAUAAUUUUUCGUUCGGUCUGGGGUGGUACAGGUGAAACUUGUGGUUGGUGUUAAAGAAGAAGUGAAAAGCCUUAUCAGCCACCUUCAAGCCAUUCAAGCUGUGCUCGAUGAUGCAGAGGAAAAGCAAGUGAAGGACAAAGCUGUUAGACAUUGGCUGGGCAGGCUCAAGUAUGCAUCCUACGACAUUGAAGAUGUGUUGGAUGAGUGGAUCACAGCUAGACACAAAUUGCAAAUUGAGGGUGGCGUUGAUGACAAUGCUCUUGCUGCUCCUCAAAAGAAAAAGAAGGUAUGUUUCUGCUUUCCUGCCUCUUGUUUUGGAUUCAAACAAGAAGAAUUUGGUUUCAGACAAGUCUUUCUACGUUAUGACAUUGCCAACAAGAUCAAAGAAAUGAAUAAAGAGCUACAUGAUAUUGCCACUCAAAAAGACAUGUUUAAUCUUGUUAAGAGUGGCAAUAAAAGUGGUGAAAGACCAAGGCGUGUACAGAGUACCUCCUUGAUUGAUGAGGAAGAGAUUUGUGGUAGAGUUGGUGAGAAGAAUGAACUCAUAAGCAAGCUGUUGCGUGAGAGUAGCGAGCAACAAAAAGGCCUCCAUAUGAUCUCAAUUGUUGGUAUGGGAGGCAUAGGGAAAACUACUCUUGCACAACUAGCUUGUAAUGAUGACGUGGUGAAGAGAAAGUUCGACAAAAUUCUGUGGGUGUGUGUAUCAGAAACUUUUGAGGAGUUUAGGGUUGCCAAAGCAAUCGUUGAAGCUUUGGAUGGUCGUGAAUCUCAUUUAGGUGAAUUCCAAUCUCUUCUUAAACAUAUUGAUGAAUCCAUUGCAGGGAAGAGCUUUCUUCUUGUCUUAGAUGACGUGUGGGAUGGAAAUUACUUGAAAUGGGAACCAUUCUAUCGUUGUCUAAAGAAUGGUCUCCAUGGAAGUAAAAUUUUAGUUACCACACGUAGUGGGUCCGUUGCAUCCACGAUGGGAUCCAUAGAUAUUAUUCCCAUUGAGAAAUUAGCUGAAGAGGAAUGUUGGUUGUUGUUUAACAAGAUAGCAUUUUUUGGUAGGCCUAUCGAGGAACGUGAAAAAUUCGAACGAAUUGGGCGAAGAAUUGCUGGCAAGUGCAAAGGUUUACCUCUUGCAACAAAGACAAUAGGUAGUCUCAUGCGUUCUAAACAAACUGAAGAAGAGUGGAAAAGAAUUUUAAAUAGUGAUUUAUGGAAAGUAGAAGAGAUUGAGAAAGAUGUUUUGUCCUCUUUAUUGUUGAGUUACAAUGAUUUGCCAUCUAGAGUAAAAAGAUGUUUUUCAUAUUGUGCUCUCUUUCCAAAAGACUACGAUAUAGAAAAAGACAAACUAAUCACAUUGUGGAUGGCUCAAGGUUAUCUUAGUGCAGAAGAAGAUGAGGAGAUGGAGACUAUAGGUGAAGAGUAUUUUAGCAUCUUAGCUUCUCGCUCUUUCUUUCAAGAGUUUAAGAAAAGUUAUGAUAAUCGGAUUAUAGAGUGUAAGAUGCAUGAUAUGGUACAUGAUUUUGCCCGAUUUGUAAGUCAAAAUGAAUGUUUUUCGAUGGCAAUUAAUGGUAGUGAAGAACCAAACGCCACAAACUCUGUUGAUGAGAAGGUCCGUCAUUUAAUGUUAAUCUUUAGUAUAGAGGCUUCAUUACCUGUUUCCACUCCUAGAGUUAAAAGAAUGCGUACCCUCUUAAUUAACGAUAGUAGAUCUGAUCAAUCAUUAUUAAAUGGUGAGAUCCUAGAAGAAUUGUUUAGGGAAUUGACAAGUUUAAGGGCAUUAGAUUUUGACAAAUUGUACCACUCAAUUUGGUCUUCGACUCUGGAGAUUCCGAGAAACAUAGAAAAGCUGGUACAUUUAAGAUACCUUAAUUUGUCUUCUCAGAAAAUAGUGGAGCUACCGGAGACAUUGUGCGAGUUAUAUAAUCUAGAAAAGUUAGAUAUUAGUUUUUGUUUUGAUCUUAGAGAAUUACCUGAAGGGAUUGGGAAGUUAAUAAACAUGAAGCAUUUACUAAAUUAUGAUACUGAUUCUUUAAGGUACAUGCCAGUAGGGAUUGGGAGAUUAACGGGUCUUAGGACCUUGGAUGAGUUCCACGUGAGUGCAGGAGGAGCUGUUGAUGGUAGGAAAGCAUGUAGGCUUGAAUCUCUUAAAAACUUGGAACACCUUCAAGUAUGUGGUAUACGUAGACUGGGUGAUGUAUCAGAUGUGGGCGAGGCUAAGCGAUUAGAACUUGACAAAAAGAAAUACCUCUUCAGUUUGACCCUUGAGUUUGAUAAGAAGGAGGAAGAAGAAGGAGAAAGAAGGAAGAACGAGGACGAUCAACUUCUUCUUGAAGCCCUGCGACCACCUCUGGAUUUAAAGGAAUUAGAGAUACGGUUCUACCGAGGCAACACUGUUUUCCCCAGCUGGAUGACGUCAUUAACCAACUUAAAGAGUUUAAAACUCUCUUUCUGCGAAAAUUGCGAGCAGCUGCCUCCUUUGGGAAAAUUGCCGUCCCUUGAACAGCUCUUCAUAUCGUACAUGUCGAGUGUGAAAAGAGUGGGUGAUGAAUUUUUGGGGAUAGAAAGUGAUCAUCAUGGCUCAUCUUCAUCUUCAUCGGUUAUUAUUGCCUUCCCCAAAUUGAAAUCACUUUCAAUUGAGUUUCUGUGCGAAUUGGAGGAGUGGGAUUAUGGGAUUACAAGAACGGGAAACACCGUCAUCAACAUCAUGCCACGUCUUUCUUCCUUGACAAUUGCUCUUUGCCCCAAAUUAAAGGCACUGCCCGACCACAUUCAUCAAACGACAACAUUGAAGGAAUUGCACAUUUGGGAUUGCAGGCUUCUGGAAGAACGUUAUUGCAAGGGGGAAGGAGAAGACUGGCCUAAGAUAUCACACAUUCCCAACCUCCAUAUUGGGCAUUGACAAGUAAUUUCUUCUCUUACUCUGAUUUGCUUUGUUGUUGUUUUUAAUCUAAUUAAGAAGCGUAAAUAGCAUUUUGAAUCAAACUCUAUAUCAGAAAUCUGCAAUACUUACUUUCUAAUAUUCUGAUUUUCAUAUCCUAUGAAUAUACGAUUUUUAAUUUGUGAGAUGGGUAACGUUACUGUAAAAGAUUAUUAAUGCAAUAUGAGUAAUUCUUUUGCAGGACAAGUGACCUACAUUUAGUUUGGCUUUGGAGUUGAAUAAUAACCUUUCGGGAACUGGUGUGGACUGGCAAAGGAUGAUGAGAUAGUUUUUUGAGUGAGUAAAUUUUGGGAGCUUGAGUGUAUUGGGAUUUGCAAUUACAAUCAUCGUCUGCCUCAGGUGAUUUCUUCUCCUGCUCUGUCAUUGUUUGUUCUCUAAUUCAAAAGCAUAAAAUAUUUCAAUCAAUUUUUAUGCCAGGAAUAUGCAAAAGUUUCUAAUAUUUUAUUUCCAUCUGUCACAAGAUCAAACUGAAGCAGAACUCAAACAAAAGUAUGCUACUUCUUGCGGAAAUCUUGCCUUCGUUCAAAUUAUGAAACCAUUUCCAUGCAGCAAAUUCAUCCAAAAGUUUGAAUAAGUUUCAUGGUUGGACACUGUUGGCUUCUUUUUCUUCUGGGGUGCAUUUAGGUGCUAUCAAGUGACAGCUGUAAGUAUGAUUGCACUAAGCUGCUGCUGGGAAAUUUGAGGUUUUGAUGGCUGCCCAUGUUAUUUUCAAGAAACUAUUGAUGUAAGAAGCCGUGGUUCUUUUCAUCAGCUUGAACCUGAAACUGUCGCUAUGGAUAACUCAGGUUUUUGUUAUCAACUAUAUCAUCUUUUUCACUAUUUUGAAACUCUUAAGAUUAAACGUUAGUAAAGUUGUUUCAGCUAUUCAAAUGAAAAACUCAUUGAUUUGAGACUUCCUUCAUUAUUGUUUCUAAUUACAAUGCUAACGAUCCAGAUAAAAUAAUAUUUAAUCGGCGAAGGUGUCCCUUGGAAGUACAUCCUUCUUUUUCUUUUAUUAUAUAAAUUCUUGCAAUGAGCUUAGUCAAGAUGUUGUGCUAAUCAUGCCACUGCAUAUAAAUUCUCCAGAAGUUAAAAUCAAUAAAUUUUCUAUUAGCUCUAGUGCUUUGACCUAAAUGCUAUUCUAUAUUCUGAUUACAAUGUUUUAACCUUUAAAUUAACUACCCCUAGGUGUUGGAUUUUCUAGAACUUCAAAAUGAUUAAUGGAGAAAGAUCCCAUUAUCGUUAUUGCUAUAAGAAAUUGAUUUAUGCAUCCAAAGAUACAUUAUAUAUUUCUGUGUCUCUAUUUAUAGAUGACAUUUAAGCAUCCAUAAACCGUCAGACAGAGGAAGGGGGUUCAGUGCAAAGAUUCUGUUGACCUAGGGUUGACUGCAUAAUGUCACUUGUUCGCAAUCUAUUAUUUAUUUUAUAUUUUGAAGAAUUUAAUGGGUAAUCCUAAUUGUUUGUUUUGGCAGGUAUGUGUUGUUUUCUCCUUCUAUCUAACAGUCGUACCUAAAUAGCAUAGUUUCAUCUGUGUUACCAUGUGAUGUACAUAAUUUCACAUUUGCCUCAGAUUAAGCUUAAUUUCCCACAGAAUAGAGCUGUCGCGACUGGACUUAGGUUGAUGUCCAAAGAGGUAAAUUAUUGGCAUGCCUAGAUAAUUUGGCCAUUUCCUAAUUCAUAAGUCUACAUUAAUUUUGAUUUUGAGUUGACUGAUUUCUUUUCAAGGUCUGCUUCCUUAACGGAGUGACCAAUGUUUUUCAACUAAAUUUAUCAUAUGAUGCAGGAAGCAGGGCAGGAUAUGAAAUGAGAAGCUCAUUGGUGGAAGUAUUGCCAGUAACAGAACCCAAAGAAAAUGAAACUAUUUCAAGGCAGCAGUUGGCAGUUGCAAGUGAAUGGAGGCCCUGACAAAAUUCUCAAGCGGUUGCAAUGCAAUUACGAUCAUCCUCAGCCUCAGGUAAUUUCUUCUCCUGCUCUGUUUUUAUUUGUUAUCUAAUUAAAAAGCAUAAAGUAUCUUGAAUCACUUUCUCUAUCUGGAAUAUAUGCAGCAGUUUCUAAAAUCUUCAUAUGAGUGUAAUGAUGGUAAUUUCUGUUUUUUGUCUGUCAUUGAAUGUUAGACAACUUUCAGUGAGACUCUUGAACCGAGACAUUUUUGACAACUGAAGGACAAUUGCUGAAGAGUCGGAAUGGUGCUAGAUUGGGGAAUAAAGACAAAGGAGGUAAAUUAUUUGCAGUUUAUUCAGCAUUAUUUGCUUUGGACCAGCGCCUGAUUCACAAGUCUCCAUAAUUUGGCUUUUGACCAGUUAAUAAAUUUUUAAUUCCAUUGGUGCUAAAUGUACACGUGAAGCAGGCAGAGCAGGACUGUGGAAAUGAGAAGGUUUUUAGUGAAAGCUUAAACUCAGGUAAUUCUAAAAAGUACAUGUUUUUGCUGAUUUAUCUAAAUCAGGAAAUUUUAUUUCCAUCUGUUACAAGAUAAAACAGAAACAGAACACAAAGAAAAAUAUUCUACUUCUUGUGGCAAUCUUGCCUUCAUUCAGACAAUGAAACCAUUUCCUUUCACCAAUUUCUUCCAAAAGUUUGAAUAAGUUUCAUGGGUGGACCUAGUUAGCUUCUUUUUCUUUUGGUGCAUUUAGGUCCUAUCAAGUGACAGCCAUAAGUAUGAUUGCAUUAUUGGGAAAUUUUAGGUUUGGAUGGCUCCCCAUGUUAUUGCCAAGAAAGUCCUCAUGUCAGAAGCUGCGGUUCUUUUCAUCAGCCUGAACCCGAACCUGUCGUUAUGGAUAACUCAGGUUUUUGUCAUCAACUAUAUCAUCUUUUUUACUGUUUUGAAACUCUUAAGAUUAAACUUCAGUAAAGUUGUUUCAGUUAUCCAUGUAAUCAGGCUAAGGAUAUUUAGCAGCUUAUUUAGGCAACUGCCAGAAUUCAGUUUGUUAGCUCGAAACUUGUAUGGUGACAAGGAUACUGGCAAGGAUAGUGAGAUAGUUUUUUGUGUGAGUGAAAUUUGAAAGCUUGGGUGUUCUGGGAUUUGCAAUUGCAAUCAUCCUCUGAGUCAGGUGAUUUCUUCACCUGCUCUGUCUUGAUUUUCUCUCUAAUUGAAAGCAUAAAGUAUUUCAAUCAAAUUCUGUACCAGGAAUACGUAAAAGUUACUAAUAUUUUAUUUCCAUCUGUUUGCAUUGAUAACUCGGCGGCAUAUGUUCUAGUUAAAGAACAAACAGAAACAGAGUUCAGGAAAAAGUUUCUUCGGCCACCAUAUUUGAAAAUGAAACCAUUUCCAGGAAGCAGUUGGCAGCAAAUUCAUAUGGAGUGUAGACAAUGAUGAGCAAAAAGGUGAUUCGCAAUUUCUUUUUUUUUUUAAGUGAAAUUAUUUGUUAGAUUGAAGCUGAUAUUGUAAGAAGGCCAUUGAGCUAACCUAUGUCGCCACUUGCCUAGAUUGCAGGGGGUCAAGACUCAAAAGAAGCACUGAAAUUUAAAAAGCAUGCAAUAGUUCUUUUGCCAUGUGUCAAUUAAUGCAAGUUUGAAUAAGUUUAUUGGCUGAACGAUGUUAGCUUCUUUUCCUUUCGUGCACUUUGGUAUGCUAUCAAGUGACAGCCGUAUGUAUGGCUUGCAUAUAGCUGCUGCUGGGAAAAUUGACGAUUUCAUGGCUGGCCGUGUUAUUGUCUUAAAUUAGUUGUGAUAAGCUGUUGCUUGGAGAUUCUGUUGCCAAGAAUUUGCUCACAUCAGAAGCUGUGGAAUCUGAACCCUUCGAUUCUGUUGCCAAGAAUUUGCUCACAUCAGAAGCUGUGGAAUCUGAACCCUUCGUUAUGUAUCAUCUUUUUCAUUGUUUUAAAACAGUAAACUCUCAGGACACUGAGCAGGCAAAUGUUAUAACUCGGUUUGUUAGCCAAAAACUUGUUGAAGAUUCUUGACAAAGCUGCGUCGAGUGAAUUGUCGGAGCUCUGAGGGUGAGAGAAAUUAGAGGGUGUAUAGGGAUUUGGAUUUGUUAGGAAGUUAUCAUUUUUAUUUGUCCGAUUCAAAACUUGAUAUUCCAAUUAUAUUCAUAAGCUUCUACAGUUAUCUUCAAAAAGACAUUCCAAUUAUAUUCAUAAGCUUCUACAGUUAUCUUCAAAAAGACAAAUGGAAGGCUUUGAACGGCUUGGGUCUGAGUAUUGUAGUUUGAUUUAUUUUGAUGAAAGAACCUUUUGACAUUAAGAUUCUUUCAUGAGUUAAACAUUCUUUUUAAAACCAACUUAUUAAAAAAAAAGUAACGAACAUAUAUUAUUUUGUUAGUGCUUUUUAAAUCAAAUAUAAAAAAGAGAACUGUAAUUCUUAGCAACCAAUUUUUCAUUGAGUACACCUACAACAAAUUAUUAAAAAAUAAAGCGAUAGAAAAUGCCUGAUUUUUCGUACUUUCUAAUUACUUUUGGUCCUAAAAUAUGGCGAUUUGUGUAAUAAUAAGCCCAUGUAUAUCUUUAUGCCAUUAGUUUGAUAAAUAACUAUCAAGGAUAACUUAUUAAGCUAAAAAUAUUUGAAGGAUAAAAUGGGAAAACUAAAAGGGUGGAGUAAUAAAGUUAUUUAAGAUUACAUAGUAAGUUAACUAUAUUCGAGGGAUAAAAUAUUAAAACUUGAAUAGUUAUAUUAAAAAUAUCUCGGCUAUUAUACUAUUAAACCAUAUGCCGUAAUAAUGUUUUUUUUCAAACUUUAAAAAAUUCAGGAUUUUAAAUUAAAACAUGGAUUUCUUUAAGAUGCUAUAUGUGUUUUUACAGUAUUGAUAGUGGGAUUAGUGUGUACCCUUAUAUGAAAGAGUUUUAAUCUGAAUCAUUCAUUUAAUAUAAUAGAUAAUUAAAUAAUUAAUUAAAAUAUAGCAGGUAACUUAUAGGUUGCAGGUAAAAAAUUAAUUUUUUAAUUUUAAAUUAAAAUUAAUUUGGAACAAAACCAUCCACACCCCUAAGGUUUACUUAAAUGAUCAUAUAAAUCCCUUUAGUUUCUACAUAGUUAUACAGACCCUCUUAAUUUCAUAAAUUAUUAUUAUACUUUUAAUUAAAACAACCUAAAUGAAUAUAAAUAUAGUAAUAGGAUAGAAAUAAUAAAUAAAUAUCAGAUGAAACAAAUAAAAUAUUACAAUAAAUACAAUUAAUUAAAUAACAUGUAUGAUGAAAAUUUUAUUCAUAUUAAGUUAUUAUUAGUCUAUCCCGAUGGAUUUACUCAAAUCAAUUAAUCCAAAAUUUAAUUUUAAGAUUGAUAUUAAUAUGGACAUAAUUAAAUAAGAUGUUGUAAUAUAUACUACUUUGAAUGUUAAGUAUAAUUAUCUAAUAUUAUUAGUAUGUGAAAUAGAUUUUAAUAUUAUUAAAGAAUAUGACAAUAUAUAAUUUUGAAUUAAAUUUUUUAGUAUUCAUGAUAUUUUAUAAAUUUUAUGUGAUUUUAUAUAUUAUAUUUUUUAAUUUUAAUGUAUUAUAUAUGAUCAUUUAAGCAAAUUUUGGAGGUGCGGUGGUCUUUUCCCUAUUAAUUUUGUAGCAUAUUUAAAGUGUUAUAUCAUACAUGAUACAUCACACUUUUGUUAAAGUGUUAUGUUAUUAAAAAUUAAACUUUGCAUUUAUAAUAUACUACCAUUUUAAUGUAAAGGUAAUAGAAAAUAUGAAGAUAUUUUUAAGUAGUCAAUUGUAGCUUUCUUUUACAAAAUAGCAGUAUAGAAAUACAAUUGGUAAAAUGUAAUAAAAAUGGUAUGGAAAAAAGUUAGUAGAGGCAAUUAUUCUUGUAGUUGCUAAAACAUAUGAAGUGACACACACACACACACACAUAUCAAGUACUUGUAUGUUCCCCUAACUUUUAUUAAUGGGAAGGAAAUUAAAUUCGUAAUUUUCCCGGUGAAUUAUGAAUUGAUAAAUGAAAUAUAAAUAUUAGUAAAAAUUAAUUUGUCGACUAAAGAAGUAAACCAUAUUUUAUGGGCAUUUAAUACAUUAAUUUAAGGUCAAAUGAGAUAAUAUCACAUGAUAUUUGAUACAAGAGUCCAAUUUUCAACAUUUGCAUAUAGUUUCUAAGCUAGUAAUCUAAUAAAAUAUACCAAAUGAGAAAUUGAAGGCUAUUAUUUAUAUUUCACCAUUGGACAAACACCAUACAUUAGAAUAAAAAAAUCUCACAGUAGAGACGGCAUCUGUUUGCAUGUUUUGAAAAUAGAUUUUGAAAUUAGUUUAAUUACAUGAUAAUUAAAUUAUAUUAUAAAAUUAAGAAUAUGAUUUAAGUACUAUUUUAGCAAUUUUGAGUCUCACAUUGAGUAUUCAAGUUAAUUAAAUGUUGAAACUCUUUUCUAUUUGGCUUGAAAUCACUACUAAAUAAAAUUACAAAAAGUCAAUAAUGAAUGAUGUAGGACACAUAUGUAAAAUAAAUUUUAAAGUGUAAUUAAACAUUCCUAUCAAUAUUAGUUUUGCAUACAUAUUCAUAUAUUUUACCGAAACCAUAUAUAAUUAAAUUUUGUGUAAUUAAGUAAAAUAUAUUAUUCAAGUGAAUUUAUGAGAAUAUUUAAAAUUGUAGGGGUCGUCACUGAAAUUUGCCAAACUUGAGCCAACCGUGCAUGAUCCAAACAGUUUAUUUUAAUAAUUCUCAAUAUGUUAGUCUGUUUGACUGUUGGCAAAAUAAAUUCCUAUCAGCAAUGCAACACAAUUCAAAAUCAUAUCUGCAUACAACGAACAAUAUCUCAUGAAAGAUCAAAUUAUACAUUUUUUACACCAAACCAUAAAUAUCUAAAUUGUCCCUCUUCAACUCACCAAGCUCAUACCUAACAACAGCAAGAUUAAAUGUCAUUUGAUCCAUCUUUUUUAUUAAGCUUUAUCAAUUCUUCUCAUGGUUGCAAUUUUGAAAGCUCGCUUCGCUAUUUCCAUUUGCUUUUAUGCUUUGUUUGAGCUCCAUCUUUUCUCUCCAUCUACAUUUUACACUGUAAAAAAAAUUUUAAAAAAAUUACAAAGCUUCUUAUGCUAGAAUAUGAGCAACAAUAUAAAUAAUAAACAAUAAAGUUAUGAUAGCACAGCAUGCUCAUUAAAGUGCUUCUUUUUUUUUUUUUUCAACAAGAAAUUACUACUGAAUUAAAGAUUUGGCUUUGCAUUAAGGUUUGCCUUCAAUAACUCAACUCCCCACUUGGGUUUUGUCGUUUUCUUAAAAUCUCUGCUCAAUCAAUUUAAAGAUCCUUUUUUUUUUCUUUCCAAAGAUCUAAAAGCAAUGUCUUUUAUUGGUACCCAACAAAAAUGCAAGGUCUGUGAGAAGACAGUUUGUCCAGUUGAGCAGUUAUCUACUGAUGGGGUUGUUUAUCACAAGUCUUGCUUCAAGUGCUCUCACUGCACUGCAAAGGCACACUCAAGCUAAGCAAUUACUCAUCCCUGGAAGGUGUUCUUUACUGUAAGCCUCACUUUGAGCAGCUUUUGAAGGAGUCGAGUAACUUCAACAAGAAUUUCCAAUUACCUGCAAAGUCAGCUGAGAAGUUAACUCCUGAGCUGAAAAGGUCGCCUAGCAAAGUUGACAGCAUGUUCUCUGGGCCCAAUAAAAAUGUGCUUCUUGCAGUAAAACAGUGUGUCCGUGGGAGAAGGUAGCAGCGGAAAACCAAGCCUCUCACAAGACAUGUUUCAAGUGCUCACAUGGUGGUAAUUCCAUUAGCCCGUCAAAUUACGCAGCCCUAGAAGGCAUCUUGUAUUGCAAACAUAAUUUCUCCCAAUUGUUCAAGGAAAAAGGCAGCUACAACCACCUUCUAUCAAAUCUGCUUCCAUGAAGCGUGCUGCAGUCUCUGUUCAAGAAGCUUGAACAUGUUAUGUUAUCUUCCAUAAAUCUUAUUUGGCGUGGGUUUUCUCUGGCUUGAGGGUGUGCUUUCUAUUUUGAUCCCUCUUGUUGUUUUUGCGGGGAACUACCAAACCUUCGGUUCCCUCUGCUUCUUUGGAUCAUCUUUGUUGGGACAAAUUUCAUGUAAUUAGAGAUACUGAUUUAUGGGAGGCAUAAUCCCAUGGUUGUAAAUUGACCAUUUUCUGGCAAUGUUCUUUUUAAAAAGAGAUGAGCAGUUGUUUAACAAAAAAAAUAGCUGGCCUUCAUCAUGGUAUGUUACCAAACUGCUAUGUAUAGCUGCUAACUAUGAGCAUCCGAAAAUAUGGUGCAUCGUGAUUCAUGUCGUGCAAUAUGGCUACCAACGCAUCCUAAAUGGAGUAUUACUCAGUUAGUCAGCAAAAUAAGACAACAGUAAGAUAUUAAAAAAAUAAAAACUACAUUAAUAAGUGGGCAAGAUCAUGCCAGUUUAACUUUUCGCGCGUCGCUGCUGGAGAUAAUCAAAUCGGGGCAGAGAAAAGGAGAAUGGAAUCAGAGGCUAAGAUUAAUAAGUGGGCUUCUGCUUGCUUUGCCCCUCUUUCUUAAACGAUUGGUAGACUGCUGCUUCCACCGAUUAACCGGGUCUUCAACCACUGCUUUUAUUGCCUGCCAUCUUGUUGUUUGUCGAAGGGAUGAAUUCGAGUCGAAAAGAGAAAGCGCGCUGAAAAAGACAAAUCACUAGUGGUUAACUACUGACUCAGCCAAGUGUUGGCUUCACUUGAUUCACCGAUUGAGGUUAUUUUGUCUUCUAUCUAAUGCAGCGAAGAAGCUUUACUGCUUAACAUGCUGCAAUGCAACUUUAUCUUUUGAAGUUCACACUUCAGGGCUGCGCACUUUAUGUAAUCCUAUGAGUAAAAAGAAUUUAUUUUCAAAUGUGAAAAAAGAAAAUGUAAGGUAGUAACUAAAUAUAUUAUAGCAUCAAAGUAAGAUUUGAUAUGAAUUUAGUACAACAAAGAACAUUAAAUCUGUGAUUCCUUGUCUAAUGUCACCAUCGAGCAACAAAUUUAAAAGCCUACCUAUCAAAUACACGAGGCAAUAAACGGAGAAAAAGUUGAAUUACAAGAACAAGUUUACAAUUCUUGUCAAUGGUUAAUGAUUCGUGAAUUGAGAUAGCAUUCAAGAAUCCAAUUUCAAUACAACAACGUAAAAGAUAAACAGAUGAUGAAUUUUAUGAGAUAAAGAAGGAGAUUGUGUUUUAUCGUAUCUCUAUUUUCUUUCCAUUUAAAUUUAAAAUAAGCUUUUCAACCGGUUAUAAUAUUUUUUGAAAUAAUUAAAUAUUUUUAUUAUUAAAAAUAAUGUGUACCGUUGAUUACAUCUAACGCUACAUAUUUCUUACACUAUUAAUACCGUAAAAAAAAUCAUAGAGGGACCCUUAAAACAUUUUCAUUUGAAAUUAUUUGGUGAAGUGAAAAAGUUAAGAAAGAAAUAGUUGUCCCUUUGGUCAUUUCACAAAAAUGAAAGCCCCAUAUAACAUGGACUUGAAUGGAAGCCCAAUUGUUGUGUUUGAUUUCAAGCUUUAUCGGACCUUUGGACCUGGAUACUUUACUGCGGCCUCUAAGCGCUACAAAUUUUUUUUUUGGGAUAAAAGGCGCUUCAAUGAAAAAGCACUUUAAAACUUUGGAUUUUGCCAAAACUUCAAAGCGGUUGGUCCAGUUACGGUGUUAUGCUAACGGGUUUAAAGGUUCCGAUCCAAUGAGUUAGGGUGGAAUAUGAAUAUAUAAAUCCUAGUCAUGUAAGGACUAGGAUUUGUUUGUUCAUAUCAAGAAAAAAAAUCUGAAAAUUUGAUGAUCAGAAGAUAAAAACACUUAAACACGUUUAUUACAGAGAAACAAACGACAACAUGAUGCUAGUAGUAAUUUUAUUUUUCUUUUAUUGUGUAACGUGGACCAAAAAAAAGGAAAUGAAUUUAAUAAAACCGUCAUUCCGCAAUAAUAAUGUACCAGCCUGGUUUUUAUAAUCCAUACCAUCCUGAUAUAAUUAAACACCAUUAAUAAUGUACCAGCCUUUAAAUAGUAAUUAAUUUAUUUAUCUAAUUCACCAAAUGUCAUUUCCGGUACAUAUCUCCUGGUAUCAAGAAGAGGCAGAACCCAAAGAAACGUUUCUUGUAUCUUCAUAUUUGUGCGAAUUCAUCCUUUCAUUGAGAAUAACCAUUUCCAGGCGGCAGUUGGCAAUCAAUUCAUGCGCAAGUCGAUGCUAUUCAUAGAUAUUAAAGACAAUGAUGAACCAAAGGUGAUAAAUCAUAAAUGCAUAAUUACCAAACCUCCAUCCUUCUCUCAUUAUGAUUUGAUUUUAAAUGAAUUAUUGCUUGGUAACAUUAUUUCCAACCAUUGCAAGAUUAUUAUUAUUUUUUUUUGGGGAGAAAUUUCAAUUGAAAGUGAAACCUUUAGACAUUUACCUAAUGAAGUUAGUUAAUGGGGAGGGUUGGAAAAAUUCCCAAGCCGUUGCACAGCAAUUACGAUCAUCCUCGGCCUCAGGUAAUUUCUUCUCCUGCAUUUUUGUUAUUUGCUAUCAAGUGACAUUCGUAAGUAUGAUUGUAUUAAGCUGCUGCUGGGAAAUAUAAGGUUUUGAUGGCUGCCCAUGCUAUUGUCAGAAGCUGCGGUUCUUUUCAUCAGCCUGAACCUGGACCUGUCGCCAUGGAUAACUGAGGUUUUUUUUUUUUUAAAUCAACUACGUCAUCUUUUCCACUGUUUUGAAACUCUUAAGAUUAAACUUUAGUAAAGUUGUUUUAGUUAUCCAUGUAAUCAGGCUGAGGAUACUUAGCUGCCUAUUUAGGCAAAUGUCAGACUUUAGUUUGUUCGCUGGGAACUGGUGUGGUGACAGCGUCCUGGCAAAGGAUGAUGAGAUAGUUUUUUGAUUGAGUAAAUUUUGGGGGCUUGAGUAUAUUGGGAUUUGCAAUUACAAUUAUCCUCUGCCUCAGGUGAUUUCUUCUCCUGCCCUGUCGUUGUUUGUUCUCUAAUUCAAAAUUAUAAAAUAUUUCAUCAAAUUUUAUGCCGGGAAUAUGCAAAAGUUUCUAAUAUUUUAUUUCCAUCUGUUUGUCUUGAUAACUUUGCAGCAUAUGUACUAGUUAAAGAACAAAUCGAAACAGAGUUCAGUUAAAAGUUUCUUCUGCCGUCAUAUUUGAAAAAUGAACCCAUUUCCAGGAAGCAAUGGGCAGCAAAUUCAUAUAAAGCGUAGACAAUGAUGAGCAAACAGGUGAUUCACAUUAAUGAAAUUAAUUGUUUGGUUGGAGCGGACAUUGUUAGAAGGCUAUUGAGCUAACCUAUGUCACUACUUGCCUAGAUUACAGGGGGUCAAAACUCAAAAGCGGCAUUGAAUUUUAAAAGGCAUCCAAUAAUUCUUGUGGCCAUAUAUCAAUUCAUGUAUGUUUGAAUGUAAUUAUUGGUGAAGGGGUUUCACUUCCCGUCUCUAAAUAAAAAUACUGAUUCUUUAAGGUACCUGCCACUAGGGAUUGCGAGAUUAAUGAGUCUUUGGACAUUGGAAGAGCUCCUUGUGAGUGGAGGAGGAGGUGUUGAUGGUAGCAAAGCAUGUGGGCAGUGGGCUUGAAUCUCUAAAAAACUUGGAACUCCUCCAAGCGUAAGUAUACGUAUACUGGGAAAUUUGUUAGAUGUGGAUGAGGCUAAGAGAUUAGAGCUUGACAAAAUGAAAUACCUCUUUCAUUGAGACUUAAAUUUGAUGGGGAAGAAGAAAAAGAAGAGGGAAGGAGGAAGAAUGAGGAUAAUCAACUUGUUCUUGAAGCCUUGCAACCACCUCUGAAUUUGAAGGAAUUAGAGAUUUGGUCAUACAGAGGCAACAUUGUUUCCCCCCGGAUGAUGCAAAAAUUGAAGGAAUUUACCAAUCUAAGGAGUUUGACACUCUUUAAAACUGCAAAAAUUGAGAGCAGUUGCCUCCUUUGGGAAAAUUGUGAUCCUUUGAAAAUCUCAGCAUAUUGUACAUGGAGAGUGUGAAAACAGUGGGUAAUGAAUUUCUGGGAAUAGAAAGUCAUCUUCAUGACUCAUCUCCAUCUUUAUCAGUUAUUAUUGCCUUCCCCAAAUUGAAAUCACUUUCAGUUGAGGGAUUGAUGGAAUUGGAGGAGUGGGAUUAUGGGAUUAAAAGAACAGGAAACACCUUCACCAACAUUAUGCCACGUCUUUCUUCCUUGGAAAUUAGUGUGGGGUUAUGGGAUCGCACAACCACGUUGAAGGUAUUGCAGAUUGUGGCAUGUGGUACUCUAAGAAGACGUUGCAGACAGGGGAGAGCAGAAGACUGGCCUAAGUUCUCUCACAUUCUAGACAUCAUGAUUGUGUGAAAAGAGGCCCUUGACAAAAUUCUCUAGGCGGCUACAUGGAGUACAAUCAUAAAAUGCUAAUGUGGCCACCCUGGUUCUUAAUUAAGGUUGUGAAAUAUUAUUGUAAAAGAUGAUUAAUUCAAUUUGAGUCAUUCGUUUGCUUUGAUAAUGAUAGUAAUUUUAUAUUUUGACAAUUUGCAAGGUGAGAAUGGUGCUGAUUGGUGAUACAGGAUACGGUUCAAACACCAUUGAAUAAAGCUACGGACAUGGUGGCUCAACUUAGCUAUUGCUGUCAAAAUUGGUAAGUUGGCUUGUCAAUGUAUUGAUGCUUUUGUUUUCUCUCAACCCUAAUUACCUUACCUUCAUUUAGUUUGGCUUUGGAGUUGAGUAAUAACUUUCAAGGUUCUCAAACAGAGCAGGACAACCGAAAAAAAAAGCUUAAUUUGCUACUGAUCACGUGUUACCAAUUAUUAAGGUAAUUCUCGUUUACUUGCUUCUACACUAUAGAGUACGUGUUCUGGCUGGUUUAUCUAAUUCAUCAAAUGUUAUUUCCUUAUUGUUCCAUUGAUAUAUUUGUUAGAAAGUGAAACCAUUUCCAGGCAGCAGUUGGCAGUGAAUUCAUGCAAAUGUUGAUGCCAUUCAUAGAUAUUGAAGACAAUGAUGAGCCAAAGGUGAUAAAUCAUUAAUGCAUAGUUACCAAAACCUCCAUCCUUCUCUCAUUGUAAUUUGAUUUGAAAUGAAUAAUUUCUAGGUAAUUGAAGCCAAUAUUGUUAGAAACGGUGUUGAGCUACCCAAGCUAAGAAGUUGGCUGCCAAAAAAUGCAGGGGAUCAAAAGAAGCAUUGCAUUUGAAAAGGAAUGAGAUUCUGGUUGCUACAUGUCAAUUCGUAGAAGUUUCAAUAAAUUUAAUGGUUCAAGAUUUUAGUUUCUGUUUAAAUUUGUGCUACUGCAGUGCUGCAGUGCUGCUACUGGGAAAUUUAAAUCCCAUAUUAGACUUUCCUCACAUAAGAAGCUGUGGAUCUUCGGACAUCAGGUUUUUUCACAGUUCUGAAACUCUCAGGAUUAAACUCUAUUAAAGUUGUUGUAGUUGUCUACGUUCUCAGGUCAAGGAUUCUAAGCUGCCGAUUAAGGCAAAAUGUCAGAAUUCCCCUAUUAUUUUUUUUUUCAUGUAAAAUUAUGUUGUUGUCUUCGCCCAUGAAUCUUAGCUAAAUUCUGAACCAAUUGUUUGCUAUUAUAAAUUUCAUUGUUAAAUAUUAAUUGUGAUGUUGGUGUUGAGUUUCUUUUAAAGUCAGAGAAGCCUGACGAUUGAGUUCCAUGGGAUUCUGAGAAGCAGUAAUAUUUUGAACAAGUGAAGGUUCUUCGUUUUUACAGUAUGUGCAGAUGUCUAAGAGGCAGGAUUUUUAUUUCUGUAAUGCUAAAUUUCGCAAAACAAUAAAAAUAAAUAAAUGCAUGACAGUGACUUCAAGAAUUUAGAUUAUUGAAUUUGGUCAUUUUAAAAUUGUUGGAAUGUUGAACUUAAGUAAUUUUUAUAAACCAGAGCUCAGAAAUGUAGAAUAUAAAUAUUGGAGAUUUGGACUUCAAUCAUUAGACUUGAAGCUAAAGAGGUAAGCCAUUAAUUAUAUCAAAGGAUUUGGAAAAUGGAGGGAUUGGAAAAAGGAAACAUUUUCAUAAACUUCAAGAGGAACGUCACAGAAAGGGGUAAAGAGAAGAGUAGCCUAAGAUAUUAAAGACAAUGUUGAGCCAAAGGAAACAUAAAUCCCAACCAUUGCAUGUGAACAUGAUCACAAUAAGGUCAAAAACCAUUUUUUUGAGAAUUUUCAAUUGAAAGUGAAACCUUUUGACAUUUACCUAGUAAAGUUAGUUAAACGAGAGAAAUAAAGGGGAAAAGAAAAGUUGACUCAAGUCAAUACAGAAUAAUUAGUUCAAUCUGGAGUAACUAAAACAGAGCCACUAUAUUUUCAAAAAUAUCUGCAUUCAUCACCUUCUCCUCCAGCUAGUGAGCUACACACGAAUCCUUUCCUUUUAGCAUUUUUGCAGCAUCAAUUUCUCCCCUCGUUUGUCAUCAAUUUCUCCCUUCGUUUCACCAAUACCAUGGCUGAUGCAAUCGUUUCCCCUCUCUUGGAGCAGCUGAUUAUCUUUGCUGCUGAAGAGUUGAAACAACAGGGGAAGCUGGUGAGUGUUGGAUGAGUGGAUCACAGCAUGCGCCAAAUCGCAAAAUAGAUCAAUGCUCUUGGUGCUCCUUAUCUGAAGAAGAAGGUGCAAAUUGGGAGCUGCAUUUCACUGUCAUAACAUUUAUUGUAAUUUCAUUUGGAGAUAUGUAAUAUCUGUUGUCCAGAUACAUAUCAUACACCAGUUGCUAUGUAAUUUCGUUUAGGUUCAUUUUUGUUUCUUAAGAGUUUGUAAAAAGAAUGGAAAGAUUUUAAAAUAUAAAUUUCAUAUCUGUUUAUUACUGUUGUUUGGUCUAAUUUCUUAUGUAGAAUUUUCAGAAUCUGUAGGACAUUAGUUUAUAAUUUUGAGAUUUUGCAGCCAUAAAAAAAAUUUUUUUUUUUUGCCAUUUUAUUUUGCUCCUUUAUCUAUGUGCAUGUUGACUGGCUGCAGUGAGUGAAAAUUUACCUAUAUAUGCUGGCUAUUCUUGGACAAUAUUAGAGAAAAUAAUCAUAUUAUUUCGCGUGAUGUGAACUUCCAUAACUUAUCAAUUGAAUUGCUGUAAAAUAUUAAAUAGUUUUAUUUUUCUUUUAUCGUGUAACUUGGACCAAAAAAGGAAAUGAGUUUAACACGACCCUCAAUAUAACCUCCAUUUCAGCACAAUACAUGUUAAUUGUUCCCCAAGGACUUCUCCUGUUUCCCAUUCCCACCUCCAUGCUCUCGAGAGGAAUUUAGCACCCAUCAAUUUUUAUUUUUGAAAACUCGUAAUGGUCUGAUAAAAUUAAACAACAUCAAUAAUGUUACCAGUCUUUAAAUAGUAAUUAAUUUAUUUAAUUUGCCACCUAAAAGAAUCCUGCUGGAAAUAGAGGUUAAAAAUUUUAUUAGAUCUGCUUACCUUUGUUCAUUCAGCAAAAACACUUACAAUUCACAGCUAGAGAAUCUAUCCAUUGACAAUUGUGGAUUAAAAUUAUAACACCUGAAUUCAAACAUAUCCUUAUGAAGUUAUGAAUUUGUUCAUACUUCAAAUGAUUUUUUUUUCCAAGCUAAUAAAGCAACCACUUUGAUCAAACGACGACGUUGAAGGAAUUACGUAUUUUCAAUGUCCUUUUCCAGACAGAUGUUGGAGAGAGGGAAAGGAGAAGACUGGCCUAAUUAAGAUAUCUCACAAAGAUUAUUGAGUUAAAAUGUUAUUGUAAAAGAUGUUUAAUACAAUAAUAGUAAUUCUUUUGCAUUGUUAUAAUGAGGCUGGUGGGUUUCCUCAGAGGAUGGAUAUGGCUCGCUAGCAUGCAUUUGGGAAGAUGCUAAUUAUCGGCCAUAAAAAGUCAGGGGGUUGUGGCUCUUCCGUCGCCCAGAAAUUCCUAAACUCAUAUAUCAAACUUCAGAUGAACUUGGGCAUUAUGUAAAUAUGUAUUUUUGAGAAUUAAACUAGUGCGUUCGAAAAAUUUUGAGCCAUUGUAAUCAUUUUAUUUUGCUAAGAGAAAAUUUUACUUUGUUUCGCUUUGCCUUUUGUUUUUUCUGUGAUAAUAUGAUUCAUACGAAUGUGAUUACACACUAUCAUGCAUCUAUUUUCAUUUGCUUGUCAUGAAUGGUCAACAUGCUCGAAAUAUUUACUUAGGUUGGAAAUAUUUGAAUCCACUAAAAUACUAUACAAACCCAUUUUAAAAUUAAAAAAAUGAUUAUCAUAAUACUCGUGAAGAUAACACGAUAUCAUACAUAAAAUAAAAUAUUUCGCAAAAAAGAUAAGAUACAAAUCUUGAGUAAAUAGGUACAAAAAAUAUUUUAGUGGGUUAAGUAGCACUAAUGCCCCCUUAUCAAAAAAUAAAUAAAAAUAACUAGUCUGAUUGGGUAUACCGUUUAUAUAUAUGUACAUAUUCUUGAUAAUGUGUAAUGUACAUUAUAGACAAAGAUUUUGAAAGCAAUAUUUUUUAAAAAGUCGAGAGAAUAGGAAAAGUCUAAAUCAAUUUUCUAAUCUCUACCUCCUUUAUGAUUUAAACUUUAGUGUUUAGUGUCGCGAGCCACUCAAAUUUUCUAAUCAAAGAGACUAAAUUGCACGAAAUUGUGCUAGCUUAUUUGAUUCUAGAAAUUUCUACUACACUGUAACACACUCUCACGUAGGGAUGGCAAUGGGGAGGGGAGGGGAGGGGACCAAUCUCCCCAUAUCCAUCCCCGAUAUUUUACAUAUGUCCCCGUCCCCGUCAGAAUUGCUUGAGAGAAUCCCCAUCCCCUCCUCGAAUAAUAACAGGGGAUCCCCGAGGGUCCCCGGUCCCCGAAUAACUAAUAAUCUAAUACAUUUUUUUAUUUUCGAUUUUAAAUUAAUCAUAUUAAAAUAAACUCAUACCGCUAUUGUAAGCUCGUAACCAAUUUUGACAGCACAUUAAGGCCUCCAAUGUGCUUGGAUGAAGUCUGUUAUGGUAUGGGCUCACAACUCUACCACUAGUGUUAAAAGCUGAUUCAGAAGCAACUGUUGUAAUUGGAAUUGCCAAAAUAUCUCUAGCAAUUCGAGCUAAUGUAGGAUACCUAUUAGCAUUUGUCUUCCACCAACUCAAAAUAUUAAAAUCUUCCAUCCGAGGUAUAACUUUCUCAUCCAAAUAUGAAUCUAAUUCAUCUGCAACAACUGCACAAUCUCCAUUGUUUACAUAAUCAUCAAAACCUAUCAUCCAUUUGGUUGCUUUCUUAUAAGAAUCCCCUGUAGAUCUAGUAGAAGAACUACUACCAGUAUAAUCAAAGCAAUAAACAGUUGGUGAAAACUUCAAUUAAUACUCUUCAACUAAUUCCCGGCAAAGGAUGACCACUUUCCCAACAUACAACUAUUUUGAUAUUUAUUAUUUUUAACAAUAUUUAUAAUUUUGUUAUUUAUUUAUUAGUAAUUUUAAAAAUAAAAAUAAAAUUAAAAAUUAAAAUGGGGAAAUGGGUAGGGGAUGGGGAUUCCACCUCAUCCCCGUCCCCUCCCCGAAUAAAAAAUUGGGUAAAAAAUUUUCCCCGUCCCCUCCCCGAAAAAAAAAUUGGGUAUAAAAUUAUCCCCGUACCCUCCCCGAAUGGGGAAAAUCCCCGAGGGUAUCCGUCCCCGUGGGGAUUUUUGCCAUCCCUACUCUCACGCUUGUACAUACCUCGAAAUUCUCUAGAAUUUACUAGAGUAGUGUUGCAUGUAGCUUGUACAUAGGUUUUUCUGGAACACUCCAGGCAUUACUAAGCAUGAGAGCCUUGAGAACUCUCUAGCCAUAAAACAUUCUAGGGUAAGCCUACCCUAAAAAUAGGGCAUGAUGCUUGCCACUUGAGCAUACAACAAGUAAGAACAAAUCAAGCAUACUUGUGAGCUCUCAAACUCUCUUAUACACACUUUUAUGAAUAAUAUAUUCUCUCUUUGGCUAUAUUGCUCUCUCUUCUCUCUAGUUUUUUUCGCAAGCAUCAAACCUUAGUUAGUCGAAAAAUUCAAGGCUUACUUUAUAGCUAUCUCGUAAAAGUUGUUUAAGUACCAUAGAGAUUUGCUGUGCAAAAUACUCAUCACAUGACAUUAGCUAAAUAAAAUUGUUUGAAAGCCACUUACCCAAACUAUUAAACGAAUAUUGACUUUUGUCUUAAUUUUCUAUCUCCUACGAUAAAUUUUAUAGUUAAAAAUUGAAAAAAAUUAAUAACUAUUAGAUAGAGCAUUCUUUAUUGUUAAAAGAAAUCUAUAUAGAUAGAUAGAUGGUAAUAUAAAAACUUACUUAUUGUAGUAUAAUGUUUUUAGUUUUUUGAAACACAGAUUCUCACUUUUUAAAGAUAAAAUUCAAAGAAAACAAGUUAAAUGUUGUAGAAAAUCUUCCAGCCAUACAAGAAAUUGUGAUGGCUAAAUGCAAACCUAACUAAAGUAUUAGUUGUUUUAUUACAAUCUCCAAAAAGAUGAGCAAUUCCAAAAUCUUUUUUUGUGACAAUAAACACUACACGUCAGUAAUUAUCCAGGUCAAAAGCAAGCUACUCUAUUAAAAAAAAAAAAAACUUGCAGUGAAUUCGAAGAUAAACCAAUUUUACUAGCAAGUUGGAUACAAAAGAGUAGGGCUUCGGCCUCAAUUACUCAGUGUACCAACAACUCAAUCUCGGUGAGUUAAAAUCAACUUCCAUCAGUCUUUUAUUUGUUGAUAGAUCGAUUAAGGUACCAAAAAGAAUAAUUAAAGAUGUAUUAGUUCAAGUUAAUAAAUUCAUAUAUCUUGUGGAUUUUAUUAUUUUGGAAACUGAACCAAUUGCUAAUGAAUGCAAACAAAUUCCUGUUACAUUGGGUCGUCCAUUUUUAACUACUGCUAAUACAUUGAUUAAUUGCUGGAAUGGAGUAAUGAAUUUAUCUUUCGGCAACAUGACAUUGGAACUUGAUGUGUUCAACAUAUGUAAACAACCUCACCACCAGGAAGAUGAUGAUAAUGAGAAUUAGGAGAUUGAUUUCAUCGAGCCAAUCAUUGAGGAACACAUUCAGAAUAAGAAUUUUACAAAUUCUGUGGAAAUUUAUUCUUCUUGUUCUUUUGAAUCGAGUAAAGAAUUAAAUUAUGAUACUGCUAACAUAUAACCUACAAUUGAUUCUAUGCAGGUACAUGCUGACAAUGGCCAAUCAAACUUUAAAGAUACAGAACAACCUGAAGAACCAAACGAAGAGCAAGUACCAGAGCUCAAAUUAAAGCCCUUACUGGAAGAAUUGAAGUAUGUCUAUCUUGGAGAACAACAGAUUUAUCCUGUGGUAAUUUUUUUCCCAACUCACGCUUGAUCAAGAAGGUAAGUUGUUGUCUGUACUAAAAAGGCAUAAAACUGCAUUUGGCUGGACUUUAAAAGACAUAAAAAACAAUAAUUCUUUAAUCUGCACACACCGAAUACACUUAGAGGAAAAUACCAAAACAACCCAUCAACAUCGACAUUAUAUGUGUAAACAUUAAAUACCAAAAUCAACCCCAAAAACUAUAAAUAAAAUAUCAUGAUUAAAAUGAAGUUUUUUUUUAGAUAUUCGUUGUAGUAUCUCUUUAGAUCGCAAACAAGAGAUAAAAUAAAUAAAUAUUUGCUAUGUAAAUAAAAAUAAAUAAUUUUUUUUAACUGAAAAAUAUUCUCAAAAACUAAAUAGUUCAAACUUUUUUUAACAUCAUGUGUUUCUAGGGUUGGGCAUUCAGUUCGGUUUUUACCGAACCGAACAACUAAAUUAAAUCGAAAUUACCUGUUCGGUUCAAUUGAAUAGACAAAAACCGAAGAGUUUAUAUUUUCAUGAACUGAAUGAUUUGUGUUUCAGUUGAGUUCGGUUCGAUUCUGGACCUGAACCGAACCGAACCGAUCCGUGAAUCGUAAACUGCCCACCCUUACGUAGUAGUUUCCGUUAACCGACGUUGUAUUGCUCGUAUAAAAUUGUUCAAAUGUUCAAAUCACAGUCUCCCGCUCUCAGCUCAGUCAGAGUUUCCAGGUCCAGAGACUUCCCGCUGACUGAGAACUUUUUCGUAGCAGGUCUACAAAUAAUGGAGUAGAGCUGAUUUUAUGAUUAAUUUAUUUCCUUUUUCAAUUUCUCUUGAUUGCGAUUUAAUCUGGAAAGUUAAACGUGAAUUGUUUAGUGCGGAUUAAAUGUUCGACGAAUUUCCCACAAGAGUAUUAAGUUCAAGAGAAAAAAAGAAAACAAUUGAGCGUGAGCGUGAGCGAGAAUGGUGUUUGGGCAAGUGGUGAUUGGUCCGCCCGGCUCGGGAAAGACCACUUACUGCAAUGGCAUGUCUCAGUUUCUCAGCCUUGUUGGCAGGUAACUUCGUUUCUUGAUUUCAAGCAGCUUUAUCUUCGAUGACCAAAAAUAUUGAUUUGGGCUUUGCCAUUAAAUGAAUGUAAGAGCAGUAGGGAAUAACUGAGUUAUAGGAUUAGCUUUAAGUGAACAUUGAUGGUAAUGUGAAGGUUGUAUGUGUUCAGUGGCAAGCUGUAUGCCAAUUUGGUCUAUAUGGUUGCUUAGGUAGUAACUUAUUAAUUUUUAGGCAGGAAGGUUGCAGUCAUCAAUUUAGUUCCUGCUAAUGAUAGUUUGCCGCAUCCUUUGUCAUUGAACUUUCUUACAAAUGCUGUGGUUUGUUGUAGUAUAAUUAGUUCAAUUGGAAAUUUCCUUGAUGUUAAUAUAGAAAUGAGUGUGCUGUGAAUAUUGAGGACCUCAUUAGACUAAGUGAUGUGAUGAUGGAGUAUUCACUUGGUCCCAAUGGAGGUUAGUCAGCCUAUUGUUGUUUACUCUUUCUUGCUUUAUCACGCAAUGAUAUUCCUUUGCUUUACAACAAAUUUCAUGAAAUUAACUUCAAUCAAGUGGCAAUGUUCAUACGCUGUUGAGAUUUUAUGGACAAUGAUUUGGUAGAAUUUAUAUGCCGUCUUCUUUCUUUUUGCAGUGAUAUGCUUGUAUUCAAUGAGCUUGUACUUAUUCUAUGGUUUCUAAAGUAGGUGUUUUUAUGAUAAACUAGGUCUUGUGUAUUGUAUGGACUAUCUAGAGAAGAAUAUUGACUGGCUGCAGUCGAAAUUGGAACUACUUUUGAAAGGUAAGUAGAGGCCAUUUUCCUUCAUUCUAAUGCCAAUAAUGCUGUCAUGAGACUCAUAAAAAUUGUUAAAACGUUAAUGUUUUUGGUAUUUUGCAGAUCGUUAUCUUCUGUUUGAUUUUCCUGGCCAAGUUGAAUUAUUUUUUCUUCAUUCCAAUGCCAAGACUGUUAUAAUGAGACUCAUAAAUAAGUUAAAUCUCAGGGUAUUGUUACAUCUUACAUCUAUGAAGGGACUCAAAGAGUUGAGAUGAAUUCAUCUUUGUUAUUUUGAUGCCAGAAUUGUGCAAUUCUCAGUUUGUUCCUUUCACAUGCAGUUGACUGCAGUGCAUCUAGUUGAUGUGCAUCUUUGCAGUGACCCCAGGAAGUAUGUUAGUGCUUUGCUUCUCUCAUUGUCUACGAUGCUACAUCUGGAACUUCCCCAUGUCAAUGUCUUGUCUAAUCGAUCUGAUUGAGAAUCAUGGAAAGCUAGGUGUGGUUUUAAGUGUAGCUCUCCUGCUUGUUUGUUUAGUUUGAAAUAUCAGAUAUUGUCACAAGAUCCUAUUUGCUACAUUUCCUCACCAAUCAAUUAUUUUGGGUCUGUUGCAGCUUUUAAUCUCGAGUACUAUACAGAUGUGCAAGAUUUGUCAUAUUUACAGCAUGCUCUCGGUCAGGACCCUCGUUCUGCUAAGUACAGGUUUGAAUUCUAGCUGAAUCAAUGAUGCAAAUUAUGUCCAUUGUUAUUUCUGCUGUUGUUUCUAUCAUUUUCAAUUGUUACUUCCCCUUUCCAUCUACUACCACACUACAAUACCCACACAAAUGUUGUGAAAUUUGUCAAUGGAAAAAAAACAGUUCCUCUUUUAUUUUGAUCAGACUCAAUGAAUAAGUGGUUAAAAUGUGCCUGUCCUAGAAAUAUAGAUGUGUGGUUUCGUAAAAUUUUCUUGAUCUUAAGAAAGAGUUAUCUCGAAAAGAAGAUAACAUGGAGAAUUCAACAACUAUACAGUCAUAUUGAUGUCUGUCAACUUGGGUCAUAUGGUGUCGUUUGGAUGGAGAUGUUAGGUCCCAGAUGGUAAACUUGUUAUCGAAUUCCAGUCUACUUCAUUCAUGCUUUGAUGACAUAUACGGUGCAGCUUCUUAUCUAAGACCUGCAUAUGUUCAAUCAUCAUUCUGUUCUGUAUUUGGCUGCCAUUCUUUUCAAUGAAUUCAAACCACUUCUGAAUACUUGCAAAUUCAUCCAGUGUUGUCAUUGAGAUGCCAAUAUGAAAGGAAGCCAUAAUUGCCCUUGAUAGUAUGCUUAUUGAUUGCCUCUUGCCUCACUCAGCCUCAUGAAUCUGCUUGUAUGGUGUUCUUGUAAUUUCAUUUGGAGAUUAGUAAUAUCUGUUGUUCAAAUGUAUUUUAUAUACCAGCAGUUAAUAAUUCUGCUUGCAGAAAGCUUACAAAGGAGCUGUGUGAUGUAAUUUUUCAACCUUAGAUAUCCAGGUCAUCAGUUUCUCUUGAAUUCUUUCUUGAAUUUCUUUGAAUUAUUUGUGAAUAAGAUCUUAGUUGGCUGCUUCUCUUCAGGAUAAGGAAAGUGUGGCAAAACUCGUGAAGCUGAUAUAUAAAAGCAAUGGGUACAUCUUUGCUGGCAUGGAUGCCAGUGCAGUUGAAUUCAGCAAGAUUGCCGUUCGCGAUGUUGAUUGGGAUUAUUUCGGAUAUCCUUCUUUUCACCUAUUUUCAAUGUUGUUAUUCUCAUAUUCAUAAAAUUUUUUGGUUAUUUAAUUAUGGUUCAUCAUAUGCAUCUGCAUCUUCUAACUUGUUCGUUUGAGAAACUAAUUUUGCCGUUAGGUAGGCUUCGAGCUUGAUGAGUUGAUUCAUGCUUUUUUCAUAAAUGUACCAAAAUCAUGGAAACUUCUUUUUCCCAGAUAUUGUAUCCACACUUUUUCCAUGUAAUUGGGUCAGACAAGUUUUGCUUAACAAAGAUAUCUACAGUAGCCGAAGUGCAGGAGAAGUACAUUAAGGAUGAUGAUGAUGUUAACUAAAAUGAGACGUGAAGAUAUGUGGUGUGCGAACCGUAAGCCUGCCUCUUAAUUUUGUGCAUGUUUACUUGCUUGUGAUUCACGUUUGUUAAUCUAUUUUGCUCUCUUGCAGGAGUUAUAAAGUUUUCAAUCAAUCAAACAUUUAACUUAAGUCCUUACCUCUUGCUGCAAAGACAAUGGGAAGUCUCAUGAGCUCUAAAAAAACUGAAGAAGAGUGGAAAAUAAUUUUAAAUAGUGAUUUAUGGAAGGUAAAAGAGAUCGAGAAAGGUGUUCUAACCCCUUUGUGGUUGAGUUAUAAUGAUUUGCCGUCCAGAGGAAAAAGAUGUUUCUCGUAUUGUGCUGUCUUUCCAAAAGACUACAAUAUAAAAAAAGACAAAUUAAUUACUUUGUGGAUGGCUCAAGGUUAUCUUAGUGCAGAAGCAGCAGAACAAGAUGAGGAGUUGGAGACUAUAGGUGAAGAGUAUUUUGGCAUCUUAGCUUCUCGCUCUUUCUUUCAAGAGUUUCAGAAACGUUAUGAUAAUCGUAUUAUAGCGUGCAAGAUGCAUGAUAUGGUACAUGAUUUUGCCCAAUUUGUUAGUCAAAAUGAAUGUUUUUCGUUGGAAGUUAAUGGUAGUGAGGAACUAACCGUCACAAACUCUACAAACUCUCUUGAUGAGAAGGUCCGUCAUUUAAUGUUAAUCUUUAGUAAAGGGACUUCAUUACCUGUUUCCACUCGUAGAGUUAAAAGAAUGCGUACCCUCUUAAUUAACGAUAGUAGAUCUGAUCAUUCAUUAUUAAAUGGUGAGAUCCUAGAAGAAUUAUUUAGGGAAUUGACAAGUUUAAGGGCAUUAGAUUUUGGCAAAUCGUAUAACUCAAGUUGGUCUUCGACUGUGGAGAUUCCGAGAACCAUAGAAAAGCUGGUACAUUUAAGAUACCUUAAUUUGUUUUAUCAGGGAAUAAAGAAACUACCGGAGACAUUAUGCGAGUUGUAUAAUCUAGAAAAGUUAGAUAUUAGUUUAUGUUUUAAUCUUAAAGAAUUACCUGAAGGGAUUGGGAAGUUAAUAAACAUGAAGCAUUUACGAAAUAGAGGUACUAGUUCUUUAAGGUACAUGCCAGUAGGGAUUGGGAGAUUAACGGGUCUCAGGACCUUGGAUGAGUUCCACGUGAGUGGAGGAAAGCGUGUAGGCUUGAAUCUCUUAAAAAAUUGGAACACCUUCAAGUAUGUGGUAUACGUAGACUGGGUGAUGUAUCAGAUGUGGGCGAGGCUAAGCGAUUAGAACUUGACAAAAAGAAAUACCUCUUCAGUUUGACCCUUGAGUUUGAUAAGAAGGAGGAAGAAGAAGGAGAAAGGAGGAAGAACGAGGACGAUCAAGUUCUUCUUGAAGCCCUACAACCACCUCUCAAUUUAAAGGAAUUAGAGAUAGAGUACUACCGAGGCAACACUGUUUUCCCCAGCUGGAUGACGUCAUUAACCAACUUAAAGAGUUUAGAUCUCUCUUCCUGCGAAAAUUGGGAGCAGCUGCCUCCUUUGGGAAAAUUGCCAUCCCUUGAAGCACUCAGCCUAUGGGACAUGAAGUGUGUGGAAAGAGUGGGUGAUGAAUUUUUGGGGAUAGAAAGUGAUCAUCAUGGCUCAUCUUCAUCGGUUAUUAUUGCCUUCCCCAAAUUGAAAUCACUUUCAAUUGAGGUUCUGCGCGAAUUGGAGGAGUGGGAUUAUGGGAUUACAAGAACGGGAAACACCGUCAUCAACAUCAUGCCACGUCUUUCUUCCUUGACAAUUGCACUUUGCCCCAAAUUAAAGGCACUGCCCGACCACUUUCAUCAAACGACAACAUUGAAGGAAUUGCACAUUUGGGAUUGCAGGCUUCUGGAAGAACGUUAUUGCAAGGGGGAAGGAGAAGACUGGCCUAAGAUAUCACACAUUCCCAACCUCCAUAUUGGGCUUUGACAAGUAAUUUCUUCUCUUACUCUGAUUUGCUUUGUUGUUGUUUUUAAUCUAAUUAAGAAGCGUAAAUAGCAUUUUGAAUCAAACUCUAUAUCAGAAAUCUGCAAUACUUACUUUCUAAUAUUCUGAUUUUCAUAUCCUAUGAAUAUACGAUUUUUAAUUUGUGAGAUGGGUAACGUUACUGUAAAAGAUUAUUAAUGCAAUAUGAGUAAUUCUUUUGCAGGACAAGUGACCUACAUUUAGUUUGGCUUUGGAGUUGAAUAAUAACCUUUCGAGGUCCCGACAACCAAAAAACGAAGCUUAAUUUGCCACAGAUUGCACGUAUUGCCAUUAUUGACAAUUUUCUGCACAAGCUUAGGUUGAUGUCAAAAGAGGUAAAUUAUUGGCAUGCCUGACUAUUUUGACCAUUACACGAUUCAUAAGUUUACAUUAAUUUUGAUUUUGAGUUGAGUGAUUAGUUUUCUAGGUUUGCUUACUUUAACUGGGUGACCAAUUUCUUGUAACUAAAUGUAUGAUGUGAAGCAGAACUCAAACAAAAGUAUGCUACUUCUUGCGGAAAUCUUGCCUUUGUUCAGAUUAUGAAACCAUUUCCAUGCAGCAAAUUCAUCCAAAAGUUUGAAUAAGUUUCACGGUUGGACACUGUUGGUUUCUUUUUCUUCUGGGGUGCAUUUAGGUGCUAUCAAGUGACAGCUGUAAGUAUGAUUGCACUAAGCUGCCGCUGGGAAAUUUGAGGUUUUGAUGGCUGCCCAUGUUAUUUUCAAGAAACUAUUGAUGUAAGAAGCUGUGGUUCUUUUCAUCAGCUUGAACCUGAAACUGUCGCUAUGGAUAACUCAGGUUUUUGUUAUCAACUAUAUCAUCUUUUUCACUAUUUUGAAACUCUUAAGAUUAAACUUUAGUAAAGUUGUUUCAGCUUUUCAAAUGAAAAACUCAUUGAUUUGAGACUUCCUUCAUUAUUGUUUCUAAUUACAAUGCUAACGAUCCAGAUAAGAUAAUAUUUAAUCGGCGAAGGUGUCCCUUGGAAGUACAUCCUUCUUUUUCUUUUAUUAUACAAAUUCUUGCAAUGAGCUUAGUGAAGCUGUUGUGCUAAUCAUGCCACUGCAUAAUUUGGCCCCUAAUGUGGGUACUCUGUUACAUUGUUCUGCAAAUUCUCCAGAAGUUAAAAUCAAUAAAUUUUCUAUUAGCUCUAGUGCUUUGACCUAAAUGCUAUUCUAUAUUCUGAUUACAAUGUUUUACCUUUAAAUUAACUACCCCUAGAUGUUGGAUUUUCUAGAACUUCAAAAUGAUUAAUGGAGAAAGAUCCCAUUAUCGUUAUUGCUAUAAAAAAUUGAUUUAUGCAUCCAAAGAUACAUUAUAUAUUUCUGUGUCUCUAUUUAUAGAUGACAUUUAAGCAUCCAUAAACCGUCAGACAGAGGAAGGGGGUUCAGUGCAAAGAUUCUGUUGACCUAGGGUUGACUGCAUAAUGUCACUUGUUCGCAAUCUAUUAUUCUUUUCAAGGUCUGCUUCCUUAACGGAGCGACCAAUGUUUUUCAACUAAAUUUAUCAUAUGAUGCAGGAAGCAGGGCAGGAUAUGAAAUGUGAAGCUCAUUGGUGGAAGUAUUGCCAGUAACAGAACCCAAAGAAAAUGAAACUAUUUCAAGGCAGCAGUUGGCAGUUGCAAGUGAAUGGAGGCCCUUGACAAAAUUCUCAAGCGGUUGCAAUGCAAUUACGAUCAUCCUCAGCCUCAGGUAAUUUCUUCUCCUGCUUUGUAUUUAUUUGUUAUCUAAUUAGGAACCGUAAAGUAUCUUGAAUCAUUUUCUGUAUCUGGAAUAUAUGCAAGAGUUUCUAAAAUUUUGAUAUGAGUGUAAUGAUGGUAAUUUCUGUUUUCUGUCUGUCAUCAAAUGUUAGAAAACUUUCAUUGAGACCCUUGAACCGAGUCAUUUUUGACAAGUGAAGUGCUGAAGAGUGAAGAGUAAGAAUGGUGCUAGAUUGGGGAAUAAAGCAAAAGGAGGUAAAUUAUUGGCAGCUUCUUCAACCUUAUUUUCUUUGGACCAGUGCCUAAUUCACAAGUCUCCAUAAUUCGGCUUUUGACCAGUUGAUAGAUAAAAUUUUAAUUUCAUUGGUGCUAAUGUACCCGUGAGGCAGGCAGAGAAGGACUGUGGAAAAGAGAAGGUUUUUAGUGAAAGCUUAAACUCAGGUAAUUCUAAAAAUUAUAUGUUUUGGCUGAUUUAUCUAAAUCAGGAAAUUUUAUUUCCAUCUGUUACAAUAAAACAGAAACAGAACACAAAGAAAAAUAUUCUACUUCUUGUGGCAAUCUUGCCUUCAUUCAGACUAUGAAACCAUUUCCUUUCACCAAUUUCUUCCAAAAGUUUGAACACAUUUCAUGGUUGGACAUAGUUAGCUUCUUUUUCUUUUGGUGCAUUUAGGUGCUAUCAAGUGACAGCCGUAAGUAUGAUUGCAUUAUUGGGAAAUUUUAGGUUUUGAUGGCUCCCCAUGUUAUUGCCAAGAAAUUUUAAGUCCUCGUGUCAGAAGCUGCGUUUCUUUUCAUCAGCCUGAACCCGAACCUGUCACUAUGGAUAACUGAGGUUUUUGUCAUCAACUAUAUCAUCUUUUUCACUGUUUUGAAACUCUUAAGAUUAAACUUCAGUAAAGUUGUUUCAGUUAUCCAUGUAAUCAGGCUAAGGAUAUUUAGCAGCUUAUUUAGGCAACUGCCAGAAUUCAGUUUGUUCGCUCGAAACUUGUAUGGUGACAAGGAUACUGGCAAGGAUAGUGAGAUAGUUUUUUGUGUGAGUGAAUUUUGAAAGCUUGGGUGUUCUGGGAUUUGCAAUUGCAAUCAUCCUCUGCUUUAGGUGAUUUCUUCUCCUGUUCUGUCUUUAUUUUCUCUCUAAUUGAAAGCAUUUCAAUCAAAUUCUGUACCAGGAAUACGAAAAAUUUACCAAUAUUUUAUUUCCAUCUGUUUGCAUUGAUAACUUGGCCGCAUAUGUACUAGUUAAAGAACAAACAGAAGCAGAGUUCAGGAAAAAGUUUCUUCGGCCACCAUAUUUGAAAAUGAAACCAUUUCCAGGAAGCAGUUGGCAGCAAAUUCAUACAAAGUAUAGACAAUGAUGAACAAAAAGGUGAUUCGCAAUUUCAUUUUUUUAAAAUGAAAUUAUUUGUUAAGUUGGAGCUGAUAUUGUUAGAAGGCCAUUGAGCUAACCUCUGACACUGCUUGCCUAGAUUGCAGGAGGUCAAGACUCAAAAGAUGCACUGAAUUUUAAAAGGCAUGCAAUAAUUCUUAUGGCCAUUUGUCAAUGGUGGAAUGCUUUUAGCUUCUUUUCCUUUUGUGCAUUUUGGGGUUCUAUCAAGCGACAGCCGUAUGUAUGGAUGGAUAUAGCUGCUGCGUUGAUUUCUAAUGCAUUGUAUGAUGUUAUAGCAACUAUCCAUCUGGUCAAUGUUUCAAAAGAAUAAGACAGGGAAAAAGAGAAAGCAAGUGGCCAAUCAAGUUGCAUCAACCAAAUUGUUGUUAAACAAGUAAAACAAAGAAAGAGAGUUAAGGAAGCUGACCUUGUAGUAGGGGAGCUGAAGAAAGGCUGCCAGUGAAUGUAAGAGAAAAUAAAAUGCAAGAAAUGGUGAAGUGCAGCUUUUCAUGUCAACUUGAAAUUGAUUUUUCUGUUUGUUUUUUUUUUUUUGUAAUCUUUUGGAUUUUUCAAACAAAGAAAAUGAGGAGCAACCAGGGAGAUAAAAAGGGCGCCAAGGCAACUGUGUGUUGGGUUUAGAGCCAAAAAUAAAUAAAUAAAUAAAUAAGACAUCGUGUUCUUGUGGAGACCAGACCUAUUACGUAACGUCCCCUUCAAUACCACUUGUUCCGUAUCUGGUUUUCUCUUCGUCGUUUACAUAUUUAUCCUGUGAUUUUACAAUAACUAAAUAAUCCCCGCAUAGUUUGCAAUUUUAUUCAUUUGGGCCCUACAGAUUUCAGUAAUAGGAAUUAUUAAGGGACAAGAGCGCAAAACAGAAACUCUGUCCACUACUGAUGAUAUAAUAACGAACCUUUGUUUUUUUUUUUUAAAAAAAAAAAGAGUAACAAAAUAUCAUUAGACAAAUGAAAAUAUUAUCUAACAUCACCUAUUCACCUUACUGAUGAUAUGAAAAUAUGUAUGUAUGUAUGUAUGUAUGUACAUAUAUACAUACACCUAUGUAACAUUUACUUAUACAUUCUUUUGAGUUUAAAUCUUAAUACAACUACAUACAACCACAUCAAUGUAUAUAUUUUUUACAUAAGACAUGCCGUCCUAUUAUUCAUAAGUAAACAAUGUGCCGUAAAUAGUAUUCUGUGUUUUCUCAAAGUUGACUUUUCGUCUUUUAUUUUCAGACGCAGACGCUAUGUCAUUUUGUAAUCGUCCGAACAUAUACAGAGCAGAAUUGGUGUUAUCUGAUUUUGUGAUGCAAUAAGAUUUGCACUUCCUGUGCAUUCAAUGGAAUCAUGCCACGCUAGUAGACAAUAUGCUAGUUUGAACAAACUUGUUUGAAUGGCAAAAACGACAUGACCUGCUGUAGUAUUAAUUCUUUCCCGAACCAACGGGUGAUUUGCUACGUUGGAUCAUGAAAAUUAACCAAAAUAAAAAUUCUUAAGGAAUUAGUUAGUUAAUUGAUUGAUCGAAUUUAAUCUAAAUUUGAAAAUGAUAAGAUAAAUUUAAAUUUAUUAUUAUUAUUAUUAUUAUUAUUUUAAAGUGGGUGGGUUUAUACAAUUUGAGCGGUGGAAAUAUCACUGCUGAAUUAUUAAAUAUACAGUGUAAAAUUUUGACCUUUAAAAUAUUCCCUUUUUUUUUUUAUUUAGCACUAUAAGUUUAAAAAUUUAACAUUUUACCUCAAUAAUUAAAUACUUUUAACUUUAAUCUUCAAAUAUUUACCCUACAACAUUUGGACCUAAAUUUUUAAUCCGACUCGGCCCCUGACCCAAGUGGGAAGAAGAUCAGGCUUAUAAGUUAUAACUAUCACCAACAUAACAUCUUCUGGAAAAUAAUAAGAUUACUCACCUGCAAUUAUGUGAUCAAACUAAUGGUAAGCAAAAUAGAACAGCGUUAUUUCAGUCCCCUUUCAGUUUCUUUAUCAUUUUUCUUUUCCUAUUUAUAAGCUUAAUUCGGUUCAAAAUCGGCUAAUUCACUUUGAUUUCACUUUUCUUUCUUUCGGUUCAAAAAAAUUGAACCCAUUGGCUGUCAAUUCAAUUUUGUUGAAAACCAACUUUGCCUGAAUUUAAGUAAUAAUAGAGGAAAAAAAAAGAGUACUUAGCAGAAGAGAUUUCUCAUUUUUUUCUCAUUCAAACUUCUAAAAUAAAAGAAAAAAAAACAAGAGUAAUUGUUAAUUAUCAAAAUUUUGUUUAUACUAUUCCACCAAGAAAAUUAUACAAAAAAAAAAAUUUUAAAAAUUGGAGAAGAAAUAUGAGGUGAAAUACGUGGAUGGCUUAGACUAAUAAUGUGAACAAAUUCCUCUUGGAAGCAUGUCAUUGUUCAUCCGGACAACACGCGGCGAUGAGAUUCGAGAAUAAAAGGAUAGGAAUCAACUGUAACCUCAUAAACAAAUGGCCUUGGAGUUGUAACCAAAGCUUUUAAUUAUUGAUCAUUAAGAUCGAUAUAAAGUAUCACGAAAUGAUGUGUACGACGACAAUAUCAAUAGCGUAGUGUGAAGACCUGGCUGUAAACACAAGGCUCGGCAGAUUAAUUAAACAAGAGUAUCCGAAUUUUCUAUGAUAAUCUCUAGGAAACGAUCAGCUAUAAUGUACGAAAUUAAAAUAUUGCAUAUAUUUUUGAAUUUUUGAACUCAUGCAUUAAUUUAAAAAAUUAUAUCGUAUUAUAAUUUAUUCACAAAAGAAAGAAAAAUUCACUAAUCAAGUGAAAUCGUAUUCUUAUUGAAAUGAAUUCCAGUAAUUGGAUAAAUAUAAGUAUUUCUUCCGUUGUAAUUUUUGUUUAACAGAAAAUCUAUUUGAGAUUUUGUGAGAAGAAACUCAACAAUAAAGUUUGAUAGACUUUGUGGAUAUUAAGAGUUUGACAAGUAAUUGAAAUCUGAAGUUUACUGAAAUUUACGAGCAAACAAACUGAAAUCCGAAGUUUACUGAAGUUUACUAUCAAGAGUUUCAAAACAGUGAAAAAGAUGAUAUAGUUGAUGACAAAAACCUGAGUUAUCCAUAGCGACAAGUAACAUACUGAAGUAAGCCGUUGGGAGCUGGCCUGUUCAUGGGCUAUUUUUCUCUGAUGAUCUGCAUUUUUCUUCCUUUUAAAGUGAACCUUGACUCGUAUCAAACCUGUCAAAAGAACAGUUCAUCAACUGAGCUGAGAUUUGCUUUCCUUUUUCAAAACCCACCUGAGAUAUUGUAAUUCCCAAAUUUCUCUCUCUCAGCUACACGAGCAAGCAGCCGCUUUUUCACUUCAUCGAAGAAGGUAAGCGAUUUAUCUAUUUCGUCCGAUUGAUUUCUUGUUUCGUUUUCAGUGUUCGGGUAAAUUAUUGGCAUGCCUGACUUUUUGACCAUUACAUGAUUCAUAAAUUUCUAUUAAUUUUGAUUUUGAGUUGACUGGUUACUUUUAUAGGUUUGUUUACUUUGACUAGGUGACCAAUUUCUUGUAACUAAAUUUAUGACGUGAUGCAGGAAGCUCGGCAGGAUAUGAAAUGAGAAUCUUAUUAGUGGAAGGAUUGCCAGUAACAGAACCCAAAGAAAAUGAAACCAUUUCAAGGCAGCAGUUGGCAGUUGGGAGUGGAUGGAGGCCCCUGACAAAACUUCAGUAAACUUCAGAUUUCAGUUUGUUUGCUCGAAACUUGCAUGGUGACAAGGAUACUGGCAAGGAUAAUGAGAUAGUUUUUGUGUGAAUGAAAUUACGAUCAUCCUCAGCCUUAGUUGUUAUUUGUUACCUAAUUAAGAAGCAUAAAGUAUCCUGAAUCAUUUUCGUUGUCUGGAACAUAUGAGUGUAAUGAUUGUAAUUUCUGUUUUCUGUCUGUCAUCGAAUGUAAGACAACUUUAUUAAGAUUCUUGAACCGAGUCAUUUUUGACAAUUGAAGGACAAGUGCUGAAGAGUGGGAAUGCAAAAAGUUUUGUUGUUUCUAGCCUUGUUUUCUUUGAACCAGCGCCUGAUGAUAUAACAGAAACAAGGCUAGAAACAACAAAAACUCUGUCCACUACUGAUGAUAUAACAACGAACCUUUGUUUUUUUCUUUUUUCUUUUUUUUUUUAAAAAAAGUAACAAAAUAUCAUUAGAGAAAUGAAAAUAUUAUCUAACAUCACCCUACUGAUGAUAUGAAAAUAUGUAUGUAUGUAUGUAUGUAUAUACGUAUGUAUGUACAUAUAUACAUACACCUAUGUAACAUUUAAUUAUACAUUCUUUUGAGUUUAAAUCUUAAUACACAUUUUCAUGAAAUUUUUAUUUUAUUAAGUAUACAACUACAUACAACUACAUUAAUGUAUAUAUUUUUUACAUAAGACAUGCCGUCCUAUUAUUCAUAAGUCAACAAUGUGUUGUAAAUAGUGUUCGUGUCUCAAAGUUGACUUUUCGUCUUUUAUUUUCAGACGCAGACGAUAUGUCAUUUUAUACACAGCAGAAUUGGUGUUAUCUGAUUUUGUGAUGCAAUAAGAUUUGCACUUCCUGUGCACUCAAUGGAAUCAUUUCUUUGUAACUAAUUGGGUGCUGGAAUGGUGGUCAAAUCUCGAACGAAGACAGAUCUAUCAAACUCCAGAAUUGGUGUUAUCUGAUUAAUUGAUUGAUCGAAUUUUAUCUAAAUUUGAAAAUGAUAAGAUAAUUUUGAAUUUAUUAUUAUAAUUAUUAUUUUAAAGUGGGGUGGGUUUAUACAAUUUGAGCGGUGGAAAUAUCACUACUGAAUUAUUAAAUAUACAGUGUAAAAUUUUGACCUUUAAAAUAUUCCCUUUUUUUUUUAUUUAGCAUCUAUAAAUUUAAAAAUUUAACAUUGUACCUCAAUAAUUAAAUACAUUUAACUUUAAUCUUCAAAUAGUUACCCUACAACAUUUGGACCUAAAUUUUUAAUCCGAUUCGGCCCCUGAUCCAAGUGGGAAGAAGAUCAGGCUUAUAACUAUCACCAACGUAACAUCUUCUGGAAAAUAAUAAGAUUAUUCACCUGCAAUUAUGUGAUCAAACUAACGGUAACCAAAAUAGAACAGCGUUAUUUGAGUCCCCUUUCAGUUUCUUUAUCAUUUUUCUUUUCCUAUUUAUAAGCUUAAUUCGGUUCAAAAUUGGCUAAUUCACUUUAAUAAGUUUAUUGGUUUGAACGCUGUUAGCUUCUUUUCCUUUCGUGCAUUUUGGUAUGCAACAGUUCUUGCCUAUGACACUGCUUGCCUAGAUUGCAGAAGGUCAAGGCUCAAAAGAAGCACUGAAUUUUAAAAGGCAUGCAACAGUUCUUGUGCCAUAUGUCAAUUCAUGCAAGUUUGAAUAAGUUUUUUGGUAUGCUAUCAAGUGACAGCCGUAUGUAUGGUUUGCAUAUAGCUGCUGCUGGGAAAUGUGAGGAUUUCAUGGCUGGCCGUGUUAUUGUCUUAAAUUAGAUGUGAUAAGCUGUUGCUUGGUGAUUCUGUUGCCAAGAAUUUGCUCACAUCAGAAGCUGUGGAACCUGAACCCUUCUCUAGAUAUCAUCUUUUUCAUUGUUUUAAAACUCUCAGGAUUAAACUUGAGUAAUUUUGUUCGGUUGUCUAUAUAAUCAUGUAUUGAGUAAACUCUCAGGAUACUGAGCAGGCAAAUGCCAUAACUCGGUUUGUUCUUCAAAAACUUGUUUAAGAUUCUUGACAAAGCUGCAUGAAGUGAAUCUUGGGAGCUUUGAGGGUGAGAGAAAUUAGAGGGUGUAUAGGGAUUUGGGCUUAUUAGGAAGUUAUAUAUGUAUUUCGUCACUUAUCAUUAUCAUUUUUUUUUUCACAGAAAACCUUCUGAUGGUGCUAAAUUUUCAAACACCGGUCCGAUUCAAAACUUCAUAUUCCAAUUAUAUUCAUAAGACAAAUGGAACACUUUGAACGGCUUGUGUCCGAGCAUUGUAGUUUGAUUUAUUUUGAUGACAGUACCUUUUGACAUUGAGAUUCUUUCAUGAUUUAAACAUUCUUUUAAAAACUAAAUUAUUAAAAAAAAAGUAACUAACAUAUAUUAUUUUAUUAGUGCUUUUUAAAUCAAAUAUACAUAGGAGAACUGUAAUUCUUAGCAAUCAAUUUUCCACUAAAUACACCUGCAACAAACUAUUAAUAGCAAAGUGAUAGAAAAUACCUGAUUUUUCAUACUUUCUAAUUUCUUUUGGUCCUAAAAUAUGGGCAUUUGUGUAAUAAUUAGCCCAUGUGGAUCUCUAUGCCAUGAGUUUGAUAAGUAGCUAUCAAGGAUCACUUAUUAAGCUAAAAAUAUUUGGAGGACAAAAUUGUAAAACUAAAAGGGUGGAGCAAAUAUGGCUAUCUAGGAUUAAAUAGUAAGUCAACUAUAUUUAAAGGAUAAAAUAUUAAAACUUGAAAUGUGAUAUUAAAAAUAUCUCAACUAUUAUGUUAUUAAACCAUAUGUUGUAAUAGUUUAUUUUUUAAGCUUCAAAAUGUUCAGGAUUUUAGAUUGAAACAUUUUCAUUUGAAAUUAUUUGGUGCAGUCACAAGUUAAGAAAGAAAAAGUUGUCCCAUUGGUCAUUUCACAAAAAUGAAAGCCCUGUAUAACAUGGGCUUGAAUGGAAGCCCAAUUGUUUGUGUUUGAUUAAUUGAUUUCAAGCUUUAUCGAACCUUUGUACCUGGAUACUUUACUGCGGCCUCUAAGCGCUAUAAAUUUUUUUGGGGAUAAACGGCGCUUCAAUGAGGUCAUCUCCGAUGCUUAACACCAUUUUGGUGUAAUACCAACAUUAAAAAUAUACAUUUUUCACACUAAAUUACUAUUUCAUCUCCAACCCAUUUACACCAAAAAAAAUAUUUUUCUUUUUAUUCUUUUAAUUCUCAAGAAUUAAUUCAAUUAACACAAUAAAUACUACUAUUAACAUAGAUAAUUAAGUAAUAAGUAAUUUUAUCGAUUAACAAAAAAAUAUAGAAAAUUAUUAAAUUUGCAUUUAAUUAACUAAAUUAGUACAUUAUGAAAAUUAAACAUUACAUUAAUAUAGAAAAAUACAAUAACAAUAAUAAUAAUUUUAUAUCUAAUAUUUUGAUGAUAUUGGAGGAUCUAAUAAUGAUCUUCCAGAUUAUUAAAUAAUUGUUCUAAUUUAUACUAGUAGUAGUAGCUUUUUUAAUUUGUGUUAAUUUAAUUUUGUAAUAUGUAAUAUAGUAAUUAAUGUUACUAGCAUUUUAUUAUUAUUAUUAAUUUUUGUGUUGAAUAUUUUUUAUUUAAAAUAUUAGUAUAAUAUUCAAAAAUUAAAAAAUGAAAUAAAAAUAAUAACAAAAAUAAUAAUAAUAAUAACUUAAAAUAUUAUAUAAAAUAGGACAUAUAUGUAAAUAAGAAAAAGUAAUAAAGAUAUUUAAGAGCUUUUUUUCCUAGCACCAAAUGAAUAGUGUUACACCAUAUUUGGUGCAAUACUAUUCACAACACCAUUUUGUUGUUGGUUUUGGUGUUACAUUGGAGAAGCAUUUUACACCAAAAAUAGUGUAAAAGGUGGUUUGGUGUUAGUUUUGGUGUCACAUUGGAGAUGGCCUGGAAAAGCACUUGAAAACUUUGGAUUUUUGGUUCGUCCAGUUACGGUGUUAUGCUAACGGGGUUAAAGGUUCCGAUCCAAUGAGUUAGGAUCCGAAGGUUACUGAAGUUUACUAUCAAGAGUUUCAAAACAGUGAAAAAGAUGAUAUAGUUGAUGACAAAAACCUGAGUUAUCCAUAGCGACAAGUAACAUACUGUUUAUUACAGAGAAACAAACGACAACAUGAUACUAGUAGUAGUUAUUCUUUUCAUCCGAUAUAUUACAUGGUAAUAUCACUACUCGUUCCACUAGUUUCAUGUACACUGUCGACCAGCAACAUGAUAAUUUCGUGCCAGUUCAUUUUGGUUUGUUGGAAAAAGCAGUGUAUUUCUUAGAACUUGAAAAUAAUAAAAAUAUUUUAAAAUAUAAAUUGCAUAUUUGUUUAUUACCAUUCUUUGGUCUAUUUCUUCUGUAGACUUUUCAGAAUCUGUAGGACGUUAGUUUAUAACUUUGGGAUUUUGUAGCCCUAAUUUUUUUUUUUGGCAUUUUAUUUUGCUGCUUUAUCUAUGUGCAUGUUAACUAAAUUAAGCUAAUCUAGAAUUAAUAGAGAGGGAUAUUUAUCUAUUUUGUUUAACCUUUACCACUCUAGGCAUUGUACUACAUGUGAGCUUGUGAUGCUUGCAUUUUAUUGAUGUUGAUGAUUCGUUGAAUGUUUUAUUUUUUGAUUUUUUAAGUUUUCCAGAGUCAUGUUUGUGUCUACGAAGAAAUUGUAAAGGCUGUGCACGAAGCACUUGUCAUUCUUUAGACUUUAUUGAUUAUAUUUUUGUCAGAUUUGCGUGUAUAUUCACAUAUGUUUUAUUUUUUCAUUUUGUAGGACAUUUUUACAUGCCAUAUUAUCACGACUCUUCUGUGUCUGAAUAAGAAGAAAGCAUAAUGCGACCCUCCAACAGCUUAAUCUAUGGAAUUAUCGUGUUUUGUAAGUUCUGGUCCAAUGGCGUUUUGGCACAUCAUAUGAUAGACCACUAUAUUGCGUUGCUUUACAAAAGAUUAAUAUUUUUAAAAUUAUUAACUCAUGAUAUGAUAGUCCAGGUUUUCGAGGACCACUAUAUUGUAUGGAUUUAAAAAAAAUUAAUAUUUUUUAAUAUUAAUAUUCUAAAUUAUAUUCAGUUAAAAUAUUAAAUAUUAAAUACAUUCUUAACAUUAAUAUUCUUAGAUGAAAUUCUUUUGCUGACUUAAGAAUAAAGUAUUAAAUAAUUUUAUUUUUCUUUUAUUUUGUAACGUGGACCCAAAAAAAAAAGGAAAUGAAUUUAAUAAAACCUUCAUUCCGCCAACAUGCAUGUUAAUUGUUUCCAAAUUCCAACCUCCGUACUCUCUUGAGGAGUUUCCCAUUCAUCAAUUAUUAUUUUUUAUAAUCCAUACCAUCCUGAUAUAAUUAAACACCAUUAAUAAUGUACCAGCCUUUAAAUAGUAAUUAAUUUAUUUAUCUAAUUCACCAAAUGUUUUUUUCCGGUACAUAUCUCCAUUGGUAUCAAGAAGAAGCAGAACCCAAAGAAAUGUUUCUUGCAUCUUCAUAUUUGUGCGAAUUCAUCCUUUCAUUGAGAAUAACCAUUUCCAGGCAGCAGUUGGCAAUCAAUUCAUGCGCAUGUCGAUGCUACUCAUAGAUAUUAAAGACAAUGAUGAACCAAAGGUAAUAAAUCAUAAAUGCAUAAUUACCAAACCUCCAUCCUUCUCUCAUUAUGACUUGAUUUUAAAUGAAUUAUUGCUUGGUAACAUUAUUUCCAACCAUUGCAAGAUUUUUUUUUGGAGAAAUUUCAAUUGAAAGUAAAACCUUUAGACAUUUACCUAAUGAAGUUAGUUAAUCGGGAGGGUGGAAAAAAAAAAGUUGACGCAAGUCAAUACACAAUAAUUAAUUAAAUCCGGAGUCACUAAAACAGAGCCACGACUUUUUCAAAAAUAUCUGCAUUCAUCACUUUCUCCAGCAACUAGUCAGCUACACACGAAUCAAUUUCUCUCCUCGUUUGUCAUCCAAAAUUAUUCACCAAUACCAUGGCUGAUGCAAUCGUUUCCCCGCUCUUGGAGCAGCUGAUUUCCUUCGCUGCUGAAGAGAUAAAACAACAGGUGAUCGAAGUUACACCCCUCAUAUUACAAAUACUUCCAAUGAUUUUAAUUGGUUUUGUUUUUAUCAAAAACAUUAUAUAUUUUUGCUUUUUUUUAUUUAUCUGAUAAUUUUAUAUUUUGAAAUUUGAAUUGAAUUUAAUUAAAAGGUGAUGUAGUAACCACUUAUUUUUAUUUUAUUUCAUUUAUAUUCUCAAUAACUACUCAUAUUUUGGUAACUUACUAUAACUUCCAUAUCUAAGAAAUGAUCCAAACCCACAAUUUUAACUAUGUAUAAAUAUUCAACGUUGAGCUAAGGUUUUGCAGAACAUUCAAGUUUAUCAAAUAGUCAUUAAUUUAAUGUUUUAGUAAAACCUCAACUCAUCACUGAAUCCCAUAGCUAUUACUUAGACACUAUGAAAAAUUUCAUAGUUUUCUUACAUUCUUUCAGUUUGGUAAGUGAUUUCAUAUAAUUUCUUUUCAAGUUAAAUUUUAAUUUGGUUUCUGAUAUAGUCUCUUUGCCGAAUUGUAUCUUUUAUGAUUCUUGGAUUUUGGGCUCCAACUUUUUAGGAUUUGAUAGUCACAUUUUAUGCCAUGCUCAGAUUGAUUUUCAUGAUUUUUAGUACCCGUUAAGUGACGUACAAUUUGACAAAAGUUUGAAAGGAAAUAUGUUUCAGAAUUCUGUUUUAAUUGACCUUUUAGUGGAAUUAGGAUGCUUAUAACUUAAUGUGGAUGGUUCGUAAAAUCAUGAAAUUUGGAUAGGAUUCACUAGCAAUAUGUACAAGACUCCCCAUAAAGUUUCAUAAUUUUUCAUUCGGUCUGGGGUGGUACAGGUGAAACUUGUGGUUGGUGUUGAAAAAGAAGUGAAAAGCCUUACCAGCCAUCUUCAAGCCAUUCAAGUUGUGCUCGAUGAUGCAGAGGAAAAGCAAGUGAAGGAAAAAGCUGUUAGUCUUUGGCUGGGUAGGCUCAAGUAUGCAUCCUACGACAUUGAAGAUGUGUUGGAUGAGUGGAUAACAACAAGACGCAAAUUGCAAAUUGAGGGUGGCGUUGAUGAAAAUGCUCUUGUUGUUCCUCAUAAGAAAAAGAAGGUAUGUCUCUGCUUUCCCGGCUCUUGUUUUGGAUUCAAACAAGAAGAAUUUGGUUUCAAACAGGUCUUUCUCCGUCAUGACAUUGCCGACAAGAUCAAAGAAAUCAAUGAAGAGCUACAUGAUAUUGCCGCUCAAAAAGACAUGUUUGAUCUUGUUAAGAGUGGCAAUAAAAGUAGUGAAAGACCAAGGCGUGUACAGAGUACCUCCUUGAUUGAUGAGGAAGAGAUUUGUGGCAGAGUUGGUGAGAGGAAUGAACUCUUAAGCAAGCUGUUGUGUGAGAGUAGCGAGCAACAAAAAGGCCUUCAUAUCAUCUCAAUCGUUGGUAUGGGAGGCAUAGGGAAAACAACUCUUGCACAACUAGCUUGUAAUCAUGACGAGGUGAAGAGAAAGUUCGACAAAAUUCUGUGGGUGUGUGUAUCAGAAACUUUUGAGGAGUUUAGGGUUGCCAAAGCGAUCGUUGAAGUUUUGGAUGGUCGUGAAUCUCAUUUAGCUGAAUUCCAUUCUCUUCUUCAACAUAUUUAUGAAUCCAUUGCAGGGAAGAGCUUUCUUCUUGUCUUAGAUGACGUGUGGGAUGGAAAUUACUUGAAAUGGGAACCAUUCUACCAUUGUCUAAAGAAUGGUCUCCAUGGAAGUAAAAUUUUAGUUACCACACGUAAAGGGUCAGUCGCAUCCAUGAUGGGAUCCAUAGAUAUUAUCUCCGUUAAGGAGUUAGCUGAAGAGGAAUGUUGGUUGUUGUUUAACAAGAUAGCAUUUUUUGAUCGGUCCAUCGAGGAACGUGAAAAAUUAGAACAAAUUGGGCAAAGAAUUGCAGGCAAGUGCAAAGGUUUACCUCUUGCAGCAAAGACAAUAGGGAGUCUCAUGCGUUCUAAACAAACUGAAGAAGAGUGGAAAAGAAUUUUAAAUAGUGAUUUAUGGAAAGUAGAAGAGAUUGAGAAAGAUGUUUUGUCCUCUUUAUUGUUGAGUUAUAAUGAUUUGCCAUCUAGAGUAAAAAGAUGUUUUUCAUAUUGUGCUGUCUUUCCAAAAGACUACAAUAUAGAAAAAGACAAACUAAUCACGUUAUGGAUGGCUCAAGGUUAUCUUAGUGCAGAAGAAGAUGAAGAGAUGGAGACAGUAGGUGAAGAGUAUUUUGGCAUCUUAGCUUCUCGCUCAUUUUUUCAAGAGUUUAAGAAAAGUUAUGAUAAUCGGAUUAUAGAGUGUAAGAUGCAUGAUAUGGUACAUGAUUUUGCCCGAUUUGUAAGUCAAAAUGAAUGUUUUUCGAUGGCAAUUAAUGGUAGUGAAGAACCAAACGCCACAAACUCUCUUGAUGAGAAGGUCCGUCAUUUAAUGUUAAUCUUUAGUAUAGAGGCUUCAUUACCUGUUUCCACUUGUAGAGUUAAAAGAAUUCGUAGCCUCUUAAUUAACGAUAGUAGAUCUGAUCAUUCAUUAUUAAAUGGUGAGAUCCUAGAAGAAUUAUUUAGGGAAUUGACAAGUUUAAGGGCAUUAGAUUUUUGCAAAUCGUAUAACGCAAGCUGGUCUUCGACUCUGGAGAUUCCGAGAAACAUAGAAAAGCUGGUACAUUUAAGAUACCUUAAUUUGUCUUAUCAGGGAAUAAAGAAACUACCGGAGACAUUAUGCGAGUUGUAUAAUCUAGAAAAGUUAGAUAUUAGUUAUUGUUAUAAGCUAGAAGAAGUACCUGAAGGGAUUGGGAAGUUAAUAAACAUGAAGCAUUUACGAAAUAGAGGUACUAGUUCUUUAAGGUACAUGCCGGUAGGGAUUGGGAGAUUAACGGGUCUUAGGACCUUGGGUGAGUUCCACGUGAGUGCAGGAGGAGGUGUUGAUGGUAGGAAAGCAUGUAGGCUUGAAUCUCUUUAAAACUUGGAACACCUUCAAGUAUGUGGUAUAUGUAGACUGGGUGAUGUAUCAGAUGUGGGCGAGGCUAAGCGAUUAGAACUUGACAAAAAGAAAUACCUCUUCAGUUUGACCCUUGAGUUUGAUAAGACGGAAAGAGGAGGAGAAAGGAGGAAGAACGAGGACGAUCAACUUCUUCUUGAAGCCUUGCGACCACCCCUGGAUUUAAAGGAAUUAGAGAUACGGUACUACCGAGGCAACACUGUUUUCCCCAGCUGGAUGGCGUCAUUAACCAACUUAAAGAGUUUACAUCUCCAUAGGUGCGAAAAUUGCGAGCAGCUGCCUCCUUUGGGAAAAUUGCCGUCCCUUGAAAAUCUCUACAUAUGGCGCAUGGAGAGUGUGAAGAGAGUGGGUGAUGAAUUUUUGGGGAUAGAAAGUGAUCAUCAUGACUCAUCGUCAUCUUCAUCAGUUACUAUUGCCUUCCCCAAAUUGAAAUCACUCACAAUUUAUUCGAUGCUGGAAUUGGAGGAGUGGGAUUAUGAGAUUACAAGAACAGGAAACACCGUCAUCAACAUCAUGCCACGUCUUUCUUCCUUGACAAUUGUUGAUUGCACCAAAUUAAAGGCACUGCCCGACCACAUUCAUCAAACGACAACGUUGAAGGAAUUGAGCAUUUUUAUGUGUUGGCUUCUGAACAAACGUUACCGCAAGGGGAAAGGAGAAGACUGGCCUAAAAUAUCACACAUUCCCAACCUCCAUAUUGGGCUUUGACAAGUAAUUUCUUCUCUCACUCUGAUUUGCUUUGUUGUUGUUUUUGUUGAAAAGUUAAAAAGUUUGGUUGGAAAAGAAAAGUGAGCCACAUGCAUUGCUUUUGUUUUUCAAAGUCGGCACCAAAUUGCAAACUGUAUUUGGCAUUUGACAAUCCUGCACCAAAUGAAGAAAAAUGCAAAAGUUAGCAAAAUUUGUCAAAUUGACAGAGAUGGAGAUUGAUAAAUUGCAGAGGGAUUAGGUGGAAUAGUGCAUGCUUGAAGCCUAUAAAUUGAAGCCAUUUCUUCAUUCUAAAUAAUCCCAAAAUUGUUAAACUUAUAAGUUUCUAAGCUUUUGAGAGAAGUGAGAGAAGUGUGUCUGUGGAAUUUAUUUUUCCUGCAGAGUGUGAGAGUACUUGGUAUAUUUGGGUUUCUGGGAAGUGAGAUUCGUUACUCAAAUAUUGUAUUCUAUUAAUUGUUAAAUAAACAAUUAUUCUUUCUUACCUCCGUGGAUGUAGGUUUAAUUACCGAACCACGUAAAAUCUUGUGUCCUUUAUUUUUCAGUAAUUAUUUGGUGCGCUUGAUUCCGCAUUCCGCGCACAACAGUUUUUAAUCUAAUUAAGAAGCGAAAAUAGCAUUUUGAAUCAAACUCUAUAUCAGAAAUCUGCAAUACUUACUUUCUAAUAUUCUGAUUUUCAUAUCCUAUGAAUAUACGAUUUUUAAUUUGUGAGAUGGGUAACGUUACUGUAAAAGAUUAUUAAUGCAAUAUGAGUAAUUCUUUUGCAGGACAAGUGACCUACAUUUAGUUUGGCUUUGGAGUUGAAUAAUAACCUUUCGAGGUCCCGACAACCAAAAAACAAAGCUUAAUUUGCCACAGAUUGAACGUAUUGCCAUUAUUGACAAUUUUCUGCACAAGUGUGACUGAACUUAGGUUGAUGUCAAAAGAGGUAAAUUAUUGGCAUGCCUCACUAUUUUGACCAUUACAUGAUUCAUAAGUUUACAUUAAUUUUGAUUUUGAGUUGAGUGAUUAGUUUUCUAGGUUUGCUUACUUUAACUGGGUGACCAAUUUCUUGUAACUAAAUGUAUGAUGUGAUGCAGGAAGCAGGGCAGGAUAUGAAAAGAGAAGCUUAUUAGAGGAAGGAUUGCCAGUAACAGAAUCCAAAGAAAAAGAAACCAUUUCGAGGCAGCUGUUGGCAGUUGGCAGUGAAUGGAGCCCCUUGAAAAAAUUCCCAAGCCGUUGCACUGCAAUUACGAUCAUCCUCGGCCUCAGGUAAUUUCUUCUCCUGCAUUUUUGUUAUUUGCUAUCAAGUGACUAUUUUAAGUAUGAUUGCAUUAAGCUGCUGCUGGGAAAUUUGAGGUUUUGAUGACUGCCCAUGCUAUUGUCAGAAGCUGCGGUUCUUUUCAUCAGCCUGAACCUGGACCUGCCGCUAUGGAUAACUCAGGUUUUUUUUUUUUUUUAAUCAACUGCCAUCUUUUCCACUGUUUAGAAACUCUUAAGAUUAAACUUUAGUAAAGUUGUUUUAGUUAUCCAUGUAAUCAGGCUGAGGAUACUUAGCUGCCUAUUUAAGCAAAUGUCAGAAUUUAGUUUGUUCGCUGGGAACUGGUGUGGACUGGCAAAGGAUGAUGAGAUAGUUUUUUGAGUGAGUAAAUUUUGGGAGCUUGAGUGUAUUGGGAUUUGCAAUUACAAUCAUCGUCUGCCUCAGGUGAUUUCUUCUCCUGCUCUAUCAUUGUUUGUUCUCUAAUUCAAAAGCAUAAAAUAUUUCAAUCAAUUUUUAUGCCAGGAAUAUGCAAAAGUUUCUAAUAUUUUAUUUCCAUCUGUUACAAGAUCAAACUGAAGUAGAACUCAAACAAAAGUAUGCUACUUCUUGCGGAAAUCUUGCCUUUGUUCAGAUUAUGAAACCAUUUCCAUGCAGCAAAUUCAUCCAAAAGUUUGAAUAAGUUUCAUGGUUGGACACUGUUGGCUUCUUUUUCUUCUGGGGUGCAUUUAGGUGCUAUCAAGUGACAGCUGUAAGUAUGAUUGCACUAAGCUGCCGCUGGGAAAUUUGAGGUUUUGAUGGCUGCCCAUGUUAUUUUCAAGAAACUAUUGAUGUAAGAAGCUGUGGUUCUUUUCAUCAGCUUGAACCUGAAACUGUCGCUAUGGAUAACUCAGGUUUUUGUUAUCAACUAUAUCAUCUUUUUCACUAUUUUGAAACUCUUAAGAUUAAACUUUAGUAAAGUUGUUUCAGCUAUUCAAAUGAAAAACUCAUUGAUUUGAGACUUCCUUCAUUAUUGUUUCUAAUUACAAUGCUAACGAUCUAGAUAAAAUAAUAUUUAAUCGGCGCAGGUGUCCCUUGGAAGUACAUCCAACUUUUUCUUUUAUUAUAUAAAUUCUUGCAAUGAGCUUAGUGAAGCUGUUGUGCUAAUCAUGCCACUGCAUAAUUUGGCCCCUAAUGUGGGUACUCUGUUACAUUGUUCUGCAAAUUCUCCAGAAGUUAAAAUCAAUAAAUUUUCUAUUAGCUCUAGUGCUUUGACCUAAAUGCUAUUCUAUAUUUUGAUUACAAUGUUUUAACCUUUAAAUUAACUACCCCUAGAUGUUGGAUUUUCUAGAACUUCAAAAUGAUUAAUGGAGAAAGAUCCCAUUAUCGUUAUUGCUAUAAGAAAUUGAUUUAUGCAUCCAAAGAUACAUUAUAUAUUUCUGUGUCUCUAUUUGUAGAUGACAUUUAAGCAUCCAUAAACCGUCAGACAGAGGAAGGGUGAUGGGUGUCGAAGCCAACAAAAAUAAAUUCCUACUCUAAAUAAAUUGUGUAUAGUGAUUGAGCAGGGUCGUGUCCACAGAGAUCGGUAAUUAAUUAAAUCCUUUUGAAACGUAAAACAUAAAAUGGGGGAAUUGUUGACAAUAAUAAAAAUCAAAUUAAAAUAACAAGAAUGCAAAUUAAAGUUGUAAUUCAAAUUAGAGAAAGCUCUGGUUGAAGGAAUUAACUCAGCUUGAUUCGACUACUGAUCAUUGAUUCAAAUAUAGAUUAUUAUUACUCAUGAAUAGACCGGUUAUAGCUACUGAGACCCUCUAAUAGCCAAUCUCUCCUUAACUAGUCGAUAACCAAGGUACGACCAUUGGUUAUUUCCCUAAUCAAUAGACAACCCUAGAUACGAUCAUAGAAUUUAAUCAAUUGACAGCCUGAAAAACCAGAGAGACCCAAAUCCUAAUCAACACAUAUGAUGAUUCAUUUAAAUUAGAUUGUUUAUUCUCACAACACAACUCUCUGCUAUGUUAUUUGUCACAAACAUUAAAUUCUUCAUACGAUGAAUCCUUUAAUUGACAAUAGAUUAAGUUGAUAAUUAAAUAGUGGCCAAUUACCUAAUUAACAAACAUAAUCAUGAAAAUAAUUCAGAGAAUAAACAAAUACCCAAAAAGUAAUAAAACAAUUAAAGCACAAGAAAGAUCUCACAGUAGUGAUGAAUCAAAGCUUCAUUAACCUUCAACCAGAAAAAUAGGUUUAGCUCUUCAUAGAGAGAAGAGAAAAAUUAGAUCUAGGGUUUCUUUCUUUUUCUCCAAUCCAAAAAUCCCCCUUUUUCACAAUAGAUUCCUCCCUUAAAUACUUUCUCUCUCUUCUCUUUUAGAAUUCUAUUUAAAAUAAAAUCCUAAUAUCUGAAAUAUUAAAUUCGUAAUUACAAAAAUAACCAAAAAUACAAAACACGUUAAACUAAAAACUGCAGGUCCGCAGUUGACAGCACGCGCCCACGCCUUAUCAACAAAGUUCUUCUGACGCUCAUAAUUUCUCCAAGAGAACAAUCAUCCUUAAACAUCAUCUUAUAGCUCAAUUUUAUCAUCAAUCAAUAGAAUUGCACCUACAAAAGUAAAACACAAGUAAAUCACUAUUAUUAAGUGCAAAACAUUGAUAUUAAGGGAAGUAAAUAAUGCAAAACUAGUGCAUAAAUUGCACUCUAACAAAGGGGGUUCAGUGCAAAGAUUCUGUUGACCUAGGGUUGACUGCAUAAUGUCACUUGUUCGCAAUCUAUUAUUUAUUUUAUAUUUUGAAGAAUUUAAUGGGUAAUCCUAAUUGUUUGUUUUGGCAGGUAUGUGUUGUUAUCUCCUUCUAUCUAACAGUCGUACCUAAAUAGCAUAGUUUCAUCUGUGUUACCAUGUGAUGUACAUAAUUUCACAUUUGCCUCAGAUUAAGCUUAAUUUCCCACAAAAUAGAGCUGUCGCGACUGGACUUAGGUUGAUGUCCAAAGAGGUAAAUUAUUGGCAUGCCUAGAUAAUUUGGCCAUUUCCUAAUUCAUAAGUCUACAUUAUUUUUGAUUUUGAGUUGACUGAUUUCUUUUCAAGGUCUGCUUCCUUAACGGAGUGACCAAUGUUUUUCAACUAAAUUUAUCAUAUGAUGCAGGAAGCAGGGCAGGAUAUGAAAUGAGAUCUCAUUGGUGGAAGUAUUGCCAGUAGCAGAACCCAAUGAAAAUGAAACUAUUUCAAGGCAGCAGUUGGCAGUUGCAAGUAAAUGGAGGCCCUUGACAAAAUUCUCAAGCGGUUGCAAUGCAAUUACGAUCAUCCUCAGCCUCAGGUAAUUUCUUCUCCUGCUUUGUAUUUAUUUGUUAUCUAAUUAGGAAGCGUAAAGUAUCUUGAAUCAUUUUCUGUAUCUGGAAUAUAUGCAAGAGUUUCUAAAAUUUUGAUAUGAGUGUAAUGAUGGUAAUUUCUGUUUUCUGUCUGUCAUCAAAUGUUAGAAAACUUUCAUUGAGACCCUUGAACCGAGUCAUUUUUGACAAGUGAAGGACAAUUGCUGAAGAGUGGGAAUGGUGCUAGAUUGGGGAAUAAAGACAAAGGAGGUAAAUUAUUUGCAGUUUAUUCAGCAUUAUUUGCUUUGGACCACCGCCUGAUUCACAAGUCUCCAUAAUUUGGCUUUUGAGCAGUUGUUAAUAAAUUUUUAAUUCCAUUGGUGCUAAAUGUGCACGUGAAGCAGGCAGAGCAGGACUGUGGAAAUGAGAAGGUUUUUAGUGAAAGCUUAAACUCAGGUAAUUCUAAAAAGUACAUGUUUUUGCUGAUUUAUCUAAAUCAGGAAGUUUUAUUUCCAUCUGUUACAAGAUAAAACAGAAACAGAACACAAAGAAAAAUAUUCUACUUCUUCUGGCAAUCUUGCCUUCAUUCAGACAAUGAAACCAUUUCCUUUCACCAAUUUCUUCCAAAAGUUUGAAUAAGUUUCAUGGUUGGACAUAGUUAGCUUCUUUUUCUUUUGGUGCAUUUAGGUCCUAUCAAGUGACAGCCAUAAGUAUGAUUGCAUUAUUGGGAAAUUUUAGGUUUGGAUGGCUCCCCAUGUUAUUGCCAAGAAAGUCCUCAUGUCAGAAGCUGCGGUUCUUUUCAUCAGCCUGAACCCGAACCUGUCGUUAUGGAUAACUCAGGUUUUUGUCAUCAACUAUAUCAUCUUUUUUACUGUUUUGAAACUCUUAAGAUUAAACUUCAGUAAAGUUGUUUCAGUUAUCCAUGUAAGCAGGCUAAGGAUAUUUAGCAGCUUAUUUAGGCAACUGCCAGAAUUGAGUUUGUUUGCUCGAAACUUGUAUGGUGACAAGGAUACUGGCAAGGAUAGUGAGAUAGUUUUUUGUGUGAGUGAAAUUUGAAAGCUUGGGUGUUCUGGGAUUUGCAAUUGCAAUCAUCCUCUGAGUCAGGUGAUUUCUUCUCCUGCUCUGUCUUGAUUUUCUCUCUAAUUGAAAGCAUAAAGUAUUUCAAUCAAAUUCUGUACCAGGAAUACGUAAAAGUUACUAAUAUUUUAUUUCCAUCUGUUCGCAUUGAUAACUCGGCGGCAUAUGUGUUGUGCGCGGAAUGCGGAAUCAAGCGCGCCAAAUAAUUAUAGAAAAAUAAAGGACACAAGAAUUACGUGGUUCGGUAAUUAAACCUACAUCCACGGAGGCAAGAAAGAAUAAUUGUUUAUUUAACAACUAAUAGAGUACAAUAUUUGAGUAACGAAUCUCACUUCCCAGAAACCCAAAUAUACCAAGUACUCUCACACUCUGCAGGAAAUAUAAAUUCCCCAGACACACUUCUCUCACUUCUCUCAAAAGCUUAGAAACUUAUAAGCUUAACAAUUUUGGGAUUAUUUCAAAUGAACAAUUUCCCUUCUAUAUAUAGGAACCGUAGCUCACCUACCACUUCCAAUUUGGCUACAACUUGCCGAAUUGAUAAAUUGAAUUUAGAAUGGAAAAUCAAUUUGGUGAGCAACAAAAUCAACAAGUUUGAAAAAUCAAUUGGCUUCUAGAAAAACAUCACAUUUUUCCUCCAUACAAUUUCAACAAAAUCGUCCCACCAACCAUGUCUUUUGAAAUUUGCAUGCCAUUCUUUGACUUGUUGUGCGCGGAAUGCGGAAUCAAGCUCACCAAAAAUUACUGCAAAAAUAAAGGACACAAGAAUUUACGUGGUUCGGUAAUUAAACCUACAUCCACGGAGGCAAGAAAGAAUAAUUGUUUAUUUAACAAUUAAUAGAAUACAAUAUUUGAGUAACGAAUCUCACUUCCCAGAAACCCAAAUAUACCCAGUACUCUCACACUCUGCAGGAAAGAUAAAUUCCCCAGACACACUUCUCUCACUUCUCUCAAAAGCUUAGAAACUUAUAAGCUUAACAAUUUUGCGAUUAUUUCAAAUGAACAAUUUCCCUUCUAUAUAUAGGAACCGUAGCUCACCUACCACUUCCAAUUUGGCUACAACUUGCCGAAUUGAUAAAUUGAAUUUAGAAUGGAAAAUCAAUUUGGUGAGCAACAAAAUCAACAAGUUUGAAAAAUCAAUUGGCUUCUAGAAAAACAUCACAUUUUUCCUCCAUACAAUUUCAACAAAAUCGUCCCACCAACCAUGUCUUUUGAAAUUUGCAUGCCAUUCUUUGACUUUUCAACAAUUCUCCACCUCGGCGAAAAUUUUCCAAAUCUGAGCCGACUACCAACUAACCAUCCCCAAAGUGAUCCUUCAAUAAGGAUCCAGAAUGGCUGUGUCGAUUCGACUGCCUACGUACCCAAACUGUCUUGAUUUUCUCUCUAAUUGAAAGCAUAAAGUAUUUCAAUCAAAUUCUGUACCAGGAAUACGUAAAAGUUACUAAUAUUUUAUUUCCAUCUGUUCGCAUUGAUAACUCGGCGGCAUAUGUGUUGUGCGCGGAAUGCGGAAUCAAGCGCGCCAAAUAAUUAUAGAAAAAUAAAGGACACAAGAAUUACGUGGUUCGGGAAGCAGUUGGCAGCAAAUUCAUAUGGAGUGUAGACAAUGAUGAGCAAAAAGGUGAUUCUCAAUUUCUUUUUUUUUUAAAGUGAAAUUAUUUGUUAGAUUGAAGCUGAUAUUGUAAGAAGGCCAUUGAGCUAACCUAUGUCGCCACUUGCCUAGAUUGCAGGGGGUCAAGACUCAAAAGAAGCACUGAAAUUUAAAAAGCAUGCAAUAGUUCUUUUGCCAUGUAUCAAUUAAUGCAAGUUUGAAUAAAAUUAACAUAUAUCAAGACACAACUAGAAACAUCAUACUUUCGUGUAAGUUCAUUUCAGAAUAUUUCUUAGAGUUUGUAUAAAAUGAAAAGAUUUUAAAAUAUAAAUUUAAUAUUUGUUUAUUACCGUUGUUUGGUCUAAUUUCCUCGGGAGAAUUUUCAGAAUUUAUAGGACAUUAGUUUAUAAUUUUGAAAUUUUGUAACCUAAAUGUUUUUUUUUUUCGGUUACCAUUUUGUUUUCCUGCUUUAUCUACGUGUAUGUUGACUAAAACUAAUCUAUUUUGUUAAACCUUUACCACUUUAGACAUUGCACUAAAUAUGAGUUCGUGAUGCUUGCAUUUUAUUGAUGCUGAUGAUUCGUUGAAUGUUUUAUGUUUUUGAUUUUUAAGUAUUCCGGAUCGAAGUUUGUGUCUACGCGGAAAUUGUAAAGGCAGCAUAUAAAGUACUCGUCGUUCUUUAGAUUUUAUUGAGUACACUUUUUUCACAUUUAGCGUAUGCUAUACACUACUGAUUUGCGCAUUGACAUAUAACUUAUUUUAUCAUUUUGAAUGAAUUGCACGGCGAGGCUUAUCAACUUUGGAUGAAUCCUCCAAUUGUCACAGUCCAAGACUGGCUGCAGUGAGUGAAAAUUUACCCAUAUAUAUGCUGGCUAUUUUUAUUGGCGACGAAUUCGUUGUAGUUGGUCCAUCUUGCUAUUCUCGGACAAUAUUAGAGAAAAUAAUCAUAUUAUUUCGCGUGAUGUGACCUUCCAUAACUUAUCAAUUGAAUUACUGUAAAAUUAUUGUGUAAGUUUAGGCCCAAUGGCACUUUAGUUCAUCACAUGAUAGCCUGGAUUUAAAUGGAAAACUAUAUUGCAUUGCUUCAAAAAAAUAAAUUAAUGUUUUUAAUAUGAAUAUUUUUAACUAUAUUCAGUUAAAAUAAUAUAUUCUUAAUAUUAAUAUUCAUAGAUGAAAUUCUUUUGCGGAUUUAAGAAUAAAAUAUCAAAUAGUUUUAUUUUUCUUUUGUUGUGUAACUUGGACCGAAAAAGAAAAUGAGCUUAACAUGACCCUCCUUCCGGCACUAUGCAUGUUUUUCUUGUAUUGAUGACAGUGCUCUUGGUGCUUCUCAUCUGCUUCUUGCUUUGGUUUCAAACAAGUCUUUCUCCGUCAAGACAUUUAUUGUAAUUUCAUUUGGAGACAUCUGUCGUUCAAAUAUAUUUCAUAUUCAAGCUGUUGAUAAUUCUGCUUGAGAAAGCCUACAAAGCAGCUGUGUGAUGUAAUGGAAGACUAUAUAUGCAAGCGGUCAUCAGUUUCUCUUGAAUUCUUUCUUGAGUUUCUUUGAAUUAUUUGUGAAUGAGUUCUUAAUCGGCUGCUGCUCUUCAGGAAAAGGAAAGUUUUGCAAACUGGUGAAGCUGAUCGAUAAAAGCAAUGUACCAUCUUUGCUGGCAUGGAUCGAUGCCAGUGAGUAGCUCAUUGGUGGAAGUAUUGCCAGUAACAGAACCCAAAGCAAAUGAAACUAUUUCAAGGCAGCAGUUGGCGCUUGCAAGUGAAUGGAGGCCAUUGACAAAAUUCUCAAGUGGUUGCGAUGCAAUUACGAUCAUCCUCAGCCUCAUGUAAAUUCUUCUCCUGCUUUGUUUUUAUUUGUUAUCUAAUUAAGAAGCACAAAGUAUCUUCAAUCAUUUUCUGUAUCUGGAAUAUAUGCAACAGUUUCUAAAAUUUUGAAACGAGUGUAAGGAUGGUAAUUUCUGUUUUCUGCCUGUCAUCCAAUGUUAGACAACUUUCAUUGAGACUCUUGAACAGAGUCAUCUUUGCUGGCAUGGAUCGAUGCCAGUGAGUUUUUUUAUUUGUCAACCUUUUUAAUAAUGCAUAUGUGUUUCUUCAACUUGAAGCGGCAUAUAAGACGAAAGAAGUGAUCUUUAUCCAAUUGCUCCAAAUUAUUUGCAAAUUACUGAACACGAAUGCUGAUGAAUAAACUGAUGGCUCUAUGUAUGUAUGCACAUGCAUGGAGAAAUUUUAAGUCAGACAUUGACUCGUGGUACCAAAUCAUUAAAUAAUCUUGAAAUCAAAGUAAUAAUUAAAUACAAAUAAAUUGCUCGAAUUGUACAUAUAUCUGAAUCAUGUAGUGAAGAAAAUACAACAACAACAGCCAAUGGCUCAAAUUCCCUAUCAACUUCUAGUCUCAACACUUUUGAGUGUCAGAAGCAUUACUCUGCUACUAGUUAACAAACAUAUAAUUAGUAAUUUGCCAUUCACUUCCCUUUUAGGCCUAACACAUUUUCUAUAAAAGAGCCACAGAGUGAACUCAGCAGGAAACACUCAAUUUCAACCUACGUAGGACCAGGAAUUUCAACCAAAAAAAAAGUGUGCAAUUGCUUAUCCUAUCCUAUUGCUACUAGAAAGAAAGUGAACAAUUAAUUUCAGUGAAUAAAUUAAAAAAAAAAUUACUUCUGCAGAUACUCAAGCUAAGAACACAUUAACCCAUUAAAGACUCCAAAUUGCAUCAAACAAAUUGUUGUUAAACAAGUAAAACAAAGAAAGAGAGUUAAGGAAGCUGACCAAGUAGUAGGGGAGCUGAAGAAAGACUGCCAGUGAAUGUAAGAGAAAAUAAAAUGCAAGAAAUGGUGAAGUGCAGCUUUUCAUGUCAACUUGAAAUUGAGUUUUCUGUUUUUUUUUUUUUUUUUAAUCUUUUGGAUUUUUCAAACAAAGAAAAUGAGGAGCAACCAGGGAGAUAAAAAGGGCGCCAAGGCAACUGUGUGUUGGGUUUAGAGCCAAAAAAAAAAAGAAUAAGACAUCGUGUUCUUGUGGAGACCAGACCUAUUACGUAACGUCCCCUUCAAUACCACUAGUUCCGUAUCUGGUUUUUUCUUCGUCUUUUACAUAGUUUGCAAUUUUAUUCAUUUGAGCCCUACAGAUGAUAUAAGGGACAAGAGCGCAAAACAGAAACUCUGUCCACUACUGAUGAUAUAACAACGAACCGGGGUUUUUAAUUAAAUACCCUUUAAUAGUUUCAAAAUUAUUUAAAUACCUCCUCCCUUUUUAGUUUUCAUGGAUACCCUAACAAAAUUAUUUAAAAAUGGUUCAAUUUUAUUCUACUCUCAGGAAUUAAGUGUUGGAUAGACUAGAAAAUUCUGAGUACAAAGCAUCGCUUGUUUUCGUUGGUUUUUUUUUUGCAUUCCAGUAGAAAGGUUGUGUACAAUUGAAUCUGAUAACUAUGGCAGGAGGUAAGUUUUCUAACUUGCGCAUGAUGAAUAUAGUCUUUUAUUUCUUCCAUUGUAAUUUUUGUUUAAUAGAAAAUCUAUUUGAGAUUUUGUGAGAAGAAACUCAACAAUAAAGUUUGAUAGACUUUGUGGAUAUUAAGAGUUUGACAAGUAAUUGAAAUCUGAAGUUUACUGAAGUUUACGAGCAAACAAACUGAAAUCCGAAGUUUACUGAAGUUUACUAUCAAGAGUUUCAAAACAGUGAAAAAGAUGAUAUGGUUGAUGACAAAAACCUGAGUUAUCCAUAGCGACAAGUAACAUACUGAAGUAAGCCGUGGGGAGCUGGCCUGUUCAUGGGCUAUUUUUCUCUGAUGAUCUGCAUUUUUCUUCCUUUUAAGUGAACCUUGACUCGUAUCAAACCUGUCAAAAGAACAGUUCAUCAACUGAGCUGAGAUUUGCUUUCCUUUUUCAAAACCCACCUGAGAUAUUGUAAUUCCCAAAUUUCUCUCUCUCAGCUACACGAGCAAGCAGCCGCUUUUUCACUUCAUCGACGAAGGUAAGCGAUAAUAUCUAUUUCGUCCGAUUGAUUUCUUGUUUCCUUUUCAGUGUUCGGGUAAAUUAUUGGCAUGCCUGACUUUUUGACCAUUACAUGAUUCAUAAAUUUAUAUUAAUUUUGAUUUUGAGUUGACCGGUUACUUUUAUUGGUUUGCUUACUUUGACUAGGUGACCGAUUUCUUGUAACUAAAUUUAUGACGUGAUGCAGGAAGCUGGGCAGGAUAUGAAAUGAGAAUCUUAUUAGUGGAAGGAUUGCCAGUAACAGAACCCAAAGAAAAUGAAACCAUUUCAAGGCAGCAGUUGGCAGUUGGGAGUGAAUGGAGGCCCCUGACAAAACUUCAGUAAACUUCAGAUUUCAGUUUGUUUGCUCGAAACUUGCAUGGUGACAAGGAUACUGGCAAGGAUAAUGAGAUAGUUUUUGUGUGAAUGAAAUUACGAUCAUCCUCAGACUCAGGUAAUUUCUUCUCCUGCUUAGUUGUUAUUUGUUACCUAAUUAAGAAGCAUAAAGUAUCUUGAAUCAUUUUCGUUGUCUGGAAUAUAUGCAACAGUUUUUAAAAUUUUGAUAUCAGUGUAAUGAUUGUAAUUUCUGUUUUCUGUCUGUCAUCGAAUGUAAGACAACUUUAUUAAGAUUCUUGAACCGAGUCAUUUUUGACAAUUGAAGAACAAGUGCUGAAGAGUGGGAAUGCAAAAAGUUUUGUUGUUUUUAGCCUUGUUUUCUUUGAACCAGCGCCUGAUUCACAAGAGUUCAUUAAUUUGGCUUUUGAUCAGCUGAUUGAUAAAUGUUCAAUUUCUUUGGUGAUAAAUGUAUAUGUGAAGCAGGCAGCAGGGCAUGACUGUGGAAAAGAGAAGAUUUUAGUGAAAGCUGAGACUCAGAUAAUUCUACGCGUUUUGGCUGAUUUAUAUAAUUCGUGAAAUUUUAUUUCCAUCUGUUACAAGAUCAAACUGCAAUUAGCAAUUUAACAUUCCCUUAAAACCACUAGCUACAUUUCAUCUUUGCACAAUUACACUUAAAAUUCCACUAAAAGAAACUCUUGAGUUGCUCGCAAGCUAUAUGUCAUUAUCCAUUGAAUUCUUACCACAUACAUCUCACCUUUCAAUCAAUCACAUAAUAAUCAAUAUACAUAUUGUAAGAAUUCAACAAAUGGAGAACAUAAUAUACUAUAAAAGCAUCCAAAAUUUUUCCAUCUCAAAUUAUUACUAAACUUCUUGAACAAGUUGAAGAUUGGGGGGAAAAAGUGCAAGAAGGAAAAGCAUUAUUCUACUAGUUUCUAGGUUUCUCAUUUGAACAGAAAGAUUAAAUAAGAUAUUUGUGUAUGGCUGUAGUACUACACGGUAUCUGCUAGAAAGCAAAAUACCUUCUGCUGAUUGCACAUUGGAAUGGGAAUAAGUUGGUAAAUAUAUAAGUUACAUAAAUUAUUUUGGAUAAUUCUGCUGGUGAAUUAAUUAUCUUAAAAUCACCCUUUUAUUUUUUAAAAAAUCUUAAGUUAUUUUUCAUAUAUCUUAGGAAGACAAACAAACUUUCAUCAACUCUCCUUUUUUAGCUUUUCCCUUCAAUAAUGUUAGAAAUUCUAACAUUUGAGUCCUGCUUGAGCUUAAUACUAUUUAUCACUCAUUUAUUAGAUGAUGAAUUUUUUAAAUUAUAAAGUUAUUUGACUACCAUUCAAUGAAUGAAUGUCACAUCAUUUAAAACUCAAAGAAAAGUAUUCUACUUCUUGCGGCAAUCAUGCCUUCAUUCAGACUAUGAACCAUUUCCUUUCACCAAAUUCUUCAUAAACAUUGAAUAAGUUUCAUGGUUGGACAUAGUUAGCUUCUGUUUCUUUUGGUGCAUUUAGGUGCUAUCAAGUGACGGCCGUAAGUAUGAUUGCAUUAUUGGGAAUUUUACGAUUUGAUGGUUCCCCACGUUAUUGCCAAGAAAGUUCUCAUGUCGGAAGCAGCGGUUCUUUUCAUCAGCCUGAACCCGAACCUGUCGCUAUGGAUAACUCAGGUUUUUGUCAUCAACUAUAUCAUCUUUUUCACUGUUUUGAAACUCUUAAUAUUAAACUUACAGUAAACUUCAGAUUUCAGUUUGUUUGCUCGAAACUUGUAUGGUGACAAGGAUACUGGCAAGGAUAAUAAGGUAGUUUUUUGUGUGAGUGGAUUUUGAGAGCUUGUGUGUAUAGGGAUUUGCAAUUACAAUCAUCCUCUGCCUCAGGUGAUUUCUUCUCCUGCUCUGUCUUUAUUUGCUCUCUAAUUGAAAAGCAUAAAGUAUUUCAAUCAAAUUCUGUACCAGGAAUAUGUAAAAGUUCCUAAUAUUUUAUUUUCAUUUGUUUGCAUUGAUAACUUGACGGCAUAUGUACUAGUUAAAGAACAAACAGAAUCAGAGCUCAAGAAAAAGUUUUUUCUGCCAUCAUAUUUGAAAAUGAAGUCAUUUGCAGGAAGCGGUUGGCAGCAAAUUCAUACAAAGUGUAGACAAUGAUGAGCAAAAAAGGUGAUUCACAGUUUGAUUUUUUUUUAAUAAUGAAAAUAAUUUGGUAGGUUGAAGCUGAUAUUGUAAGAGGGCCAUUGAGCUAACCUAUGUCGCUACUUGCCAAGAUUGCAGGGCGUUAAGACUCAAAAGAAGCACUGAAUUUUAAAAGGCAUGCAAUAGUUCUUGUGCCAUAUGUCAAUUCAUGCAAGUUGGAAUAAGUUUAUUGGUUUGAACGCUGUUAGCUCCUUUUCCUUUCGUGCAUUUUGGUAUGCUAUCAAGUGACAGCCGUAUGUAUGGUUUGCAUAUAGCUGCUGCUGGGAAAUGUGAGGAUUUCAUGGCUGGCCGUGUUAUUGUUUUAAAUUAGAUGUGAUAAGCUGUUGCUUGGAGAUUCUGUUGCCAAGACUUUGCUCACAUCAGAAGCUGUGGAACCUCAACCCUUCUCUAGAUAUCAUCUUUUUCAUUGUUUUAAAACUCUCAGGAUUAAACUUGAGUAAAUUUGUUCGGUUGUCUAUAUAAUCAUGUAUUGAGUAAACUCUCAGGAUACCGAGCAGGCAAAUGCCAUAACUCGGUUUGUUCUUCAAAAACUUGUUUAAGAUUCUUGACAAAGCUGCAUGAAGUGAAUCUUGGGAGCUUUGAGGGUGAGAGAAAUUAGAGGGUGUAUAGGGAUUUGGGUUUAUUAGUAAGUUAUAUAUGUAUUUCGUCACUUAUCAUUAUCAUUUUUAUUUUCACAGAAAACCUUCUGAUGGUGCUAAAUUUUCAAACACCGGUCCGAUUCAAAACUUCAUAUUCCAAUUAUAUUCAUAAGACAAAUGGAACACUUUGAACGGCUAGUGUCCGAGCAUUGUAGUUUGAUUUAUUUUGAUGAAAGUACCUUUUGACAUUGAGAUUCUUUCAUGAUUUAAACAUUCUUUUUUAAACCAAAUUAUUAAAAAAAGUAACUAACAUAUAUUAUUUUAUUAGUGCUUUUUAAAUCAAAUAUACAUAGGAGAACUGUAAUUCUUAGCAAUCAAUUUUUCACUAAAUACACCUGCAAUAAACUAUUAAUAACAAAGUGAUAGAAAAUACCUGAUUUUUCAUACUUUCUAAUUUCUUGUGGUCCUAAAAUAUGGGCAUUUGUGUAAUAAUUAGCCCAUGUGGAUCUCUAUGCCAUGAGUUUGAUAAAUAGCUAUCAAGGAUCACUUAUUAAGCUGAAAAUAUUUGGAGGACAAAAUUGUAAAACUAAAAGGGUAGAGCAAAUAUGGCUAUCUAGGAUUAAAUAGUAAGUCAACUAUAUUUAAAGGAUAAAAUGUUAAAACUUGAACUGUGAUAUUAAAAAUAUCUCAACUAUUACAUUAUUAAACCAUAUGUUCUAAUAGUUUUUUUUUAAGCUUCAAAAUGUUCAGGAUUUUAGAUUGAAACAUUUUCAUUUGAAAUUAUUUGGUGCAGUCACAAGUUAAGAAAGAAAAAGUUGUCCCAUUGGUCAUUUCACAAAAAUGAAAGCCCUGUAUAACAUGGACUUGAAUGGAAGCCCAAUUGUUUGUGUUUGAUUAAUUGAUUUCAAGCUUUAUCGGAUCUUUGGACCUGGAUACUUUACCGCGGCCUCUAAGCGCUAUAAUUUUUUUUUUUUUGGGAUAAACGGCGCUUCAAUGAGGGCAUUUCCAAUACUUAACACUAUUUUGGUGUAACACCAACACUAAAAAUGUACAUUUUUCACACUAAAUUACUAUUUAAUCUCCAACCCAUUUGAUCUACCAUGAUUGUGACUCCCACUGGGGCCACGUUCUGUUGAUCACCCUCUCGUCACCGAUAGCGCCUCCGCUUGUGGCGAACUUGCUUGUCUAUUUUCCCUAUUUUUCCGCUUACUCUCCUCAUUUAAUACGGAGGCUGCAACAUCAUCGAAAACUAGACUGUCCACUGAAUUGUAGUUUGUCAGGUUGACGAUGAGUUGUUCAUACGAAUCUUAUAGACUUUGAAGUAGAAGCUCUGCAUGUACAUUAUCCUCUAUAUUAUGACCCAACGUUGUGAGUUGUGAAAAUAGAGUCUUCAAGGUGUUGAUGUGGUCGGUCACCAUUGUAGAUUCCACCAUUCGAAGAGUAUAAAGUCUCCUCUUCAAAAAGAUUUUGUUGUGUAGUGACUUGGCCUCGUACAAUUUUGUAAGAGUAUCUCAUAUUUCCUUUGCUGUAUUUUUCUCUGCCACACUGGAUAAUACUCCAUCCGCAAGUGCCAAGUGUAGAUCAGAAAUAGCGUUGCCAUCUAUCUCAUUCCACUUGUCAUCAGUUAUCUCCAUGGGCCUUUCUCCAAUUGCUGCCAAACAAUUAUUUUUCCUCAAUACAACUUUCAUCUUCAUUUUCCACAAUGAAAAAUUAUUUCCGUUAAACUUCUCAAUUUCAUAUUUUGCUGCCAUUUUUUUGAUAAAUACCGCACACAAGUUAGUGUAUCACCUUGAAUAGUUGUCGGUAUGUGUGAGAAUGCACACCAGGAAAGUUCCCAGGAAAGACUGGAGGGGUCACACUGGUCCACUUAAAACUCAGACUCCUUAAGCACUUAUCGCGUUUGUAACAGAACUUUCCUAGACAUGUACAAAACCACACAGUUGCUUUUACUUACACCACUAUUUCCUACUUUGCAGUGCAAAAGUUCUUGGAUCGCUCCCAUCGUUUCUCGUGAACAGUACCAUAUACGUGAACAGUGCCACAUACAUGAAUAGUACCGUAUACGUGAACAGUACCGUAUACGUGAAUACUACCCUUUACGUGAACAGUACUUGACUCCAAAAAAUUCAACCAAUAGCUUUGAUACCACUGUUAGGAAAUUGGUAGGUGAAGCAGACACGCAGCUAAAAUAAAAUUGGAAGAAAAUAAAGAACAAGUACAAAGUGGACACCAAGAAAUUACGUGGUUCGGCUUUUAGCCUACGUUCACGGGCGAAGAUAGAAGGAAAAUAUUAUACUAGUGAUAUGAAGAUUACAAGUAUUGUAAUAUUUUGGCUCACUAUCCAAAACCCCAAUACACUCAAUCUCUCACUCAAUAAACUCUCAGGAGCUUUAUUAUUUUAAGCUCUUAAAAUCUCUCAAGCUUUCUCCUUAUUAUUCUCUCACAAAUUGUAUGCUAAAAUUAGGGUGGGAAGCCCUCUUUAUAUAUCCAAGAUUUUGGCUCUUUUUUUUUUAUAUAACAAGUCAACACGGCACCAUUAAGAAUGGCGAGCCAUGUUGAAUGGCAUGGCACCGCCCAUCUAGAUGGCCGGUGCCAACCAUGACUUUAACAUUCUAUCACUUGGAGAUUUGAUUGAGAAUCAAUCAAUCUCCACAUCAUCCUUUCUACUUCGCCAUAAUCAUGUUGCCUACGUUUUUACUAGGCCACAAGAGGAUCUACUCCAGUUAAACUUAUCAAUAUUGAUUGGCUUAGUCAAAACAUCUGCUAGGUUCUCCUUCGUAUGGAUUUUUGCAAAUUGACACUUCCAUCUUCCACUACUUCUCGAACGAAGUGAUACUGAACUCCUAUGUGCUUUGUCUUGGAAUGAAAGGCUGGAUUCCUUGCAAUGUGCAAGGCACUCUGACUGUCACAAAACACAGGAAUUUUCUGUUGUUUGUGCCCGAGCUCCUCCAAUAAUCUUUGUAUCCAAAUAGCUUCCUUGCAAGCUUGUAUAGCUGCCAUGUAUUCUGCUUCUGUUGUAGAUAAAGCCAGAACGGUCUGCAGUUUCCAAACCCAACUUACAACUCCUCAUGCAAAUGUAAACACAUAACUAGUAGUGGAUUUCCUUUUAUCAAGGUCUCCUGCAAAAUCUGAAUCCACAUAGCCCCUGACAGUAAACUCUGAUCCUCAAUAACAUAAUACAACAUCUGAGGUUCCUCUUAUGUAUCUCAGAAUCCUCUUCACAGCUAUCCAAUGCUGUCCACCAGGAUUCACCAUGUAUCGACUGAUUGCUCCCACUGCUUGUGCAAUGUCUGAUCUUGUACAUAUCAUAGCGAACAUCAAACUUCCCACUGCUGAUGCAUACGGUACUUGAGACAUCUCCUUCCUCUCUGCUUCAUUGCUAGGACACAUACUUGAGGAUAAUUUGAAAUUAACAGGAAGUGGGGUAGAAAUUGACUUACAAUCUUGCAUGUUGAAGCGCCACAAGAUUUUCUUCAAGUAGUUAUUCUCAGAAAGCCAAAUCUUUCUGUUAUUUCUGUCUCAGUGAAUUUGCAUCCCUAGAAUCUUGUUUGCUGGUCCCAAGUCCUUCAUUUCAAACUCCCUAGCCAACAGUGCCUUCACUUCUUGGAUUCGAUCUUUGUCGGGGCCUGCUACCAACAUGUCAUCCACAUAUAACAACAAAAUAAUGAAAUCAUUAUCUUCAAACCUUUUGUAAUAUGCACAAUGGUCUGAACUGAGUCUGUUAUAUCCAAGACUCAUGAUGAAGGAAUCAAAUCUCUUAUACCAACACCUCGGCGCCUGUUUGACACCGUAUAGAGAUUUGUUCAACCUACAAACCAAGUUUUCCUUUUCUGUUUCUGCAAAACCUUCUGGUUUGAGCAUAUAAAUUUUCUCUUCAAGUUCUCCAUGAAGAAAUACAGUUUUCACAUCUAACUGCUCUAGAUGUAGGUCAAAUAUAGCACACAUUGCCAAGACUACUCUGACUGUUGUGAGUCGAACCACCGGAGAAAAUAUCUCGUUGAAGUCAAUACCUUCUUUCUGAGCAUAUCCUUUCACCACCAAUCUUGCACGAUACCGCUCCACUUGAUCAUUGCCAUCACGUUUGAUCUUGUAGACCCAUUUGUUUCCAAUGACUUUUCUUCCAUGUGGUAGUGGUACAAGUUCCCAUGUCUUAUUUUUAUGUAGAGCUUCAAUUUCUUCCUGCAUUGCUGUCAUCCACAAAGCAACAUUUGAACUUUCUAAAGCUUCAUGGAAAGUUGAUGGCUCUCCAUCCUCUGUUAGAAGACAGUAUGCAACAUGGAUCUCUGUGACAUACUCCGAGUGCCACGCUGGCGAUCGUCUCUCACCAAUUGACCAAAGAACUUCUGGAGUCUCAGACUCGACUGGUUCUUGUUCCUCGUGCUCUGGUGCUGCUUUAGAAGAAUCUGAAUCUUCUAGAUUAUUUCCACAUAUACCGGCACAGUUUCUGACUUUUCUUUUACAGUGUCAUCAUCUCCAUCUUUCCUUUACAGUUGAUCUUCUACAAAAAUAACAUCUCUGUUGAUGACGAUCUUGUGGGCAGUGGGGUCCCACAAACGAUACCCCUUUACUCCAUUAGCAUAUCCCAAGAAGAUACAUCUUCUAGAUUUUGGAUCCAGCUUUGUUCUUUCUUACGGAUUGUACAUCACAUACACAGGACAUCCAAAUGCAUGUAAGUAGGAAUAAUCAGCUGGCUUUCCAGUCCACAUCUCCACGUUGUCUUCAGCCCAAUAGCUGUAGAUGACGACUGAUUUACUAUAUAACAAGCAGUUUUGGCUGCUUCUUCCCAAAAUGAAUUGGGUAGACCAGCAGUCCUCAACAUAGCUCUUAUUCUUUUGUAAGAGUUUUGUUCAUCUACUCCGCCACUCCAUUUUGUUGAGGAGUGUAUGCUACCGUGAACUGUCUAUGAAUACCUUCUUACUUACAGAAAGCAAGAAACUCACCGUCUGUAUACUCUCCACCAUUAUCUGUCCUCAAGCACUUGACCCUUUUACCAGAUUCAAGUUCCACCCGCGCUUUGUAUUCUUUAAAUACUGGAAAUAUAAUUGACUUUUUCAUAAUUGGAUACACCCAACAUCUCCUGGAAUAAUCAUCAAUGAAAGUCACCAUAUACUUUGCACCUCCCAUGGAUAUAUCCAGUGAUUCCCAAACAUCAGAAUGAAUCAAGUCUAAAAUGCAUUUACUUCUAGCAAUAGAUUUACUGAAUUUUAAUCUAUGCUGCUUACUUGUAACACAAUGCUCGCAAAAUGGUAAACUUACCGAUUUAAGCCCCGGAAGUAAUUUUCACUCAGAGAGAAUCUUCAAACAUUCUGACAUGUGACCAAAUUUGAGAUGCCACAUCAUCGUUGACUCUUCUCCAUUUGAUACGAGACACGCAUUAGCCUCCUAUAGUGUUUCUCCUUUAAGCAUGAAUAGAUUAGCACCGAUCUUUUCUGCCUUCAUCAAUACAAGCGCUCUUUUAACAAUUUUCGUAAUUUCAUUCUCCAUAUGAGUUUUAUACCCAUGACUAUCCAUUUGUCCCAAAGACAAUAGAUUUUUAUUCAGGUCAUUGACAUGUCGUACCUCCCCAAUUGUGCGAAUUGUACCAUCAAAAUUUUUAUUUUGAUAGUGUCAAUACCAGCGAUCUCCAAGGUAUGAUCAUUACCCAUAUAUAUAGAUCCUCCUGAGAUAUGUUCAUAUGUGUGGAACCAUUCUCUCCGAGAGGUCAUGUGCCAGGUAGCUCCUGAGUCUAUAAUCCAGACAUCAGAUAGUCGUUUUCUACCUUCUAAAACAGUUGUUGCCUCGCUUUAGAGAAUUUCACCAUUAUCUGAAGUACUUGCUACACACCCUUGAGCAUUUGAUGACUCAGGUUAUUUGCCCUCUCUUCUCUUCUGGUUACUCCAACACUUUUUCUUGACGUGCCCUUUCUUGCCACAGUUGUAGCAUUUAACAUUCUUCUUACUUCUGGAUUUUGAUCUACCAUGAUUAUGACUUCUACUGGGGUCACGUUCUGUUGAUCUCCCUCUCGUCACCAAUAGCGUCUCCGCUUGCUGCGAACUUGCUUGUCUGCUUUCAUUAUUUUUCCGCUUACUCUCCUCAUUUAAUACGGAGGUUGCAACAUCGUCGAAAACUAGACCGUCCGCUGGAUUGUUGUUUGUUAGGUUGAUGAUGAGUUGAUCAUACGAAUCUGGUAGACUUUGAAGUAGAAGCUCUGCAUGUACAUUAUCCUCUAUAUUAUGAUCCAACGUUGUGAGUUGCGAAAAUAGAGUCUUCAAGGUGUUGAUGUGGUCGGUCACCAUUGUAGAUUCCACCAUUCGAAGAGUAUAAAGUCUCUUCUUCAAGAAGAUUUUGUUGUGUAGUGACUUGGCCUCGUACAAUUUUGUAAGAGUAUCUCAUAUUUCCUUCGCUGUAUUUUUUUCUGCCAUACUGGAUAAUACUCCAUCCGCAAGUGCCAAGUGUAGAUAAAAAAUAGCGUUGCCAUCUAUCUCAUUCCAUUUGUCAUCAGUUAUCUCCAUGGGCUUUUCUCCAAUUGCUGCAAAACAAUUAUUUUUCCUCAAUACAGCUUUCAUCUUCAUUUUCCACAACAAAAAAUUAUUUCCGUUAAACUUUUCAAUUCCAUACUUUGCCGUCAUUUUGUUCAUAAAUACCGCACACAAGUUAGUGUACCACCUUGAAUAGUUGUCAGUAUGUGUGAGAAUGCACACUAGGAAAGUUCUCAGGAAAGACUGGAGGGGUCACACUGGUCCCACUUAAAACCCAAACUCCUUAAGCUCUUAUCGCCUUUGUGACAGAACUUUCCUAGACAUGUACAGAAUCACACAGUUGCUUUACUCACACCACUAUUCCCUGCUUUGCACCGCAAAAUUCUUGGAUCGCUUCCACCGUUUCUCGUGAACAGUAUCGUAUACGUGAACAAUGUCGUACAUGUGAAUAGUAUCAUACAUGUGAAUAGUAUCGUAUACGUGAACAGUACCGUAUACAUGAAUACUACCCUUUACGUUAAGAAAUUGGUGGGUGAAGCAGACACGCAGCUAAAAUAAAAUUGGAAGAAAAUAAAGAACAAGCACAAAGUGGACACCAAGAAAUUACGUGGUUCGACUUUUAACCUACGUCCACGGGCGAAGACGGAAGAAAAAUAUGAUACUAGUGAUAUGAAUAUUACAAGUAUUGUAAUAUUUUAAUUUACUACCCAGAACCCCAAUACACUCAAUCUCUCACUCACUAGACUCUCAGGAGCUUUAUUAUUUUAAGCUCUUAAAAUCUCUCAAGCUCUCCUUAUUAUUCUCUCACAAAUUGGAUGCUAAAAUGAGGUGGGAAGCCCUCUUUAUAUAGCCAAAAUUUUGGCUCCUUUUUUUUUUUUAUAACAAGUCAACACGGCACCACCAAGAAUGGUGGGCCGUGUUGAAUGGCAUGGCACCGCCCAUCUAGAUGGCCGGUGCCAACCAUGACUUUAACAUUAUAGUCCAAGUUUUCGAGGACCACUAUAUUGUAUUGAUUUAAAAAAAACUAAUAUUUUUAAUAUUAAUAUUCUAAAUUAUAUUCAGUUAAAAUAUUAAAUAUUAAAAACAUUCUUAAUAUUAAUAUUCUUAGAUGAAAUUAUUUUGCUGACUUAAGAAUAAAAUAUUAAAUAAUUUUAUUUUUCUUUUAUUGUGUAACGUGGACCAAAAAAAAGGAAAUGAAUUUAAUAAAACCUUCAUUCAAAACCUUCAUUCCGCCACCAUGCAUGCAUGUUAAUUGUUUCCAAAUUCCAACCUCCGUACUCUCUUGAGGAGUUUCCCAUUCAUCAAUUAUUAUUUUUUAUAAUCCAUACCAUCCUGAUAUAAUUAAACACCAUUAAUAAUGUACCAGCCUUUAAAUAGUAAUUAAUUUAUUUAGUUGGCCACCUAAAAGAAUCCUGCAGGAAAUAGAGGUUAAAAAUUUUAUUAAAUUUGCUUACCGCUGUAUCAUUAUAUAUAUAAAGAGUGAAAUCUAAAUGAAAUUUUUUAUCAUCCAUUCAGCAAACACUUAUAAUUCACAAAUAGUGAAUCUAUGCAUUGACAAUGUGGAUUAAGAAUUAUAACACAUGAAUUCAAACAUACCCUUGUGAAGUUAAGAAUAAGUUCAUACUUCAAAUGAUUUUUUAGCUAAUAAAGCAAUCAGUUUCAUUAAACGACAGCGUUGAAGGAAUUGUGCAAUUUUUUACGUUCUUUUCUAGACAGACGUUACAGAAAUGGGGUAAGUAGAGGGCUGGCCUCAGAUAUCUCACAAUUGUUAGUGAGAUAAAAUGUUAUUGUAAAAGGCGUUUAAUAGAAUAAUAUUAAUUCUUUUGCAUUGUUAUAAAAAUAUUUUUUUCUUUUGACAGUUCUGCAGGACAAGUGAUCAGAGCUCAAUGAAUAUAGCCGUGGAGGCACAGCAGAGCAGGAUUAUGAAAAAGAGAAGCUUAUUACAGGUCAUUCAAGUUUACUUGCUUUUAUAUAAUAAGUGUUUUGGCCGAUUUAUCUAAUUCACCAAAUGUUUUUUCCGGUACAUAUCUCCAUUGGUAUCAAGAAGAGGCAGAACCCAAAGAAACGUUUCUUGCAUCUUCAUAUUUGUGCGCAUUCAUCCUUUCAUUGAGAAUAACCAUUUCCAGGCAGCAGUUGCCAAUCAAUUCGCACGUCGAUGCUAUUCAUAGAUAUUAAAGACAAUGAUGAACCAAAGGUGAUAAAUCAUAAAUGCAUAAUUACCAAACCUCCAUCCUUCUCUCAUUAUGAUUUGAUUUUAAAUGAAUUAUUGCUUGGUAACAUUAUUUCCAACCAUUGCAAGACCUUUUUUUUUUUUUGGGAGAAAUUUCAAUUGAAAGUGAAACCUUUAGACAUUUACCUAAUGAAGUUAGUUAAUCGGGAGGGUGGAAAAAAAAAAGUUGACGCAAGUCAAUACACAAUAAUGAUUAAUUAAAUCCGGAGUGACUAAAACAGAGCCACUACUUUUUCAAAAAUAUCUGCAUUCAUCACUUUCUCCAGCAGCUAGUCAGCUACACACGAAUCAAUUUCUCUCCUCGUUUGUCAUCCAAAAUUAUUCACCAAUACCAUGGCUGAUGCAAUCGUUUCCACUAUCUUGGAGCAGCUGAUUUCCUUCGCUGCUGAAGAGAUAAAACAACAGGUGAUCGAAGUUACACCCCUCAUAUUACAAAUACUUCCAAUGAUUUUAAUUGGUUUUGUUUUUAUCAAAAACAUUAUAUAUUUUUGCUUUUUUUUAUUUAUCUGAUAAUUUUAUAUUUUGAAAUUUGAAUUGAAUUUAAUUAAAAGGUGAUGUAGUAACCACUCAUUUUUAUUUUAUUUCAUUUAUAUUCUCGAUAACUAACCAUAUUUUGGUAACUUAAUAUAACUCUCGUACAUAAGAAAUGAUCCAAACCCACAAUUUUAACUCUGUAUAAAUAUUCAACGUUGAGUCAUUAAUUCUCAACUCAGCACUGAAUCCCAUAGCUAUUACUUAGACUCUAUGAAAAAUUUCAUAGUUUUCUUACAUUCUUUGAGUUUGGUAAGUGAUUUCGUAUAAUUUCUUUUCAAGUUAAAUUUUAAUUUGGUUUAUGAUAUAGUCUCUGUGCCGAAUUGUAUCUUUUAUGAUUCUUGGAUUUUGGGCUCCAACUUUUUAGGAUUUGAUAGUCACAUUUUAUGCCAUGCUCAGAUUGAUUUUCAUGAUUUUAACUACCCGUUAAGUGGCUUACAAUUUGACAAAAGUUUGAAAGGAAAUAUGUUUCAGGAUUCUGUUUUAAUUGACCUUUAAGUAGAAAUAGGAUGCUUAUAACUUAAUGUGGAUGGUUUGUAAAAUCAUGAAAUUCGGAUAGGAUUCACUAGAAAUAUGUACAAGACUCUCCAUAAAGUUUCAUAAUUUUUCAUUCGGUAUGGGGUGGUACAGGUGAAACUUGUGGUUGGUGUUGAAAAAGAAGUGAAAAGCAAGUUGUGCUCGAUGAUGCAGAGGAAAAGCAAGUGAAGGACAAAGCUGUUAGUCUUUGGCUGGGUAGACUCAAGUACGCAUCCUACGACAUUGAAGAUGUGUUGGAUGAGUGGAUCACAGCAAGACGCAAAUUGCAAAUUGAGGGUGGCGUUGAUGAAAAUGCUCUUGUUGUUCCUCAUAAGAAAAAGAAGGUAUGUCUCUACUUUCCCGGCUCUUGUUUUGGAUUCAAACAAGAAGAAUUUGGUUUCAAACAAGUCUUUCUCCGUCAUGACAUUGCCGACAAGAUCAAAGAAAUCAAUGAAGAGCUACAUGAUAUUGCCGCUCAAAAAGACAUGUUUGAUCUUGUUAAGAGUGGCAAUAAAAGUAGUGAAAGACCAAGGCGUGUACAGAGUACCUCCUUGAUUGAUGAAGAAGAGAUUUGUGGCAGAGUUGGUGAGAGGAAUGAACUCUUAAGCAAGCUGUUGUGUGAGAGUAGCGAGCAACAAAAAGGCCUUCAUAUCAUCUCAAUCGUUGGUAUGGGAGGCAUAGGGAAAACAACUCUUGCACAACUAGCUUGUAAUCAUGACGAGGUGAAGAGAAAGUUCGACAAAAUUCUGUGGGUGUGUGUAUCAGAAACUUUUGAGGAGUUUAGGGUUGCCAAAGCGAUCGUUGAAGUUUUGGAUGGUCGUGAAUCUCAUUUAGCUGAAUUCCAUUCUCUUCUUAUAAGUAUUGAUAAAUCUAUUGCGGGAAAGAGAUUUCUUCUUGUCUUAGAUGACGUAUGGGACGGAGAUUACAUUAAGUGGGAACCGUUCUACCGUUCCCUAAAGAAUGGUCUCCAAGGAAGUAAAAUUUUGGUUACUACACGUAAGGAGUCAAUUGCGUUUAUGAUGGGAUCCAUUGAUAUUAUCUCUAUCAAGGGAUUGGCCGAAGAAGAAUGUUGGUCGUUGUUUAAGCGGUUAGCAUUUUUCGGUCGAUCCAUUGAGGAAUGUGGAAGAUUGGAACAAAUUGGACAAAGAAUUGCAGGAAAGUGUAAAGGCUUACCUCUUGCAGCAAAGGUAAUAGGGAGUCUCAUGCGUUCUAAAAAAACUGAAGAAGAGUGGCAAAGAAUCUUAAAUAGUGAGCUAUGGAAAAUAGAAGAGAUCGAGAAAGGUGUUCUAACUCCUUUGUGGUUGAGUUAUAACGAUUUGUCAUCUCGAGUAAAAAGAUGUUUUUUAUAUUGUGCUGUCUUUCCAAAAGACUACAAUAUAAAAAAAGACAAACUAAUUACAUUAUGGAUGGCUCAAGGUUAUCUUAAUGCAGAACAAAAUGAAGAGAUGAAGACAAUAGGUGAAGAGUAUUUUGGCAUCUUAGCUUCUCGCUCUUUCUUUCAGGAGUUUACGAAAAGUUAUGAUAAUCGUAUUAUAUGGUGCAAGAUGCAUGAUAUGGUGCAUGAUUUUGCCCGAUUUGUAAGUCAAAAUGAAUGUUUUUCGAUGGAAAUUAACGGCAGUGAGGAACCAAACGCCACAAACUCUCCUCAUGGGAAGCUUCGUCAUUUAAUGUUAAUCAUUGGUGAAGGGGCUUCAUUUCCUGUCUCCACUUGUAGAGUCAAAAGAAUGCGAAGCCUCUUAAUUGAUAGUAGCAGAUUUGAUUAUCAGUCGUUAAAUGGUGAGAUCCUAGAAGAAUUAUUGAGGGAAUUGACAAGUUUAAGGGCAUUCGAUUUUUGCAGAUCGGACCACACACGAUUGGGUUUCACUCUAGAGAUUCCAAGAAAUAUAAAAAAGCUGAUACAUUUAAGAUACCUUAAUUUGUCUGGUCAGAAAAUAGAGAAGCUACCGGAGGCAUUGUGCGAGCUAUAUAAUCUAGAGAAGUUAGAUAUUUGUGGUUGUUGGUGUCUUAAAGAAUUACCUGAAGGGAUUGGGAAGUUAAUAAACAUGAAGCAUUUACUAAAUAGAAAUACCGAUUCUGUAAGGUACAUGCCAGUAGGGAUUGCGAGAUUAAAGAGUCUUCAGACAUUGGAAGAGGUCAGUGUGAGUGGAAGAGGAUGUCUUGAUGGUAGGAAAGCAUGUAGGCUCGAAUCUCUUAAAAACUUGGAACACCUUCAAAUAUGCGGUAUACGUGGACUGGGUGAUGUAUCAGACGUGGGCGAGGCUAAGCGAUUAGAACUUGACAAAAAUAAAUACCUCUUCAGUUUGACCCUUUGGUUUGAUAAGAAGGAGGAAGAAGGAGAAAGGAGGAAGAACGAGGACGAUCAACUUCUUCUUGAAGCCCUGCAACCACCUCUGGAUUUAAAGAAAUUAACGAUAUGGUCAUACAGAGGCAACACUGUUUUCCCCAGCUGGAUGAUGUCAUUAACCAAUUUAAGGAGUUUAGGUCUCUGUUACUGCAAAAAUUGUGAGCAGCUGCCUCCUUUGGGAAAAUUGCCAUCCCUUGAAACGCUCCACAUAUUGGGCAUGAAUAGUGUGAAAAGAGCGGGUAAUGAAUUUUGGGGUAUAGAAAGUAAUCACCAUGACUCAUCUUCAUCUUCAUUUUCAUCAGUUAUUAUUGCCUACCCCAAAUUAAUAUCACUUUCAAUUCAUUGUCUGACGGAAUUGGAGGAGUGGGAUUAUGGGAUUACUAGAACGGGAAACACGUUCAUCAACAUCAUGCCACGUCUUUCUUCCUUGCGAAUUACUAUGUGCCCCAAACUAAAGGCACUGCCCGACCACAUUCAUCAAACGACAACACUGAAGGACUUGACCGUUGGGUGGAACUCUGAUCUUCUGCAAGAACGUUACAGCGAGGGUAUAGGAGAAGACUGGCCUAAGAUAUCUCACAUUCCCAACGUCAGGAUUUGGCAAGACGUAAUUUCUUCUCCUACUCUGAUUUGCUUUGUUGUUGUUUUUAAUCUAAUUAAGACGCAUAAAUAGCAUUUUGAUUUUGAGUUGACAAUUUUCUGGACCAGUGAUCAAGGGUGAGAAUGGCGCUAGGAUAUUGAAUAAGGCACUGAACUUAGGCUGAUGUCAAAAGAGGUAAAUUAUUGACAUGUGUAGCUAAUUUGACCGUUUCCUGAUUCAUAAGUCUACAUUAAUUUUGAUUUUGAGUUGAGUGAUUACAUUUUAAGGUUUGCUUACUUAACAGGGCCAGGACAUGAAAUGAGAAGCUUAUUAGUGGCAGUUGGCAGUGAAUGGAGGACCUUGACUAAAUUCUCAAGCGGUUGCACUGCAGUUACGCUCAUCCUAAGCCUCCUGUAAUUUCUUCUCCUGCAUUUUUGUAAUUUGCUAUCUAAUUAAGGAGCGUAAACUAUUUUGAAUCGACUUCUAUAUCAGGAAUAUAUGCAACAUUUUCUAAAAGUUUGAUAUGAGUGUAAUGAUGGUAAUUUCUCUUUUUUGUCUGUCAUCGAAAUGUAAGAUAACAUUCAUUAAGACUCUUGAGAGUCGUUUUUGGCAAUUGCAGGACAAGUGAUGAAGAGUGAGAAUGGUGCUAGAUUGGGGAUUAAAGCAAAAGGAGGUAAAUUAUUGGCAGAGAAUUGUGAGAGCUUGAGUGUACUGGGAUUUGCAAUUACAAUCAUCCUCUGCUUCAGGUGAUUUCUUCUCCUGCUCUGUCGUUGUUUGUAUCUCAAUCAAAUUCUAUAACUGGAAUAUGCAAAAGUUUCGAAUUUUUUAUUUCUAUCUGCUUGCAUUGAUAACAUCACGGCAUAUGCACUAGUUAAAGAACAAACAGAAACAGAGCUCCGGAAAAAGUUUCUUCUGCCAUCACAUUUGAAAAUUCAUGUAAAAUGUAGACAGUAAUCAGCAAAAAGGUGAUUCACAAUUUCAUUUUUUUUAUGAAAUUGAUUGUUAGGUUGGAGUUGCUAAAAGGCCAUUGGGCUAACCUAUGUCGUUACUUACCUAGAUCAAGACUCAAAACAAGCAUUGAAUUUUAAAAGGCAUGCAAUAAUUUUUGUGGCCAUAUGUCAAGUCAGGUAAGUUUGAAUAUAAUUAUUGUUGAAGGGGUUUUAUUUUCGGUGUCCAAAUAGAGAUACUGAUUCUUUAAGGUAAUGCCAGUAGGAAUUGCAAGAUUAACAAGUCUUCGGACAUUGCGAGAGUUCCAUUGAGUGGUGGAUGAGGUGUUGAUGGUAGCAAAGCAUGUGGUAUGCGUAGACUGGAAAACAUGUAAGAUGUGGGCGAGGCUAAGAGAUUAGAGAUUGACCAAAUGAAAUACCUCUUUAGUUUGAGGCUUAAAUUUGAUGGUGAAGAAGAAGGAAGGAGGAAGAAUGAGGAUGAUCAACAUCAGCUUGUUCUUGAAACCUUGCAACCACCUCUGACUUUGAAGGAAUUAGAGAUAUGGUCAUACAGAGGCAACACUGUUUCUGCAAGUAGUCCUCUCUUUUCUUUUUAUUAUAUUUUAUUUAGUUAUUAUUUAUUAUUUAUUUUUUGGUUUACUCUGCUUCUUCUUUUUACGUUUCUCAAAUUUUGAAUUUCAUUACUUUUGAACAUACGACAGUCUGUUAUGUGGCGACCCUGGUUUUUAAUUAAGGUUGUAAAAUAUUAUUGUAAAAGAUGAUUUAUUCAAUUUGAGUAAUUCGUUUGCUUUGAUAAUGAUAGCAAUUUUUUAUUUUGACAAUUUGCAAGGUGAGAAUGGUGCUGAUUGGUGAUUCAGGAUAUGGUUCAAACACCAUUGAAUAAAGCUAUGGACAUGGUGGCUCAACUUAGCUAGAUUGGUAUCAAAAUUGGUAAGUUGGCUUGUCAAUGUACCGAUGCUUUUGUUUUCUCUCAACCCUAAUUACCUUAACUUCAUUUAGUUUGGCUUUGGAGUUGAGUAAUAACUUAUUGUUCAAAUGUUAUUUCCUUAUUGUUCUAAUUCAUCAAAUGUUAUUUCCUUAUUGUUCCAUUGAUAUAUUUGUUGCAUAUCAAGCAGAAACAGAACCCAAAGAAAAUGAAACCAUUUCCAGGCAGCAGUUGGCAGUGAAUUCAUGCAAAUGUUGAUGCCAUUCAUAGAUGUUGAAGACAAUGUUGAGCCAAAGGCGAUAAAUCAUUAAUGCAUAAUUCCCAAAACCUCCAUCCUUCUCUCAUUGUAAUUUGAUUUGAAAUGAAUAAUUGCUAGGUAAUUGAAGCCAAUGUUGUUAAAGACCGUGUUGAGCUACCCAAGCUAAGAAGUUACUUGCCAAAAAAUGCAGGGGAUCAAAAGAAGCAUUGCAUUUGAAAAGGCAUGAGAUUCUGGUGGCUACAUGUCAACUCAUAUAUGUUUGAAUAAGUUUGAUCGUUCAAGAUUGUUAGCUUCUGUUUAAAUUUGUGCUACUGCGGUGCUACAAUGCUGCUACUGGGAAAUUUGAAUCCCAUAUUAGACUUUCCUCACAUCAGAAGCUGUGGAUCUUCGGACAUCAGGUUUUUUCACAGUUCUGAAACACUCAGGAUUAAACUCUAUUAAAGUGUUGUAGUUAUCUUGUUGUCAGAAUUCCCAUAUUAUUAUCUUUUUCAUGUAAAAUUAUCUUGUUGUCUUCGCCCAUGAAUCUAAGCUAAAAUUUGAACCAAUUGUUUGCCAUUAUAAAUUUCAUUGUUAAAUGUUAAUUAUGAUGUUGGCGUUGAGUUUCUUUUAAAGUCAUAGAAGCCUGACGAUUGAGUUCCAUGGGAUUCUGAGAAGCAGUAAUAUUUGAACAAGUGAAGGUUCUUCUCUUUUAAUUAUGUUCUGCACUUUUACAGUUUGGCUUUGGAGUUGAGUAAUAACCUUUCGAGGUCGCGGCUAUAAAAAGGCGAUGCUCAAUUUGCCACAGAUUACAUGUAUUGCCAUCAUUGACAAUUUUCUGGAUAAGUGAUGAAGGGUGAGAGUGGUGCUAGACUUCAGCCCUCCAGAAUAUUGAAUAAAGCUGUCAAAAGAGGUAAAUUAUUGGCAUGCCUGUUAGUGAAUUGGAUAAAGCUGGAGCAGAGCAUGAUGUUGCUGUAUAGCUGGAGCAGAGCAUGUUGUUGCUGUGUAGCUGGUUGUAGCAGAUCAACUCACUGAGCUGACCUGUCAAAGCUGGAGCAGAGCAGAGCAGAGCGGAUAAAGCUGGAGCAGAGCAGAGCGGAUAAAGCUGGAGCAGAGCAGAGCAUGAUGUUGCUGUAUAGCUGGAGCAGAGCAUGCUGUUGCUGUGUAGCUGGAGCAGAGCAUGCUGUUGCUGUGUAGCUGGUUGUAGCAGAUCAACUCACUGAGCUGACCUGUCAAAGUUAGUUAGCUGGUUGAGCUGAUGUGUAAAGUUAGUUAUGCAGCAAAUGGUUAUGUGAUGUAACAAACUCGUGUGUGUAGUGAAGAUUGUAGCUUAGUAUAAAUGUCAAUCAGUAUUCAUUAAGUUGAAAUAUCUGAGGAUAAUAAAAAGGUUCUUUAGAGUUCUCUUUCAUUUUCUUUUACUUUCUUGCUUGCCAAACAAUAUAGAACUAAGUUUCUUUCAUGGUAUCAGAGCCAUAAAUGGCAAAUACAGUUCAAAACAACAACUCUUUUAGUUUUGUUACGCCUGUAAAGCUAGAUCAAAACAACUAUAUUUUGUGGCGCACACAAAUUCUAGCUUCGAUCAAAGGAAAUGGUUUGGAAGGUUUUAUCAAUGGUGAUCGAGAAUGUCCUGAGCAGUUUCUUUCUUCUGGCAACAACAAUGGAGCUGAAAUCUUAACUGAAUCUGGAUCCAGAUCUGUUACUGAAUCUGGAUCCAGAUCUGUUACUGAAUCUGGAUCCAGAUCUGUUAAUCCAGAGUUCGUAGCUUGGAUGAAGGCUGAUCAACUUCUGCUGAGUUGGAUGAUGUCAUCGAUACAACAAAAUCUGCUUGCUACUAUGAUUGACUCAACAACCUCAAAACAGCUUUGGGAGACUCUUGCUAGUAUGUUUAUCUCUCAAUCACAGGCUAGAAUUCAAACACUUAGAAUGCAGAUUCAAACUAUUAAGAAAGGUGCAAUGCAUAUGUCUGAUUACUUUGUAAAAGUAAAACGUAUAGCUGAUACUUUAGCUCUAGCUGGAAAACCUGUUGAGUUAAAUGAUCUUGUGAUGCAUGUAUUAACUGGUCUUGAUUCAUCAGAUUAUGAAUCUUUAGUCACUGCUGUGUUAGCUCGAGGUGAAAAGAUAACAUUAGAUGAACUAUAUUCUUUGCUGUUAAAUCAUGAAAAUAGAGUUGAGCAAAAGAAAGGAAAAAUUGCUGGUGAUGUGAUGCAUAACAUGACAGCAAAUAUUGUUCAGAAGAACUCAUAUGCUAGAAAGAAUAAUGGAAAUUUUCAGAAACAGUAUGGAAAUAACUCUGGAGGUGGUAAUAAUUCUGGAUAUGGAUAUGGUCAGUUUAAUAAUAAUAGUAAUUUCUCUGAAGUUGUUUGCCAAAUUUGCUUCAUACCUGGUCAUGCAGCCUAUAAAUGCAGAAAUAGGUACAACUCAUCUUUUGUUCCACAUAGGAACCAUGGUAGAGGUAAUAUGAAUGGUGGCGGAGGUUUUAAUCAAGGGCAAUAUGGUCGAGGAAGAGCCUUUAAUGGUAAUAGUGGAAGAGGUUUUGGAGGUUUUGGUUCAAAUGCUGGUUUUGGACAAAAUGUUGGUUUUGGUAAUGCCCCCAGGGGUUUUGGCUAUCAAGGAAAUAUAGUAUAUCCAGAGAGCAACCCAUCUGCUUAUUUCUCAUUCAACCCUGGAUCAUCUAAUUUUGUUUCUGGUCUAGGACAUAAUAAUCUGGAACAGUCAAGUGCUUCCUCCUCCUCUGCUAUGUCUUCUUCACUUCCACCUGAACACAUUGAAGAUCCUUCCUGGUAUAUUGAUAGUGGAGCAACAAAUCAUAUUACCAACGAUCUAGGUAAGCUUCUGGAUUCAAAAGUUUACACUGGUACUGAAAGGUUAUUUGUUGGAGAUGGAAAUGCAUUAGCUAUUACACAUGUAGGGUCAGUUGUGCUAAAUACUUCAGCUUCUCAAUCCUUAUUUCUUAACCAUGUUCUUCAUGUCCCUUUUAUUACUAAGAAUUUGCUUAGCAUCUCAAAAUUGUUGGCUGACAAUCCAGUUACUGUUGAAUUUCUUGGUGAUUUGUGUUUUAUAAAGGCCAAGAACACAGGGAAAAUUUUACUUGAAGGUGUUGCUAAAGGUGGGCUUGUAUAGAGUCUCUUCUCAUGCUGCUGUUCAUUCAGUCUUUCUCAGUUCAGUUGGUCAAAACAAAAUUCAGUCUCUUUUUGCUUGUUCUCCUGUUUUUAAUUCUGCUCAGCUCUCUACUGUUAGCUCUUAUGAGUUGAAUAAAACGUCAUGUCUGUCAGUUGUUGCAAAGGGUUCUAUUGAUGUAAAUCUUCUUCAUAGAAGAUUAGGACACCCAGCAUCUUAUACUCUCAAAACCAUUCUCAAAGCUUGUAACAACUCUACUGCUUUUAAUAAAGUUGACAGUUUGAAAUUUUGUUCAGCAUGCCAAUAUGGUAAAAAUCACAUGCUGCAUUUUGAUUCAGUAGAAACAAAAACUUCAGCACCUUUACAACUGAUAUAUGCAGAUCUUUGGGACCCUUCUCAUGUUUGUUCUACCCAAGGAUAUAAUUACUACUUGUCAAUCCUAGAUGAUUACAGUAGGUUUACCUGGAUUUUUCCCUUAUCAGCAAAAUCUGAUGCUCUUGAAGUUUUUACCAAUUUCAAAAUAUUCAUUGAGAAGCAUCUUCAACUUUCCAUCAAAACUGUACAAACUGACUGGGGAGGGGAGUUCAGAACAUUUUCAUCGUUACUCACUACUUCUGGCAUCCAUUUUCGACAUCCUUGCCCCCACAUUCAUCAUCAAAAUGGAAAAAUUGAGAGGAAACAUAGACACAUAGUUGAUGUAGGACUGACUUUAUUAGCUCAAGCACAUUUACCACUCAAAUUUUGGUGGAAUACAUUCCAUACAGCUGUCUACUUGAUAAACAGACUUCCAACUCCAGUUCUAAACAGCAUUUCUCCUUUUCAAAAGUUGUUUAAUUCCCAACCAGAUUAUUCAACACUUAAAAUUUUCGGCUGUGCUUGUUAUCCAACACUCAGACCAUACAAUAGACAUAAGUUUGAUUUCAGAACAGCUAGAUGUAUAUUCAUUGGCUACAGUUCACGACACAAGGGAUAUCAGUGUCUUCACUCUUCUGGGAGGGUCUAUAUUUCAAAUCAUGUAACCUUUGAUGAAAGUUCUUUUCCUUAUGAGUCAGGAACAGAUUUUUCUUCAGUUUCUUCAAACUGUCAGUCAUCAACUCAUUCUGAGUCUUCUUUUAAUUCUUCUACUCCUUUUGUUACUCAGUUACAAGCACCUUUAGCAGCAUCAUCAGAAUAUCAUCUUAAUGAUUCUCAGUCACAUGCUUCUAUUUCCUUCCCAAAUUCUACUCCAGUUUACUUUUCUGAUAAUUUCAAUUCCACUUCUUCUUCUCCUUCUUCACCAUCCCAUCAUUCACCUCCACAUACCUUGUCACAACCUGCAUCAUCUGGUCAUCCAAUGAUAACCAGGUCAAAAGCAGGUAUCUUCAAGCCCAAGAUCUACUUGUCAGCUUUACUAGCUCAGAAAUCAGAACCAACCUCUGUUUCCAAAGCACUUUCUGAUCCUAUGUGGUAUAAAGCUAUGCAAGAAGAGUAUCUAGCUCUUAAAACCAAUCACACCUGGGAUUUAGUCUUACCUGCUACUCCAGUGAAGAUAGUUGGCAACAAGUGGGUAUUUCGAGUAAAGUAUAACUCAGAUGGUUCAGUUUCAAGGUAUAAAGCCAGGCUUGUGGCUAAAGGGUUUCAUCAGACACAUGGGAUUGACUACACAGAAACCUUCAGUCCAGUGGUUAAGUCCUCCACUGUUAGAGUUAUUCUUAGCUUAGCAGUAUUGAGUCACUGGGUUGUAAGGCAGGUGGAUGUUAACAAUGCCUUUCUAAAUGGCAUUUUAAUUGAAGAUGUGUACAUGGCUCAACCUCAAGGUUUUGUUGAUUCAACUAAACCUAAUCAUAUCUGCAAGCUAAAUAAGGCUUUGUAUGGCUUAAAACAGGCUCCUAGAGCCUGGUUUGAUAGGUUUAAGGAUGCAAUGAUCUCCAAGUGGCAUUUUUAGCAUUCCAGGUCUGAUAACUCUCUCUUUUAUGCCUGGAACAGUGGUCAUCUAACUGUUGUUUUGGUCUAUGUUGAUGAUAUUAUCAUCACUGGUUCCAGUCCAUCCAUAAUUCAACAAGUUAUCCAGAAUAUGCAUCAAGCUUUUGCUUUAAAAGACCUGGGGGAACUUCACUAUUUUCUGGGGAUUGAAGUCAGCAAAUCUUCACAAGGGGUUUCCUUGACACAAGCAAAGUACAUUGCUGAUAUUCUGGAUAAACAUGGCAUGACAGACUGCAGUCCUGUGCCAACUCCAAUGUCUACAGGCUUUUAUCUCACCAAAGACUCAGGAGAGCCACUUGAUAAUGUUUCUCAAUAUCGAAGUGUUAUAGGAGCUCUUCAAUAUGUUACUCUUACCAGACCUGACAUUGCCUUCUCUGUAAACAAGUUAAGUCAGUUCCUUUCCAGUCCUAGAACUCAACAUUGGGAAGCAUGUAAAAGGUUAUUGAGGUACUUAAAAGGCAUUAUCCAUCUGGGGCUGCAUUUCUACAAUCAAGGAGCUCUGCAAUUACAUUGUUUUUCAGAUUCUGAUUGGGCUUGUGAUCAUGAUGAUAGGAAGUCAGUGGCUGGCUUUGCUGUUUAUCUAGGUCCUAAUCUUGUUUCCUGGUCGUCAAAGAAACAAGCUGUUGUUUCCAGAUCCAGCACAGAAGCUGAGUAUAGAUCUCUUGCUCAUGCUGCUUCAGAAGUUACCUGGAUUAAAUCCUUACUUGGUGAACUUAGUAUCACAUUAAGCUCCACUCCUAUGAUGUGGUGUGAUAAUCAAGGAGCAAUUGCUUUAGCUUAUAAUCCAGUUUAUCAUGCUAAGACUAAGCAUGUUGAAUUGGAUAUACAUUUUAUCCGAGAUAAGGUCACUGCUAAAGAGGUUGCAGUAUGCUAUGUGCCUAGUCCAGAUCAAACAGCAGAUGUGUUGACUAAGGCUCUUACUUUCAAACAAUUCAGUUACUUCAGAAGCAAGCUGAAUGUUCAUCCUAAACAUUUCAGCUUGAGGGGGGAUGUUAGUGAAUUGGAUAAAGCUGGAGCAGAGCAUGAUGUUGCUGUAUAGCUGGAGCAGAGCAUGUUGUUGCUGUGUAGCUGGUUGUAGCCAAAGCUGGAGCAGAGCAGAGCAGAGCGGAUAAAGCUGGAGCAGAGCAGAGCGGAUAAAGCUGGAGCAGAGCAGAGCAUGAUGUUGCUGUAUAGCUGGAGCAGAGCAUGCUGUUGCUGUGUAGCUGGUUGUAGCAGAUCAACUCACUGAGCUGACCUGUCAAAGUUAGUUAGCUGGUUGAGCUGAUGUGUAAAGUUAGUUAUGCAGCAAAUGGUUAUGUGAUGUAACAAACUCGUGUGUGUAGUGAAGAUUGUAGCUUAGUAUAAAUGUCAAUCAGUAUUCAUUAAGUUGAAAUAUCUGAGGAUAAUAAAAAGGUUCUUUAGAGUUCUCUUUCAUUUUCUUUUACUUUCUUGCUUGCCAAACAAUAUAGAACUAAGUUUCUUUCAAUGCCUAGCUAAUUUGACCACUACCUGAUUCAUAAGCCUACAUCAAUUUUGAUUUUGAGUUAAGUGAUUAAUUUUCAAGGUUUGCUUACUUAACCGGCGACUAAUUUCUUGUAACUAAAUGUAUCAUAUGAUGCAGGAAGCAGGGCAAGAUAUGAAAUGAGAAGCUUAUUAGUGGAAGGAUUGCCAGAAACAGAACCCAAAGAAAAUGAAAACAUUUCAAGGCAGCAGUUGGCAGCUGGCAAUGAAUGGAGGCCCUUGAAAAAAUUCCCAAGCCGUUGCACUGCAAUUACGAUCAUCCUCGGCCUCAGGUAAUUUCUUCUCCUGCAUUUUUGUUAUUUGCUAUCAAGUGACAUUCGUAAGUAUGAUUGCAUUAAGCUGCUGCUGGGAAAUUUGAGGUUUUGAUGGCUGCCCAUGCUAUUGUCAGAAGCUGCAGUUCUUUUCAUCAGCCUGAACCUGGACCUGUCGCCAUGGAUAACUCAGGUUUUUUUUUUUUUUAAUCAACUACGGCAUCUUUUCCACUGUUUUGAAACUCUUAAGAUUAAACUUUAGUAAUGUUGUUUUAGUUAUCCAUGUAAUCAGGCUGAGGAUACUUAGCAGCCUAUUUAGGCAAAUGUCAGAAUUUAGUUUGUUCGCUGGGAAUUGGUGUGGACUGGCAAAGGAUGAUGAGAUAGUUUUUUGAGUGAGUAAAUUUUGGGAGCUUGAGUGUAUUGGGAUUUGCAAUUACAAUCAUCGUCUGCCUCAGGUGAUUUCUUCUCCUGCUCUGUCAUUGUUUGUUCUCUAAUUCAAAAGCAUAAAAUAUUUCAAUCAAAUUGUAUGCCAGGAAUAUGCAAAAGUUUCUAAUAUUUUAUUUCCAUCUGUUUGCCUUGAUAACUUUGCUGCAUAUGUACUAGUUAAAGAACAAAUCGAAACAGAGCUCAGUUAAAAGUUUCUUCUGCCGUCAUAUUUGAAAAAUGAAACCAUUUCCAGGAAGCAAUGGGCAGCAAAUUCAUAUAAAGCAUAGACAAUGAUGAGCAAAAAGGUGAUUCACAAUUUCACUUUUUUUAAUGAAAUUAAUUGUUUGGUUGGAGCGGAUAUUGUUAGAAGGCCAUUGAGCUAACCUAUGUCACUACUUGCCUAGAUUACAGGGGGUCAAAUAAGGCAUCCAAUAAUUCUUGUGGCCAUAUAUCAAUUCAUGUAAGUUCGAAUGUAAUUAUUGGUGAAGGGGUUUCACUUCCCGUCUCUAAAUAAAAAUACUGAUUCUUUAAGGUACAUGCCACUAGGGAUUGCGAGAUUAACGAGUCUUUGGACAUUGGAAGAGCUCCUUGUAGUGGAGGAGGAGGUGUUGAUGGUAGCAAAGCAUGUGGGCAGUGGGCUUGAAUCUCUUAAAAACUUGGAACUCCUCCAAGCGUAAGUAUACGUAUACUGGGAAAUGUGUUAGAUGUGGAUGAGGCUAAGAGAUUAGAGCUUGACAAAAUGAAAUAACUCUUUCAUUGAGACUUAAAUUUGAUGGGGAAGAAGAAAAAGAAGAGGGAAGGAGGAAGAAUGAGGAUAAUCAACUUGUUCUUGAAGCCUUGCAACCACCUCUGAAUUUGAAGGAAUUAGAGAUUUGGUCAUACGGAGGCAACAUUGUUUCCCCCCGGAUGAUGCAAAAAUUGAAGGAAUUUACCAAUCUAAGGAGUUUGACACUCUUUAAAACUGCAAAAAUUGAGAAAAGUUGCCUCCUUUGGGAAAAUUGUGAUCCUUUGAAAAUCUCAGCAUAUUGUACAUGGAGAGUGUGAAAACAGUGGGUAAUGAAUUUCUGGGAAUAGAAAGUGAUCUUCAUGACUCAUCUUCAUCUUCAUCAGUGAUUAUUGCCUUCCCCAAAUUGAAAUCACUUUCAGUUGAGGGAUUGAUGGAAUUGGAGGAGUGGGAUUAUGGGAUUAAAAGAACAGGAAACACCUCCACCAACAUUAUGCCACGUCUUUCUUCCUUGGAAAUUAGUGUGGGGUUAUGGGAUCGCACAACGACGUUGAAGGUAUUGCAGAUUGUGGCAUGUGGUACUCUAAGAAGACGUUACAGACAGGGGAGAGCAGAAGACUGGCCUAAGAUCUCUCACAUUCCAGACAUCAUGAUUGUGUGAAAAGAUGCCCGUGACAAAAUUCUCUAGGCGGCUACAUGGAGUACAAUCAUAAAAUGCUAAUGUGGCCACCCUGGUUCUUAAUUAAGGUUGUGAAAUAUUAUUGUAAAAGAUGAUUAAUUCAAUUUGAGUUAUUCGUUUGCUUUGAUAAUGAUAGUAAUUUUAUAUUUUGACAAUUUGCAGGGUGAGAAUGGUGCUGAUUGGUGAUACAGGAUAUGGUUCAAACACCAUUGAAUAAAGCUACGGACAUGGUGGCUCAACUUAGCUAGAUUGCUGUCAAAAUUGGUAAGUUGGCUUGUCAAUGUAUUGAUGCUUUUGUUUUCUCUCAACCCUAAUUACCUUAACUUCAUUUAGUUUGGCUUUGGAGUUGAGUAAAUUCUGGCCUCUUCCGAAAAAAAAAGCUUAAUUUGCUACUGAUCACGUGUUACCAAUUAUUUAAGGUAAUUCUCGCUUACUUGCUUCUGCACUAUAGAGUACGUGUUCUGGCUGGUUUAUCUAAUUCAUCAAAUGUUAUUUCCUUAUUGUUCCAUUGAUAUAUUUGUUAGAAAGUGAAACCAUUUCCAGGCAGCAGUUGGCAGUGAAUUCAUGCAAAUGUUGGUGCCAUUCAUAGAUAUUGAAGACAAUGAUGAGCCAAAGGUGAUAAAUCAUUAAUGCAUAGUUACCAAAACCUCCAUCCUUCUCUCAUUGUAAUUUGAUUUUAAAUGAAUAAUUGCUAGGUAAUUGAAGCCAAUAUUGUUAGAAACGGUGUUGAGCUACCCAAGCUAAGAAGUUAGCUGCCAAAAAAUGCAGGGGAUUAAAAGAAGCAUUGCAUUUGAAAAGGAAUGAGAUUCUGGUUGCUACAUGUCAAUUCGUAGAAGUUUCAAUAAAUUUAAUGGUUCAAGAUUGUUAGUUUCUGUUUAAAUUUGUGCUACUGCAGUGCUACAACGCUGCUACUGGGAAAUUUGAAUCCCAUAUUAGACUUUCCUCACAUCAGAAGCUGUGGAUCUUGAGACAUCAGGUUUUUUCACAGUUCUGAAACUCUCAGGAUUAAACUCUAUUAAAGUUGUUGUAGUUGUCUACGUUCUCAGGUCAAGGAUUCUAAGCUGCCGAUUAAGCAUUGCGCAUUUUCAUUUGUCCGAUUCAAGAGGAACGUCACAGAAAGGGGUAAAGAAAAGAGUAGCCUAAGAUAUUAAAGACAAUGUUGAGCCAAAGGAAACAUAAAUCCCAACCAUUGCAUGUGAACAUGAUCACAAUAAGGUCAAGAACCUACCAAACCAUUUUUUUGAGAAUUUUCAAUUGAAAGUGAAACCUUUUGAUAUUUACCUAAUAAAGUUAGUUAAACGAGAGAAAUAAAGGGGGAAAGAAAAGUUGACUCUAAGUCAAUACAGAAUAAUUAGUUCAAUACAGAAUAAUUGCUGUAAAAUAUUAAAUAGUUUUAUUUUUCUUUUAUCGUUUAACUUGGACCAAAAAAGGAAAUGAGUUUAACACGACCCUCAUUCUGCUUCUUGCUUUGGUUUCAAACAAGUCUUUCUCCUUUAUGACAUUUAUUGUAAUUUCAUUUGGAGACAUAUGUCUGUCGUUCAAAUAUAUUUCAUACGCAAGCUGUUAAUAAUUCUGCUUGCAGAAAGCCUACAAAGCAGCUGUGUGAUGUAAUAGAAGACCAUAGAUAGUCUCGUCAAUUUUUCAACAUUAGAUAUUCAGGUCAUCAGCUUCUCAUGAAUUCUUUCCUGAGUUUCUUUGAAUUAUUUGUGAUGUAAUAACUUGUGCAUUUGAGAAACUGUUCUCUUGAAUUCUUUCUUGAGUUUCUUUGAAUUAUUUGUGAAUAAGUUGUUAAUCGGCUGCUUCUCUUCAGGAUAAGGAAAGUGUUGCAAACUGGUGAAGCAGCUGAUAGAUAAAAGCAAUGGGUACAUCUUUGCUGGCAUGGAUCGAUGCCAGUGCGGCUGAAUUCAGCAAGACUGCCGUUCGUGAUGUUGUUGAUUGGGAUUACAUUAAGGAUGAUGACAACAUUGAUUAAAAUGGGACGUGAAGAUAUAUGGUGUGCAAAUUAACCCAACCCAACCAAACCCGUACAUUUUAUCAACCCAACCCAACCUGUAAAAAAUCACACGGGUUAGGUUAGUUUCACGGAUUGGGAGGUUGGUGCCCACCCCUAAAUAUAACCUCCAUUUCAGCACAAUGCAUGUUAAUUGUUCCCCAAGGACUUCUCCUGAUUCCCAUUCCCAACCUCCAUGCUCUUGAGAGGAAUUUAGCACCCAUCAAUUUUUAUUUUUGAAAACUCGUAAUGGUCUGAUAAAAUUAAACAACAUCAAUAAUGUUACCAGUCUUUAAAUAGUAAUUAAUUUAUUUAAUUUGCCACCUAAAAGAAUCCUGCUGGAAAUAGAGGUUAAAAAUUUUAUUAGAUCUGCUUACCUUUGUUCAUUCAGCAAAAACACUUACAAUUCACAGCUAGAGAAUCUAUCCAUUGACAAUUGUGGAUUAAAAUUAUAACACCUGAAUUCCAACAUAUCCUUAUGAAGUUAUGAAUUUGUUCAUACUUCAAAUGAUUUUUUUUUCCCAAGCUAAUAAAGCUACCACUUUGAUCAAACGACGACGUUGAAGGAAUUGCGUAUUUUCAAUGUCCUUUUCCAGACAGACGUUCGAGAGAGAGAAAGGAGAAGACUGGCCUAAUUAAGAUAUCUCACAAAGAUUAUUAUUGAGUUAAAAUGUUAUUGUAAAAGAUGUAUAAUACAAUAAUAGUAAUUCUUUUGCAUUGUUAUAAUGAGGCUGGUGGGUUUCCUCAGAGGAUGGAUCUUGCUCGCUAGUAUGCAUUUGGGAAGCUGCUAAUUAUUGGCCAUAAAAAGUCAGGGGGUUGUGGCUCUUCCGUCGCCCAGAAAUUCCUCAACUCAUAUCUCAAACUUCAGAUGAACUUGGGCAUUAUGUAAAUAUGUAUUUUGAGAAUUAAACUAGUGCCUUAGAAAAAAUUUGAGCCAUUGUAAUCAUUUUAUUUUGCUAAGGGAAAAUUUUACUUUGUGUUUCGCUUUGACUUUUUUUUUUUUGCCUUGUGAUAAUAAGAUUCAUACGAAAGUGAUUACACGCCUAUCAUGCAUCUAUUUUCAUUUGCUUGUCAUGAGAGAUCAACAUGCUCGAAAUAAUUACUUAGGUUGGAAAUAUUUGAAUCCACUAAAAUACUAUACAAACCCAUUUUAAAAUUAAAAAAAUGAUUAUCAUAAUACUUGUGAAGAUAACACGAUAUCAUACAUAAAAUAAAAUAUUUCGCAAAAAAGAUACGAUACAAAUCUUGAGUAAACAGGUACAAAAAAUAUUUUUUUUUGGUUAAACCACGAGGUACAAAAAAUAUUUUAGUGGGUUAAGUAGCACUAAUGCCCCCUUAUCAAAAAAUAUAGAAAAAUAACUAGUUUGAUUGGGUAUACCGUUUAUAUAUAUGUACAUAUUCUUGAUAAUGUGUAAUGUAUAUUAUAGACAAAGAUUUUGAAAGCAAUAUUUUUUGGUAUUAUUAUAUAAUAUUUUUUAAAAAGUUGAGAGAAUAGGCAAAGUCCAAAUCAACUUUCUAAUCCCUACCUCCUUUAUGAUUUAAACUUUAGCGUUUAGUGUCGCGAGCCACUCAAAUUUUCUAAUCAAAGAGACUAAAUUGCACGAAAUUGUGCUAGCUUAUUUGAUUCUAGAAAUUUCCAGUACACUGUAACACACUCUCAGGCUUGUACAUACCUCGAAAUUCUCUAGAAUUAAUUUACUAGAGUAGUGUUGCAUGUAGCUUGUACAUAGGUUUUUCUGGAACACUUCAGGUAUUACUAAGCAUGAGAGCUUUGAGAACUCUCUAGCCAUAAAACAUUCUAGGGUAUGUCUACCCUAAAAAUUGGGCAUGAUGCUUGCCACUUGAGCAUACAACAAGUAAGAACAAAUCAAGCAUACUUGUAAGCUCUCAAACUCUCUUAUACACACUUUUAUGAAUAAUAUACUUUCUCUUUGGCUAUAUUGCUCUCUCUUCUCUCUAGUUUUUUCGCAAGCAUCAUACCUUAGUUAGUCGAAAAGUUCAAGGCUUACUUUAUAGCUAUCUCACAAAAGUUGUUUAAGUACCACAUGGAUUUGCUGUGUAAAAUACUCAUCACAUGACAUUAGCUAAAUAGAUUUGUUUGAAAGCCACUUACCCAAACUAUUAAACGAAUAUUAACUUUUGUCUUAAUUUUCUAUCACCUAUGAUAAAAUUUAUAAUUAAAAAUUGAAAAAAUUAAUAACUAUUAGAUAGAGCAUUCUUUACUGUUAAAAGAAAUCUAUAUAGAUAGAUAGAUGGUAAUAUAAAAACUUACUUAUUGUAGUAUAAUGUUUUUAGUUUUUUGAAACAUAGAUUCUUACUUUUUUAAGAUAAAAUUCAAAGAAAACAAGUUAAAUGUUGUGGAAAAUCUUCCAGCCAUACAAGAAAUUGUGAUAGCUAAAUGCAAACCUAACUAAAGUAUUAGUUGUUUUAUUACAAUCUCCAAAAAGAUGAGCAAUUCCAAAAUAUUUUUUUGUAACAAUAAACACUAUAGGUCAGCAAUUAUCCAAGUCAAAAGCAAGCUACUCUAUUAAAAAAAAAAAAAACUUGUAGUGAAUCUGAAGAUAAACCAAUUUUACUAGCAAGUUGGAUACCAAAGAGUAGGGCUUCAGCCUCAAUUACUCAAUGUACCAACAACACAGUCUCGGUGAGUUAAAAUCAACUUCUACCACUCUUUUACUUGCUGAUAGAUCGAUUAAGGUACCAAAAGGAAUAAUCGAAGAUGUAUUAGUUCGAGUUGAUAAAUUCAUAUAUCCUGUGGAUUUUAUUGUUUUGGAAACUGAACCAAUUGCUAAUGAAUGCAAACAAAUUCCUGUUACAUUGGGUCGUCCAUUUUUAGCUACUGCUAAUGCAUUGAUUAAUUGCUGGAAUGGAGUAAUGAGUUUAUCUUUCGGCAACAUGACAUUGGAACUCAAUGUGUUCAACAUAUGUAAACAACCUCACCACCAGGAAGAUGAUGAUAAUGAGAAUGAGGAGAUUGAUUUCAUCGAGCCAAUCAUUGAUGAACACAUUCAGAAUAAGAAUUUUACAAACUCAGUGGAAAUUUAUUCUGCUCGUUCUUUUGAAUCGAGUAAGAAAUUAGAUUACGAUACUGAUAACAUAUACCCUACACUUGAUUCUAUGCAGGUACUUGCUGACGGUGACCAAUCAAACUUUAAAAAUACAGAACAAUCUAAAGAACCAAACGAAGAGGAAGUACCAGAGCUCGAAUUAAAGCCCUUACCGGAAGAAUUGAAGUAUGCCUAUCUUGGAGAAUAACAAACUUAUCCGGUGGUAAUUUCUUCCCAACUCACGCAUGAUCAAGAAGGUAAGUUGUUGUCUGUACUAAAAAGGCAUAAAACUGCAUUUGGUUGGACCUUAAAAGACAUAAAAAGUAUUAAUCCUUUAAUCUGCACACACCGAAUACACUUAAAGGAAAAUACCAGAACAACCCGUUAACAUCGACAUUAUCAGUGUAAACAUUAAAUACCAAAAUCAACCCCAAAAACUAUAACUAAACUAUCAUGACUAAAAUAAAGUUUUUUUUUUUUAGAUAUUCGUUGUAGUAUCUCUUUAGAUGACAAACAAGAGAUAAAAUACAUAAAUAUUUGCUGUGUAAAUAAAAAUAAAUAAUUUUUUUGAACUGAAAAAUAUUCUCAAAAACUAAAUAGUUCAAACUUUUUUUAACAUUAUCGGUUCUGGACCUGAACCGAACCGUGAACCGUAAACUGCCCACCCUUACGUAGUUGUUUCCGUUAACCGAUGUUGUAUUGCUGGUAUAAAAUUGUUCAAAUGUUCAAAUCACAGUCUCCCGCUCUCAGCUCAGUCAGAGUUUCAGGUCCAGAGACUUCCCGCUGACUGAGAGCUUUUUUGUAGCAGUUCUACAAAUAAUGGAGUAGAGCUGAUUUUAUGAUUAAUUUAUUUCCUUUUUCAAUUUCUUAUGAUUGCGAUUUAAUCUGGAAAGUUAAACGUGAAUUGUUUAGUGCGGAUUAAAUGUUCGACGAAUUUCCCGCAAGAGUAUUAAGUUAAAGAGAAAAAAGAAAACAAUUGAGCGUGAGCGUGAGCGUGAGCGAGAAUGGUGUUUGGGCAAGUGGUGAUUGGUCCGCCCGGCUCGGGAAAGACCACUUACUGCAAUGGCAUAACUCAGUUUCUCAGCCUUGUUGGCAGGUAACUUCGUUUCUUGAUUUCAAGCAGCUUUAUCUUUGAUGACCAAAAAAAUUGAUUUGGGCUUUGCCCAUUAAAUGAAUGUAAGAGCGGUAGGGAAUAACUGAGUUAUAGGAUUAGCUUUAAGUGAACAUUGAUGGUAACAUGCGCGUGAAGGUUGUAUGUGUUCAGUGGCAAGCUGUAUGCCAAUUUGGUCUAUAUGGUUGCUUAGGUAGUAACUUAUUAAUUUUUACGCAGGAAGGUUGCAGUCAUCAAUUUAGAUCCUGCUAAUGAUAGUUUGCCGCAUACUUUGUCAUUGAACUUUCUUACAAAUGCUGUGGUUUGUUGUAGUAUAAUUAGUUCAAUUGGAAACUUCCUUGAUGUUAAUAUAGAAAUGAGUGUGCUGUGAAUAUUGAGGACCUCAUUAGACUAAGUGAUGUGAUGAUGGAGUAUUCACUUGGUCCCAAUGGAGGUUAGUCAGCCUAUUGUUGUUUACUCUUUCUUGCUUUAUCACGCAAUGAUAUUCCUUUGCUUUACAACAAAUUUCGUGAAAUUAACUUCAAUCAAGUGGCAAUGUUCAUAUGCUGUUGAGAUUUUAUGGACAAUGAUUGGUAGACUUUAUAUGCCGUCUUCUUUCUUUUUGCAGUGAUAUGCUUGUAUUCAAUGAGCAUGUACUUAUUCUAUGGUUUCUAAAGUAGGUGUUUUUAUGAUAAACUAGGUCUUGUGUAUUGUAUGGACUAUCUAGAGAAGAAUAUUGACUGGCUGCAGUCGAAAUUAGAACCACUUUUGAAAGGUAAGAAGAGGCCAUUUUCCUUCAUUCUAAUGCCAAUAAUGCUGUCAUGAGACUCAUAAAAAUGUUAAAACGUUAAUGUUUUUGGUAUUUUGCAGAUCAUUAUCUUCUGUUUGAUUUUCCUGGCCAAGUUGAAUUAUUUUUUCUUCAUUCCAAUGCCAAGACUGUUAUAAUGAGACUCAUAAAGAAGUUAAAUCUCAGGGUAUUGUUACAUCUUACAUCUAUGAAGGGACUCAAAGAGUUGAGAUGAAUUCAUCUUUGUUAUUUUGAUGCCAGAAUUGUGCAAUUCUCAGUUGGUUCCUUGCACAUGCAGUUGACUGCAGUGCAUCUAGUUGAUGUGCAUCUUUGCAGUGACCCCGGGAAGUAUGUUAGUGCUUUGCUUCUCUCAUUGUCUACGAUGCUACAUCUGGAACUUCCCCAUGUCAAUGUCUUGUCUAAUCGAUCUGAUUGAGAAUCAUGGAAAGCUAGGUGUGGUUUUAAGUGUAUCUCUCCUACUUGUUUGUUUAGUUUGAAAUAUCAGAUAUUGUCACAAGCUCCUAUUUGCUACAUUUCCUCACCAAUCAAUUACUUUGGGUAUGUUGCAGCUUUUAAUCUCGAGUACUAUACAGAUGUGCAAGAUUUGUCAUAUUUACAGCAUGCUCUCGGUCAGGACCCUCAUUCUGCUAAGUACAGGUUUGAAUUCUAGCUGAAUCAAUGAUGCAAAUUAUGUUCAUUGCUAUUUCUGCUGUUGUUUCUAUCAUUUUCAAUUGUUACCUCCCCUUGCCAUCUACUGCCACACUGCAAUGCCUACACAAAUGUUAUGAAAUUUGUCAAUGGCAAUGCCAUCCUGUUUGUCCAGAGACAGCUCUUAGAUGCAAGUGAACAAUUUUUGGCUUUGGCCGUAGUACAGCCUUAGAUUUCAACUUGCCAUAUCUUGUCUCGGAAGUCAAAAGAAAGCGUAUAUGUUAGCCAAAUUUUAUUUGAAUUUAUUAAGUAACAAUGAAUGGGUCAGAAAAACAGUUCCUCUUUUGUUUUGAUCAGACUCAAUGAAUAAGUGUUUAAAAUGUGCCUGUCCUAAAAAUAUAGAUGUGUGGUUUCACAAAAUUUUCUUGAUCUUAAGAAAGAGUUAUCUUGAAAAGAAGAUAACAUGGAGAAUUCAGCAACUAUACAGUCAUAUUGAUGUCUGUCAACUUGGGUCAGAUGGUGUCGUUUGGAUGGAGAUGUUAGGUCCCAGAUGGUAUGCUUGUUAUCAAAUUCCAGUCUAAUUCAUUCAUGCUUUGAUGACAUAUGCGGUGCAGCUUCUUAUCUAAGACCUGUAUAUGUUCAGUCAUCAUUCAGUUCUGUAUUUGGCUGUCAUUCUUUCAAUGAAUUCAAACCACUUUCUGAAUACUUGCAAGGGAAAUUAUCAUUCGUAUACCCUAUAUUUACUCUGUUAUCAAAAAUACUACAACACUUUGAGGGUGUAUCAAUCGUCCACCAUAAGUUGACAAAAUGUAUCAACCGACCACCAAACCGUUAAUUGUCGUUUGAAAGUUAACGGAAUUACAGUGAAUUGACGAUUUUACCCUUGAAAAUUAUCACUUGUAUACCCAUAAAAUUCUCUUUUUAGCACUUGUAUACCCUUAAAUUAUCACUUGUAUCAUAUGAAAAGACCAAAUUACCCUUCUGAUGUUAUCAUAUUUAAACGGCAACUAACGGUUUGGUGGUCGGCUGAUACAUUUUGUCAACUUAGGGUGGACGAUUGAUACACCCUCAAAGUGUUGUAGUAUUUUUGAUAAUUGAGUAAACUAAGGGUAUACAAGUGAUAAUUUCCCUACUUGCAAAUUCAUCCAGUGUUGUCAUUGAGAUGCCAAUAUGUAAAGGAGCAAUAGUUGCCCUUGAUAGUAUGCUUAUUGAUUGCCUCUUGCCUCACUCAGCCUAAGGAAUCUGGUUGUAUGGUGUUCUUGUAAUUUCAUUUGGAGAUAAGUAAUAUCUGUUGUUCAAAUGUAUUUUAUAUACAACCAGUUCAUAAUUCUGCUUGCAGAAAGCUUACAAAGGAGCUGUGUGAUGUAAUAGAAGACUACAGUCUGGUCAAUUUUUCAACUUUAGAUAUUCAGGUCAUCAGUUUCUCUUGAAUUCUUUCUUGAGUUUCUUUGAAUUAUUUGUGAAUAAGAUCUUAGUUGGCUGCUCCUCUUCAGGAUAAGGAAAGUGUGGCAAAACUCGUGAAGCUGAUAGAUGAAAGCAAUGGGUACAUCUAUGCUGGCAUGGAUGCCAGGGCAGUUGAAUUCAGCAAGAUUGCCGUUCGCGAUGUUGAUUGGGAUUAUUUCGGAUAUCCUUCUUUUCACCUAUUUUCAAUCUUGUUAUUCUCAUAUUCAUAAAACAUUUUGGUUAUUUAAUUAUGGUUCAUCAUAUGCAUCUGCAUCUUCUAACUUGUUCGUUUGAGAAACUAAUUUUGCCGUUAGGUAGGCUUCAAGCUUGAUUCAUGCUUUUUUCAAAAAUGUACCAAAAUCAUGGAAACUUCUUUUUCCCAGAUAUUGUAUCCACACUUUUCCCAUAUAAUUGGGUCAGACAAGUUUUGCUUAACAAAGAUAUCUACAGUAGCCGAAGUGCAGGAGAAGUACAUUAAGGAUGAUGACGAUGUUAACUAAAAUGGGACGUGAAGAUAUGUGGUGUGCAAACCGUAAGCCUGCCUCUUAUUUUUGUGCAUGUUUACUUGCUUGUGAUUCACGUUUGUUAAUCUAUUUUGCUCUCUUGCAGGAGUUAUAAAGUUUUCAAUCAAUCAAACAUUUAACUCAAGUCCUUAGCUCUUCACGGCUUGAAUGGGUCAGAUAGGACAAGCGCCGAAGAGGUGGUUUUAAUCAAACCCCUCCUAAUUAUGAUGUAUGGUCCAAAUCUCGGACUUUCUGUACAAUAUCGAGCGAUUCGGACCUUUCAAGUCGAAUAUUGAUUUUUCUCCAGUAUUGUUUGUAAUUACAAGAAACGAAGUAAUGAAAUUUAUCACUGCGUUCAUAGUUAUGCUUAAGCUCAAAGAUUACCGUCAAGAUCAUUUUGGGCCCUCAAAGAAACAUGAUGUUGACACAUGUAAAAUUAUGAAGCUUGUGAUUAAAAUACUUUUGACAUAUAUAUGUUAAGUACUAUUAAUAAUUAAACAUAUGAAUAAAUAUGGUCAAUGAGGAGAGGAUAAAAUAAAAUGGUUUCAUUUUUUGAAUUACUCAACCGCUUCAAACUUCUAAGAAGUAGAUAUACAAUGAGUGGAAUACUGAAUUGAGUGCGAGCUGCGGAUAACUUAUAAAAUUGGGAUGCAAGCUUCAAGGAAAGUGUAUUGCUAUUCAAAUGUAGAUUUCAAAUUAGGAAGAUAUGCCAGCAAAUUGUAUAAAAAUGUAUAAAUUGAUCAGUAACAUUAAUUCCAAAUGAUGAAAUGAGUUAUCUUGAUCAAAAGGUCAAGAACCUACCUUACUUCUCUUAGAGAUAACUUGCAUCAACCGUUGUGGUAUUCAUACUUGUCUUCAGCUAGUAAAAGUGAAAGUUUCACAAUUGAAAUAAAGCUAAGGGAAGAUGCUAUGCUGCAUUUAUUAUUAUUAUUAUUGAUGUGGUCGAGAAGUAAAGCCAUGCAUAUGAUGAAGUAUAAAUAAGAAUGCAAUAGCCCGGAAUUCAUUUUCACAAACACUUCAAUAUCCUUUUGAUCACUUUUGCAAACAUCAAUUUGUCUCCUCUUGUAUUCACCAUGGUUGAUGCCGUCAUUUCCCCUCUCGUGGAGCAGCUGACUUCCUUCGCUGCUAAAGAGAUAAUACAACAGGUGAUCGAAGUUAAACCCCCCAUAUUAUAAAUACUUCUAAUGAUUUUAAUUGGUUUUGUUUUUAUCGAAAACAUUAACUUUGCUUUAUUUUACUUAUUUAGGCAUUUUAAAUUUUGAAAUUUGAAUUGAAUUUAAUUAAAAUGUGAUGUAGUUAGUAACCACUUUUUUUUAUUUCAUUUAAAUUCUCAAUAACUACCUAUAUUUUGGUAACUUACUGUAACCCCCGUAUCUAAGAAAUGAUCAAAACCCACAAUUUUAACUCCACAUAAAUAUUCCAUGUUGAGCUAAGUUCGAUGUUGAGGUAAGUUUUUGCAUAACAUUCAAGUUUGUCAAAUAGUCAUUAAUUAAAUGUUUAGUAAAAACUUAUCUCUGAAAAAUUUCAUAAUUUUCUUACAUUCUUUGAGUUUGGUAAGUGACUUCAUAUAAUUUCCUUUCAAUUUAAAUUUUAAUUUGGUUUCUGAUAUAGUCUCUUUACUGAAUUUAUAUCUUUUAUGAUUCUUGGAUUUGGGGCUCCAACUUUUUAGGAUUUGAUAGUCACAUUUUAUGGCAUGCUUAGAUUGAUUUUCAUGAUUUUUAGUACUCGUUAAGUGACUGAGAAUUUGACAAAAGUUUGAAAGGAAAUCCGUUUCACGAUUCUUAUGUGGAAGGUUCAUAAAAUCAUUAAAUUUGGAUAGGAUUCAUUAGCAAUAUGUACAAGACUCUCCAUGAAGUUUCGUAAUUUUUCAUUCGGUCUGGGGUGGUACAGGUAAAGCUUGUGGUUGGUGUUGAAAAAGAAGUGAAAAGCCUUACCAGCCACCUUCAAGCCAUUCAAGCUGUUAGCGAUGAUGCAGAGGAAAAGCAAGUGAAGGACAAAGCUAUUAGACUUUGGCUGGGUAGGCUCAAGUACGCAUCCUACGACAUUGAAGAUGUGUUGGAUGAAUGGAUCACGGCAAGAGGCAAAUUGCAAAUUAAGGGUGGCGCUGAUAAGAAAAAGAAGGUUUGUUUCUGCUUUCCCGCCUCUUGUUUUGGAUUCAAACAAGUCUUUCUACGUCAUGACAUUGCCAACAAGAUCAAAGAAGUCAGUGAAGAGCUACAUGAUAUUGCCACCCAAAAAGACAUGUUUAAAUUUGAGAGUAGCAGUAAAAGUAGUGAAAGACCAAGGCGUGUGCAGAGUACCUCCUUGAUUGAUGAGGAAGAGAUUUGUGGUAGAGUUGGUGAGAGGAAUGCACUCUUAAGCAUGCUGUUGUGUGAGAGCAGUGAGCAACAAAAAGGCCUUCAUAUCAUCUCAAUUGUUGGUAUGGGAGGCAUCGGGAAAACAACUCUUGCACAACUAGCAUGUAAUCAUGUUGAGGUAAAGAGAGAGUUUGACAAAAUUUUAUGGGUGUGUGUAUCAGAAACUUUUGACGAGUUUAGGAUUGCCAAAGCGAUGCUUGAAGCUUUGACUGGUUCAACUUCUAAUUUAGAUGCAUUGCAAUCUCUUCUUAUAAGUAUUGAUGAAUCUAUUGCGGGAAAGAGAUUUCUUCUUGUCUUAGAUGACGUGUGGGACGGAGAUUACAUUAAAUGGGAACCAUUCUACCGUUGCCUAAAGAAAGGUCUCCAUGGAAGUAAAAUUUUAAUUACGACACGUAAGGAGUCAAUUGUGAGCAUGAUGAGAUCCACAGAUAUUAUCUCUAUCAAGGAAUUGGCUGAAGAAGAAUGUUGGGCAUUGUUUAAGCGGUUAGCAUUUUUCGGUCGUUCCACUGAGGAGUGUGAAAAAUUGGAACAAACUGGUCAAAGAAUUGCAAGAAAGUGUAAAGGUUUACCUCUUGCUGCAAAGACAAUGGGAAGUCUCAUGAGCUCUAAAAAAAUUGAAGAAGAGUGGAAAAGAAUUUUAAAUAGUGAUUUAUGGAAGGUAGAAGAGAUCGAGAAAGGUGUUCUAACCCCUUUGUGGUUGAGUUAUAACGAUUUGCCAUCUAGAGUAAAAAGAUGUUUCUCGUAUUGUGCUGUCUUUCCAAAAGACUACAAUAUAGAAAAAGACAAACUAAUUACUUUGUGGAUGGCUCAAGGUUAUCUUAGUGCAGAAGCAGCAGAACAAGAUGAGGAGUUGGAGACUAUAGGUGAAGAGUAUUUUGGCAUCUUAGCUUCUCGCUCUUUCUUUCAAGAGUUUGAGAAACGUUAUGAUAAUCGUAUUAUAGCGUGCAAGAUGCAUGAUAUGGUACAUGAUUUUGCCCAAUUUGUUAGUCAAAAUGAAUGUUUUUCGUUGGAAGUUAAUGGUAGUGAGGAACUAAACGUCACAAACUCUACAAACUCUCUUGAUGAGAAGGUCCGUCAUUUAAUGUUAAUCUUUAGUAAAGGGGCUUCAUUACCGGUUUCCACUCUUAGAGUUAAAAGAAUGCGUACCCUCUUAAUUAACGAUAGUAGAUCUGAUCAUUCAUUAUUAAAUGGUGAGAUCCUAGAAGAAUUAUUUAGGGAGUUGACAAGUUUAAGGGCAUUAGAUUUUGGCAAAUCGUAUAACUCAAGUUGGUAUUCGACUCUGGAGAUUCCGAGAAACAUAGAAAAGCUGGUACAUUUAAGAUACCUUAAUUUGUUUUAUCAGGGAAUAAAGAAACUACCGGAGACAUUAUGCGAGUUGUAUAAUCUAGAAAAGUUAGAUAUUAGUUUAUGUUUUAAUCUUAAAGAAUUACCUGAAGGGAUUGGGAAGUUAAUAAACAUGAAGCAUUUACGAAAUAGAGGUACUAGUUCUUUAAGGUACAUGCCAGUAGGGAUUGGGAGAUUAACGGGUCUCAGGACCUUGGAUGAGUUCCACGUGAGUGGAGGAGGAGGUGUUGAUUGUAGGAAAGCAUGUAGGCUUGAAUCUCUCAAAAACUUGGAAAACCUUCGAGUGUGUGGUAUAUGUAGACUGGGUGAUGUAUCAGAAGUGGGCGAGGCUAAGCGAUUAGAACUUGACAAAAAGAAAUACCUCUCUUGUUUGAGACUUCGGUUUGAUAAGAAGAAAGAAGAAGGAGAAAGGAGGAAGAACGAGUACGAUCAACUUCUUCUUGAAGCCCUACAACCACCUCUCAAUUUAAAGGAAUUAGAGAUAGAGUACUACCGAGGCAACACUGUUUUCCCCAGCUGGAUGACGUCAUUAACCAACUUAAAGAGUUUAGAUCUCUCUUCCUGUGAAAAUUGCGAGCAGCUGCCUCCUUUGGGAAAAUUGCCAUCCCUUGAAAAUCUCCACAUAUAUCGCAUGGAGAGUGUGAAAAGAGUGGGUGAUGAAUUUUUGGGGAUAGAAAGUGAUCAUCAUGGCUCAUCUUCAUCGGUUAUUAUUGCCUUCCCCAAAUUGAAAUCACUCACAAUUUCUUUGAUGCUGGAAUUGGAGGAGUGGGAUUAUGGGAUUACAAGAACGGGAAACACCGUCAUCAUCAUCAUGCCACGUCUUUCUUCCUUGACAAUUGGGAAUAGUCCCAAAUUAAAGGCACUGCCCAACCACAUUCAUCAAACGACAACAUUGAAGACAUUGCGCAUUUGGAGGUGUGACCUUCUGGAAGAACGUUACCGCAAGGGGGAAGGAGAAGACUGGCCUAAGAUAUCACACAUUCCCAAUCUCCAUUUUGGGCUUUGACAAGUAAUUUCUUCUCUUACUCUGAUUUGCUUUGUUGUUGUUUUUAAUCUAAUUAAGAAGCGUAAAUAGCAUUUUGAAUCAAACUCUAUAUCAGAAAUCUGCAAUACUUACUUUCUAAUAUUCUGAUUUUCAUAUCCUAUGAAUAUACGAUUUUUAAUUUGUGGGAUGGGUAACGUUACUGUAAAAGAUUAUUAAUGCAAUAUGAGUAAUUCUUUUGCAGGACAAGUGGCCUACAUUUAGUUUGGCUUUGGAGUUGAAUAAUAACCUUUCGAGGUCCCGACAACCAAAAAACGAAACUUAAUUUGCCACAGAUUGCACGUAUUGCCAUUAUUGACAAUUUUCUGCACAAGCUUAGGUUGAUGUCAAAAGAGGUAAAUUAUUGGCAUGCCUGACUAUUUUGACCAUUACAUGAUUCAUAAGUUUACAUUAAUUUUGAUUUUGAGUUGAGUGAUUAAUUUUCUAGGUUUGCUUACUUUAACUGGGUGACCAAUUUCUUGUAACCAAAUGUAUGAUGUGAUGCAGGAAGCAGGGCAGGACAUGAAAAGAGAAGCUUAUUAGAGGAAGGAUUGCCAGUAACAGAAUCCAAAGAAAAAGAAACCAUUUCGAGGCAGCAGUUGGCAGUUGGCAGUGAAUGGAGCCCCUUGAAAAAACCCCCAAGCGGUUGCACUGCAAUUACGAUCAUCCUCGGCCUCAGGUAAUUUCUUCUCCUGCAUUUUUGUUAUUUGCUAUCAAGUGACUAUUUUAAGUAUGAUUGCAUUAAGCUGCUGCUGGGAAAUUUGAGGUUUUGAUGACUGCCCAUGCUAUUGUAAGAAGCUGCGGUUCUUUUCAUCAGCCUGAACCUGGACCUGCCGCUAUGGAUAACUCAGUUUUUCUUUUUUUUAAUCAACUGCCAUCUUUUCCACUGUUUAGAAACUCUUUAAGAUUAAACUUUAGUAAAGUUGUUUUAGUUAUUCAUGUAAUCAGGCUGAGGAUACUUAGCUGCCUAUUUAGGCAAAUGUCAGAAUUUAGUUUGUUCGCUGGGUACUGGUGGGGACUGGCAAAGGAUGAUGAGAUAGUUUUUUGAGUGAGUAAAUUUUGGGAGCUUGAGUGUAUUGGGAUUUGCAAUUACAAUCAUCGUCUGCCUCAGGUGAUUCUUUUUCCUGCUCUGUCAUUGUUUGUUCUCUAAUUCAAAAGCAUAAAAUAUUUCAAUCAAUUUUUAUGCCAGGAAUAUGCAAAAGUUUCUAAUAUUUUAUUUCCAUCUGUUACAAGAUCAAACUGAAGCAGAACUCAAACAAAAGUAUGCUACUUCUUGCGGAAAUCUUGCCUUUGUUCAGAUUAUGAAACCAUUUCCAUGCAGCAAAUUCAUCCAAAAGUUUGAAUAAGUUUCACGGUUGGACACUGUUGGCUUCUUUUUCUUCUGGGGUGCAUUUAGGUGCUAUCAAGUGACAGCUGUAAGUAUGAUUGCACUAAGCUGCUGCUGGGAAAUUUGAGGUUUUGAUGGCUGCCCAUGUUAUUUUCAAUAAACUAUUGAUGUAAGAAGCUGUGGUUCUUUUCAUCAGCUUGAACCUGAAACUGUCGCUAUGGAUAACUCAGGUUUUUGUUAUCAACUAUAUCAUCUUUUUCACUAUUUUGAAACUCUUAAGAUUAAACUUUAGUAAAGUUGUUUCAGCUAUUCAAAUGAAAAACUCAUUGAUUUGAGAAUUCCUUCAUUAUUGUUUCUAAUUACAAUGCUAACGAUCCAGAUAAAAUAAUAUUUAAUCGGCGAAGGUGUCCCUUGGAAGUACAUCCUUCUUUUUCUUUUAUUAUAUCAAUUCUUGCAAUGAGCUUAGUGAAGCUGUUGUGCUAAUCAUGCCACUGCAUAAUUUGGCCCCUAAUGUGGGUACUCUGUUACAUUGUUCUGCAAAUUCUCCAGAAGUUAAAAUCAAUAAAUUUUCUAUUAGCUCUAGUGCUUUGACCUAAAUGCUAUUCUAUAUUCUGAUUACAAUGUUUUAACCUUUAAAUUAACUACCCCUAGAUGUUGGAUUUUCUAGAACUUCAAAAUGAUUAAUGGAGAAAGAUCCCAUUAUCGUUAUUGCUAUAAGAAAUUGAUUUAUGCAUCCAAAGAUACAUUAUAUAUUUCUGUGUCUCUAUUUAUAGAUGACAUUUAAGCAUCCAUAAACCGUCAGACAGAGGAAGGGGGUUCAGUGCAAAGAUUCUGUUGACCUAGGGUUGACUGCAUAUGUCACUUGUUCGCAAUCUAUUAUUUAUUUUAUAUUUUGAAGAAUUUAAUGGGUAAUCCUAAUUGUUUGUUUUGGCAGGUAUGUGUUGUUAUCUCCUUCUAUCUAACAGUCGUACCUAAAUAGCAUAGUUUCAUCUGUGUUACCAUGUGAUGUACAUAAUUUCACAUUUGCCUCAGAUUAAGCUUAAUUUCCCACAGAAUAGAGCUGUCGCGACUGGACUUAGGUUGAUGUCCAAAGAGGUAAAUUAUUGGUAUGCCUAGAUAAUUUGGCCAUUUCCUAAUUCAUAAGUCUACAUUAAUUUUGAUUUUGAGUUGACUGAUUUCUUUUCAAGGUCUGCUUCCUUAACGGAGUGACCAAUGUUUUUCAACUAAAUUUAUCAUAUGAUGCAGGAAGCAGGGCAGGAUAUGCAAUGAGAAUCUCAUUGGUGGAAGUAUUGCCAGUAACAGAACCCAAAGAAAAUGAAACUGUUUCAAGGCAGCAGUUGGCAGUUGCAAGUGAAUGGAGGCCCUUGACAAAAUUCUCAAGCGGUUGCAAUGCAAUUACGAUCAUCCUCAGCCUCAGGUAAUUUCUUCUCCUGCUUUGUAUUUAUUUGUUAUCUAAUUAGGAAGCGUAAAGUAUCUUGAAUCAUUUUCUGUAUCUGGAAUAUAUGCAAGAGUUUCUAAAAUUUUGAUAUGAGUGUGAUGAUGGUAAUUUCUGUUUUCUGUCUGUCUUCAAAUGUUAGAAAACUUUCAUUGAGACGCUUGAACCGAGUCAUUUUUGACAAGUGAAGUGCUGAAGAGUGAAGAGUAAGAAUGGUGCUAGAUUGGGGAAUAAAGCAAAAGGAGGUAAAUUAUUGGCAGCUUCUUCAGCCUUAUUUUCUUUGGACCAGUGCCUAACUCACAAGUCUCCAUAAUUCGGCUUUUGACCAGUUGAUAGAUAAAAUUUUAAUUUCAUUGGUGCUAAUGUACCCGUGAAGCAGGCAGAGAAGGACUGUGGAAAAGAGAAGGUUUUUAGUGAAAGCUUAAACUCAGGUAAUUCUAAAAAUUAUAUGUUUUGGCUGAUUUAUCUAAAUCAGGAAAUUUUAUUUCCAUCUGUUACAAUAAAACAGAAACAGAACACAAAGAAAAAUAUUCUACUUCUUGUGGCAAUCUUGCCUUCAUUCAGACUAUGAAACCAUUUCCUUUCACCAAUUUCUUCCAAAAUUUUGAACACGUUUCAUGGUUGGACAUAGUUAUCUUCUUUUUCUUUUGGUGCAUUUAGGUACUAUCAAGUGACAGCCAUAAGUAUGAUUGCAUUGUUGGGAAAUUUUAGGUUUUGAUGGCUCCCCAUGUUAUUGCCAAGAAAUUUUAAGUCCUCAUGUCAGAAGCUGCGUUUCUUUUCAUCAGCCUGAACCCGAACCUGUCACUAUGGAUAACUGAGGUUUUUGUCAUCAACUAUAUCAUCUUUUUCACUGUUUUGAAACUCUUAAGAUUAAACUGUUGAGAAGUCAAUAUUAGCCCAAAUAAGUCCACACCUAAAUUAAUUUGAUGUCAUUGCUUACAUCAAUUUAGUUAGGUGAAUAUUAGCCCAAAUAAGUCCACACCUAAAUUAAUUUGAUGUCAUUGCUUACAUCAAUUUAGUUAGGUGAAAAUUAGGUAUUUUUCCCAUGUUUAAUUUCAAUGGUUUAAAUUAGUUUGUGGUUAUUUUAAUGAGUGGUUUAGAUUGUUUCUUGUAACCUAUAAAUACCUCAUUUGUAUUUGAGUUUUAUUAUUCAACAAUAAAAAGCUUUAUUAUAAGCAUUUGAAAGCUUUCUUAAGAGUUCUUCUCUUUUUGCAAUUUUGUGAGAUUAUUCUAAAGAGAGUUUUUCUUCUUCUUGAUCAAUUAGAGUUUUUACUCUAUUUUGAUUCAACAUUUGGUAUCAGAGCAUUGGUUGUAAAGUCUCUUGAAAUUCCGAGUAUGCUCUGUGGUUGCAGUUUUGACUGAUCUUCCACAUCAGAAAAGAUUUCUUGAGAUUAUUGCUGGGGUUAUCACAAACCUUGAGAGGGAGCUUCUUUGUGUCAAGAGUAGUGUAUUAUUCUGCACGGUAGUCACUCAAGAUUGUUCGGUGUAGUCAAAGUCUUGUCGAUACGAUGGGUGAUCUUCAAGUUGUUGGAGGAAUCAAGAAGCUCAACAACCAAAACUAUAACACGUGGGCAACGUGUAUAGAAUCUUACCUUCAAGGUCAAGACUUGUGGGAGGUUGUCGGUGGUAGUGAAGUUACACAACCGGCAGCGGAAGAUGCUAACGGCGUCUUGCGGAAGUGGAAAAUUAAAGCAGGCAAAGCAAUGUUUGCUUUAAAGACCACAAUAGAAGAAGAAAUGUUGGAGCACAUUCGGGAUGCUAAAUCACCGAAGGAAGCGUGGGACACCUUCGCUACACUCUUUUCGAAGAGGAACGAUACAAAAUUGCAACUUCUCGAGAAUGAACUUCUAUCAAUGGUGCAACGCGACAUGGCGGUUGCCCAAUACUUUCACAAGGUGAAGUCGAUAUGCCGUGAAAUUUCAGAAUUAGAUCCGACAGCUGCUAUUGGGGAAGCCAGGAUAAAAAGAAUAAUUGUCCAUGGCUUGAGACCCGAAUACCGAAGCUUUGUAGCCGCUGUACAAGGAUGGCCGACACAACCAUCACUUGUUGAGUUUGAAAAUUUGCUGACAGGCCAAGAAACUAUGGCCAAGAAAAUGGGAGGAGUCUCACUAAAGGGUGAAGAGGAAGCGCUUUACACCAACCAAAGCAGAGGUGGUUCAAGACAGCACAACAAAGGCGGAUCUAGAAAGACUGGUGAACAGACAAAAAGUCAUCAGGGAGGGAAUGGCUCUCGUCCAGGGGGAGCUUCGAAGAAUCGUGACAGUAAUAGAAAGUUCGAUGGCGAAUGUUACAAUUGCGGGAAGAAGGGCCACAUGAAGAGAGAUUGUUGGUCCAAAAAGAAGUCUACCGAAAGCAAUAUUGCUACUUCUAGUUCUAAAGAAGAUAGUGAAGAUAGCUGGGAUGCCGAAGCAUUACUCGCUAUGGAGGAAGAAGAAUUAGCUCUCACGGUAACAACACCAGAAAAGAUUAACUACGAGAAUGAUUGGAUCGUAGACUCAGGCUGCUCAAAUCACAUGACGGGUGAUAGACAGAAGUUGCAAAACUGUUCUGAGUACAAGGGAAAUCGUGUGGUGGUAACAGCUGACAACUCAAGGUUACCGAUAGCUCACAUCGGUAAAGCGAUCGUUACACCUCGAUAUAGUCCCAACCAAGUGCCACUUCAAGAUGUCUACCAUGUUCCAGGAAUGAAGAAAAAUUUGCUAUCCGUAGCUCAAUUGACAUCAUCAGGCCACUAUGUCUUGUUUGGUCCACAAAAUGUGAAGGUAUUUCGAGACCUGAAGAUCUCAGAAAACCCUACGAUGGAGGGACGACGAUUGGAGUCAGUUUAUGUGAUGUCAGCUGAGUCUGCAUACGUAGACAAGACAAGAAGGAAUGAGACGGCAGAUCUGUGGCACAUGCGGCUAGGUCAUGUUAGUUAUUCCAAGCUAAGUGUGAUGGUGAAGAAGUCGAUGCUUAAGGGACUUCCACAACUUGACGUGAGAACAAAUACUGUUUGCGCGGGAUGUCAAUAUGGUAAAGCACAUCAAUUGCCAUACGAGGAGUCGAAGUUUAAAGCAAAGAAACCAUUAGAGUUAAUUCACUCUGAUGUGUUUGGACCAGUUAAGCAACCAUCAAUUGGCGGAAUGCGGUAUAUGGUUACGUUCAUUGAUGAUUUCUCCAGAUAUGUAUGGGCUUUCUUCAUGAAAGAAAAAUCUGAAGCAUUCUCAAAGUUCAAAGAGUUCAAAGAGAUAGUCGAAGGAGAAGUGGAGCAAAAGAUUCGUUGCUUGCGCACAGACAACGGGGGUGAGUAUAGCUCGAGAGAGUUUUCUCAAUACCUACGGGAAUGCCAAAUACGUCAUCAGUAUACUUGUGCCAAUACGCCACAACAAAAUGGUGUAGCAGAGAGGAAGAAUCGGCACCUUGCUGAAAUUUGCCGGAGUAUGCUACAUGCGAAGAAUGUACCUGGAAGAUUUUGGGCCGAAGGUAUGAGAACUGCAGCUCAUGUCAUCAACAAGCUUCCUCAACCAAGGUUGGAGUUUGUUUCACCCUUUGAGAAAUUGUGGAACAAGAAACCUACAGUUAGCUAUUUUCGAGUAUUCGGUUGUGUAUGCUAUGUAUUUGUUCCUGACCAUCUACGUAGCAAGAUCGAUAAGAAAGCAGUCAGAUGUAUCUUUGUGGGAUACGACAAUCAGCGAAAAGGGUGGAAGUGUUGUGAUCCAGUAGAUGGAAGGUGCUACACAUCACGAGAUGUGGUGUUUGAUGAAGCAUCCUCAUGGUGGACCUCAGAAAAAGAAGUGCUGCCAGACUCGAAAGAAUUCGGAGACAUGCUACAACAAAAGAUGGGGGAGCAUACUGUCCAAAUUCAUCUAAGCUCAGCUGGGGAUCUAUGCGAUAGUGAUAGCGAACGAAGAGUAACUCUAAAUCCUUGGCAAUCUGGGGUGUAUCGACAACCAGAUGAAGAAGGUGUGCCUAGUGAAACAGAAGAAUCAACUCCAUUACGAAGGUCAACAAGAACCCGAAGGCCAAAUCCCAAAUACGCUAAUGCAGCCAUAGUUGAAGAAGCAACUGGAAUAGAACCUGAGACGUUCGAAGAAGCGUCACAGAGUUCUGAGUGGAUGACAGCUAUGAAAGACGAGAUCACUGCACUUGAGCAAAAUCAGACCUGGGAACUCGUGCCAAAGCCAAAAGAUGUGAAACCCAUAUCCUGCAGAUGGGUUUACAAAAUAAAGCACUGUCCAGAUGGGUCAAUCGAGAGGUACAAGGCUCGAUUGGUAGCUCGUGGUUUCUCUCAACAAUAUGGACUAGAUUAUGACGAAACGUUUAGUCCAGUGGCAAAACUUACAACCGUCCGAGUCUUACUUGCACUUGCAGCCAACAAAAGCUGGAACUUGUGGCAGAUGGACGUGAAGAAUGCCUUUCUCCAUGGAGAGCUGGAUAGAGAGAUCUACAUGAUUCAACCGAUGGGUUUUCAGAACCGAGGUCACCCUGAGUAUGUGUGUAAACUGCGAAAGGCUCUCUACGGACUAAAACAAGCACCCAGGGCGUGGUAUGGCAAGAUUGCUGAAUUUCUAACUCAAAGUGGGUAUUCAGUAACAUCUGCAGACUCCAGCUUGUUUGCUAAAGCUAAUGGAGAAAGGAUAGCUAUUGUGCUCGUGUACGUAGAUGAUCUAAUCAUCACUGGAGAUGAUGUUGAAGAAAUUUUCCGAACAAAGGAGAACUUGUCAGUUCGUUUUCAAAUGAAAGAACUUGGACAACUUAAGCAUUUCCUUGGGCUAGAGGUUGAUCAGACGAAAGAAGGGAUAUUUCUUUGUCAACAGAAAUAUGCCAAAGAUUUGUUGAAGAAGUUUGGGAUGCUAGAAUGUAAGCCGAUCUCAACACCGAUGGAACCAAAUGCCAAGAUGUGUGCACAUGAAGGCAAAGACCUGGAAGAUGCAUCGAUGUAUCGACAAUUAGUGGGUAGUCUAAUCUACUUAACCUUGACUCGACCUGACAUUUCUUAUGCAGUUGGCGUGAUGAGUCGAUACAUGCAAAAUCCGAAGAAGUCUCAUUUAGAAGCGGUUCGGCGAGUACUCAGAUAUGUGAAGAGUACAAUAGACUAUGGUCUUUUAUACAAGAAAGGUGGAAAUUGCAAACUAGUUGGCUACUGUGAUGCUGACUAUGCAGGAGAUCACGAUACUCGCAGAUCAACUACUGGGUAUAUGUUUACCCUUGGAUCUGGAACGAUUUCUUGGUGUAGCAAGAGACAACCGACUGUGUCCAUGUCAACUACGGAAGCAGAGUAUCGAGCAGCAGCAAUGGCAGCUCAAGAAAGCACGUGGCUGAUACAACUAAUGAAUGAUCUACAUCAACCACUAGAUUAUACAGUUCUGUUGUACUGUGACAACCAAUCGGCAAUUCGGCUGGCGGAGAAUCCUGUUUUUCAUGCAAGAACUAAACAUGUGGAAGUGCAUUACCACUUUGUUAGGGAAAAAGUUCUGCAAGAAGAGAUUGAGAUGAGGCAAGUCAAGACAGAUGAACAAAUUGCUGACUUGUUUACAAAAAGCUUGAGUGUUGGAAAGUUUGAACAUUUCCGUCGUCAGCUUGGCAUGAUUCAAAGAAUGGGGGCUAACAUUGAGGGGGAGUGUUGAGAAGUCAAUAUUAGCCCAAAUAAGUCCACACCUAAAUUAAUUUGAUGUCAUUGCUUACAUCAAUUUAGUUAGGUGAAUAUUAGCCCAAAUAAGUCCACACCUAAAUUAAUUUGAUGUCAUUGCUUACAUCAAUUUAGUUAGGUGAAAAUUAGGUAUUUUUCCCAUGUUUAAUUUCAAUGGUUUAAAUUAGUUUGUGGUUAUUUUAAUGAGUGGUUUAGAUUGUUUCUUGUAACCUAUAAAUACCUCAUUUGUAUUUGAGUUUUAUUAUUCAACAAUAAAAAGCUUUAUUAUAAGCAUUUGAAAGCUUUCUUAAGAGUUCUUCUCUUUUUGCAAUUUUGUGAGAUUAUUCUAAAGAGAGUUUUUCUUCUUCUUGAUCAAUUAGAGUUUUUACUCUAUUUUGAUUCAACAUAAACUUCAGUAAAGUUGUUUCAGUUAUCUAUGUAAUCAGGCUAAGGAUAUUUAGCAGCUUAUUUAGGCAACUGCCAGAAUUCAGUUUGUUCGCUCGAAACUUGUAUGGUGACAAGGAUACUGGCAAGGAUAGUGAGAUAGUUUUUUGUGCGAGUGAAUUUUGAAAGCUUGGGUGUUCUGGGAUUUGCAAUUGCAAUCAUCCUCUGCUUUAGGUGAUUUCUUCUCCUCUUCUGUCUUUAUUUUCUCUCUAAUUGAAAGCAUAAAGUAUUUCAAUCAAAUUCUGUACCAGGAAUACGAAAAAUUUACUAAUAUUUUAUUUCCAUCUGUUUGCAUUGAUAACUUGGCCGCUUAUGUACUAGUUAAAGAACAAACAGAAGCAGAGUUCAGGAAAAAGUUUCUUCGGCCACCAUAUUUUAAAAUGAAACCAUUUCCAGGAAGCAGUUGGCAGCAAAUUCAUAGAAAGUAUAGACAAUGAUGAGCAAAAAGGUGAUUCGCAAUUUCAUUUUUUUAAAAUGAAAUUAUUUGUUAAGUUGGAGCUGAUAUUGUUAGAAGGCCAUUGAGCUAACCUAUGACACUGCUUGCCUAGAUUGCAGGAGGUCAAGACUCAAAAGAUGCACUGAAUUUUAAAAGGCAUGCAAUAAUUCUUAUGGCCAUUUGUCAAUGGUGGAAUGCUUUUAGCUUCUUUUCCUUUCGUGCAUUUUGGGGUUCUAUCAAGCGACAGCCGUAUGUAUGGACGGAUAUAGCUGCUGCGUUGAUUUCUAAUGCGUUGUAUGAUGUUAUAGCAACUAUCUAUCUGGUCAAUGUUUCAAAAGAAUAAGACACAGGGAAAAAGAGAAAGCAAGUGGCCAAUCAAGUAUUCAUGUCCCAAAGAAAAGAAUGAUUCGACAAUAGCAUUAAGGGUUAAUUGGACACAACAGAAGUGUUUUAACCACUUCAAGGAAUGUAAAUGUAAUUUUCCAUUCUAAAGAAAAAGUAAAUAUAUGCACUGUCAAUUAAUCUUUGGUCAACCAGCAACAUUCAUAAUUUCGUGUAAGUUUCAUUUCUGUUUGUUGGAAAUAGCAGUGUAUUUCUGAGAGUUUGUUCAAAAUGGAAAGAUUUUAAAAUAUAAAUUUCACAUCUGUUUAUUACUGUUGUUUGGUCUAAUUUCUUAUGUAGAAUUUUCAGAAUCUGUCGGACAUUAGUUUAUAAUUUUGAGAUUUUGCAGCCAUAAAUUUUUUUUUUUUUUGGUUGCCAUUUUAUUUUGCUCCUUUAUCUAUGUGCAUGUUGACUGGCUGCAGUGAGUGAAAAUUUACCCAUAUUUGCUGGCUAUUCUUGGACAAUAUUAGAGAAAAUAAUCAUAUUAUUUCGCGUGAAGUGAACUUCCAUAACUUAUCAAUUGAAUUGCUGUAAAAUAUUAAAUAGUUUUAUUUUUCUUUUAUCGUGUAACUUGGACCAAAAAAGGAAAUGAGUUUAACAUGACCCUCAUUCCGGCACUAUGCAUGUUUUUCUUGUAUUGAUGACAGUGCUCUUGGUGCUUCUCAUCUGCUUCUUGCUUUGGUUUCAAACAAGUCUUUCUCCGUCGAGACAUUUAUUGUAAUUUCAUUUGGAGACAUAUAUCUGUCGUUCAAAUAUAUUUCAUAUGCAAGCUGUUAAUAAUUCUGCUUGCAGAAAGCCUACAAAGCAGCUGUGUGAUGUAAUAGAAGACCAUAGUCUGGUCAAUUUUUCAGCAUUAGAUAUUCAGGUCAUCAGCUUCUCAUGAAUUCUUUCCUGAGUUUCUUUGAAUUAUUUGUGAUGUAAUAACUUGUGCAUUUGAGAAACUGUUCUCUUGAAUUCUUUCUUGAGUUUCUUUGAAUUAUUUGUGAAUAAGUUGUUAAUCGGCUGCUUCUCUUCAGGAUAAGGAAAGUGUUGCAAACUGGUGAAGCAGCUGAUAGAUAAAAGCAAUGGGUACAUCUUUGCUGGCAUGGAUCGAUGCCAGUGCGGUUGAAUUCAGCAAGACUGCCGUUCGUGAUGUUGUUGAUUGGGAUUAUUUUCAACCUUAUGAUUCUCAUAUCCAUAGAACCUUUUGGUUAUUUAAUCAUAUUUCAUCGUAUGCAUCCGCAUCUUCAUGUGCGUUUGAGAAACUGUUUUGCGGUUAGGCAGGUUUCAAUCUUGAUUCAUGCGUCUUUCAUAAAUGUACAAAAUUAUGGAAACUUCUUUUUCCCAGAUAUUAUAUCUGCACUUAUUCCCAUGUAAUCGAGUCAGACAAGUUUUGCUUAACAAAGAUGUCUACAGUCGCUGAAGUGCAGGAGGAGUACAUUAAGGGUGAUGACAACAUUGAUUAACCCAACCCAACCUGUAAAAAAUCACACCGGUUAGGUUGGUUUCACGGAUUGGGCGGGUUGGUGCCCACCCAUAAAUAUAACCUCCAUUUCAGUACAAUGCAUGUUAAUUGUUCUCCAAGGACUUCUCUUGUUUCCCAUUCCCAACCUCCAUGCUCUCGAGAGGAAUUUGGCACCCAUCAAUUUUUAUUUUUGAAAACUCGUAAUGGUCUGAUAAAAUUAAACAACAUCAAUAACGUUACCAGUCUUUAAAUAGUAAUUAAUUUAUUUAAUUUGCCACCUAAAAGAAUCCUGCUGGAAAUAGAGGUUAAAAAUUUUAUUAGAUCUGCUUACCUUUGUUCAUUCAGCAAAAACACUUACAAUUCAUAGCUAGAGAAUCUAUCCAUUGACAAUUGUGGAUUAAAAUUAUAACACCUGAAUUCAAACAUAUCCUUAUGAAGUUAUGAAUUUGUUCAUACUUCAAAUGAUUUUUUUUUCCCCAAGCUAAUAAAGCGACCACUUUGAUCAAACAACGAUGUUGAAGGAAUUGCGUAUUUUCAAUGUCCUUUUCCAGACAGACGUUCGAGAGAGGGAAAGGAGAAGACUGGCCUAAUUAAGAUAUCUCACAAAGAUUAUUAUUGAGUUAAAAUGUUAUUGUAAAAGAUGUUUAAUACAAUAAUAGUACUUCUUUUGCAUUGUUAUAAUGAGGCUGGUGGGUUUCCUCAGAGGAUGGAUCUGGCUCGCUAGUAUGCAUUUGGGAAGCUGCUAAUUAUCGGCCAUAAAAAGUCAGGGGGUUGUGGCUGUUCCGUCGCCCAGAAAUUCCUAAACUCAUAUAUCAAAUUUCGGAUGAACUUGGGCAUUAUGUAAAUAUGUAUUUUUGAGAAUUAAACUAGUGCGUUAGAAAAAUUUUGAGCCACUGUAAUCAUUUGAUUUUGCUAAGAGAAAAUUUUACUCUGUGUUUCGCUUUGCCUUUUGUUUUUUCUGUGAUAAUAUGAUUCAUACGAAUGUGAUUACACACUAUCAUGCAUCUAUUUUCAUUUGCUUGUCAUGAAUGAUCAACAUGCUCGAAAUAUUUAUAUAGGUUGGAAAUAUUUAAAUCUAUUAAAAUACUAUACACACCCAUUUUAAAAUAAAAAUAUGAUUAUUAUAAUGAUCGCGAAGGUAACACGAUAUCAUAAAUAAAAUAAAAUAUUUCGCAAAAAAGAUAAGAUACGCUUGAAUACAUUGGUAUAAAAAAUAUUUUAGUGGAUUCAAGUAGCACUAAUGCUCCCUUAUCAAAAAAUAUAUAAAGAUAACUAAUCUGAUUGGGUAUACCGUGUGUGUGUGUGUAAUAUUUUUUGAUAUUAUUAUAUAAUAUUUUUUAAAAAGAAGAGAGAGUGGGCAAAGUUCAAAUCAAUUUUCUAAUCCCUAUCUCCUUUAGGAUUUAAACUUCGGUGUUUAGUGUCACGGGUCGCUCAAAUUUUCUAGUCAAAGAGGCUAAAUUGCACGAAAUUGUGCUAGCUUAUUUGAUUUUAAAAUUUUCCAAUGCACUGUAACACACUCUCAUGCUUGUACAUAGCUCGAAAAUCUCUAGAAUUUACCAGAGUAGUGUAGCAUGUAGCUUGUACAUAGGUUUUUCUGGAACACUCCAAGCAUUACUAAGCAUAAGAGCUUUGAGAACUCUCUAGACAUAAAACAUUCAAGGGUAGGCCUGCCCUAAAAAUAGGGCAUGAUGAUUGCCAUUUGAGCAUACAAGAAGUAAGAACAAAUCAAGUAUAUUUGUAAGCUCCCAAACUCUCUCGUACACACUCCUGUGAAUAUUAUGCUUUCUCUUUGACUAUAUUACUCUCUCUUCUCUCUAGUUUUUUUUCGCAAGUAUCAUAUCUUAGCUAGUCGAAAAGUUCAAGUAAGAAUGAUAAUUUUUCCUGAUGGGAUGGGAUGGGAUGGGAUCCUGUGGGAUCCCAUCUCAUUUAGGACGGGAUUGGGAUACAUUUUUAUCCCAUAAAAAAAUAUAGGGACGGGAGUAGAACUUUUUUUAUCCCACUUGUAUCUAUGGGACAGGACUGAGAUUAACAAAUCCAGUCUCGUCACGUCUCGUCUCAUUGCCAACUAGGGAUGGAAAUUUUUCCAAUUGAGAUGGGCUCUCACAGAAUCCCAUUUUUUUGGGGAUGCGAUUGAGACAUAUUUUUAUCCCAAAAAAAUAUAUCGACAGUGACACUUUUUUUUAUCCCACUUGCAUAUUCGGGACGAGACUGAGAUUAGUAAAUCCCACUCUAUCCCAUCACAUUGCCAACCCUAAGUUCAAGGCUUACUUUGCAACUAUCUCAUAAAAGUUGUUUUAAGUACCACAGGAGUUUGUUGUGCAAAAUACUCAUCCCGUGACAUUAGCUAAAUAAAAUUGUUUGAAAGCCACUUACCCAAACUAUUAAACAAAUAUUAUUCUUUUAAUAUGCAAUCUUUUAAUAUAAACUUUUGUCUUAAUUUUCUAUCUCCUACAAUAAAUUUUAUGAUUUUAAAAAUUGAAAAAAUUAAUAACUUUUAGAUAGAGCAUUCCUUACUGUUAAAAGAAAUAUGAAUGGUAAUAUAAAACUUACUUAUUAUAGUAUAAUGCUUUUAGUUUUUUGAAAUAAGGUUCUUAUUUUUUUCAAGAUAAAAUUCAAAGAAAACAAGUUAAAUGUUGUGGAAAAUCUUACGCCCAUACAAUAAAUUAUGACAGCUAAAUGCAAACCUGGCUGAAGUAUUAGUUGUUUUAUUACAAUCUCCAAAAAGAUGAGCACUUCCAAAAUCUUUCUUUGUAACAAUAAACACUACUGGUCAGCAACUAUCCAAGUCAAAAGUAACUCAAUGUGAGUCUUAGUGCACUUGCAGUGAAUCCCAAGAUAAACUAAUUUCACUAGCAAGUUGGAUACCAAAGAGUAAGGCUUCAGCCUCAAUUAUAUUAAAAUCUGAGUAAACAUUAAAUACCACAAUCAAACUCAGAAAUCAUAAUUAAACUAUCAUGAUUAAAAAUAAAGUUUUUUUUUUAGAUAUCCGUUUGUAGUAUCUCUUUAGAUGACAAAUAGGAGAUAAAAUAAAUAAAUAUUGGUUGCGUAAAUAAAAUAAAUAAUUUUUUUAACUGAAAAAAAUUCCUAAAAACUAAAUAGUUCAAACUUUUUUUAACAUGAAAUAAAUAUUAGAUGCGUAAAUAUAAAAAAAUUAACUGAAAAAAUUUCCCAAGAACUAAAUAGUUCAAACUUUUUGUUUAACAUCAUGGGUUUUGUAUAUUCAAUUGAACCGAACAACUAAAUUAAAUCGAAAUUACCCUGUUCGGUUCAAAUGAAUAGACGAAAACCGAACAGUUCAUAUUUUUUGAACUGAUGGUGCGUUUACUUCAUGAAAUGAAAAUAUGGUGGAAUGAGAAUGGGCUGGAAAUGAGAAUGUGUUGAAAUGAGAAUGAAGAAUGAGAAUGAGAUUCUAAUGUUUACUUAAUAAAAAUAAAGGGAAAUGAGAAUGUGCUGGAAUGUCAUUGAUGUGUUUAUUUGACAAAAUAAAUGGGAAUAAAGAAUGAGAAUGAGAAUUAAUUUACCAAAAUACCCAUAGUAUUAAAUAAUAUAAUUUUUAUUUUACUAGAUACAUGUAUAAAUAUUAUUAUAAAAAUAAUAUUAAUUAAAAUAAUAAAUGUUAAGAAUGAUAAUAUUAAUAAAAAUAAUAAUAACAAUAAUUAAUAAUAACUAAAAUAAUAAAGUUAAUAAAAAUAACAACAACAAUAAUAAUAAUAAUAAUAAAUGUUAAUGAUGAUGAUGAUGAUAAAUGUUAAUAAUGAUAAUAUUAGUAAAAAAAUAAUAACAGUAAUUAAUAAUAACUAAAAUAAUAAAGUUAAUAAUAAUAAUAAUAACAUUUAAAAUAAUAAAAUUAAUUGUGAUUUGAAUCAGAGUAAUUCGAAAAAUAUAAAAAAAUUAAAAUGAUACAAAAAUAAACAUAAAUUUUAUCCCCGUUCCCUCAUUUUCAUUCUCAAUUCCCCAUGAAAAUAGAAUUCCCAUUUCUUAUUUUCAAAUUACGGAAUCCCCAUAUUUUAUUAUCAUUCCCAAAUUAUAUUUUACCAAAUAAAUAUAAAUUUUAUUCAUAUUUUUUCAUUUCCAUUCUUUAAACCUUCAAGUAAACACAAUUUUCUUUUAAUUCGGGUUCUGGGCCUGAACCGAACCGUACCGUAAACUGCCCACCCUUACAGUAGUUUUCGGGGUUUUUAAUUAAAUAUGCCUUAAAAGUAGUGUAUUUAGUUAAAUAUACCCAUGUUUGAAAAUUAUCUAAGUAUGCCUUUUUAUGUGGUACAUUGUCUAAAAUAUCCCUAAAGAAAAAUAUAAAACACACACACAACUCACAACACUCUUUGCUUCUCACGUAUUUAUCAUCUAUACAAAAACUCACACCACACUCAAAAUCACUCACAAACAGCUAAUGCACUGAGUUUGUUUGCAGUUGGGUGUAUUAUUCAUCCCAUGAAUAAGGUAUUUGAAACUUUUUUUAUUUUAUUUUGGGCUAUCUAUUCAAUUUGUUGACAUUAUAUUAUUUUUAGGGUUUUGUUUGGUUUGUGAUAAACACUAAAGCAACUCAUAUUUUCAUUACAUUUGCAUCAUAUGACUGUUAUUUGAUGGAUUUUAUAACUACAUUCGUUAAAAUCUGAAGUUGUUGUCAAAUUUUUUUCUGCACCCGACAUACACGACAGCAGUCGUGUAUGUAUGUAUUUACAUGACUGUAGUCGUGAAAAUGUGCAAAAAAUUUCAAUUAUUAUGACACCUUAUUAUUCUAUUGGUUCAAAAAAUAUAUAUUUUUCACUAUAUAUAUCCUUUUACUAUUACUAUACUAUAGUCGUGUGUGUGAAUAAGUUACACGACUACUAACGUGUACGUAUAAACUUACAUACUAUAAUUGUUAAUAAGUUACACGACUACUAUGAACCUUAUAUACUUGUUAUUUUUUGUUGUUUUAAUUUUUUUAAUAUCUUUCAUAUUUAGUGAUAAAUUUUUACCUUUUUGUUUCGCAGAUGAAUAAACAUGUUUGUGUGACUUUCUAAGAACAAGUAUUGAAGGGAGGCGACCAGAGACUUAUAAAAUAUGGACUGAGUGUUUGGGUUGAAUAUGCCAAAAAUUUAUGAUGAAUGUUAAAUAACUUCUAUUAUAUUACGACUUAUUUACGAUUUCAAUAAUUAUUGGAUUUGUGUUAUUUGAUAGGCAAUCGAACUAUAGUUAGUUUCAUUUAUUUGAAGUUUGAUAUGUUUAAAAUCUAUAUUGAUUGUGUCAUCAAUAUAAUGAAUGAUUGAAAAGAAUUUUUAUUCUGUGCACAUACCCGAGUACAAUCGUGUAUUUUGGCUGUUACAAAACUAGUCAUGUUUAUUUCUAAAUACUCGACUACAGUCGUGUAUCUGUGCAAAUACUCGAUUAUCACAGAGAGUUUGUCAUAUUUAUUUCUAAAUACUCGACCAUAGUCGUGUAUCUAUGCAAAUACUCGACUACAGUCAAGUAUUUUGUCACAGAGAGCUUGUUAUUUUUAUUUGUAAAUACCCGACUACAGUCGUGUAUAUGUGCAAAUACCCAACUGCAGUCGAGUAUUUUGUCACAGAGCUUAUUAUGUUUAUUUCCAAAUACCCGACCGCAGUCGUGUAUCUGUGUAAAUACUCGACUGCAGUCGAGUAUUUUGUCACAGCUUAUUAUGUUUAUUUUUAAAUACCCGACCACAGUCGUGUAUCUGUGCAAAUACCCGACUACAGUCGAGUAUUUUGUCACAGAGCGUAUUAUGUUUAUUUCCAAAUACCCGACCGCAGUCGUGUAUUUGUGCAAAUACCUGACUGCAGUCAUGUAUUCUCUUACAGUGUAUUCCUUGUGUAUAUAUUGUGCAAACUAUCUUAUCUAUCAUUAAUAUAAAUAACAAAGAAAUAAAAUAUAUUAAUGCUGUCAAUUGUCUUUAAUGACAUCAAAUAUCAAUAACAUCCUCAUUACAACUAUUACAUCUCAUAAUCUAAAAAAUGACACUACAAAGUUUUUUUCCAUGACCUAUGCCCAAAUAAUUUUACAACCAAGGCUUGUCGAAAUUAUGUAACAUGAUUUUGUUGGCAUUAUGAAUUGACAUCAAGUCCAUGGACUAGGACCUCCAAGUACCGCAACAAAAAUGCUCCACAUUCACCACUAAAAAAAUUCAUAUAAAUCAAUUGUUAAAAAUCAUCAUUCUUAUUAUUAUGUUCAAAACACAUUAUAUAUAUAGUACAUACCCUGAUUUUUGUUGCGGGAUGUCACGCACUCGCACGAUGGGCCAAGGAAUUUUCGAAAUAACCUCACUACAGUCUGGAUGUGUUUCGUGAUAUGCUAUCUUCUGAAGUACUAGAGGUAUCAUGUCUGCAACAGGCAGCAAUUGUCUCACCAAAACUGAAUCCUUUGUUAAGUCUAUCAUGGAGUCAUAAAUAGAAAUCUUGCCCCCAAGUAUAUCGACCACACCGAGAACCCAAUGAUCAUUCAUGAAUAUUGGCAAAUACACCUACGAAAUACAGACAAUAUUCUUAACAAGUAACGGCAAAUAUAUCUACGAAAUGCUGUAACUGUUUUUAUCUACUUGCAGUUGAUUUAUUAAUAGUAUACUAUCAAUAGUUUUAUGCUAAAACAAAUAGCAAAUUGUUAAUAAAUUAGAAUUGUAAAAUAAAGGUUCUACAACAAAUAAUAGAGAAAACCCAGAUUGUAGCAUAAUGAAUGCAUACGCAGUUGAAGAAAAUUGAUAUAUAAUUCCCAUGGAUGAAGUUCAACUACAAACAAUAAGUAAAAUUAUAUAAAGAUCUAAUGCAUAAACUAGUGUAGCCAUAACCGAAAAUUCAUAAGGAUAAUAUUUAAUUAGGAACUCCCACAACCAUUAUUAAAGAGCUAUUAAUUCACUCUCUUCAAUUUCAAAUUCACAAGUUAAAGAAGCUUCAUUACAUUACCAACAAGAAAGAUUAUCAGUAAAUAAGCAAGAUAAUGACCAAAAUCAUGUGGGUAAUUUGUUUUUUAAAACCCUAUUGCAUAUAACCCUAACAAUUAUGCACCAUAAAUUCUCUUUAUAAAGUAAAAAAUAAGUGUAAAUGUGGUUAAUGACCUUUAGUUCGGUGAAUUUCCAGCCUUUAAUUCGGUGAUUUUGUAGCCUUUAAUGUGGUGGAUGAACUUGCAGCAGCAGGAGCAUGAACUUGCAGCAGCAGGAGCAUGAACUUGCAGCAGCAGGACAAGCGUUGUGUAUGGUAGCUCGUGAAUGCAGAUUUUGAAAUUUGAAGAAUUAAAUUGGGGUAAUUUUAUAAUUGCACAUUGAAAAAGGUAUAUAAAAAAAAUUUUGAAUUAUGGGGGUAUAGUUGGAUAAAUACCUAACCUUUAGGGUAUAGCGGGGACAAAUCCCUGGUAGUUUUCAUUAACCGACGUUGUACUGCUGGUAUGAAGUUGUUCAAAUGUUCAAAUCAGUCUCUCGCUUUCAGCUCAGUCAGAGUUUCCAGGUCCAGAGACUUCCCGCUGACUGAGAGCUUUUUUAGUAGCAGGUCUACAAAUAAAGGAAUAGAGCUGAUUUAAUGAUUAAUUUAUUUCCUUUUUCAAUUUCUUUUGAUUGCCAUUUAAUCUGGAUAAGUUAAACGUGAAUUAUUUAGUGCAGAUUAAAUGUUCGACGAAUUUCCCGCAAGAAUAUUAAGCUAAAGAGAAAAAAAGAAAACAAUUGAGCGUGAGCGGGAAUGGUGUUUGGCCAAGUGGUGAUUGGUCCGCUCGGCUCGGGAAAGACCACUUACUGCAAUGGCAUGUCUCAGUUUCUCCGCCUUGUUGGCAGGUAACUCCGUUUCUUGAUUUCAAGCAGCUUUAUCUUUGAUGGCCAAAAAAAUUGAUUUGGGCUUUGCCCAUUAAAUGAAUGUAAGAGCGGUAGGGAAUAACUGAGUUAUAGGAUUAGCUUUAAGUGAACAUUGAUGGUAACAUGCAUGUGAAUGUUGUAUGUGUUCAGCGGCAAGCUGUAUGCCAAUUUGGUCUAUAUGGUUGCUUCGGUGGUAACUUAUUAAUUUUUAUGCAGGAAGGUUGCAGUCAUCAAUUUCGAUCCUGCUAAUGAUAGUUUGCCAUAUCCUUUGUCGUUGAACUUUCUUACAAAUGCUGUGGUUUGUUGUAGUACAAUUAGUUCAAUCAGAAACUUCCUUGAUGUUAAUAUAGAUAUGAGUGUGCUGUGAAUAUUGAGGACUUCAUUAGACUAAGUGAUGUGAUGAUGGAGCAUUCACUUGGUCCCAAUGGAGGUUAGUCAGCCCAUUGUUGUUUACUCUUUCUUGCUUUAUCACGCAAUGAUAUUCCUUUGCUUUACAACAAAUUUCGUGAAAUUAACUUCAAUCAAGUGGCUAUGUUCAUACGCUGUUGAGAUUUUAUGGACAAAGAUUUGGUAGACUUUAUAUGCCGUCUUCUUUCUUUUUGCAGUGAUAUGUUUGUCUUCAAUGCACUUGUACUUGUUCUAUGGUUUCUAAAGUAGGUGUUUUUAUGAUAAACUAGGUCUUGUGUAUUGUAUGGACUAUCUAGAGAAGAAUAUUGACUGGUUGCAGUCGAAAUUGGAACCACUUUUGAAAGGUAAGAAGUGGCCAUUUUCCUUCAUUCUAAUGCCAAUAAUGCUGUCAUGAGACUCAUAAAAAUUGUUAAAAUGUUAAUGUUUUUGGUAUUUUGCAGAUCAUUAGCUUCUGUUUGAUUUUCCUGGCCAAGUUGAAUUAUUUUUUCUUCAUUCCAAUGCCAAGAAUUUUAUAAUGAGACUCAUAAAGAAGUUAAAUCUCAGUGUAUUGUUACAUCUUACGUCUAUGAAGGCACUCAAAGAGUUGAGAUGAAUUCAUCAUUGUUAUUUUGAUGCCAGAAUUGUGCAAUUCUCAGUUGCUUCCUUUCACAUGCAGUUGACUGCAGUGCAUCUAGUUGAUGCGCAUCUUGGCAGUGACCCCGGGAAGUAUGUUAGUGCUUUGCUUCUCUCAUUGUCUACGAUGCUCCAUCUGGAACUUCCCCAUGUCAAUGUCUUUUCUAAGAUCGACCUGAUUGAGAAUUAUGGAAAGCUAGGUGUGGUUUUAAGUGUAGCUCUCCUACUUGUUUGUUUAGUUUGAAAUAUCAGAUAUUGUCACAAGCUCCUAUCUGCUACGUUUCCUCACCAUUCAUUUACUUUGGGUAUGUUGCAGCUUUUAAUCUCGAGUACUAUAUGGAUGUGCAAGAUUUGUCAUAUUUACAGCAUGCCUUGGGUCAGGACCCUCGUUCUGCUAAGUACAGGUUUGAAUUCUAGCUGAAUCAAUGAUGCAAAUUAUGUCCAUUGCUAUUUCUGACUAUUGUUUCUAUCAUUUUCAAUUGUUACCUCCCCUUUCCAUCUACUGCCACACUACAAUGCCCACACAAAUAUCAUGAAAUUUUUCAAUGGAAAUGCCUUUCUGUUUGUCCAGAGACAGCUCUUAGAUGCAAGUGACCAAUUUUUGGCUUUGGCCAUGUUACAGCCUUAGAUUUCAAUUUGCCAUAUCUUGUCUCGGAAGUCAAAAGAAAGCAUAUUUGUUAGCCAAAUUUUAUUUGAAUUUCUUGUGUAACAAUGAAUGGGGGAAAAAAAAAAGUUCCUCUUUUGUUUUGAUCAGACUCAAUGAAUAAGUGGUUAAAAUGUGCCUGUACUAGAAAUAUAGAUGUGAGGUUUCAUAAAAUUUUCUUAAUCUUAAGAAAGAGUUAUCUUGAAAAGAAGAUAACAUGGAGAAUUCAACAACUAUACAGUCAUAUUGAUGUCUGUCAACUUGGGUCAUAUGGUGUUGUUUGGAUGGAGAUGUUAGGUCCCAGAUGGUAUACUUGUUAUCAAAUUCCAGUCUACUUCAUUCAUGCUUUGAUGACAUAUGCGGUGCAGCUUCUUAUCUAAGACCUGCAUAUGUUACAGUCAACAUUCUGUUCUGUAACUCAACCUCAGGAAUCUGCUUGUAUGGUGUUCUUCUAAUUUCAAAUGGAGAUAAGUAAUAUCUGUUGUUCAAAUAUAUUUUAUUUACAAGCUGUUAAUAAGUCUGCUUGCAGAAAGCUUACAAAGGAGCUGUGUGAUGUAAUAGAAGUCUACAGUCUGGUCAAUUUUUCAACCUUAGAUAUUCAGGUCAUCAGUUUCUCUUGAAUUCUUUCUUGAGUUUCUUUGAAUUAUUUGUGAAUAAGAUCUUAGUUGGCUGCUUCUCUUCAGGAUAAGGAAAGUGUGGCAAAACCUGUGAAGCUGAUAGGUAAAAGCAAUGGGUACAUCUUUGCUGGCAUGGAUGCCAGUGCAGUUGAAUUCAGCAAGAUUGCCAUUCGCGAUGUUGAUUGGGAUUAUUUCAGAUAUCCUUCUGUUCACUUAUUUUGAAUCUUGUUAUUCUCAUAUUCAUAAAACUUUUUGGUUAUUAUUAUGGUUCAUCAUAUGCAUCUACAUCUUCUAACUUGUUCGUUUGAGAAACUAAUUUUGCCGUUAGGUAGGCUUCAAGCUUGAUUCAUGCUUUUUUCAAAAAUGUACCAAAAUCAUGGAAACUUCUUUUUCCCAGAUAUUGUAUCCACACUUUUCCCAUAUAAUUGGGUCAGACAAGUUUUGCUUAACAAAGAUAUCUACAGUAGCCGAAGUGCUGGAGAAGUACAUUAAGGAUGAUGACGAUGUUAACUAAAAUGGGACGUGAAGAUAUGUGGUGUGCAAACCGUAAGCCUGCCUCUUAUUUUUGUGCAUGUUUACUUGCUUGUGAUUCACGUUUGUUAAUCUAUUUUGCUCUCUUGCAGGAGUUAUAAAGUUUUCAAUCAAUCAAACAUUUUAACUUAAGUCCUUAGCUCUUCACGGCUUGAAUGGGUCAGAUAGGACAAGCGCCGAAGAGGUGGUUUUAAUCAAACCCCUCCUAAUUAUGAUGUAUGGCCCGAAUCUCGGACUUUUUUUACAAUAUCAAGCGAUUUUUUUUAGUUGAAUCGGCUAGUGUACACAAAUGUCGAUUAUUGAUUUUUCUUUAGUAUUGUUUGUAAUUACAAGAAACGAAGUAAUGAAAUUUAUCAGUGCGUUCAUAGUUACGCUUAAGCUCAAAGAUUACCGUCAAGAUCAUCAACCUGCUGAUGAUCUGAAGCUUCCAUAGAAAAAGGAACCGGACAAAACCCAAGAGAGAGAACAAAAAUAAAUUAAUUAAAAAAAAAGAAGAAAAAUUGCCAAAGCUACUGGUCAGUUGACAUCAAUCUUUUGCACGUGGGAUGGAAAUGGAACACUGGGCACUUUGGAUGACUCAUAACUCACAAGAGAGCAUCGAAUUUAGGCCGAAUCAUAUAAAGUACGCUAAGCCUUAGUGCGUGCGCUGUUGCGUUGCUGUGUCUGCCGGUGAGAAUAAUUUUUCGUUUUUAAGGUAAUUUUCAUUUAUUUAUUUAUUUUUUUGGUGCAUAUGGUCGAACACUUGGUGGGCACCUCAGUUUUUGGAAUGUUCUCUUCAAUGAAUACAGGGAAAAAGGGACAAAAAUUAAGAACUUUAUUUUGUUCGCGUGGAAUCGAUAUCUGGAUUGGGAUUGUAUGUCGUGUUUAAUUUGAAUUGGUUGAUUCCUCUAAUGAAUUAUUUGAUAAAUUUAGUAGCAGUAUUUGGUGGCAAAAGUAUCAUUAAUUUUUGGAAAUAUGAUUAUAUUAUUAAUUAUUUUAGCAUUCUAAAAAGUCAAUGGUUAUGUUGGAAAUACUCUAAGGUAGACUAGAGUACAAAUCACAAUCACACAUAAAAAGUGAUAAAUAAUAAAAAAUAUAUUAUAUUUUUGAUCAUAUGAUUAUGAAGAUGUAUUUUACCUUAAAGAAGUUAUAAUAAGCGAAUUCUUUUAAAAAAGAAUAAAAUUUCUUUUUUAUCAUACUCAACCGCUUCAAACUUCUAAGAAGUAGAUAUACAAUGAGUGGAAUACUGAAUUGAGUGCGAGCUGCGGAUAACAUAUAAAAUUGGGAUACAAGCUUCAAAGAAAGUGUAUUGCUAUUCAAAUGUAGAUUUCAAAUUAAGAAGAUAUGCCAGCAAAUUGUAUAAAAAUGUAUAAAUUGAUCAGUAACAUUAAUUCCAAAUGAUGAAAUGAGUUAUCUUGAUCAAAAGGUCAAGAACCUACCUUACUUCUCUUAGAGAUAACUUGCAUCAACCGUUGUGGUAUUGAUACUUGUCUUCAGCUAGUAAAAGUGAAAGUUUCACAAUUGAAAUAAAGCUAAGGGAAGAUGCUAUGCUCCAUUUAUUAUUAUUAUUAUUGACGUGGUCGAGAAGUAAAGCCGUGCAUAUGAUGAAGUAUAAAUAAGAAUGCAAUAGCCCGGAAUUCAUUUACACAAACACUUCAAUAUCCUUUUGAUCACUUUUGCAAACAUCAAUUUGUCUCCUCUUGUAUUCACCAUGGUUGAUGCCAUCGUUUCCACUGUCUUGGAGCAGCUGAUUUCCUUCGCUGCUAAAGAGAUAAAGCAACAGGUGAUCGAAGUUACACCCGCAUAUUAUAAACACUUCUAAUGAUUUUAGUUGGUUUCCUUUUUAUCGAAAACAUUAUUUUUGCUUUAUUUUAUUUAUUUGGCAAUUUUAAAUUUGGAAAUUUGAAUUGAAUUUAAUUAAAAUGUGAUGUAGUUAGUAACCACUUAUUUUUAUUUUAUUUCAUUUAUAUUCUCAAUAACUACUCAUAUUUUGGUAACUUACUAUAACUUCCAUAUCUAAGAAAUUAUCAAAACCCACAAUUUUAACUCAGCACGAAUAUUCAAUGGUGAUCUAAGCUUUUGCAGAACACUCAAGUUUGUCAAACAUUCAUUAAUUCAAUGUUUAGUGAAAAAAACUCUUCUCAGCACAGAAUUCCAUGUCCAUUACUUAGGCUCUCUGAAAAAUUUCAUAAUUUUCAUACAUUCUUUGAGUUUGGUAAGUGAUUUCAUAUAAUUUCUUUUCAAGUUAAAUUUUAAUUUGGCUUCUGAUAUAGUCUCUUUGUUGAAUUUGUAUCUCUUAUGAUUCUUAGAUUUUGGGCUCCAACUUUUGAGGAUAUGAUAGUCACAUUUUAUGCUAUGCUCAGAUUGAUUUUUAUGAUUUUUUGUUCCCGUUAAGUGACUUAGAAUUUGACAAAAGUUUGAUAGGAAAUCUGUUUCACGAUUUUGUUUUAAUUGACCUUUUAGUGGAAAUAAGAUGCUUAUAACUUAAUGUGGAUGGUUUGUAAAAUCAUGAAAUUUGGAUAAUAUAAAUUUGUACGAGACUCUCCAUAAUAUUUCAUGAUUUUUCAUUAGCUCUGGGGUGUUACAGGUGCUACUUGUGACUGGUGUCAAAAAAGAAGUGAAAAAAAUUACCAACCACCUUCAAGCCAUUCAAGCUGUGCUCGAGGAUGCAGAGGAAAAGCAAGUGACGGAAACAGCUGUCAGACUUUGGCUGGGUAGGCUCAAGUCCGCAUCCUACGACAUUGAAGAUGUGUUGGAUGAGUGGAUCACAGCAAGAGGCAAAUUGCAAAUUAAGGGCAGCGUUUAUGACAAUGCUCUUGUUGCUCCUAAUCAGAAGAAGAAGGUAUGUUCCUGCUUUCCUGCCUCUUGCUUUGGUUUCAAACAAGUCAUUUUGCAUCGUGACGUAGCUGUCAAGAUCAAAGAAAUCAAUGAAGAGCUGGACGAUAUUGCCACUCAAAAAGACAUGUUUAAAUUUGUUGGGAGUGUCAGUAAAAGUAGUGAAAGACCAAGACGUGUGCAGAGUACCUCCUUGAUUGAUGAGGAAGAGAUUUGUGGUAGAGUUGGUGAGAGGGAUGCACUCUUAAGCAUGCUGUUGUGUGAGAGCAGUGAGCAACAAAAAGGCCUUCAUAUCAUCUCAAUUGUUGGUAUGGGAGGCAUCGGGAAAACUACUCUUGCACAACUAGCUUGUAAUCAUGACAAGGUGAAGAGUCAGUUCGACAAAAUUUUAUGGGUGUGUGUAUCAGAAACUUUUGAUGAGUUUAGGAUUGCCAAAGCGAUGCUUGAAGCUUUGACUGGUUCAACUUCUAAUUUAGAUGCAUUGCAAUCUCUUCUUAUAAGUAUUGACGAAUCUAUUGCGGGAAAGAGGUUUCUUCUUGUCUUAGAUGAUGUGUGGGACGGAGAUUACAUUAAAUGGGAACCAUUCUACCGUUGCCUAAAGAAAGGUCUCCAUGGAAGUAAAAUUGUAAUUACCACACGUAAUGAGUCAAUUGCCAGCAUGAUGAGAUCCGCAGAUAUUAUCUCUAUCAAGGAAUUGGCUGAAGAAGAAUGUUGGGCAUUGUUUAAGCAGUUAGCAUUUUUCGGUCGAUCCACUGAGGAGUGUGAAAAAUUGGAACAAAUUGGUCAAAGAAUUGCAAGAAAGUGUAAAGGUUUACCUCUUGCUGCAAAGACAAUGGGAAGUCUCAUGAGCUCUAAAAAAACUGAAGAAGAGUGGAAAAGAAUUUUAAAUAGUGAUUUAUGGAAGGUAGAAGAGAUUGAGAAAGGUGUUCUAACCCCUUUGUGGUUGAGUUAUAACGAUUUGCCAUCUAGAGUAAAAAGAUGUUUCUCGUAUUGUGCUGUCUUUCCAAAAGACUACAAUAUAGAAAAAGACAAACUAAUUACUUUGUGGAUGGCUCAAGGUUAUCUUAGUGCAGAAGCAGCAGAACAAGAUGAGGAGUUGGAGACUAUAGGUGAAGAGUAUUUUGGCAUCUUAGCUUCUCGCUCUUUCUUUCAAGAGUUUGAGAAACGUUAUGAUAAUCGUAUUAUAGCGUGCAAGAUGCAUGAUAUGGUACAUGAUUUUGCCCAAUUUGUUAGUCAAAAUGAAUGUUUUUCGUUGGAAGUUAAUGGUAGUGAGGAACUAAACGUCACAAACUCUACAAACUCUCUUGAUGAGAAGGUCCGUCAUUUAAUGUUAAUCUUUAGUAAAGGGACUUCAUUACCUGUUUCCACUCGUAGAGUUAAAAGAAUGCGUACCCUCUUAAUUAACGAUAGUAGAUCUGAUCAUUCAUUAUUAAAUGGUGAGAUCCUAGAAGAAUUAUUUAGGGAAUUGACAAGUUUAAGGGCAUUAGAUUUUGGCAAAUCGUAUAACUCAAGUUGGUCUUCGACUGUGGAGAUUCCGAGAACCAUAGAAAAGCUGGUACAUUUAAGGUACCUGAAUUUGUUUUAUCAGGGAAUAAAGAAACUACCGGAGACAUUAUGCGAGUUGUAUAAUCUAGAAAAGUUAGAUAUUAGUAUAUGUUUUAAUCUUAAAGAAUUACCUGAAGGGAUUGGGAAGUUAAUAAACAUGAAGCAUUUACGAAAUAGAGGUACUAGUUCUUUAAGGUACAUGCCAGUAGGGAUUGGGAGAUUAACGGGUCUCAGGACCUUGGAUGAGUUCCACGUGAGUGGAGGAGGAGGUGUUGAUUGUAGGAAAGCAUGUAGGCUUGAAUCUCUCAAAAACUUGGAAAACCUUCGAGUGUGUGGUAUACGUAGACUGGGUGAUGUAUCAGAUGUGGGCGAGGCUAAGCGAUUAGAACUUGACAAAAAGAAAUACCUCUCUUGUUUGAGACUUCGGUUUGAUAAGAAGGAGGAAGAAGAAGGAGAAAGAAGGAAGAACGAGGACGAUCAACUUCUUCUUGAAGCCCUACAACCACCUCUCAAUUUAAAGGAAUUAGAGAUAGAGUACUACCGAGGCAACACUGUUUUCCCCAGCUGGAUGACGUCAUUAACCAACUUAAAGAGUUUAGAUCUCUCUUCCUGCGAAAAUUGCGAGCAGCUGCCUCCUUUGGGAAAAUUGCCAUCCCUUGAAGCACUCAGCCUAUGGGACAUGAAGUGUGUGGAAAGAGUGGGUGAUGAAUUUUUGGGGAUAGAAAGUGAUCAUCAUGGCUCAUCUUCAUCGGUUAUUAUUGCCUUCCCCAAAUUGAAAUCACUUUCAAUUGAGUUUCUGCGCGAAUUGGAGGAGUGGGAUUAUGGGAUUACAAGAACGGGAAACACCGUCAUCAACAUCAUGCCACGUCUUUCUUCCUUGACAAUUGCUCAUUGCCCCAAAUUAAUGGCACUGCCCGACCACUUUCAUCAAACAACAACAUUGAAGGAAUUGCACAUUUGGGAGUGCAGGCUUCUGGAAGAACGUUACCGCAAAGGGGAAGGAGAAGACUGGCCUAAGAUAUCACACAUUCCCAACCUCCGUAUUGGGCUUUGACAAGUAAUUUCUUCUCUUACUCUGAUUUGCUUUGUUGUUGUUUUUAAUCUAAUUAAGAAGCGUAAAUAGCAUUUUGAAUCAAACUCUAUAUCAGAAAUCUGCAAUACUUACUUUCUAAUAUUCUGAUUUUCAUAUCCUAUGAAUAUACAAUUUUUAAUUUGUGAGAUGGGUAACGUUACUGUAAAAGAUUAUUAAUGCAAUAUGAGUAAUUCUUUUGCAGGACAAGUGACCUACAUUUAGUUUGGCUUUGGAGUUGAAUAAUAACCUUUCGAGGUCCCGACAACCAAAAAACGAAGCUUAAUUUGCCACAGAUUGCACGUAUUGCCAUUAUUGACAAUUUUCUGCACAAGCUUAGGUUGAUUUCAAAAGAGGUAAAUUAUUGGCAUGCCUGACUAUUUUGACCAUUACAUGAUUCAUAAGUUUACAUUAAUUUUGAUUUUGAGUUGAGUGAUUAGUUUUUAUACCCGGAAUAUGCAAAAGUUUCUAAUAUUUUAUUUCCAUCUGUUACAAGAUCAAACUGAAGUAGAACUCAAACAAAAGUAUGCUACUUCUUGCGGAAAUCUUGCCUUUGUUCAGAUUAUGAAACCAUUUCCAUGCAGCAAAUUCAUCCAAAAGUUUGAAUAAGUUUCAUGGUUGGACACUGUUGGCUUCUUUUUCUUCUGGGGUGCAUUUAGGUGCUAUCAAGUGACAGCUAAGUAUGAUUGCACUAAGCUGCCGCUGGGAAAUUUGAGGUUUUGAUGGCUGCCCAUGUUAUUUUCAAGAAACUAUUGAUGUAAGAAGCUGUGGUUCUUUUCAUCAGCUUGAACCUGAAACUGUCGCUAUGGAUAACUCAGGUUUUUGUUAUCAACUAUGUUGAUGCGAGAUUCCGGUUCUCCUCGUUCUACGACCAGGAUCUCUGCUCGAUCAACUUCACCACGACCAGGAGGUCUCCUAGUAAUGCUUCUUCUCCAGAUGUCCCUGCACACACAGACAAGUCAGAGUACGCCGGUUGUUCUCCCGGCGCAAACCCUCCGACGCUCAAGUCAGAUAUGAAGGUUCGGGGAACGCUUGCCACAGGUCUUAUGGCUUUUUCGUGGUUUUCUCUUUUAUCUCAAAAAUGCUAACCCUUUUACCUUCGUUGGCUACCUUUUUAUAGGCUUCCUCUGAAUCCCAGUUUUCCGCUUUUUUCGAGACGGUCUGGGGCUCUGACUGCUGCGUUAUGGGCAAACGUGGGAUCUUGCGUGUUACGCCACGGUUCAGGGGAAAGCGUGGCUGUCGUGGUUCUGUGAGAUCUUGUGUGUUACGCCACGGUUCAGGGGAAAGCGUGGCUGUCGUGGUUCUGUGAGAUCUUGCGUGUUACGCCACGGUUCAGGGGAAAGCGUGGCUGUCGUGGUUCUGUGAGAUCUUGCGUGUUACGCCACGGUUCAGGGGAAAGCGUGGCUGUCGUGCCUAGAUUCUUGGGCUGGAGAGUAUGUCUUGCCAACUGCCGUCGACCGGGUCUCCUCGCCUCUCGACCUCUAGCCGGAAUGGCCUUAUGCCUCUUAUAGGAAAUUGGCCUAGCGGAUGACAACAUCGUGGACGAGCAGGAUACUUCUGCUCCUGUUCUGAUGGCUGCCCAUGUUAUUAACACACCGGUUCACAGAACUCCGCUGUGGUUCUUUUCAUCAGCCUGGUCUCGUCGACGUAUUUAUGGAUAACUCAGGUUUUUGUUACAAACUAUAUCAUCUUUUUCACUAUUUUGAAACUCUUAAGAUUAAACUUUAGUAAAGUUGUUUCAGCUAUUCAAAUGAAAAACUCAUUGAUUUGAGACUUCCUUCAUUAUUGUUUCUAAUUACAGUGCUAACGAUCCAGAUAAAAUAAUAUUUAAUCGGCGAAGGUGUCCCUUGGAAGUACAUCCUUCUUUUUCUUUUAUUAUAUAAAUUCUUGCAAUGAGCUUAGUGAAGCUGUUGUGCUAAUCAUGCCACUGCAUAACUUGGCCCCUAAUGUGGGUACUCUGUUACAUUGUUCUGCAAAUUCUCCAGAAGUUAAAAUCAAUAAAUUUUCUAUUAGCUCUAGUGCUUUGACCUAAAUGCUAUUCUAUAUUCUGAUUACAAUGUUUUAACCUUUAAAUUAACUACCCCUAGAUGUUGGAUUUUCUAGAACUUCAAAAUGAUUAAUGGAGAAAGAUCCCAUUAUCGUUAUUGCUAUAAGAAAUUGAUUUAUGCAUCCAAAGAUACAUUAUAUAUUUCUGUGUCUCUAUUUAUGGAUGACAUUUAAUCAUCCAUAAACUGUCAGACAGAGGAAGGGGGUUCAGUGCAAAGAUUCUGUUGACCUAGGGUUGACUGCAUAUGUCACUUGUUCGCAAUCUAUUAUUUAUUUUAUAUUUUGAAGAAUUUAAUGGGUAAUCCUAAUUGUUUGUUUUGGCAGGUUUGUGUUGUUAUCUCCUUCUAUCUUACAGUCGUACCUAAAUAGCAUAGUUUCAUCUGUGUUACCAUGUGAUGUACAUAAUUUCACAUUUGCCUCAGAUUAAGCUUAAUUUCCCACAGAAUAGAGCUGUCGCGACUGGACUUAGGUUGAUGUCCAAAGAGGUAAAUUAUUGGCAUGCCUAGAUAAUUUGGCCAUUUCCUAAUUCAUAAGUCUACAUUAAUUUUGAUUUUGAGUUGACUGAUUUCUUUUCAAGGUCUGCUUCCUUAACGGAGUGACCAAUGUUUUUCAACUAAAUUUAUCAUAUGAUGCAGGAAGCAGGGCAGGAUAUGAAAUGAGAAGCUCAUUGGUGGAAGUAUUUCCAGUAGCAGAACCCAAUGAAAAUGAAACUAUUUCAAGGCAGCAGUUGGCAGUUGCAAGUGAAUGGAGGCCCUGACAAAAUUCUCAAGCGGUUGCAAUGCAAUUACGAUCAUCCUCAGCCUCAGGUAAUUUCUUCUCCUGCUCUGUUUUUAUCUGUUAUCUAAUUAAAAAGCAUAAAGUAUCUUGAAUCACUUUCUGUAUCUGGAAUAUAUGCAGCAGUUUCUAAAAUCUUCAUAUGAGUGUAAUGAUGGUAAUUUCUGUUUUUUGUCUGUCUUUGAAUGUUAGACAACUUUCAGUGAGACUCUUGAACCGAGACAUUUUUGACAAAUGAAGGACAAUUGCUGAAGAGUGGGAAUGGUGCUAGAUUGGGGAAUAAAGACAAAGGAGGUAAAUUAUUUGCAGUUUAUUCAGCAUUAUUUGCUUUGGACCAGCGCCUGAUUCACAAGUCUCCAUAAUUUGGCUUUUGACCAGUUGUUAAUAAAUUUUUUUAUUCCAUUGGUGCUAAAUGUACACGUGAAGCAGGCAGAGCAGGACUGUGGAAAUGAGAAGGUUUUUAGUGAAAGCUUAAACUCAGGUAAUUCUAAAAAGUACAUGUUUUUGCUGAUUUAUCUAAAUCAGGAAAUUUUAUUUCCAUCUGUUACAAGAUAAAACAGAAACAGAACACAAAGAAAAAUAUUCUACUUCGUGUGGCAAUCUUGCCUUCAUUCAGACAAUGAAACCAUUUCCUUUCACCAAUUUCUUCCAAAAGUUUGAAUAAGUUUCAUGGUUGGACAUAGUUAGCUUCUUUUUCUUUUGGUGCAUUUAGGUCCUAUCAAGUGACAGCCAUAAGUAUGAUUGCAUUAUCGGGAAAUUUUAGAUUUCGAUGGCUCCCCAUGUUAUUGCCAAGAAAGUCCUCAUGUCAGAAGCUGCGGUUCUUUUCAUCAGCCUGAACCCGAACCUGUCGUUAUGGAUAACUCAGGUUUUUGUCAUCAACUAUAUCAUCUUUUUUACUGUUUUGAAACUCUUAAGAUUAAACUUCAGUAAAGUUGUUUCAGUUAUCCAUGUAAUCAGGCUAAGGAUAUUUAGCAGCUUAUUUAGGCAACUGCCAGAAUUCAGUUUGUUCGCUCGAAACUUGUAUGGUGACAAGGAUACUGGCAAGGAUAGUGAGAUAGUUUUUUGUGUGAGUGAAAUUUGAAAGCUUGGGUGUUCUGGGAUUUGCAAUUGCAAUCAUCCUCUGAGUCAGGUGAUUUCUUCUUCUGCUCUGUCUUUAUUUUCUCUCUAAUUGAAAGCAUAAAGUAUUUCAAUCAAAUUCUGUACCAGGAAUACGUAAAAGUUACUAAUAUUUUAUUUCCAUCUGUUUGCAUAGAUAACUUGGCGGCAUAUGUUCUAGUUAAAGAACAAACAGAAACAGAGUUCAGGAAAAAGUUUCUUCGGCCACCAUAUUUGAAAAUGAAACCAUUUCCAGGAAGCAGUUGGCAGCAAAUUCAUAUGGAGUGUAGACAAUGAUGAGCAAAAAGGUGAUUCGCAAUUUCUUUUUUUUUUUAAGUGAAAUUAUUUGUUAGAUUGAAGCUGAUAUUGUAAGAAGGCCAUUGAGCUAACCUAUGUCGCCACUUGCCUAGAUUGCAGGGGGUCAAGACUCAAAAGAAGCACUGAAAUUUAAAAAGCAUGCAAUAGUUCUUUUACCAUGUGUCAAUUAAUGCAAGUUUGAAUAAGUUUAUUGGCUGAACGAUGUUAGCUUCUUUUCCUUUCGUGCACUUUGGUAUGCUAUCAAGUGACAGCCGUAUGUAUGGCUUGCAUAUAGCUGCUGCUGGGAAAAUUGACGAUUUCAUGGCUGGCCGUGUUAUUGUCUUAAAUUAGUUGUGAUAAGCUGUUGCUUGGAGAUUCUGUUGCCAAGACUUUGCUCACAUCAGAAGCUGUGGAAUCUGAACCCUUCGUUAUGUAUCAUCUUUUUCAUUGUUUUAAAACUCUCAGGAUUAAACUUGAGCGAAUUUGUUCGGUUGUCUAUAUAAUCAUGUAUUGAGUAAACUCUCAGGAUACUGAGCAGGCAAAUGUUAUAACUCGGUUUGUUAGCCAAAAACUUGUUGAAGAUUCUUGACAAAGCUGCAUCAAGUGAAUUGUCGGAGCUCUGAGGGUGAGAGAAAUUAGAGGAUUUGGAUUUGUUAGGAAGUUAUCAUAUUUAUUUUUAUUUUUUUAUUUUUCCCAGAAAAUCUUCUGGUGGUGCUAUAUUUUCAAACGACAGUCCGAUUCAAAACUUGAUAUUCCAAUUAUAUUCAUAAGCUUCUAUAGUUAUCUUCAAAAAGACAAAUGGAAGGCUUUGAACGGCUUGGGUCUGAGUAUUGUAGUUUGAUUUAUUUUGAUGAAAGUACCUUUUGACAUUGAGAUUCUUUCUUGAGUUAAACAUUCUUUUUAAAACCAACUUAUUAAAAAAAAAGUAACUAACAUAUAUUAUUUUGUUAGUGCUUUUUAAAUCAAAUAUAAAAAAGAGAACUGUAAUUCUUAGCAACCAAUUUUUCACUGAGUACAGCUACAACAAACUAUUAAAAAAUAAAGUGAUAGAAAAUGCCUGAUUUUUCGUACUUUCUAAUUACUUUUGGUCCUAAAAUAUGGCGAUUUGUGUAAUAAUAAGCCCAUGUAUAUCUUUAUGCCAUUAGUUUGAUAAAUAGCUAUCAAGGAUAACUUAUUAAGCUAAAAAUAUUUGAAGGAUAAAUUGGUAAAACUAAAAGGGUGGAGUAAUAAAACAACAGCUGCAGAUCUCGAAUGCAUCUUCAUUACAGUAUGUUCCAAGGAAGUGUAAUGCCAUAGCUCAUGCUAUAGCAAAAGUGGCUCUGGAUUUUGAGAAUUCUGUUAUAUGGCUGGAAGAGUUUCCAGUCCAGAUCAUGAUGUUACUCUCAAAUUUUAUCAAUUAGAAAGCUUUACUUUCUUUUCAAAAAAAAAAAAAAAAACAAGAAUUUCCAAUUACCUGCAAAGUCAGCUGCGAAGUUAACUCCUGAGCUGAGAAGGUGGCCUAGCAAAGUCUCUGGGCCCAAUAAAAAUGUGCUUUUUGCAGUAAAACAGUGUGUCCGUGGGAGAAGGUAGCAGCGGAAAACCAAGCCUCUCACAAGACAUGUUUCAAGUGCUCACAUGGUGGUUAUUCCAUUAGCCCGUCAAAUUACGCAGCCCUAGAAGGCAUCUUGUAUUGCAAACAUAAUUUCUCCCAAUUGUUCAAGGAAGAAGGCAGCUACAACCACCUUAUAUCAAAUCUGCUUCCAUGAAGCGUGCUGCAGUCUCUGUUCAAGAAGCUUGAACAUGUUAUGUUAUCUUCCAUAAAUCUUAUUUGGCGUGGGUUUUCUCUGGCUUGAGGGUGUGCUUUCUAUUUUGAUCCCUCUUGUUGUUUUUGCGGGGAACUACCAAACCUUCGGUUCCCUCUGCUUCUUUGGAUCAUCUUUGUUGGGACAAAUUUCAUGUAAUUAGAGAUACUGAUUUAUGGGAGGCAUAAUCCCAUGGUCGUAAAUUGACCAUUUUCUGGCAAUGUUCUUUUUAAAAAGAGAUGAGCAGUUGUUUAAAAAAAAAAAAAAAUAGCUUGCCUUCAUCAUUGUAUGUUACCAAAGUGCUAUGUAUAGCUGCUGACUAUGAGCAUCCGAAAAUGGUGCAUCGUGAUUCAUGUAGUGCAAUAUGGCUACCAACGCAUCCUAAAUGGAGUAUUACUCAGUUAGGGUGUGUUUGGGAUUGAGGUUCUGUAGCUUUUAAGCUACAGCUGUUGUGAAAAAAAAGCUGUAAUUAUGAAACAAAAGUUAAUAAUAUAUAGUAAAUAUAAAUUUUAAAUAAUAAUUUUGAUAAGAUUAUUAAAGAUAUAAUAAAUUUUAUAUUAUACAAGUGAAAAAUAAUAUCAACAUAGCUUAAAAGCUACAGCAGUUAGUGUUUACCAAACACUUUAGUGCUGUAGUUUUUAAGCUAUAACUGCCCAACCUCAAUCCCAAACGCACCCUUAGUCAGCAAAAUAAGACAACAUAACUGAUAUUAAAAAAAAAACUACAUUAAUAAGUGGGCAAGAUCAUGCCAGUUUAACUUUUCGCGCGUCGCUGCUGGAGAUAAUCAAAUCAGGGCAGAGAAAAGGAGAAUGGAAUCAGAGGCUAAGAUUAAUAAGUGGGCUUCUGCUUGCUUUGCCCCUCUUUCUUAAACGAUUGGUAGACUGCUGCUUCCACCGAUUAACCGGGUCUUCAACCACUGCUUUUACUGCCUGCCAUCUUGUUGUUUGUCGAAGGGAUGAAUUCGAUUCGAAAAGAGAAAGCGCGCUGAAAAAGAUAAAUCACUAGUGGUUAACUGCUGACUCAGCCAAGUGUUGGCUUCACUUGAUUCACCGAUUGAGGUUAUUUUGUCUUCUAUCUAAUGCAGCGAAGAAGCUUUGCUGCUUAACAUGCUGCAAUGCAACUUUAUCCUUUGAAGUUCACACUUCAGGGCUGGGCACUUUAUGUAAUCCUAUGAGUAAAAAGAAUUUGUUUUCAAAUGUGAAAAAAGAAAAUGUAAGGUAGUAACUAAAUAUAUUAUAGCAUCCAAGCAAGAUUUGAUAUGAAUUUAGUACAACAAAGAACAUCAAAUCUGUGAUUCCUUGUCUAAUGUCACCAUCGAGCAACAAAUUUAAAAGCCUACCUAUCAAAUACACGAGGCAAUAAACGGAGAAAAAUUUGAAUUACAAGAACAAGUUUACAAUUCUUGUCAAUGGUUAAUGAUUCGUGAACUGAGAUAGCAUUCAAGAAUCCAAUUUCAAUACAACAACGUAAAAGAUAAACAGAUGAUGAAUUUAUGAGAUAAAGAAGGAGAUCAUGUUUUAUCGUAUCUCUAUUUUCUUUCUUUUUAAAUUUAAAAUAAGCUUUUCAACCGGUUUGUUAACCGGUUAUAAUAUUUUUUUAAAAUAAUUAAAUAUUUUCAUUAUUAAAAAUAAUGUGUACCGUUGAUUAUAUCUAACGGUACAUAUUUCUUACACUACUAAUACCGUAAAAAAAAAUACAGCAUCAUAGAGGGACCCUUAAAACAUUUUCAUUUGAAAUUAUUUGGUGUAGUAAAAAAGUUAAGAAAGAAAUAGUUGUCCCUUUGGUCAUUUCACAAAAAUGAAAGCCCCAUAAAAGAUAAACAGAUGAUGAAUUUUAUGAGAUAAAGAAGGAGAUCGUGUUUUAUCGUAUCUCUAUUUUCUUUCUUUUUAAAUUUAUGAGAUAAAGCGGUUGGUCCAGUUACGGUGUUAUGCUAACGGGUUUAAAGGUUCCGAUCCAAUGAGUUAGGGUGGAAUAUGAAUAUAUAAAUUCCAUAGCUAAGGACUAGGAUUUGUUUGUUCAUAUCAAGAAAAAAGAUCUGAAAAUUUGAUGAUCAGAAGAUAAAAACACUUAAACACGUUUAUUUCAGAGAAACAAACGACAACAUGAUACUAGUAGUAGUUAUUCUUUUCAUCCGAUAUAUUACAUUGUAAUAUCACUACUCGUUCCACUGGUUUCAUAUACACCAUCGACCAGCAACAUGAUAAUUUCGUGUCAGUUCAUUUUGUUUGUAGGAAAGAGCAGUGUAUUUCUUAGAGCUUGAAAAUAAUAAAAAGAUUUUAAAAUAUAAAUUGCAUAUUUGUUUAUUACUGUUGUUUGGUCUAAUUUCUUAUGUAGAAUUGCUUGUCAUUCUUUGGACGUUAUUGAUUAUAUUUUUGUCAGACUUGGCGUAUACAUUCACAUACGUUUUAUUUUGUCAUUUUGUAGAACAUUUUUACACGCCAUAUUAUCACGACUCUUCUGUGUCUGAAUAAGAAGAAAGCAUAAUGCGACCCUCCAACAGCUUAAUCUAUGGAAUUAUCGUGUUUUGUAAGUUGAGGUCCAAUGGCGUUUUGGCACAUCAUAUGAUAGACCACUAUAUUGCGUUGCUUUACAAAAGAUUAAUAUUUUUAAAAUUAUUAACUCAUGAUAUGAUAGUCCAGGUUUUCGAGGACCACUAUAUUGUAUUGAUUUUUAAAAAAAAUUAAUAUUUUUUAAUAUUAAUAUUCUAAAUUAUAUUCAGUUAAAAUAUUAAAUAUUAAAUACAUUCUUAAUAUUAAUACUCUUAGAUGAAAUUCUUUUGCUGACUUAAGAAUAAAAUAUUAAAUAAUUUUAUUUUUCUUUUAUUGUGUAACGUGGACCCAAAAAAAAAAGGAAAUGAAUUUAAUAAAACCUUCCUUCCGCCACCAUGCAUGUUAAUUGUUUCCAAAUUCCAACCUCCGUACUCUCUUGAGGAGUUUCCCAUUCAUCAAUUAUUAUUUUUUAUAAUCCAUACCAUCCUGAUAUAAUUAAACACCAUUAAUAAUGUACCAGCCUUUAAAUAGUAAUUUAUUUAUUUAUCUAAUUCACCAAAUGUCAUUUCCUGUACAUAUCUCCAUUGGUAUCAAGAAGAAGCAGAACCCAAAGAAACGUUUCUUGCAUCUUCAUAUUUGUGCGAAUUCAUCCUUUCAUUGAGAAUAACCAUUUCCAGGCAGCAGUUGCCAAUCAAUUCAUGCGCACGUCGAUGCUAUUCAUAGAUAUUAAAGACAAUGAUGAACCAAAGGUGAUAAAUCAUAAAUGCAUAAUUACCAAACCUCCAUCCUUCUCUCAUUAUGAUUUGAUUUUAAAUGAAUUAUUGCUUGGUAACAUUAUUUCCAACCAUUGCAAGAUUUUUUUUGGAGAAAUUUUAAUUGAAAGUAAAACCUUUAGACAUUUACCUAAUGAAGUUAGUUAAUCGGGAGGGUGGAAAAAAAAAAGUUGACGCAAGUCAAUACACAAUAAUUAAUCAAAUCCGGAGUGACUAAAACAGAGCCACUACUUUUUUAAAAAUAUCUGCCUUCAUCACUUUCUCCAGCAGCUAGUCAGCUACACACGAGUCAAUUUCUCUCCUCGAUUGUCAUCCAAAAUUAUUCACCAAUACCAUGGCUGAUGCAAUCGUUUCCACUAUCUUGGAGCAGCUGAUUUCCUUCGCUGCUGAAGAGAUAAAACAACAGGUGAUCGAAGUUACACCCCUCAGAUUACAAAUACUUCCAAUGAUUUUAUUUGGUUUUGCUUUUAUCAAAAACAUUAUAUAUUUUUGCUUUAUUUUAUUUAUCUGGUAAUUUUAGAUUUUGAAAUUUGAAUUGAAUUUAAUUAAAAGGUGAUGUAGUAACCACUUAUUUUUAUUUUAUCUCAUUUAUAUUCUCAAUAACUACUCAUAUUUUGGUAACUUACUAUAACUUCCAUAUCUAAGAAAUGAUCCAAACCCACAAUUUUAACUCAGCACGAAUAUUCAAUGGUGAUCUAAGCUUUUGCAGAACACUCAAGUUUGUCAAACAGUCAUUAAUUCAAUGUUUAGUAAAAAAAACACUUCUCAGCACAGAAUUCCAUGUCCAUUACUUAGACUCUAUGAAAAAUUUCAUAAUUUUCUCACAUUAUUUGAGUUUGGUAAGUGAUUUCAUAUAAUUUCUUUUCAAUAUAAAUUUUAAUUUGGUUUCUUAUAUACUCUCUUUGCUGAAUUUGUAUCUUUUAUGAUUCUUAGAUUUUGGGCUCUAACUUUUUAGGAUUUGAUAGUCACAUUUUAUGCCAUGCUUAAAUUGAUUUUCAUGAUUUUUACUACCCGUUAAGUGACUUAGAAUUUGACAAAAGUUUGAAAGGAAAUCUACUUCAGGAUUCUGUUUUAAUUGACCUUUUAGUGGAAAUAAGAUGCUUAUAACUUAAUGUGGAUGUACAAGACUCUCCAUGAAGUCUCAUAAUUUUUCAUUCGGUCUGGGGUGUUACAGGUGAAGCUUGUGGUUGGUGUCGAAAAAGAAGUGAAAAGCCUUACCGGCCACCUUCAAGCCAUUCAAGCUGUGCUCGAUGAUGCCGAGGAAAAGCAAGUGAAGGACAAAGCUGUUAGUCUUUGGCUAGGUAGGCUCAAGUACGCAUCCUACGACAUUGAAGAUGCGUUGGAUGAAUGGAUCACAGGAAGACGCAAAUAGCAAAUUGAGGGUGGCAUUGGUGAAAAUGCUCUUAUUGCUCCUCAUAAGAAAAAGAAGGUACGUUUCUGCUUUCGUGCCUCUUGUCUUGGAUUCAAACAAGAAGAAUUUGGCUUCAAACAAGUCUUUCUACGUCAUGACAUUGCUGACAAGAUCAAAGAAAUCAAUGAAGAGCUACGUAAUAUUGCCACUCAAAGAGACAUGUUUAAAUCUGAGAGUGGCAGUAAAAGUAGUGAAAGACCCAGGCGUGUACAGAGUACCUCCUUGAUUGAUGAGGAAGAGAUUUGUGGUAGAGUUGGUGAGAGGAAUGAACUCUUAAGCAUGCUGUUGUGUGAGAGUAGGGAGCAACAAAAAGGCCUUCAUAUCAUCUCAAUCGUUGGUAUGGGAGGCAUAGGAAAAACAACUCUUGCACAACUAGCAUGUAAUCAUGUUGAGGUGAAGAGAAAGUUUGACAAACUUUUAUGGGUGUGUGUAUCGGACCCUUGUGAGCAGUUUAGGAUUGCCAAAGCGAUCGCUGAAGCUUUAGGCAUUCCCUCUUCUAAUUUAGGUGAAUUUCAAUCUCUUCUUAAACUUAUAUCUGAAUCUAUUACUGGAAAACGAUUUCUUCUUGUCUUAGAUGAUGUGUGGGAUGGAGAUUGUAUAAAAUGGGAACCAUUCUACCUUUGUCUAAAGAAUGGUCUCCAUGGAAGUAAAAUUUUGGUUACCACACGUAAAAAAUCAGUUGCAUCUAUGAUGGGAUCUACUAAUACUGAUAUUGUCACUGUCAUGGAAUUGGCUGAAGAAGAAUGUUGGUCAUUGUUUAAGCGGUUAGCAUUUUUCGGUCCGUCUAUUAAUGAUUGUGAAAAUUUGGAACAAAUUGGGCGAAGAAUUGCAGGCAAGUUUAAAGGUUUGCCUCUUGCUGCAAAGACAAUAGGGAGUCUCAUGCGCUCUAAACAAAUUGAAGAAGAGUGGGAAAGGAUUUUAAAUAGUGAUUUAUGGAGAGUAGAAGAGAUGGAGAAAGGUGUUCUGUCCUCAUUGGUGUUGAGUUACAACGAUUUGCCGUCCAAAGUAAAAAUAUGUUUUUCCUAUUGUGCUGUCUUUCCAAAAAACUACAAUAUAAAAAAAGAUGAACUAAUUACAUUGUGGAUGGCUCAAGGUUAUCUUAGUGCAGAACAAAAUAAGGAGAUGGAGACUAUAGGUGAAGAGUAUUUUAGCAUCUUAGUUUCUCGCUCUUUCUUUCAAGAGUUUGAGAAAAGUUAUGAUAAUCGUAUUAUAGAGUGCAAGAUGCAUGAUAUGGUACAUGAUUUUGCCCGAUUUGUAAGUCAAAAUGAAUGUUUUUCGAUGGAAAUUAAUGGUAGUGAGGAACCAAACACCAUAAACUCUCUUGAUGAGAAGGUUCAUCAUUUAAUGUUGAUCAUUGGUAGGGAGGCUUCAUUUCGUGUCCCUAUUUGUAGAGUGAAAAGAAUUCGUAGCCUCUUAAUUGAUAAUAGUAGAACUUCUCGUUCGUAUUUUAAUGGUGAGAUCCUAGAAGAAUUAUUUAGGGAAUCGACAAGUUUAAGGGCAUUAGAUUUUUGGGGAUCAUAUGUCGUAAGCCCAUUUUCGACUCUAAAGAUUCCAAGAAACAUAGAAAAUCUAGUACAUUUAAGAUACCUUAACCUGUCUUGUCAGAACAUAAGGAAACUACCGGAGACAUUAUGUGAGUUAUAUAAUCUAGAAAAGUUAUAUAUUACUCGUUGUCUGUAUCUUGAAGAAUUACCUGAAGGGAUUGGGAAGUUAAUAAACAUGAAGCAUUUACUAAAUUAUCGUACAGAUUCUUUAAGGUACAUGCCAGUAGGGAUUGGGAGAUUAACGGGUCUUAGGACCUUGGAUGAGUUCCAUGUGAUUGGAGGAGGAGGUGUUGAUGGUAGGAAAGCAUGUUGGUUUGAAUCUCUUAAAAACUUGAAACACCUUCAAGUAUGUGGUAUACGCAGAUUGGGUGAUGUAUCAGAUGUGGGCGAGGCUAAGCGAUUAGAACUUGACAAAAAGAAAUACCUCUCUUGUUUGAGACUUUGGUUUGAUAAGAAGGAGGAAGGAGGAGAAAGGAGGAAGAACGAGGAGGAUCAACUUCUUCUUGAAGCCUUGCGACCACCCCUGGAUUUAAAGGAAUUAGAGAUACGGUACUACCGAGGCAACACUGCUUUCCCCAGCUGGAUGACGUCAUUAAUCAAUUUAAGGAGUUUAGAUCUCUCUUUGUGCGAAAAUUGCGAGCAGCUGCCUCCUUUGGGAAA